rnacentral:lncRNA from 1 species
UCCUUCUUAUCUUUUAAUUUUCUAAAAUUAAAUUAAAAAUUAUCAACUUUAUUAAUAAUGACCAUAAAAUAUAUAGCUCCGUUCACAUUUUAACAACUAAAACUAAAAUAAUUAUAAUAUAUUAAAAUUUUAAUUUAACUAAUUAAAAUUAAAUUAAUUAAUAAAUUAAAAAUUAGGGACGUGUAGAACCUCCUCUACAUCUAGGGAUGUCAAUGGGUAUGGAUACCCGAAAUUUUAUCCGAACCCGAACCCGAAUGAAACGGAUAUAUCCGAUGGAUAUGGAUAUGGAUUUGGAUAUGGAUAUAAAAAAUAAAAACCCGACGGAUAUGGAUUCGGAUAUGGAUUUUGAUUGUAUCCGACCCGAACCCGAACCCGACCUGAACCCGAAUUUAUUUUGUAUUAUAUAUAAUAUAUAUAUAUAAAUUUGAUGUUAUAUUUGAAUUUGUAUUUUAAAAAUUUAAAUUUAAUAUAAUAUAUUUUGAAAUAUUGAAAAAAGAAAUAAUUGUUUCAGGUUCAAAUUUUCGGGUUCGGGUUCGGGUUCGGGUUUCGGAUUUUUGGUCGGGUUCGGGUUUGGAUAUGGAUUUUUAAAAUCCGUCGGGUUCGGAUUCGGGUUCGGGUCUCGGGUUUGGAGUCGGGUUCGGGUUCGGGUUUUUAAAAAUCCGCCCCGAAUCUGACCCGUUGACAUCUCUUAGACUACAUCUCUUUCGCUAUCUCUUUGGCCUCCUCCGUCAUCUUCAUUUUACCACCACCGUCGUCAUGCGUGGUAGCGGAGACGGAGCUAGCUAGACCUCGUCAUCCUCCGCUUAUUCGACCACAUAUUGCUUCUUCAUAUUAUGGAAACAAUAAUAAUAACCUACAAUAACAAGAAGAAGAUGAUGAUGAUGAUAAAGUUGCACCAUUUAAAAUUAAUUAAAAUAUACUAUUUAAGAUUAGUUAAUACUUCCAUUGUUAUAAAACUCUUUUCCAGCUAUAUAUGUCGAUACUAAGGCCUCUUAUAUGUGCUUACGCUUUUUAUUUUUUUUAAGUCAAUUCUACAUCAUUUUAUGUGCAUGUUGACAUUGGUUGCAAUAUAUAGAUCCGAUAUAUAGGAUUUGUUUGAUAAAAGAAUAAAAGAAUAAAAGAAUAAGAUCAAGGUUCAGUAUUAACUUUUCUUUCAUUUUAGUUUUACUUUUGUUCCAAAAGAAUAAGUUUGCAUAUUAAUAAACAAUGACAUGAGUAUCAAAUUCCAUCUUUCGUUGUAUCAAAGUUGCACUAUGAUAUAUAUAUAUAUAUAUAUAUAGAGUGAGGCUACUAUGCUAUUAAAAGUUAUAAUUUUAGAUUAUUAUUAUUAUUAAAAGUUAUAAUUUUAGGUACUCCAAAUACUCUACUAUGCUAUUUAAAAUUAAUAUUUAUAAUUUUUAAUUAUUUAAAUUUUAAAUUUGACAUUUUAUAUUUAUAAAUUUAGAUUUAAUUUAAAAUUUAAAAUUUAUAACUUUGAAAUUUGAAAUUUAAAAAUUUAGAUUUUAAUUUUAAAAUUUUCUAUUAAAAGUUAUCUAUUUAAAUUUGAAAAUUUAAAUAUAAAAUAAAAAAUUUAAAUUCAAAUAUAAUAUUAGGAUAAUAUUUAUUAUUUUCUAUUUAUAACUCCCCACUAUUUUUCUUAUCCCAUCUUAUCUAUCCAAACGACUCUUUUUUUUUAUUUCUAAAUAAUCAAUUUUUAUUCAAUAUAAAAUUAAUUUAUUUCAGUAUCUAUUCAUGAAAUAACUAUAUUUUUUUAUUAAUUCCGAAUCUAACGGAGUCUCUAAUUAUUAAUUUUAAAAAAUAAAAAAUAAAAAAAAAAAAACUACAAAUAAAAUUAAUAAAACCUCCCCUUUCGCUUUCUCUCUCUCUCGUGUUCGUUUUCGCGUUCCGGAGCCCGGAGCCCGGAGGGGUCGCAUCCUCUCCCUCCCCCUCGCAAAACCCUAACCCUAACCCUAACCCUAAUUCGUUCUCGUGCUUCGAUUCCUCCUGCGACGCCGCGGUGUUCGACGGAUUCGCGCAGAAAUCGGCGAGGUUCCUCUCUCGUCGCCCCUCUCUCUCGUCUCUCCUCAGCUCUCUUCUCUCUCUCUCUCUCUCUCUCUCUAUCUCUCUCUUGGUCCCUCUCUCUCUCAGCUCGAUCUCCUCUCGCGGUGGCGAUAUGGACGACGGCGGCGGCGGCGCUACAAUCCGCGGACGCCGGAGGAGGUGUUUAGGGAUUUUAGAGCGAGAAGGGCCGGGAUUAUCAAAGCCCUAACCACUGGUCUCUCUCUCUCUCUCUCUCCUUCUCUCUCUCUCUCUCGUUCUCGCUCUAGUUUUGGUGUUGGAUUUGGUAGAGAUUAAGUUUGAUUUGGGUUUCGUGGGUUAAUUUGAUCUAACGAGGGUUUUUUGGUUGUUGGUGAUGCAGAUGUGGAGAAGUUCUACCAACAGUGCGAUCCUGGUGAGCUUCAUAUUUAUUUUAUUCUUAAUUUGGUGGUUCUAGGAUAUAUUAUGUGUUCGUUUUUUCCUUUUUUUUUCUUUUUUUUUUUUUUUGUUGUUGUUGGAAUUGGUAUUGUUUUUUUUCCCUUCCUACUAUGUUUUUUUUUUUUUUUAUCUUUUUUGAAUGUAUGUUAUUGUAGGAAGUCUGAUAGCUUUGGCAAUCGUAAAUUAUGUGUUUUUAUAUAAUUUUGGAAUUUUGGAGUGUUGAGUUUUGUUUGGCCAACUCUAUAGAAAGAAUCUGUGCUAAUGCUUAUUGUUAUUGUGAAUUGAAAAUUGUAAAAUGUUGUUCUGUGUGUUCUACCUCUUCAAACUGGCUCGCGGUCACCUGUUUAAUUGGUUUUCUUUGUCCCUUUUGCUAUUCUCAGUUAUGAUACCAUAAAUCCAAUUAUUUUGGCCUAAUUGGGGUCAAAUUUUAUUUACCUUUGUCACACAAGUAAGUCCGAUUGGUUCAACGUAAAACCGUGAAAAAUAAUUUUCCGUGGAAAAAAAAAAAUCGGUGGAAAAAAAGUUUUACGUUUUGUAGUGUUUGGUUCGUAGGAAAAAAAAAUUUGUUUUCCAUCAACAUUUGUUGGUUGAAAGAAAAAAAAUUCACAUUUGUUUGGUUCAAUGGAAAAAAUAAAUGAAAAAGUUUUACGCAGCUUGCGUUUUCGUUUUCCCCCGAAAAACAUCGGAAAACGAAAACUUCAAUUUUUCUCCCGAUCCUUAAAAAAUGCUUUUACAGAAAAAAAAAUUUUACAUCGAACCAAACAAGCAGAAAAGCAUUUUUCAUACCGAAAACAAUUUUUCGGUUCGUUUUACGUCGAACCAAAAGCCCCCUAAAGUGAAAAUGAAACAUGGUUGGAGUAAAUAAGUCAACUUGGUAAUUUUUUUGUUGGGAAUUGGCUAGUCAGUUCUCUUAACCUGUAGUGUAGUAGGAAAGUAAUUUUUUGACAGAAAUUUUAUACUUGGUGUAACCAGUCGUACGAAAGGAUCCGAGGUUGGGUACAAUUUUGAUUCUUGGUAUUCUCUGACGUUGUAAGGACCCUAUAUAUCAUUGGGUGCUCUUCAAGUAUGAAUUCUUAUACUAAAUGCCUUUUGUUGUUUAUGAGCUGAACUAAGAUAUGAAUUGAUCAAAAAAUACUUCUUUGUGUUGCUUUUCUCUUUUGGAACUCUUCUUUUUUGUAUCCCUAAUCUUCAGAGCAAUUUGAUUAUCAUUUGAACAAGGAGACGACUCUAUUGUCUGUUCAUGGGUGACAAUGGUGCACUCCAUCGAGAAUGAGAUAGUUGGGUAUAUAGGGAAAGAUAAACUAUAGAGAGUUGUCAUUGAUUCAUUCAUGCCUAAUUGUAAACUAACUUGUCGUAUAAGAAUGUAGUCAUUUCAUAUUUAAGAGGUCUUAACAUGACAAGAACUCUUAAUAGACUCUUUACUAUUAUAACUUCUCUAAACAUGACAGCUGUAUAGAGAUAAAGAUACCAAAUAUGCCUAGUAUCAUGCCAUUCUGAGUUUGUGACCUCUUGAAAUAAUCUUGUCAAAUGUUGAAAUAUUUUUACCAACAAGAUUAGUAUACUGAACCUGGCAUGUAUAGACAACAUAUCUUUGUUGAUCAAAUGGUAUGAUGAGGCACAGUCCAUGCAUGUCAUAAGUCUUGUGCUUUUGCUCCUGUGCACAAACAAAUAACCGAAUUGUUGUGACAGCAAAUAAGCAAAUUGUUGAAACAAGGUCUGAUUUUUGCUUGUUUAUCGUUCCACUGAUAAAGAUGAUUCAGUACCGUUUGGUUCGGGUAUAAGCAAGAACUAGCUAUUAUAGGAAUAGGUACAAGUAUGGGGAUAAGAAAAAUAGUGUUUGGAUGAAAAUUGGGUUGUUCCCGGGGAUAAGAACAAUUUUAGAUAGUUUUAUAUAGAAAAUAGAGGUGUUGGUGGGGAUAACCGAGAACUACUAUUCUCGGGUAAAAAAUUAGCAUUUGGGUAUAAAGGGGGGGAUAAGGGCCUAUUCCUAUACCUAUCCCCUAACCAAAUGCUGGGUAUGGGAUUGUGUUAUCAGUAGUAUACAGUUUAUUGAUGUUUUAUCAUGACCGCAGUGAGUAUAUAUUUUUACUUUUGCGCAAGUGGGUCUUUAAUAACUUUUCUCAUCUCCGUCUGUAAUGUCUCGCUAGUCUCAUCCUACAAUGGUUUUGAAAAUUCAAAAAGUUUGUCGGUACUCUAAUUUUUUCUUGUUGGAGUUUCAAUCCAUUGUAAUCUUUUUUUAAAGGAUUAACCACGACCACUUGGUUACCUUAAUAACUCUUCUAUUGCUGUGGCUUCUUAAAAACAAAUCCUUUUUGUACAGUCGUUUGGAACACUUAAAAUAUUAUAGCGAAUUUAACUGAUAUGUCGCUCCUAAAUUCCUCUUAAAGAUCAUUAGUAAACAAAUGUAAGAGUGAGAUUCUUGCGGCAAGGGAGUUAUUCAAGACAUGCAAUGUGUUCUCUAAUUGCUCGUGAAUGUUCUUGCUCUAGGUUUGUCAACUCAAACAGUGGAAUGGGCAGUCCAUGUUUCUUUUCAACUCUUCUAUAUUUGUUGAAGUUCUUUACCAUAGAGAGGGAGUAUAGAGUAGAAAAAGAGUGGAAAUGGAGAAGAAGAAAGUAGGGGGAGAGGAAACAUUCCUCAUAUGUUUUGUCUGCAGUGCAAUGAAAUAUUUAUAGAUCCAUCAUCCAUCAUUUAACUAACAAAACCUAAGGACAUUUCCUAUUAAGUCCUUUUGAUGUAUUAAGACCUAGUAUGAGAUUCUAUUUGUAAUCAACCUAUAGAACAAGGUUUUUAUGUGAACAAUCAUACCUUAAGACUUGUUAUGUUUGUUGUUUUCCCUCUCCGCGUGCUAUAUCAAGAAGAUUUUGCAGUUCUCUACACAAGUGUGCUGUAUACUUGUAGGAUUUAGUACAUGAAGGCCUAUUGAUGGAUCGGUGUUGAAUUCCUGAUAAUGUGAUACCUUUUUCCUUUUUUCUUUUUUCUUCCGUUUUUGCAGAGAAGGAGAACUUAUGUCUGUAUGGCCAUCCUGAUGAGACUUGGGAAGUGAACUUGCCUGCUGAGGAAGUCCCUCCUGAACUUCCAGAACCAGCAUUAGGGAUAAAUUUUGCUCGUGAUGGGAUGGAAGAAAAGGAUUGGUUGUCUCUGGUCGCGGUUCACAGUGAUUCAUGGCUACUGUCUGUUGCCUUCUACUUUGGAGCACGUUUUGGGUUCGACAAGGAAUCAAGGUAUCUCUUUAUCCAUCCCUUUGGUGUUAUUUAUGUUUGUUGUACCCAUUUUUAAAAAAGCAUUUUGUCAUGUGUUUUAGCUAAGACUAAAUGAAUGGUGCUGUUGUUAUGUAGUCUCUCUCAUAUUAUGCUGAUUCAAAAAAGAUAAUACAUCUAGAUUUUAAGGGCUCUUAUUUUCACUCCCACUAAUGGGAGGUCUAGGGAGAACAAGAUUCAAAUAGGCAAGCAGAUAUAGGUUUAACUUCAUACCCUGGGCUUUUUCUGGAAACUUUUGGCUACAGAACCCCUUUUAUCAGGACUAUGUCAUUAGUUUGUACUCCAGUGGCUUUCCAUGGGGUUUUGAUCUUGUUUUUUUAAUUCUUUUUAUAUUCACAUAUCUCAUGCUUUUCCAUGCAAUUAUCAUAUCUUUCCUCGAUAUGUUUCAUACUAGGUUUACAUUACUGUUUUUUAGGUAGUAGUACUGCAAAUUUAGUUCUAUAAGCUUGCAAUGUGGGACUCCUACAUGAUUGGAUUUGAAUUUGAUUGUUGUAUGAUGUUCUUCUCACCUGUUUCAGAAUGCAAUCAUGACAUAUAUUAACUUUGCAACUCACUGGAAUUACUUGUAGCUUGAUCCUUCUAGCUUGGUACUUCAUGAUUCAAAAUUACAAUGAUGUUUGAACUUCCUCUUGAAGGUAAUCUCGUGUGGCACCUCUAGUAUCUUGUUUCUUUUUGAAUGUUUUACUGAAGAAAGACGAUAAGCAUAUAUUAUGCUUCAUCUCUCAAAUGCGGCUGCCUUUUCUGUUUACUUUCAGAUACUAUUGUUACAGUAUUACUUCUUUGAAUUCCAUUUUUGGGUAUGUGGGAUUGGUUGUGGUAAAUUUGUGAUUUUUUUUUUUUUGGAUUUUUCAUUUUAUCUCCGAGCUUCAGUAAUGGGUUUGUAUGUAGUUACAUAAUCAUGAACUCGUACAAACCUACAAAAAAUUAUUCUACACUAAGGAAGAUAUAAUAUUGUUUUUAUGUGAAUCCUAUUUGUCAGCGCGGAAUUCUUUUUAAAGCAUCAGUACAACAAAAAGAGCAUACGCAAUUUGUUUGUCAAUUUGUCUAAUUGCAGGAGGCGGCUUUUCACCAUGAUUAAUGGCCUUCCCACUAUAUAUGAAGUUGUGACCGGGACUUCGAAGAAGCAAUCAAAAGAAAAAACCUCCAACAGCAGCAAGAACAAAUCAGGCUCCAAAGUUAGUACAAAUAGUAUUUCUUCCUUUAUUCAUCCUUUUUUUUUGAAGGGUAACAUGCGCCGAGGUCCCUAACCUUUUUAGGAAGCUUCAAUUUACCCCCCUUAACUACAAUUGUUACAAUUGGUACCCUAACUUUUGCAUUAUAUUGCAAUGUCAGCCUUCUGGUAUCGCUGCAAACUCUGAAUUUUAUAAUAUAUGCCGUUGGCAAAUUUUGAUUUCCUACUCACUGAAGUGUCUCUCUGUAAAAAGCUUUUUCUAACGGAAAACCAACUUUCCCUCAUGAAUUGGAUGACUAUGCUACUUAAAGAGUAAUUUUGUAAGAAACUACGCUUUCAAGGGGCUUACAUGAAGAUUCAGAUUUUGCAGGGAUAAGUGUAAAUAGAUGAUUUCACAGGGGCGCAUGUAAAAUCCCCUUUCCUUUUACUUGCAAUUGAACUGAUCUUAUCAAAAUUUGGAACACGAAGGCCUCGAAGGUGGCUCCCAAGAAAGAGGAGGAAGAGCGAGAAGGGGAGGACGGCGAGGAGUAUGAGGAAGAUCACGGGAGCACUCUGUGCGGGGCGUGCGGGGAGACCUACGCGAACGACGAGUUCUGGAUCUGCUGCGACGUGUGCGAGAAGUGGUUCCACGGUAAGUGUGUUCGGAUCACCCCGGCCAGGGCCGAGCACAUCAAGCAGUACAAAUGCCCCGGUUGCAGUAACAACAAGAGGGCUAGGGCUUGACAGGCGUCGGCGAGCUUAACGUUUAUUGCUUCAACAUUUAACGGUAGAACCAUCGGAAAAUUAGGGUUAGAAGAACCAUUUUGGGGGCCACGUGUUGCGAUCGAUAGGAUUAUGGUCUUGUUGUAGAAUCAGGUGUAGGCUUUUUCUUUUUCUUUUUUCUCCCCUUCCUUUUUGGUGGUGCUGGACAUAAUCUGUGUUAAUUAUUGGUGUUUGGAUGUGUGUUUGUGUGGGGGAUCUUCUCUGUAGUGUUAAACUAACUUUAACAAGUAGUUGAAGUUUCUCAGCUUCUUAAAAAAAGUGCUUUUCUUUCAGUGGAUCUUCUUCUUCUGGUAGAGAGCUUUUAUUUACUUUGAUUUAGUUGUAACAAUGAAGAUGUUCCUUUUUACGACUACGAAGUGCAAUUUUAGUAACGAACUUAGUUGUCUCUGGAAGAUGUUACUGUUGAUAUGGGACACUGGUGACUCAAAAUCUUUUUUAGAGCCCUUUUGGUGUUCUUCAGGCUCAUCAAUCACUAAUAAGUAAUAAAUAGAGUUGAGGCGAAGAUAUACUGAAAUAAUAUGCAAAUAUGAUAAAUCAUACUUAUGUAAUAUAAUUUUUCUACAAUUUCAAACGAAACCUAAGUUGAAAGUUUAUAAGGACCGUUGGAUCAAAUUGCAUUAUUAUUAAGUGAAACAUGUUUAGGAACUAUAUACUCUCUUUAUCGGCGUCGGGCGAAUUGUGAGUUUAUUUGGGUUCGCGGUAUCUCUUGUUCUGCGGUUAGUUAUAUUUUUACGAAGGAUUCAUUACAAAUCAAUCUUCAAUAGGGCCAAAAAUCUUCCUUUAGAGAUGUGCGACGUCACGUCAUUGGCUUUGGACUGCAAUAAUGCAUCCAUAGCUGACUCUGAUGAUUCAGAACAUUUGUUCAAAGUACGUAUUUGUAGUGUGUAGUUGAUGAUUCAGAAUAUUUGUUCAAAGGUAUGUAUGUAUUUGUAGUGUGUAGUGCUCGUUCAUAAUUUUGUAACAUAAGUAUGCUUUAGUAGAACUGAGCUCGGGGGGACUCGGAAUCACUUGACAUCUUUUUGCCGAACUUUUCGCCCUAUAGCUUUACACUACAGUAGAGGCAAAUUCAUGAGGAAUUCUACACUGUCACACUUGCACCACGUCAUCAAUAAUAAGUCAAUCAUAUUUUUUUUUUUCAAACAAAAAUAUAAUAAUUUUUUUUUUUUUUUACAAUCAUGAUGGAACAUAUACCCCUAAAAUGAGACAUUUGAUUGAUUUGUUACGCCACGUCGUCAUCAAUAUAUCCGUUGGAUUCUAAAAUUUUUCCAAAUGCAGAGCCCUGGAGGAUCUUUCAGCUUUUACCCGAAUUUUGUUUGACAUUAGCAUCUCUGUUCUUUGUUUGGCAACAGACACUAAUAAAAGAUAAAACAAAUGCUAUUUCUAUAUAAUUUGAUAUGCCAAUAAAAAAAAAAGCAGCAGCUUUUCUCUUAGAUUAGCUUAUAAUAUAUUUUGGCUAAAAGAUUGAUGAUAAUUAAUUUAUUUUAAAAAAAUUCAAAAGCCAAAAACAAUUGCUUCUAAAGUUUUGUUUAUUUCAGUGUCAAACAAAAACAUACAUUAUUCCCUCUUACGAUAUUCCAUAUAGACCUUGUUUGGUAUCGUAUUUAUUUUUUAGUUUUGGGAAAACUUCAGAAAACCCCCUGUGGUUUCAUAAUUUCUCACUUUGCCCCCCUGUGGUUUAAAAUAUAUCAAAUUACCCCCCUGUAGUUUCGUUUUUAUCUUUUCGGUAGCUUUUUCGUUAAUAUUUAAUUAAAUUAUAUACAAAAAACUUCAGAUACCUAUCUAGAUUUAUCAAAUAUUCACUUUAGUACCCUUUAAUUUUACUUUAUAACUGAUUUAAGAAAAAAAAUAAUAAAAUUGAUAAGAAAAAAAGAAAAAAGAAACCAUUGGAGGGCAAAUUGAUACAUUUUAAACCACAGGGGGGCAAAGUGAGAAACUACGAAACCAUAGGGGGGUUUUUUGAAGUUUUCCCUUUAGUUUUUAAAUGAAAUUUUAGAUAUCAAAAGAUGUAAGAUAGUAUAUUGGACUAUAAGCAAUCCUUUCAUCCUAAGUGUUUAUUUGACAACAAAAUGUCAAAAAAAAAACUGAAAAACAACUUUUUUUUUUUUACUUUCAAUAUUUCUCUUUUUUUAAAAAACAUAAGUUGUUAUCUAUCAUUAACGGGAUGCAUUGUAAACAAACCAACUAUAAAAACAAUAGAGAAGUCCUUCCUACAACACAUCAAUUUAUUUACACAGUAUUUGUGCUUUUUUUAGGAAAAAGUGAUAACUAUACAAAACUAGGCCAUAAUUUUUUUGUUUAAAAAACGAGGAAAAAAAAAAAAAAAAAAAUCUAAUAGAGGUGAGUUAUCAUAUCCCUAAAAAUUUGGACCACAUGCUCUUCAGUUCACUUUCAAAUAUCUUCUUAUAUCUCUCUAAAACAAAAAUAAUAUCCCAACCAUGAGAAAGUGUAAUGCAUCUACUGAGACCCUAAAAUGGAAGAUCAUGAGAAAGUGCAAUGCAUCCCAUCAGACCCUAAAAUGGAAGAUUAAAAGAUUGAUAUUACUCAGUAAACAUUGCAUCGUUAUUCGUUAAUGAGGUUGAUAGCAUAAGCACUCACGAACUAUCCCAAAAAUACGUGCUGACAUGAAAAACACAUCCAUCGCACUUACGGGCACAUCCAUAGCGCCUCACGGAUUUUGACCUAACUCAAUCUGUAUGAAUGUUGGAGAUCUUGUGGAUCGCAUCCCCAGUCAACUUAUUGGGCUCAACCCAGCUUAAUUUAUUGCUCUCCUGAGUUCAUUGUCACGGGAUAGAAAGUUGAAUAUAUUUUAGACAAUAAUAAAUAGCCAACAUAAGUUACACUAGCAGACCGAAUUACAACAACCCCCAAAAAAAAAAAAAAAGGUUGCGAUUUUAACACCAUUAAAUUUAACACAAAAGCAUUAUGAUAUCGAAUGCAUUCUGAACCUACAACUUUCAAAAUCUAAAUACUAUCAGUUAUUUUAUGCAUGCUUAAGCAGUUACAAUGUUUUAAUAUUUCCAGAUAGAACUGCUAAAGGAAAUUUCUCCACCAAAUUAUGAUGUCGAAACAACUCUGGAUUUUUGCCAGUAGAGGUCACAGGGGGGUUUGGCUUUAAAAAAUGUUGGUCAGCAUAUGUGAAAAGUAGUUGCUAGGGUUGAAUUUUAAGGCAUAUUGAUGUAGGAAUCUAGCUACUAUCCUUUUAGAGGGGCAGAGGCCUUCGUCCUCUGAAGUCGUGUUAGAUAAUAAGGAUCCCGAAUCGAUGAUUUGAACCGUUAAAGUUGAUUUAGAGUAUUAAAAGUGUUAGAAACUAAAUUUUAUAAAUUUUAAAAAUUAUUUCCGUAGUUAUCAAAAGAUCACAAAAUCAACAGUUUUUGAUGGCCUAUACGAGCCGUUUGCUUAUUUAACGGUGUAAAACAAUCCAAGCAGCUUGAAUUUUAGAUAGGAAAUUCUUUAUACUAUUUAAAUAACAUUUGAUAACUCCGAUCAUGAAUUGAAAAAGUUCAACAUCUAUUUUCACAAGAUUAUUCGUUUUCGACCGUUCAUUUUUUCGACUCUUCAAUGAACUUGAUAACGAAUUUUAAAUGUAUGAAAUUUAGUUUUUAAAUGUUAUAUAUACUCUAGAUCAACUUUAACGGUUCCGAUCAUCAAUUCGGGAUCCCUAUCAUCUAAAACGACUUAGGAGGACGAAAGCCUCCGUCCUCCUAAAAGGAUACUAGUUGGACUCUCGAUACAAGUAUCUAAUUUGAAAAGUUUUACUCUGCCUACCUUACUAUAUAGUAUUUGUAAAAUAAGUACCCAAACUUUAGUACUUUUGCUUCUACAACCAAAUCUUAUAGUAUUUGAGAUAUUUUUGACCAAACAUCCCAAGAUCUAGUAAAAUAUUUUACUACUAAUCAGAAUAUUCUACGGAAAAAAAAAAAAGAACAAAUAAAGUCAGGUCAAGCAGGAAAAGUAAAACUUUCUGAAGUUCAGGUAAUAAUCUACAGGUUAUAAUUUACAAGCAAAACUUCUCUAGAGCUUACUUUUCCUAUGCCAAAACAUGCAACUACUUCAGAUAAGGCCAGGGCAUUUUGUGGCAAACAUCAUAUUUUUUUUUUUCCCAACAACAGGUAAAAUGAAUCAUCUACAGAUCAUUCAUAUCAUUUCUUAUCGAAGUUUUGAUAUAAUAGUAGCAUAAGCUUUAACUAAACAAACUAAAGAAUUGUGAAACUACACAUUAUCAUUCCAAUUUGAACUAGCUAUUUUGAUCAAGACUUUUCAAAGAAACUCCCUGUAGCCGCCUGAGUCAAUCGAAAUUGCCAAGAACAAGACUCUAAUAGCAGGGAUAAAUUAGCAACUGAAACCGACGUUUCAAACUUUACAUCCAAUUAGACCGAGUAUUUAAAAGUUCUUUCCACGAGCAAAUUAUAUCCAUCUAUUAAAUCAUGCAGAAACCACAUAAUUCACUAAGAAGUAAUACGUUUCGAGAACGCGAAAUCCGUACAACCAAGAAUAAGUUUUCUAAAGUCCGCUCACUUGUAAACAUCUCGUUAUCUCUUUCAGCAGCAGACCACUAGAUAUAGUUUGUUCUUGUACUCAAACAGAAGGCUCUGAAUGCCAUCACCAACCGAUUGGUUGACUUGGUGGUGUUCAAUAGUUAAGGAAGUAUAUAUACUAAAUCAAGUACACCAAAUUGCACAUAGAAAGAAGUGGGAUAUUAAUAUUACGAUGCCUAUAACCUAUUUGGGCCUGUUUGGAUGCGAGGAAGUCGUGCGUGGAAGUCGAGUCACGCUCCAUUAUAUGGAUGCGUGAAUUCAGAAGCUGACCUUUGCUUGUACACAAAAUGUGAGAGAAGGUCAAGAUUUCUUGUACGAUGUGUGAUAUGUGAUCUUCGUAACUGUGCAGUUGAGAUAAGGGCAUCCGAACAGGAGGCCCUUAGUCUCCUACAAUCUCAAAUAUCCACGACCUCUUUGCAACUUUUCGAAUCUACAUCUUCCAACUAUACACCAUUUUAAACCUUGGAUACCCAACCAAAAUAUACAUAGAUUGAUUUGUUUCGUGUUUAAAGAGAGAGUUAUUAACAUGGGUAUGCAUCACAGCUAUAUCUUUGCAUAACUAAGUUCCGUUGAAAUCAUGCAGAGAUCCAGAAACAAAGAAAUCGCAAAAGGCAUUACCUUUCAAGUAGUGCACCUCUCUUUUCCUGCUCCAAUCUUAAUCCUGUAACUUCUCAAAUCUAUAGAUCACCAAUUCUCCCCCCACUAAUUCUAUCAUUUGAACUCGAAUAUCUACUCCAUCUUCGAUCGCUCUUUCCAUUCGAAUCCUCGUUGAUAGAUAGAUUAGAUAUAUCCGCAGUCGGCCGAAGAGAACUCCUCCAUCUACUGUUCCUAUUCGCCCUUCCAUCGACUCCUCUCCGCAUUUGAUCUCCAUUUCUGAUCAAAGAAUCAUCACCUGAAUCCAAUCGAAAACUGUCCCUUUCUCUUGUUGAAUCGGUGAUCUCCGCAUCGAUUGGUGGCUCCCCGGAACUCCUCACGCUCCUCCUCCUCCUCCUCCGUUGCCGCCCUCCGAUCCCAAACCGUAGAUCGUCUCCUCCCCUUUCGAGAUCAACCUCUCCGUCCUCCUCCUUCGAAUCGGUGAUGCCGUAGGGCUUCACGCUGUGCACUGCUCCCUUCGGGAAGAACCUCGCGGAGGGGAGGUCGCCAUCGUCGGUGGUCGGCGGAAGCUUCUGGAAUAUCUGCGGCCCGUCCCGGUCGUUCCACGCGUCGAACCCCCCGGGGCGGCGGAACCGGUCGGCGAGCGCCUUCACCUGCUCGUCGGCGCUCACCGAGAACAGCGUCUCCGCCGGCGCCGGCGCCGGCGGCGGCGCCUCCCACGGCCUCUCGAGCUGCGCCGCGGCGGCGCGGAGCUCCGCGCGCUUCCGCAUCUCGUAGAUCUGGCGCUCGCGGCAGAGGCGGGCCUUGAGGAGCUGCUUCCCCUUCUUCGCCUGCAUCCGCUUCCACUGCCACUUCGAGACCCCUCCCGGGUACGUCCGCGGCCCCCCUCCCAUCCGCACCGGCGCCACCGCCCCGCCGUAACCGCCGCUGCGGCGGCGGAGGACGAGGGCGAGGGGGUAGGAGGAGGAGGAGGAGGAGGAGGAGGAGGAGGAGUAGAGGGUGAGGUGGGUGGUCGAGGGGGAUAAAACCCUAAGAGACGAGAUCGGGGUCGGGGGAUUGGGGAGCCGCGUGCUUGGGAGGGAGAUCGUUGUGGGGAGGAUCGAAGAGAUCGCCAUUGCUGUGGUUCGAUCGAUCGAUCGAUCGAUCGAGAGCUUCUUCUUCGUCCUCGGCGCCGAAUUCGAGUAAUUUAAAACGAAUUUUCUAGGGUUUAAGAGGAGCGAUGUUGGUAUACGUUGUGGAGGAGCAGUGGAGAAACCACGGUGUAUCCAUUACGUUGUGAUAAGGUGUCCGAAAGGACUUUUUUUGAAACUAACCCUGUGAAAUUUCAUAUUUGCCAAAUUAACCCUGUGAAAAUUUUAUUUGUGAAACUAACCCUCCUCUCGCCACCUCAGCUGCCACAUCAGCAUAUAUCACAAAGACGGUGACUCGUUCACCGUCUUUCNUCACCGUCUUUAAUAAGACGGUAAACUAUUAACCGUCUUAUCUGUGUUUUAGCCCAACCACAACUUGGCCAAUUUACUCUGAAGACGGUGAAUAGUUAACCGUCUAAUGAAGACGGUAACCCAUUCACCGUCUUAUCUGUGUUUUAGGCCCCCUCUCAAGGACUUGGCCAAAUUAGGCUGGACUUGGCCAAAUUAGGCUGGGUAGGGCGAUAAGACGGUAAAUUGUUUACCGUCUUUUAGAAGACGGUAAACAGUUAACCGUCUCCUUGUGCCGCGCGGGGAAUUGCUGAGAAGGUGGUAGGGUGCGCGGGGAAUUGCUGAAAAGGCGGCAUGCUUUUUAGGCCCCCUCUCAAGAACUUGGCCAAAUUAGGCUGGCUAGGGAGAUAAGACGGUAAAUUUUGUUUACCGUCUUUUAGAAGACGGUAAACAGUUAACCGUCUUAAAUAGGCAUCUUGUGCCACGCGGGGAAUUGCUGAGAAGGUGGUAGGGUGCGCGGGGAAUUGCUGAAAAGGCGGCAUGCUACGCCUAGAGAAGACGGUUAACGAUUUACCGUCUGAAUAAGACGGUUAACCAUUUACCGUCUUCAAGAGCUAUACUUAUAAACGGUGAACGAAUCACCGUCUUUAUGAGAAAUGCUGACCUGGCCGCUGAGGUGGCGAGAGGAGGGUUAGUUUCACAAAUAAAAUUUUCACAGGGUUAGUUUGGCAAAUAUGAAAUUUCACAGGGUUAGUUUCGAAAAAAGUCCUGUCCGAAAUUGGGGGGUUUAAUUGCACAUGUAUCCCUUCAAAAUAAUAAAAUUGCAUAUUUACUCGGACAAAAUUUCUAAAAUUGCUUAGUUUGCAAGAUAAUCCCUAUCCGCUAGUUGGCCGGUUUAAGGUUAACUUCUCUUCUACAAAAUAACCAUUCUUCCCUUAUAAAAUAUUUUUUUUUAAAAAAAUCCUACUUAAUAUUUUUUAUUAUUUUUAACAUAUUUAUUUUAGUUUACGAGUCAUUUUGAAUUCGAUAAGAAUUUUUUAAAAUACUAUACUUUUAUCAAGACAUAAAUGAUCCUAACAGGAAAAAAAAUUGAUGAUCAACUACCUCCAAUAAAUACCUGUAAGCGAAAUUUGCGUAUUUUGAAACAUGAGAGAGAGCGAUAUUUAAUACCGACAACUUUUGCAGGGAUAAGUUUGUAAUUUUAAAUUUUUGCAGGAGUACAUAUGAAAUUAUUCCCAUUCGAGACAAAUUCGUUUGAAUCUUAGCAUAGUCUCUCUCUCUCCUACAUACAUGGGGAAGCUAUUUAUUUAUGGAUUUUUCUCUUAUCCUUUUUUUUUUUUUGUAUUUUGUUUUCUCAUUGGGGAAUUUUUUAUUUUUUUUCCCCAAGUUUUUCUGCAGGGGAAGGAGGAAUGCACAUGACAGGUAAAAAAAUUAUAUAUAACGGUUGAAAUGUAUCCAGACACGUUCUUGAUAGACGGAUAUGAUUUAACAUCCUUACAUCAAAUUAUAUAUAAGUAUGUGCCAUACGGGAGUUCCAGUCUAAUCCUAAUUCUAAUUUCUGUGACAGCUCCAUCUCUGAGAAUAAGAAAAUUAGACUCGAAACGUCUCGCUCAUUUGCAGAUCGUGAACAAGGACGAAUCACAAGAAAGAAUCGCCGUUUACAAUCCGAAUAUAAAAAUCGAAAUCAUGGUAGAAGCUUCUUAUAAAGUUUAACAACAACUAUAUGAAUACUUCAACUAUAAACUAGUUGAUGAAACGCAAAUGCUUUUAAGCCACUUAAACCAGGCCACAGUUGUUACGAAGGCCCCCCCUCAAAUAAGUUAGAGAGAGCAAAGAAACAACCAUGAGCAUUUCUUAGAGACAAUUUUGUACCUCGAUUCACUCCGAGGAAUGUGAUCGCAAAACUGUUUUUUUAUAGGUGUGAUUGCAAACACGCGACGGCAUCGUUAGGAGAAAGAAAAACUGUUUUUUUAUCGGUGUGAUUGCAAACACGCGACGGCAUCGUUAGGAGAAAGAAAGAACAAUAAACAAGACGUGGAGAGAACCAGUUCCUUCGUACCUGGAUUUGGUUAAGUUAUUUGUUCAGCAGUGGAGUUGCUUCAUCCAAGGCAGGCUCAGUUUCCGAGGACCAACUUCCUGAACUGGGCUAUCCGUUCUAAUGCGAGCUCGAACUCGGAAUUCUCGAGUGCGAAGCUGAAUCGGCAGUAGUCGGGAAUUCCGGUCCACGACCCGCUGUUUAUGCACAAUCCGGUGGACUUAAGAACAGCUUGUCUCAAAUUACUGCUACUGAGCUUAUCUGAGAAGCCGUUUACGUUGAGCGCUUUGCCUAGAUAAGCUGUUGGCUUGGCCACCAUGGAGACGCCGCCGCAGCAGCCGACCACUUCCCAUCCGCAGGUUUUGAGCGUCUGCAAUAAGAUAGUCGGUAUAAAAAAGUAAGAGACGAGGAUUAAACGAUCAAUCUAGAGUUUAAGCCUUUCCUAUUUGUUGUAGCUGAUUUAGUUUUGGUCUCCCUGUGAUUAUGGGAAGAAAUUUUUGGAAAGAAAUUUUUAGCAUUCAAGGAAAAAUGGAAAUGAUGAUAUGUUACUAAUGAAAGUUUGGGGGGUAAAGACCAGAGAAAACUUAAAACAGAUGACUUCAGAAGAGUGCUGUGAGUUAAUUUUUCAAAUGAUUACAGAUUUUUAGUCCUUGAAGUUUCACUCUGAGCGUGCCUUUGGUUCACGCUAAUAAAGAUAAGCAACACAUUCAAAUUUUAAAGUUGAAGAGUCAUUAAUUAGUUCAAAUCAAAUAAAUUAAAAGGCUAAGUAGUAAAAUCAAAAUUUUGAAAAGAUAGGUAGUCAGAUCAAAAUGGGUGAUAGUUGAGAUAAAUUAUAUACAUUUUUACCUUUUGUUAAAUAUCUAAGCCUCUAAUGCAAUUUUUUCUCACAUAGCAUAAAAUGUAAAGAAAUUAUAUUUGUAAAUGCAGGAAAUACGAUAUAAAAACCUAACCUCCAUCAAGCGAUGGGCCCGAUUCUUCAGAGUCUCCUUAUGUUCAACAACAGCAUCAGAAAAUUGAUGAGCCUUUUGAUCCCUAAUAGUCAACAACUUCUUCACAGCAUAUUUCAUGGUGCUAUGUGGUCGGCUCAAGCUCGGGAAACUAUAGAAUGCCUCUAUCAAAGACGGCUCAUUCAUUAGUAAAAAUCCAAAUUCGAGUCCUCCUGAUAGCAACUCGAAGGACAACCCACCAAGAAGAGAUACGCAGAAGCCCUUAUGCAAAGAAGUAAUUGAGGAAAGGCUUUUUUGCAGAUCCCAACUCGUCCAAUUGUCUGUUUGAAAUUCUAAGCCCGAAAAGGAGGUGUCAAUCACAACCCUAGCUCCAAACUUAGCACAAACAAAAAGUAUCUCCUUUAUCUCCUCAUCGGUAUAAAGCAAUCCAGUUGGGUUAACUGUUGGGCCUGAGAUGUAAAGCCACGGUUUUUCUACAGUCUGGAAUAAGCCCUCAAGUGCUUUUGGCUGAACUUUGAAGCCGAAAUCCGAAUGAGUUGGGAUGGCCGCAAUGUUUGCCUUCAUGAACUUAGCUGCUGAGAUGUAGUGGCCGUUAGUUCCUGAGGGGAAACACAUAGUGCCCUUUUCUUGAAUGCAGCAAAGGACAAGCUUGUUAAAAAGGGCGAGAUGGGAAUUCGCAUAAAUAAUUUCCGAGUUAGUGUCGGAUGGAAAUCCGUAGUUAUUCUUAACUAGGGUUUGUAUUGCAGAUCUGACAUCGGUUUCUGACUCAACCAUGUUUUGCCUAGCAAAGCUUUCAAAAAUACAAGCUUUUACUAAGGAAGGUAUAGGGAGGAAGCUUUGGUCGACAUCCAUGUGGAUGACCGGAUGUUCUGCGAAGCCGUUGAUGGAGAGCUCAGAUUCAUUUAGGCUUGAGAUGGCAGAAGUUGAAAAGCCGAUCAUCUCCAUGGACUUUGCGUCAGCACACUCCCUCUAAUCAGAAAGACAAAAGCAUAAAUAGAGUUAGAAUUUGAGGAUAAAUGUAAGAAAAAAUUCCGUGAAAUCACUUCAAUCAGUAUGGUUUUAAAUGGUGUAACUCCUAUACCUCAUGAUGUAUUUUUCUUUGCUCCACUUAAGCAUGUUUGGAUGCAUGAAUAACUUAUCCAGCAUAUUUAUUCUAGUUUACUCAAGGCAAUUUGCUGGUUGGUUGUGGGAGCCACAACAAAAUCUCCACGAGAUAGAACAGAUUUAGUAACGCCUUUUUUUUUCAUAUGACAAAUCGCAUAGUAGGUGACAUCUAUCAACCUAAGAAGUCAAAAUCAUUAACAUUAUACAAUAGGGUGACGCAAAACUCCUAUGCUGUAAUUGCCGGAGAAAACUCCAUAUAAGUAAUCGAGACGACCAAACAGGUCAUUACUCAUCUAUUACCAUGCAAAGUAGGUCAUAGUAUCCAGAGACACCACGAAACUACGUUUCAGGGAAUUGUUAGGUUCGUUGUCCCCAUCCUUGACCAAAUAAGCCUCAGUGGGUGCACCUAUCCUGCUCAUUAUUUUCCUAGGUAAAUGCACAGCUGUACACUGAGGUUCCAUACUGCAAGUCUCCUGCAGGUACUAGCGUGUUUGUAAAGUGCAGGUAAUUUCACUAUCAAAAUCAAGUACACCAUAGCAAACAGCUCACUGAAAUGAUUAAAAUGCCUCUACAAGACAAAAGAAAUGCUACUUUGCAAGUGAAAACUAGGUUGUAUUGCACUUUUGCAACCAGAUUUCAUAUUUAUUCAUCCGAAUAGCAGGAAAUUAAAAAAUGGAAACAUAAAAUAUAGUUGGAGUUGAAAGCAUGGGAAAAGAUAGAUUGGAGAGUAAGAUACCUCGGGAAGUGGAUGACGGUCGGCUAUUUGAAAUGCCAAUAACUCAUGGAAUAGACAACCAUAAUAGUGCUGGCUAAAUAAAGCAGUAUGCCCUUCUAGUAACUCAACAGUCUUCGAUAAUGCUUCAUAGAUGGUCACAUCUUCCGAAAUGACAAAAGCAACUUCCAAAUCAGAAUAAACCUGAAAAAGAAGAGUUUUAUAACAUUAAGGUCUACCAAGAAUAAUACAUAGACAAGGUCAAGUUAAAAUGGUCAUUUCUUAUGAACAACAACAUUAGUUUAAUAGUCAACUUUCAGCUACUGUUAAAAAAAAAAAAAAAGAUUUUCAGCUAUCAUAUAAGAACAAGUCUGAAAAUAACGAAUCUAGCAUAUCACUUAGCCCAAACUUCAGCGUUGCGAAGCAAUGUCAAGUUGCAAUUUAGCAAUUUAAACCCAGAUUAAAGAGGACUUGAUGCCUGGCUGACAGCAAGCUAAAAAUGAACUAAAGAAAGGCAAAUCAGAAAGUUGCUCUAAGAACAUAACGACAAUGUUAUUAGCACUUACUCGAACAACUUUAUUCAAACAACACUUCUGCAAAAGUUCUAACUGACCCAAAUGGCCCUUUAGAUUAAAUAAAUGUAGCACUUUCUACUUCCUCAAAAGGUAUAACGUACAGAUUUUGCCUGAAUUAUACUGUAGUUUAAAAUGGGACCUAAGUUUGAAAAGCUUGAUUUUUUACUAUAUCUCCUUUGACCUUUCACUAAUUCCAUCAAAUUAUUUAAAACUUGAUGGUUUGCACCAGAUAAGUUAUAGAACAUUCCAUAAUAGUGUUAUAUUCUAGUAGAACAUGAUGUACACCAAUAAGAAAGCUGAAAGUACCAUUAAAUUCUGACAGAAAGGUAGUUAAAUCAGAUACUUUUAUCGUCUGAUCCUAAAAUCAGAAUGUUAAAGUUUAGGUAUUCAUUUCAAAACUCACUACAAUUCAGGUAAUGUUUGUAAAUUUUUGCUUCUCAAAACCAAUCCACCAGUUGGAAGCUACAUUACCUUAUUUUUCACGAGACCACACAAAAUUGCUGCAUGAGAAGGCAUAGUUUUUCCAGCAAGGUACUUCAGCACUCCAUUAGAACCAGGCAGACUGGACAAUUCAAGAUGAUCCGAUAAAUCAAGAAAAAGGCGAGACCCAAUAACUUUAGUUGUAUUUAAUAGAUUUUCAAAUGCUGAGCUGGUAAUAGCCUCAAAAUGAGCCAUGCCUGUUACAACAACUUGUGGCUUUAAUUUCUGGAUCAACUCAAUCAUCAAAUCCGAUUGGCGAGGGGCCUCUAUAACUGUAAGAAUGUCGUCUUUUCUGUCAUUGCUCAUGGUUCCCUGAAAAGACAACAUCUUUUGUUAUAUGAACUGUACAAAUAGAAUUGACUUUUAAGGGGGAGAGAGAGAGAGAGAGAGAGAGAGAGAGAGAGAGAGAGAGAGAGAGAGUACAUCAAUUGCCAAGGAUGUUAACCAUUGCUUGGGGAGGUGUUUGGUUAAAUGUUCAUCAACAAUAGCAAGUCUUGGGGAGAAAAGCCGAAGAGCACUCUCUAUUGCCACAGCCCGAGAAGGGAAUACCACAACAUUCUUGUGAACCACAGAAGCAGAGAUCAGAAAUAAAUUGUCUACUUUAAUGCAUUGACAAAUGUUACCUCAGAAAAGAGAGGUUAAAAAAAAAAACUACUAGAAGUUCCUGACACUAUAUCAAUCAUUACUGCCAAAAAGGAUAAACAUGCCUCUAGCAUUUCAAAUUUUCUGGAAUUUUACCAUCUCUGUGAGAAAGUCAAACAAAGUUCCCAUCAUGUAUCACAUAGCCUAGAAACUCGAGUACUGUCAAAGAGAGUUAUUUCAUUCCAGAUGUAGAAUAUGCAAUACCCUCUAAUUCUGGUUUCUAUUUUGAGGAAACAAUAGUCCUGGUUUCUAGAGAAGCACAAAAUUCCACUAGGAAACAUACAUAGUUAGACAAUAAGGUUGUAAAUAGGAGUUGAUAUAUCACAUUGUUCCACAUCUCAAUAUCUAUCUAAUUUGUAACUCAAAAAUCAGAUAAAAAAUUAGAUAAAAGAGAUCUACUUUUACUAAUACUAUCAAAAUUGAUAGUUUAUUGAACAAUUUUAUUCAAUUUAUAUGAGUUUACUGCAUUAAUUAUAACCAACUUCAUUCACCAAUUUGUUUCUACAAAGUUUUACAGGUGAACUCAACAAUUAUUCCAAAAUUUUGGACCUAUUUAAAACAAUGGUAAAGUGCCAGAGGGUAAUUGACGCAAUUUUAAUGCAGCAAGGUACUUGAUACAUUCAGGGGCUAAAGUGCAAGGGGAUUUUUUUGUAAUUUAGCCUAGUUUAUUCAACGGUUUCAUAAAAGUUACUGAAGUGCGUAUAAGCUUUUAAAAUUUCCAUUGAAAAGGUGAACAUGCCAAAUACUGUUCAAGGCUCUAGCCUAAAUACAUAUGCAGCAAGAUACAAGUAAAACCAAAAAUCUGAAUCACGGAAUUUGAUCACUUACAUCAGUGUUUAGAGGGAUGUGAUGAUAUAUCUUCAUAAACCCAGCAACAAGAUUUCGGAAAUGCAAACAGCCAGCGGGAGGCUCAUAAGGAAUAAAAGAAUUCUCUUUCAGAAAACCUGCUAGAUACGCUAAGAAUGGUAUCUUUUCAUCAGCAACAGAGUCAUCAUCAAAUGACAAAUCUAGGGAGCUGCCGACUUCCCGGAAUCCAUUUUUCAGAAAAUCAAAUAUCUUCUUCACCUGCAUACUACAAAAAUAUUAGAAUAUGUGUACAUUCAUAUUCCAGCAAAAUCAGAACUCUCAUGCAUGCUUGUCAGAGAUGCUGCUUCUUACAAAACUGUCAUAUAUAGAAUUGCGGAGCCAUCCAAUUAAUGGGUGGAAGUUGGUUUUAUAUUGGAACAGCUUAUAGAAUUUCAUAGAAGGUGUAUAAGAAAUUAAAUUGGAAUUUUUUCAUAUAUACCCUACAGAUAUGGAAAAUUGUGCAAACACCUCUACAACAUUGGAAUUUGCACGCAUACCCUUUAAAUUUUGUUUAUUUGCUUUUGCCUUGCCAGAUCUAUCCAAAAACUAGGACUUGCGUUUUAGUUCUUUCUUCUUUUUUUUUUUCUUUUUUUCUUUUUAACAACUUCACCUAGAGCAUACAUGCAAAUAAGUCGGUUUUUCAGGGAUAUAUGUGUAAAUGCCAACCUUACAAUGAUACUUGCAAAAUUUUGCAUAAUUGCAGGCGUAUGUGUGCAAAAGAACCUAAUCAAGUGUUUGAAGGUAUAUAUUAAGAAUCAAAAUUAGCAGAAUAUAUAUCUUAACAGAUAUUUUACAGGGAUGUAUGUAAAUAUCUCAAAAAUACAAUAAUGCACCUGAUUUGGUAGGCGAAGUUGACAACUAUACACAGACAAAGAAUGAGAAAUACGACCACCAGAUUUACCAUAAGCCCAGGCAGUACGUGCACAAAUAGGCUGAUCACCAAUAAGACCCAUGAAAAACUCAAAUCGAUGGCGACUAUUCUUCUCGAUUUCCACCAAGGCAGAAAUAUCCGUAUCAGCAGCCUGCAAUAUCUCAUUCGAGCAAUAGUACUCCAAAAUCAAAUUCUCCACGUAGGAGAAAUAGUGAGACAAGAAAAGGCACAAACAAACCAACUGUACAUAGCAGUACAAAUGAAUUGAGCUAAAUCAUAUCCAUUUGAUAUUUCUUUUUGACUAUGAGUACGAAUGUAGAUAUCAGAGGGUCCAGUGCUUGAAAGCAUAUUUGCCAAAAGAGUGCUGCUACAGGUAUAUCCCCAAGUGUACCCUACAAUGCUAUUGAUGGCAUGGCAAUGUCAUCAUUACCUAAAUAUUACUACUAAAGCCCAAACACCAUCAUUAAACACUAAGCACCAUCAUUAUACCCUAAACCCUAAACCUUAACCCAUUAACAUGUGUAUGCCAACACAUCAACAAUAUAAUGGGGUACCCAAAAGUGCGGUUACCCCAAGCAUUUCUCUUUGCCUAAUAAAGCAAAAUUGGUAGCGUUCUUUAAUGGUUGGUCAUAUUCGGGUAGAGAACUUCAAACCAUACCCUUGUCUGCUUAAAUGUAUCUUACUAUGGAUAAGAAUAUAGAUUCACACCAGAUAAAAUUUGAAUAUGGAAAUCGUAUAAGACAUAUGUUAUCCACCCUUGAAACAAGUAAAUUAAACCUACACACUCUUAAAGUAAAAGCAUGACUCUAUCGAAGCUCUACCAAGAUCAAUAAUCCCUUUUUUUGGUCUUUUUCUUUUGGUAGGGGGGAAAGGAGAUCAAUAAUCUCUUUCAGCAAAUUACAAUAAGGGAUUUUCAAUUAUACAGACCUGCAUAACUUUUGUUUGCCAAAGCUGUGUGAUACGAAAUCCACGGCGCUCAAACAAGCGCCUACAGACACCUUGCCCAGGUCGACCUCCCAUAUUAAAAAUCAUAAAGCCCAUCGGCUUUAUGACUGCUAUUCCUUCUUCAACUGCCCGAGCAAUUAAACCAAGACCGAAUUGAUCCUCAACAAAACCCUGAAUUGAACGAAUUAUGCAAGAAUCAAUAAGAAGAAUGUUACAUAUGAACUAUAUGAAAGCCACAAUCCAUUGCUCACUUUAAUGAUAGAACUAAAAAUAUGAAUGGACAAGAAGAUUUUCAUGUAUACUAUAAGUUUCAUAACGUUCCAGAAUUUGUUGUAAGCUCAUUAUGGGUACAUACAGUAGGAAAAAACUCAUAUUUGUGCCAAGAUAAAGUGCAAAAAGAUAAAGCGCCAGACACUUUCUUUUAAUAGUUUCGCCAAAAAAAAAGAAAGUGCACAACAAGGAUCAAAUGAGAGAUGAAACAAGUUAACAGAUACCAUGCAUCUGAUAUUUUAUAGAUGUUUUUGCAUAACUUGGCAUGAAAAGUUUGAUGUCUCUCUGUGGUUUUACUAAUAUUAGGUUAAGAUAUAAGUAGCAGUUAGAAUGUAAGUUUUUAAUUGCAAUGACUCACAGACUGUACACAAUAAGAAUUUGUUUCAUAAAUAGACUUAAAAUAUAUUAUAAUUAUAAAGAUAGUCCUUUAAAAAUUUUAUUUACAAAAUCAGGCCUAUGCGGUGAAUAAAUGCAGCAAAUCAUUCACCGCUUUCUUCAAAGCAUUAAAAUUAUUUUAAGCGUUUAAUACUAUACACCCUUCAGAGUUCCGAUGUAAAAAAUAUGUAAGUUAGGUUGAAGCAGUAAUUCAGAAUUCGGUGGUAAAUUAUUUUAAGCGUUUAAUACUAUACACCCUUCAGAGUUCCGAUGUAAGCGUUUAAAAUUAUUUUAAGCGUUUAAUACUAUGCACCCUUCAGAGUUCCGAUGUAAGCGUUUAAUACUAUACACCCUUCAGAGUUUCUUCAAAGCAUUAAAAUUAUUUUAAGCGUUUAAUACUAUACACCCUUCAGAGUUCCGAUGUAAAAAAUAUGUAAGUUAGGUUGAAGCGGUAAUUCAGAAUUCGGUGGUAAAUCAUUCCCUGCUGAGGCAUAGUUUUAUAAAUAAAAAUUUUGAAUGCCUACUCUUAUAGUUAAAAAGUUUUGUAGGCUUAGUAGCCCAAAAACCCUGCAGCACAACCUUUACAUUAACUACUCACUUAUUAAAAGUCAACUUGGGCAGCCAUGAUUGACAGAUGAAAUAAGAAUGCAAGAUUGGUUAGGACAUCUACAGUGUGGUACCAUGGUCUGUAAUUUUUAGACGCUAUUGGAACAGUAAUUGCAAUUUAGGAUGGACAAUGCAAACCAUUUUGAACCCGAGUCUCAGAUCCAAAAAAAAAGGAAUUUUGAAGAUGAGUAUUUUUGCACUCAAAAUAGAUUAGGUUAUAUUUGACUGUCAAUACUAUCUAGGAAAACAAGAAGAGACAUAGAUGAAGUGUGCAUGCUAACCUGAAGAGCACAGUAGUUACUUAAAGAAUAUAAGAACUCCUCACUUGAAUUUUCCGUAAUCAUCUUUGACAUGGCCUCAGGAUUUGGGUUAAGAAUCUGUAACAAAUAGCGAGGGAAAAAAAGCACCACAAUUAAUUACGCUACAGUAAACAAGUUACUUCCAAGUAUGUUAUUAUAAAGUCAUUAACUUUUUUCAGUACCUGAGGAAUGCAUCCAAUAAUGCGCUCAAGUUCUAUUUUAUUUUCUCUACAGUAAGAUAGAAGGUCAGAUUCGUGGAAUUCCACUCUAUCAAGCAAUGUUUUCCCUUCUUCAUCAUAGAUUGGAUUCCCAUUCUCAUCCAGCGCAUUCAUAAAUAGAUUAAUCCAUGCAACUUUGACAGCUCUUGGGUUUAUGUCAAGCCCAUAAACCUGCAAAGAACCAUGUUAUUAGUGUAUCUGAAAACAACAUCAAAGGAUAGUGCAAAUACUUGAAGUAGGGUUCUCCAUGAGCAAUCAACAAACUAGAAAAAAAAAAAGGAAAAAAGAAAAGAAAUAUAAUACUUACUGCAAGAAUCUAUUCAUCAGGUCAUAAAGGAGCAAUACUAAAAUUAUCAAUUACUGAUGCUAUAGACGUUACCGCAGGAUAAUAUCCUGGUUAUCAGAUACAAACCUUCAGAGGGGACCACUUCUCGGCAAGUGCAAUAGAGAUCCAUCCAUUUCCACAACCCAGCUCAGCAACCGUCUUGUCCUUGAAAAUGGAAUCCGGAUGCCGAUUUAUGCCUUCAUAAAAGGUGAAAGACCAAUCUUCUGGAAUAAAAAUACUAGGGAUCUCCAUCAUUGUCAGUUUCUUUCUUUUCUGCUUCCCUAUGAAUAACCAAUAAAUGCAAAAAUGAACAAAUAGAGAUAAACACAGCUCUUCAGACUAAAGAAUAUGGUGUGAAUAAGUAAAGUGCAGGGAAUACAAUGUUUUGCCAGGAAAGAAUUUAAAUUUAUGUCAUGUAAAGUUUGAGAUAGCAAAUUCACAACCUCUUGCCGCUUGUAGUAGUAAUCUUUUCAAGUCAAAAAGCAUGUUUGCAUUGUUUGCUCGUCUACAUAAACUAUUAAUAUGAUUUGCAGAUUUAAUGAUUUACCAACUCUCCAGUGUCCCAAAAUAAAAAAAAGAAAAUUUUACUUUACAAAUCUUGACUAGAAGUGGGCAAAUUAACCCCCCCCCAUGCUUUCAUAUAUACAUAUAUAUAUAUAUAUAUAUAUAUAUAUAUAUAUAUAUAUAUAUAUAUAUAUAUAUAUAUAUAUAUACAUAAAUAUAUAUAUAUAUACAUACAUACAUACAUAUAUAUAUANAUAUAUAUAUAUAUAUAUAUAUAUUCCCCUUUACGUACCUUAAAUGGAAAUUUGCAAUAAUUGACGUUAGAUCUUUGCAGCCUCAUAGGUAGAUAGAAUCCAGAACUUGUAUUAACAGGCAGUACCAACAAUGCAGAAAUACUAAAAUAACAAUAUAAGUUUAGCAGUGUCAUCAUUUCACUUAAGAUUAUUCUCCUUAUUCUUACCUUGAGCUAUUGCAUUACUUAGUCUUUGCAAGUUCUUAAUUCCUAAUUGUAUGAUAGCACAUUCACCAAAAGUAAAAUAAAGAAAAAGGAAAACCAAACUACCAAUUUAACUCAAUAUUUCUUUCUGUUCCUUAUUCCUUAUUCCUUAUUCCUUAUAAUUAUAUUUGCAUAAAAGUAGGAAUGAUGACUUCACAAGCUACUUGUUCCCACUUUUCUUCCUUUUCUCUGUUCCGUUUCUUCUCUUUUUUCGCUCUGGUUUCUCUGUUUCUUUAUAACCUCUCCUCUCUCUUGAGUGGCACCAGCAAUAAACAACUGGUCAACAACAACAGUGCAGAGAACAUCUUCAUCCCACUGAGAAGUCCAAGUUCUUCGGUAGUAAUACCAUACACAUACUUCAAAAAAUGGUAAAAAUGCGCCGAGAUAUACUGGCUUUUUUCAUUCUGCCAAUUGAUUUCUAGGGAUGAGACAUCCUGCAAAUCAUUUCUAGACUAAACUAAUAGAACCUUAAUCAAAACUACUCUAGAAAUAAAAUAAAAUCUCAGAUCAUAUUAUCUGAUCUUAUAAUAAAUAAAGAUUUGGAUAUUCGUAAAAAUCAACCUUUCAACCGGAACAGUCUUUGUUGUUAGAAUAAUUUCUCUAAGUUAUAAGUUUAACUUUUAUUGAAUAAAUGAAGAAUAUUGAAUAAGUGAAUAAAUUCUAUUUGCUCAAUAACUUAUUCACUCAUAAUCCUUUUUUCCCUUUGUUUGUCUACUACUCCUUAUAAAUCUAAAACAAAGGAGUUCUGAUAGACCCGGAAAAGAAGGAAAGGAAUAGUAAUCUUUGAUGAACAGGAAAAAAAAAAUUAUUAUGUUGAUGCAAGACGACACAAGAAAAAGGAGACCCUGAAUUUCUAGCCAACUAUUUUUCCUAAAAGAGCAUAAUACAUGACAACACGUUUUGAGAUAAUUCCAAUUAUAAAUGGCUGUUGCUAUCGACCAAUAAGGUUGUCUUACUAGUGGCAAGAAUCAAGCCUGUCUCUUUCAAAGCUUACCACUCAGUUCCCAGAAGUACUUAGGCAGCUUAAAAAGGAAGCACUUCGUGUCAAAUCCAACAAGUUCCUCAUAAAGACAAUCAACAUAAGCAGGGAUCUGCCACAUCUGAUGAAUUCAAAAGUUGAAGAAAAUGACACCUUCUACCCAUCUACUAUUCUGAUAAACCCAACCAAUGUGCCUCAUAAUGACCAUGAGAAAAUAUACCAACACAUUGGAAGGUAUCCCAAAACAGUAACGUUUGUCAACUAAAACUAGAAAACAGACAAAAUCAAAAGGAAAAGACAACCAAACAAGAUCACAUCAACUUCUGCACAUAAAUUCAGAGGAAACUGAUUAAUCAACUACCAAAAUAAUGACUCAAACCAUCAAACUAACAAGGACGUCCAAGUCUCCAAAAGAUAAGCGACCGAUCCAUCCAACAAAUCAAUCAGCAAUUCAAAUCAGGAUAAAUAAUUGAAAACUAAACUGAGAAACUACCAAAUUACAACACAGUAUCAUCUUUUCCAUGUACACUAAAACGAAUAUGUUCCAGAAUCACUAUUAAAUCACUGAUUCGACAGUUAUCCUAAAGAGAUAGUGACAUUAAAGAUUAAAAUUGCGAUAAUAAGUGGAAAAUAAAUGAAGACACGGAAAUUACAAUACGAUAUCAUCAUUUUUUUGGUAUAUCAAACCACCGAUUCCACAUUUGAUUUUAUAAGGGCAUUCGAAUUACGAAAAUUCGAUCCGCUGAUCGAUCAAACAUAUUGAUCGAUGAUCCAAAUCAGCAUAAUAAGUGGAAAAUAAACGAAGAAACGGUCAAAUGACCAUAAGAUAUCAUCUUUUUCACACAUAAAACCACCGAUUCCACAUUUGAUCGUAUAAAAGCAUUCGAAUUGCCGCAAAUUCGAUCAACCGAUCGAUCAAAUGAAUCGAUCGGCGACUCAAACCACGAGAGGAAGAGGGUUCGGGGUGGGGGGUGAGAAUGAGAGCCGUAAUCGACCUUGGGAAUCGCCGAGGAGGAUGUCGUGGAUCCGGAAAUGGUAGCUGCGGAAGCAGCGAUCCGCGGCGUCCUUGUCGGCGAAGCGGCGCUGGAUCGCGGCGAGGAAGGCGCGCGCCGCCGACCUGGUGGCGGCGUCCUCGAGCCUCUCGAGGAGCGCCCUCAUGGCGGCGUACGCCGCGUCGCCCGAGGCCUCACACUCCUUCAGGAACUCCUCCAUCUUCGUCUCCUCCACCUCCGCCAUUGACGAGGUAUCGAAGCUCUCGAGAGAGAGAUAUAUAGAGAGAGAGAGGAGUGAAGAGAAAAGAGAGGAGGAGAUAUAUAUAUAUAUAUAUACAUAUACAUAUUUGAUGGGGCUGUUUGUGAAAAAAAAAAUGUUAGGGGGCCAAAUGCAAAAAAAACCCUGCUUUUUAAACUUUAACUGAGGAUAGAGAGAGAGAGAAAGGUGGGGUAGUGAAAGCGGUGUUUGUUGGAUCGGAGCACUCGCAUUAACGUUACCGCCACCCGGUUGACUUUUUAUUAAGAACAGUUGACAUUUUAUUAAGAGAUAAUUUCAUAUAAAUAUCUCUGUAAGCGUAUUGAAUAAUAAAUAUAUUGCUACAAAAUUUAAAUUUUCAAUUUUUAUUUUUUAAAAAAUUUAAUAAUGUUCAUAUUUAUUCUUCUGAUUUAUUAUUGUUAGGACGUGUUUGCUUUGAAGUCGGAGUCGGAAUCGGAAUCGGAAUUAAGAUAAGCUGAAAUCGGAAUCAGAAUGACUCAUUACUUAAUUCUAUUUGGUUCAUCACCUGAAUCGGAAUCGGAAUAAAUCAUUCCCAUUGUCGGUGUUUGGUUCAGAUAGAUAUAAAAAACGUAAUCAAAUUAAUAUGCUAACAUUAUCUUUAUAAUAUAUUAAUUUAAAUUCAAAUUAAAAAUUUAAUAUUAAAAAUUUACAUCAAAAUUGAAAUAAUGUCCAAAUUUUAAAUCUAUUUUUUUUAAAAAAAUUAAACUUUGAAGUUGAGUGGAUAAUUCAAAAUAUGAAACUAAAUUUUGAUUUAUUCAAAUUCAAACUUAAAAUUACAAUUUAAAUUUUAAUUUGAAUCCAUAAAUUUAAUUUAAGUUUGAAAUAAAAUUUGAAUAAAACUUUAUAUAAAUUAAAAUUUAAUUUAAAUUCAAAUUCAUAAGUUAGAUUCGAAAUACUUGAUUAAAUUUUAAUUUUUAAUUUAAGUUCAAAUUAAAAUUUAAAAUUAUAUAUUUAAUUUUUAAAUUUUAACUCAUAUUUUAAUUAAAAAAGUUGAAAAAAUAAAUUUAAUCUGAAUAAAUAUCAAUUCCAUCCGGAUUCAACUUUCAAUCCGGCCUCCUAGGCCGGAUUGAAAAAAGAGGUGAUUGAGGGAUUCCCAUUCCACUCGGGAAUCGGAAUCGGAAUGAGACUCUUGCGUACCAAACACCCACAAACGGAUUCAACCAUUCCGAUUCCGAUUCCAUGGUGAAAAAGAAGUGAAUCAAACACGCCCUUAAAUUACUAUACGGAAAAACUUCAAAUACCACCCCUAGGGUUUCACGCUUUCUCACUUUAAUAUCCUUCGGUUUAAGGUAUAUCAAUUUAGUGCCAUGUGGUUUAUUUUUAUUUUUUCAUUAUCGAUUUUACUAAUUUUUUUUGUUAAAUCAGUAACAAAGUUAAAACUAGAGGAUACUAAUAUAAAGAUUCAAUAAACCUAGAUGAGGUAUCUGAAGUUUUUUCUAUAUAAUUUAACGAAAUAUUAACGGAGAAACAGACGAAAAAAUAAAAAUAAAACCACAGGAUAUUAACUCGAUACAUUUUAAAACGCAUGGUACUAAGUGAGAAAGUUUAUUCUAUAUAUAUAUAAAUAUAUUUAAAAAAUGGUUUUAAUGGUGGAGUUAAGAGUGUUUGUUGGAUCGGAGCACUCGCGGUAAGAUUACCAGCCAACGGGUAAUAUUUUAUUAAGGGAUAAUUUCAUACAGCUUUGAAUAACAGAUAUAUUCCUACGAAAUUUAAGUUUUUUUUAUAUUUUAUCUAUAAUAUAAAUGAAAAUUUUCAAAAACCCCCCUGUGGUUUCAUAGUUUUUUACGUUGCCCACAUGUGGUUUAAAAUGUAUCAAAUUGUCCUCCUGUGGUUUCGUUUUUAUCUUUUCGAUAACUUUUUUGUUAAUAUUUCAUUAAAUUACAUACAAAAAACUUCAGAUACCCAUCUAGAUUUAUCAAAUAUUUACUUCAGUACCUUUUAAUUUUAACUUUAUCACUGAUUUAAAGAAAAAAAAAUAAUAAAAUUGAUAAAAAAGAGAGAAAAAAGAAACCACAUGGGGCAAAUUGAUACAUUUUAAACCACAAGGGAACAAAGUGAGAAACUACAAAACUACAGGGGGUUUUUGAAGUUUUUUCUAAUAUAAACUAUAGUUACUAUUUUUUAUACUAAAUUAAUAUUUUAUUUUUUACGAAUUUUUAUUUUAACGGUACCUAUCUACCGUAACGCGCAGCUCGCUAUAUACACUAAUUUUGAUACAAAUAUAAUAUACGCGUGCGUUCUUUAAAUUAUUUAUUGUUUAAUAACAAGGACGUUUACUUUUGUGAGGAAUAAAAUGAAAUGCAUUGCACAUGUUACACUUAGUUUGGUUAAAGUAUAAUUUAUGCGGAAUCGUUAAAUUAUUUGUUGUUUAAUGGCAUGAGCAUCUAGAUUUGAACGUGUCCCUAAUUUUGAAACUCUAGUGCUGAAUAGAAUUAUAAAUUCAAACUUUUUAUUUUCAAAAAUUUUUAAAAAAAAUUUACGAUCGAAACAGACACAUUUCCAUAAAAUAUUCAACUCUAUAUUAGACCAUUUUCAUUCAUAAAACAUAAAAAAAGAAUAUUGAGGGGACAAAGUAGUUUUUUUUGUCCUAUUCUUAGUUUACUUUAGAAAAAACUUCAAAAACCCCCGUAGUUUCGUAAAUUCUCACUUUGCCGUCCUGUGAUUUAAAAUGUAUCAAUUUGCUCUCCAGCGGUUUCUUUUUUUUCUUUUUCUUAUUAAUUUUAUUAUUAUUUUUUCUUAAAUCAGUGAUAAAGUUAAAAUUAAAGGGUAUUAAAGUGAAUAUUUAAUAAAUCUAGAUAGGUAUCUGAAGUUUUUUGUACAUAAUUUAAUGAAAUAUUUACGAAAAAGCUACCGAAAAAAUAAAAACGAAACCACAGGGGGGCAAAGUGAGAAACUACGAAACCACGGGGGGUUUUUUGAAGUUUUCCCUUUACUUUAUGUUGAGUAUCAUAUUAAAUUAUAUUUAUUUUUAUUAAAUUUUAAAUUUUUGUUAAAUAAAAUAUAAAAUAUACGAAUGAACAUAAAAAAUAUUAAAUUUUAGUCAAUACUAAAUACAAAUUCCAUAUUUAUUUUUGAAUGUAAAUUUUCAAAUUUAAGUUCACAUCCAAAAAAAUAUAAAUAAAUAUAAUUUUGUCCAAAAUUCGAUCAUCUAAUAUAUUAAAGGAAAAACUUCAAAUAUCCUCAUUGUGGUUUCACUUUUUCUCACUUUAGUAUCUUGUGGUUUAAAGUGUAUUAAGUUAGUACCAUAUGGUUUCGCACUUUUUCACUUUAGUACCCUGUGAUUUAAAGUGUAUCAAGUUAGUACCCUGUGGUUUCGCACUUUCUCACUUUAAUACCCUGUGGUUUAAUAUUUUAUUAAGAGAAAAAUAAAACCACAGAAUACUAACUUAAUACAAAAAUAAAAUUACAGGAUACUAACUCGAUACAAAAAUAAAACCACAAAGUACUAACUUGAUACACUUUAAACUACAAGAUACUAAAGUGAGAAAGUGCGAAACCACAGAGUACUAACUUGAUAUAGUUUAAACUACUGGGUACUAAAAUGAAAAGUCCGAAACCACAUGGGUCUUUUUGAAGUUUUUCCUAUAUUAAACCUUUCUUAGUGCGGACCAAUCAGAGCUCGGUCGGUUAACUGUGGUCCCCACAGGUAGGGUGUAAAUGAGCCGAACACGAGCGAGCUGGGGUCGGCUCGUGUUCGGCUCGUUUAUUAAACGAGCAGAAAUAAUCGAGUGGCUCAUUAAUAGUAUCGAGCGAAAAAAAUUUCAGCUCAGUGUUCGGCUCGUUAUUAACGGCCGAACACGAGCUGGCUCACGAGCUGGCCAACGAAUAAUAAAUUAAAGAAUUAGAUUAAAUAUAUAUAAAAAUAUAAAUUUAUAAAUUUUAUUCAUUAGACUUUGAUCUAAUAGUUGAAACUUUACAUAUAAAUGAGUUUUUUAUAAUUAAGCUCGCAUUUAUAUUUUUUUAUUUUGCUAAAAAUUAAAUAAUAAAAAUAUAUUAUAUGUAAAUUAUUUAUUUAUAUAUAAAAAUAUAAAUUAAAUAAAUUAUAUAAUAUAAAUAUAUGUAUUCGAGUUGAGCCGAACACCAAGCGAGCUGACCCCAGCUCGUGUUCGGCUCGUUUACUAAACGAGCGAGCGAAUCUCGAGCUUAUUUCGAGCCGAACACGAGCUGGCUCGCGAACAGCAAGCUGAAUUGCCACCCCUACCCACGCGGGACCAAUCAGAGCUCGGCUAGUUAACUGUGUCCCCACUUGUCUCCACGUCAUCGCCUCGAGAAGUUACCCACUCAGGCCUUAAUUAUGUGCACGCCGAGAAUCGUGCGUUGCCUCAUAUAUAAUUUUGGAAAAACUUCAAAAAUUCCUGUAGUUUCGUAUUUCUCACUUUACCCCUUCUAUGAUUUAAAUAUAUCAAUUUGCCCCGCUGUAUUUUUUUUUUCUUUUUUCUUAUCAUUUCAUUAUGUUUUUUUCUUAAUCAGUGAUUAAAAUUAAAGGGUACUAAAGUAAAUAUUUGAUAAAUCUAGAUGGAUAUCUGAAUUUUUGUAUAUAAUUUAAUAAAAUAUUAACGAAAAAAGCUAAUCGAAAGAUAAAAAACGAAACCAACAGGAGGCAAUUUGAUACAUUAAACUAUAGGGGAGCAAAGUGACAAACAACGAAAUCACAAGGGAGUUUUUGAAGUUUUCCCCUUAAUUAUGUGCACGCAGAGAGCGUGCGUUCCUUCAUAUAUAUAUAUAUAUAUAAUUAUAUAUAUAAUAUAAUAUAUAUAUAUAUAUAUAAUAUAUAUAAUAAUAUAUAUAUAUAUAUUUUAGGCAUCUCUUUUAGAUCGAAAUUAAAUUAUUUUUAGUAUCAUUCUAAAAUUAUACUUAAAUAUAAAGAAUUUAAAGAGCACAGAAUCGUGUCGAAAUUUAUUGAUAUGUACAAUAUGGUGCAUAAAAAAAUACAUAUAUAAUGAUGGAACUCUCCGUUCCGUAGUUUUCACUUUACCUCCCUGCCGUUUAAAAUGUAUCAUUUGUCCGCCUAAUGAUUUUUUUUUUUUUCUUUUUCUAAUCAAUUCAUUAUUUUUUUUCUUAAAAUCAGUGAUAAAGUUAAAAUUAAAGGGUACUAAAGUGAAUAUUUGAUAAAUCUUAAAUGGAGCAUCUAAGUUUUUUGUAUAUAAUUUAAUGAAAUAUUAACGAAAAAGCUACCGAAAAGAUAAAAACGAAACCACAGGGGGGCAAUUUGAUACAUUUUAAACCACAGGGGGCUAAAGUGAGAAACUACGAAACCACAGGGGGGUUUUUGAAGUUUUCCCUAUAAUGAUAUAUAAUAAUAUAAAAUAUUUAUUUUUUUGUAAUAAAAUAUUCUAACUAUUUAUUAUGUAUCUUUGAAUUUUAUCAAAAAAAUUAUUUACUAAUUUAAAGAAUAAAAAAGUUUAAACUGUGUUAUCAGUAUGAAAACUGUAUCGUGUCGAUAUUUUAUUGACAUGAUACGGCAUUAAUAGAUACAACUCGUGUUAAUAGAUACUUAAAUUUUUGUGCACGAUACAGUACAAUAGAUAUGACUCGUAUCGAUAAGCACUUAACUUUUUGUCAAUGCACUAGGGGUGGCAAUCAAACUCACUGUUCGUGAGUCAGCUCGUGUUUGGCUCGAAAUGAGUUCGAGAUCGAAUCCCUGGUUUAGUAAACGAACCGAACACAAGUUAGGUGCAACUCGCUCGUAUUCGGUCCGAUAACAGCUCAGAAAUAUAUUUUUUAUAUUUAUAUAAUUUAUUUAAUUAUAUAUAUAUAUAAUUAUAUAAUAUAUAUAUUUUUAUUAUUUGAUUUUUAGUAAAAAAAAAACCGAGUUCAAUUAUAAAAAGACUCAUUUAUAUGUAAAGUUUCAACUAUUAGAUCAAAUUCUAAUGGAUAAAAUUGUAUAAAUUUAUUUUUUAUGCAUAUUCAAUCUAAUCUAUUUAACUUAUUAUUCAUUGGCCAACUUGUGUACGGCUCGAUUAUUAACGAGCUGAAUUUUUUCGACUCGAUACUUCAACGAGUCAUAUCAAAUGAGUCGAACACGAGCCAGUCUCAGCUUGCUCAUAUUCGACUCGUUGACACCCUUAUUGAAAAUGCCACGUCGCGAAUAUAACGGAUGUAUUAUAGAACUUUUUCACCCUUUUCGCUUCUCUCGGUUAGAGAACAGGGUUUCAACUUCUCAAAUUUAGGACCAGAGCUGCAGGUGUGGAGNAUUUUUAAUUUAUUGUUCGUUGGCCAGCUCGUGAGCCAGCUCGUGUUUGGCUCGUUAAUAAACGAGCCGAAUACGAGCUAAAUUUUUCGGCUCGAUAUUUUAACGAGUCAGCUCGUAUUCAGCUCGUUUAUUAAACGAGCCGAGCCCGCCCUAGCUCGCUCGUGCUCGGCUCGUUUACACCCCUACAAUGCACUAAGUGCAGGUAAUAAUUUAUGCUCAAAAUUGGGACAAGCAAGUGUACUUUACAUGCCAGUUGAGAGAUCUUUUGGGCCCAUGUUAACAGUGUUUAUCCACAUGUUAUAAUCAUCACUAGUAAUAUGUGCUUUUCAAAUUUAUAUAACUUUUUUUUUUUGUGUGGAUAUGGUCACCAUAUGGUGAUUCUUGUGGUUUGAACUCUUUUUUUUUUUCGCCCAAGCAAACAUUUUUGAGUAAGCUAGUUCUCUAUCAAUUUAAAUUUGAUGUUGUUUCGUAUUAUUUAACAUCGUAUCAGAAUAGAAGAUUCUAAAUUCAAAUUAAGAUAGACUUCUAAUAUAUUAUUAAUUUUUUCUCAUAUAAUUCGAGCCCAUGUUAUUGAGCUGAUAAAAUAUCUCAAGCCCAGUCGUAAAAAGAAGUGUUAAAUAUAAAAAUAUUUAAACACUGUUCUUUGCCAGCUUGAGCUUUUUUUACAAAUAACAGUUGUUUCGUAUUAUUUAACAUUAAAAAAAUUAAUAAUUUGUUAAAUAAUUCUAUCCAAAUUUUGAUUAGCAAAUUAACUUUACAUCUUAUCCAACUUAGUGACGUAUGAGAAGAGAAGUGAAAGACGACGAAUUAUUUACCGUUUUUAGGUUGUUAUCAAUGUUUAUGGGAUUUUUGUACGAAUUAUGAGGAUUUUUAUGAGAUUGGUAGGAUUGCGUGUGGAUUAUUUAUUUAUUUAUUUUUGUUUGACCUUUAAGGUUGUAUAUGUAGGCUGUUUAUUUAUUUGGUUUGUUGGAAUAUUUUUGUGGCUGUUAUGAUUAUCUAUACUAUUUAUAAAAGAACGAGUUUUAAAUUUUUUUUCUUUCCCAAAAUGCCGGUCCCUAUUAAUAUAUUUACAAUCAUAUACUAGCAACAGCAUUCAUUCAACUUUAAUGGAAUAAAUCAAAGUCAUACAAUUUUUAUUUUAUUUUUGAAUUAUUAUAAAAUAUAUUAAUUCUUGGUCAUUGGAUCUAAUCCAUUAACUGACGAAUUAAUUAUAUGUCACUUUUUCUACCUAAAUUGUCCUCAAUAGUGCACAUCAAAUUUCACUUUUUAUAUGCGCACUCUAUCUCCUAAUAACUGCCGCCCACAUAAUAUCAUAUUUUAUCACAAAUAAUAUUCGCAAUUUACAUAUUUCUUAAAUAUUUUUUUUCACACGUAAUACCCAUCUACAUAAUAUCCAAUCACGGAAUAUCUUCCGUAUAUAUAAUAUUUAGUCAUAUUUUUUUAAAGGUGAAUAUAUAAAAAUUAUCACAGUUUUAUCUACUAAUAUUUAAAAUGUGAGAUAUUUUUCAAUAAAAUAUAACAUAUGAAUUUACAAUUUAAAAAAUUUAAAUUUGUAAAUAAAUGUGAUUCACAAAUUUAUAUUGGUUUGAGAUAAUUAUUAAAAUUGUUGUUGACAGACUUUUUUUUAGUAGAAAAAAAUAUUGCAUUCCAUUUACGAGAACAGCAAAAAUUAUCCAAAUUUCUGUAAACCGAAGGAUAUCUGCUGUAAAAUAUUUUUCACAAACGCCCCAUAAAAGAAUUUCUAUACUCAUCAAAAAACGAAAAUCUCUACACAACACACACUAAAAAUAUUUAGUAUUCACUAUCUCUUAAUUAACUAACUAAAAAGAAAUUUGUGACACCCAAAUAAUCCCACAUCGGAUGGAAAUGGGGUUGUCAUUGGGUUUAUAAGAGACUUAGACACUAAUAAUAAUAACUGAUCUUAAGCAUUUUGGGCUGGUGGUUUGGGCCCAACGAGUUAUUGUUGCUAGUGGGCUGGGUCGUUACAUUUGGUAUCAGAGCCGGUUCACCAGCUGGACAUGUGUGGCGAGUCUCGGCUGAGCCAGGGUCUGGAUGACGGGCUAGCGAGACGAGUCUCACAUCGCCUGGUGACGUCCUUAACGUGGGGAGUCUGUGACACCCCAAUAAUCCCACAUCGGAUGGGAAUGGGGUUGUCAUUGGGUUUAUAAGAGACUUAGACACUAAUCAUAAUAACUGGGCUUAAGCAUUUUGGGCUGAUGGUUUGGGCCCAACGAGUUAUUGUUGCUAGUGGGCUGGGUAGUUACAAAAUUAGUUUUGAAAAAUAGAAUGAUUUAAAUAAGCAUAUCAAAUCAAUUUUAAAUUUUAAAUUUGGUUCAUAAUUUUAAAUAUGAAUUAAUAUUUUAAUUAAAAAUUUGAAAUUAAUUAAAAUUUAAUAUUUGAGUGUAUAAAUAGUAUUUCAAAUCGAAAAUAAUUAAUUAAGUUGAAAAUAUGUCAAAUUUGAAAAUAGAUGGGAUGAUAAAUAAAUCAAUGCUUCUAAUAACUAUUUAUAUUCAAAUUAUGGAUUCAAAAUUAAUUUAAAAUUUUGAGUUUUUUUCAUAAAUUUAAAUCUGAAUUUAUUAAUUUAAAAUUUUGAAUUACUUCAAAUUUUUAAAAUUUGGAUACACAUUAAACAUAUUAAAGUUAGAAAAAAAUUAAUUAAUAAAUAAAUUUAUACGGCCAAUAAUUAUUUAAAUUUAAAAUAUAAAUAUAAAUUUAAUUUAAUUAAAUGUAACGUGCAUCGCACGUGCACUAUAACUAGUUUAUUAAAAAUAGAAAGAAAUAGUAAAUCAUUCUGUAUUUUUUUAUAAAGAAAAAGACGAUAAAUGAUUCACCGUAUUUUAAUUAUUAUUUGACAAAACAAUUUUUUAACAAAAUUAUUUAGCAAACUAUAAAAAUUUUAAGAAUUAAUUUUUUUAAAAAAAUUCUUCUUUUGUUUUAUUUUUCUUGAAUCCUUUAACUUAUUUCUUUGCUCUUAGUAUCUAAUUUUUAUAUUUUUAUUUUAGUUAGGACCCAAAAUUUUCAUUAAUUUCAUAAAAUAGGUUACAUUAACUCCAAUGAAGCCUAACUAACUUAUCUAGACUAUGGUCAUAAUUUGGCAAUUUCGAUCAAUUUUGGCACCGACUUUUUUAAGUUUUUAGAAAGAACCUGGAGGAAUGCGCAACUGGGAAUAUCAAUGGGUCGGAUUCGGGGCGGAUUUUCAAAAAUCCAAACCUGAACCCGAUUGCCCGACUGGAAACUCAAAUCCGAAUCCGAAGGAUUUUAAAAAUCCAUAUCCAAACCAAAACCCGACCGAAAUUGAAAUCUGAACACAAACCCGAAAAUCCAAACCCAAACUCUUUAUCAUAUUUCAAAACAUAUUACAUUGAAUCUAAAUUCUCAAAAUGCAAAAUUCAAAUAUAACAUCAAAUUUUUAUGCAAAAUCAAUACGGAUUUGGAUUGGGUUCAGGUUUGGGUCAGGUACAAACAAAAUACAUACCCGAAUCCAAAUCCGUCGGAUUUUCGGUUUCUAUAUCCAUAUCCGAAACUACAUCCAUUUAGCAUAAGGCAAAUCCGUUUCAUUCGGGUUCGAAUUCUGAUAAAAUUUCGGAUAUUCAUAACCAUCGACAUCCCUAGUCAUAAUUCGGUAGUUUCUGAUCAAUUUCGGCAUCGACUUUUUCAAGUUUCUGAAAAAAAAAAAAAAAAUUGGCGGAAUAUCGGGCCUUGGGUCCUAGGCCUAGUUAGCGGGUCGAAAGAACUCGGCCCAACACAUCCCAUCACUUUGGGCCGGGCCGGGCGAGGCCGGCUGUAAUAUCCAUGUCGCGCUUAAGCCCGGCCUGUAGUCGUGCAUCGACCGCCCGGCACGUUUUACAUUCCUAAGUAACAGUGAAUCCAUCCAUGUGAAUCUAUCAACAGAGCCACUAUCACCCUCUCUGAGGAUGCCGAUCAAAAUUCUCUACAGCACUGAAUAUAUAUAGCACAAUAAAUAAUAAACCUAUUAAAAGGUGACGACUAAAAAAUAAGCAAAUGCUAUAUGUAAAUUAAAAAAAAAAAGAAAAGAAAAAACAACUAAGGGCAUGUUUGGUUGAUGAUUUGAAUAGGAAUAGAAAAUGAAAUUGUGUCGCACUAAAAUGAUAAACGAAAUGAUGAAUUAUCUAAAAAUACUUAUUUUAUUAUUGGAAUGGAAAAAUCUGAUUGGAAUGGACCAAUCCGGAAUUUAAAGCCAGAGUGGGCCAUAAAUAGAUUCGGUUAUCCGGAAUCCGAUUCCUGAAAAAAAAAAAAAAAAACUAUUGAAAUCAAUAAAUUCUAUUUCCAUUCCGUAGUCUAAAAUAAAUAAGCCAAAUAAGCCCUUGGAACUAAUAAAACUAUUAAACUUAUUAAAAUUUGCAAGUAACUAAAAUAAUCUAAUUGAAAAAUUAAAAACUCAGGAGCUGUACAUAAAAAAGUUAAAGUUGAGGGAUCAAGUUUCAAAAUGAUCUAUAGAUGAGAGGGUCUGUGUCACGCCUCGAGUCCCUUUUUAUUGAAAACACCGCAAAUUUUUUUUUUAAAAAAAACCUCCUGCUCACAGAUCCGCCACAUAGACAGAAUUUUUUCUGAAUGUGCACGGCGUUGAAAUACAAAGCAAUUUUAUAAUUUCUCAAAUACAUAAUUCAACAGUGUAACUGAUAUAAGAUAAUAACAGUUUAGCUAAAUAUUUUUUCAAACUUACAUUAAAUCUUUCUAAUUUUUGGGCCAUUCAAAUUGGAUUAUUUUUAAUUAUGUUUAUUAUUUUUUUAACCUUUAGGGAAUAUUGAAAUACUCCUUUUAACCUCCUCGCAUAAAUAUUAUUAAUUUUUCUUAACUGGAAGAGAAUUGACAAUUUAUGUAUUAAAUUUUAAAAAAAAAACAAAUUAUGAGAAUUUCAUUAAGUAGUAUAAUUUUUGCCUAAUCUAUAUUUGAUAAUUAAACUUUGUGUGUGUUUUAAUUGGGCUAAAGUGGGCUUGAUACUCACAUGGGCUUAUAUUUUGUUUCUUAUUUAAGGGAAAAAUGUGCAAAAGAUCCCUUGUACUUUAGCCCUUUUGCAAAAAGAUCCAUUAGACCUUUUAAACUUGUCAAAUAAGAAAAUAAACACUCUCCUUAGGCUUCGUUUGGGAUUGCGGAAAGAUUGCGUUACGUGCGGUGGGAAAGUAUAUUGGAAAAAUACCCUGUUUGUUUCCGUACGUAAUAUUACGUUCCGCAUAUCGCAAUUAGUCGGUUACGAUAUAUUUUCUGCGGUCCCAUCGGAGAACACAGAAGCAUAUUCCUAUAUACUUUUUCCUCAACUCUAUUUUAUCUAAUACCGGAGUUUUUUUUUUUCCCGAGGUUUUUUUUUUCCUCUAACUUCAAUUUUUUUUUCUUUGUUCAUGUACAUCGAAGAAAAUUUAUAAUUUUUUUAAGUCUAAUCUAAUUUUUUAUUUUGUACUAUAAAUAUUUAAAAUAUAUAAAAAAAUUGGAUAAAAAAAGUUUUUGAAAGAUUGGAUUUACACUUUCAUCCUUAAAACUAUAAGACAAAUAACAAUUUAAUCCUCAAAUUUUUAAUGUAUUAUGAUUUAAACAAUGAGGUAUGUGAUAUUUUUAUCCUCAACCUUUAAUUAGUUACUUAUUUUUCAGUUGUUUAUUUUAUAUAAUUCUUUGACUUUUUAUUUUGUUAUUUUUUAAUUAAUUAAUUUAUUUAUUUAUUUUUAUGAAGUCGUCCCGCCGCAACGCGCGGGUCCUUCACUAGUGAGCAUUAAUGAGAACGUGUACUGCGCAGGUCCCACGGCUAAGAAAAAUGUGGAGAGAACUUAUUUAAGAUUUGCAAUUCAUGCAUUCUUAUUGAUUAGGCACGAUGAUUGAAGUAUGGGUUAAUUUCAUACAGUUCCUGACAAAUAUAGUGAAUUGCGAGUAUAUCCCUUAGUUUGUUGUUAUUAAAAUACUUUAUCUUAUAAAUAAAAUAAUUUUUUUGCCAUUACAAAUAUGUCCUUCUAAAAGUCCCAACUAUUAAUUAAAAAGGGGUAAAAAGAUCAAUUCACCUCAUUAACUAACUAGGGUUAAGUAUUUUUCUAUGAUUAUCUAAUUUUUUCUAACGGAUCCUAACGGCAAGAAUAUAUUUGAAAACAUUAAGAUUUUUGUACAGAUAAUAUAUGAAAGUUGAAUUUUAUAGGGAUAUAUUUAUAAUUCACUAUGUUUGUAGGGACCUAUAUGAAAUUAACCCUUCUUUUUAUAUCAUUAGAUGUACGAAGAAAACAACUUAAUUGCUCUAUUUUACAAUGUAAUGUAUUGUUGUGAGUUUCGACUGAUUUUAAUAAUUCUGUUAACCAUUGACCUUUAAUUGCUUGGAUUUUAUCUUUUAAAAGGUGAUUAAAACAUUCAAAUUUAACAGAAUCAUAAAUUUGAUAAAAAAAUUUAAAUUUUUAUUGACAAAACUUGAGAAAUUUUAAUUAAUUAAAAGUUGAAAAGAUUUUAAUAAAAACAUAUAAUGUUGGGGGGCUAUUUCGGAAAGAUCUAUAGUUGAAGGGAUCUUUAAACAUUUUUAUCAUUAAUAGGGUUGUAACUUUUAUAAGGAAAAAUUUUAAUUAGUAUUGCUACAAAACAAAAAUUUUAUAUGAUUUCCACAAACACAGUAACAUAUAGUAGGGGUAGCUUUUAGGGAACUCCGUUUUAUGUCCACUGUAAACACACUACAAACGCUUCGUUUGGGAUUGCAAAGAGAUUACGUUACGUGCAGUGCAAAAGUACGAUGAAGAAAAUACUCUGUUUGUUUUCGUACAUAAUAUUACGUUCUGCAUAUCGCGAUGAGUCGAUUUACAAUAUAUUUUCUGCAGUUCCACCACUAGUCUGACUCUCCGAAAAUCACUUUCGUUACCACAACAGAGACUAAAGCGAGUGCUGGAUUAAAAACUGGUGUCAAAGAAAAAUGCAGAAGCGUUUCCCUACAUACUUUUACCCCAACUCUAUUAUAUCUAAUAGCGUUAACCAAACUAAGCCAAAAUCUAUUCUGUAAAAAUUACCAAACACUCGAAACAAGUAUUUCGUUUUCGGACUCUACAAGUACUUUUGAACUAUAAAGCACAACUAAAAGCUUCAUGUAAACUUAUGAUGAUAACUAUUGAGUAUGAAUCAAAAUUUGGCGGACAAAUUUAAAAUCGAGCUCGUGAAACUCGAGUGUAGUUUUGACGUCGAUUCCUCACGCUGCUGCGAGUUGUCGUAGGUUCAUCGGAUACACGUCGGCGGUCGAAGUCGAAUUGUAUGCUUUCAUGGCAUAGAUAAGAUUUCCAGCUUCUGUGGGGUGGAAUGCAUCCCAAAACAAGUACUUCGAUCGAUCGCCGCACGGAUUUUGAAGCGGCAGGCACGUUAUUUGCCCGUUGUUCCGCCCAACGCCGCAACACCCUCGGUUGAUCACGCUGAACCCUGUUCGAUUCAUAUCUAAGUUCGAAAGGAUUCUUCGAAACGAGAAAGAAAGAAAGAAAAAGAGUAUGAGGUAAGAAGUUACCGUAAGAGACUGCGUUCGUCGUAAGAUCCUUCAAACUAUCGUAGGUAUUGACAUAGACGAACUUAGCGCCGUGGAGUGCGGCGUUGAAUUCAGUAACCAUACGAACGAGGCCCGCGUUGAAAAUGCUGAUGGCCUCGUUGAUCUCCUCGUUGCAACGAUCUCCGUUGCCGUCGUAGUUUCGGUUGUUGUAUCGAGCUAGCUCGUAAGGUAUGCAGCCGAUUCGUCCGACGCUGAAGACCGCCACUUUACGAGCACCCAAAUCGUACAACUCCUGAAGUAAGAACCUUUUUUAUAAGUUAUAAUGCUUCAAUAGUCCCACAUCGUAUGGAAAUGAAGUUCCAAUUGAGAAUAUAAGAGGUCAUGGCUCCUAAUAAUAAUAACAACUGUUGCAGUUGGUAACAGAGCUAAAUAUGAACUGAAAGUGUGACAGCUAAGUGCUAUAUAGGGCAAAAUGCUACAUCAUAUACUAUGUUCUAUUUGUCUGUGAUCAGGUUAUCUCACAUUGCAAGUCUAAUAGUUCUGAUUUAUAUGUAUGUGAUCGGGUUUGGACCUAACGAGAACGUCAAAGGUCUAACGGUCCCCGACUUUCGACUUUUCGAGGAUAUAUAUCCGAUGCUUACUCUAAGUUGUUGCGAGUAGUCUUGAAGGAGAAGCUCCGCGAAAACUUCAGGGUUGUAAAAAUAGCUGGUUGGGUAAAAGAAUGGCAUGAAAUAGUUGUUCAAGUAGUCAUUACUCCCCAUCCCUGAAUAGUAGAUGCAUUUGCUUAGAUGAGUGGCAAGCUUAGUAGUGUUCCCCUUGAAUAUGCUCUUCAUUAUCUCCACCGCGCCGCGAAAAUGUUCUACUUGUUUAUACAGAGGGUAGUGUAGUCCCUAUCAACGAAAAAAAAAAAACCAUGGAAAUUAAUAACUUUACGGUGAACUUCUCAUUUUUUACUUCGUUGUACUGUGGCUCAAAAAAUUGCACUUAACUACCAUUCGGUUUAGAGCAUAUUUUUCACUUUGUCACCUUGUGGCUGAGAAUAGAUUCUUUCGAUAAAAACAUAAGAUAGUUUAGUGCAACUUUUUGAACUGUAUGGUGACAAAGUGAAAAUGAGGUAAAUAACAUGGAGGUGAAUUGAAGUUUGCUACUAUAAACCCGAAUGAUAGGAUUCGAACAAUAUGAUUGAGAAUUUCUUGUGAAAUAAAGUUUGAAUGUUAACAAUAAACAUUAUGUAAAUGUGAUCUAAAUUUCUUAGUCAAUCAAUAAACUAUAUAUGGCAUGGAGAAAAUCAAUCAAGUUGUAUGUAAUUGAUAAAAAAAAGAAAACAAAAAAGUGAUUCAUCUCAAGUUGAUUAUAUACCAAGUUGGACCCAGUUUCUCCUCUGAUUCCCGACGCCCCCGACGCGAAAUUCAAGCCUCGAACUACUUGUUUUCUUCGCGCCAUCGCGUAUGGCGGAAUGAACUCUCGAAACCCUAGUAGUUGUGCUAUGUAUCACCAACACAAACACGCGCAAAGCAACCUAAGUUACAACUUAUUACCACUACAUUAUUUUCGCGCGGAAACAGAAGCUCAGAGAAAAAGUUAAAAGUAUAGAAAAAUGCGCUCAAAACCUAUGAUAUCGACGACCGUCCGGCCAUUGGUGAACCUUCCUGACACACCCAGAGGGAAAUCAAUCCCAUAGGGCAAGUAAUUGGCCCUAGCAAGGGUUAGGAUGUGAUUGUUGUUCCCAUUAUCCACCAAAGAAUCACCAAAAAUGAAGAAGCAAGGGACUUGUUGGGUGUGUGUUUUUUUGGACCUAGCCAUUGCCACAGUACUUAACAUGGUUAGCAUGGCUAGGACAAGAAGCAGCACCCUAGUGUUAGAGAGAGAAGUUCCCUCCAUCUCACCAAAAGUGCUUCUUCAAAAAAUGAGAGCUUGUUGUGAUAGUAAAGAGUUUGUGGGCAUGAAAGAGAAAUAAGUGAAGAGUAUAUAAAUGCCAAAAAGGAAAACAAAAAGGUGGGAGGGGGGGUGUUUCAAGUGAGAGAGGUGGCUCAUGCAGCUCAAUAAGAUUGCAAUUAAUGGUGGUGGUGAAGAUGAAAAAGGUGGAUGAUGGUGGGGUAGUCUCAACUCUCAAAGGCCUUUUUGUUUGUGUUUUUGAGUGAAUUUGAGGAAAAAAGAGAUUUUGCAUCUUAUAUGUAGAAAUAGGGAUUAAAAAAAAAAUGCUAAGAACCUCAUACUCUCGGGCUACUGUCCAGUAUCAAUACUGUUUUAGUAUAACAUUUCAACAAGAGAUUUACUAGAGCUGACUCUGAAGCUUCUACAGAAGUGUCGUUUAAGUAAAGCUAUUGUGUAAAAUGUAAUAGCUUGUUUAUUAUACUCAUCCUACAGUUUUCAAUAUAAAGAUAAAAAAAUAAAAGUUUUGUACAUUAGAAUUUAAGUUUUCAGAUCUACAUUGCUGAUUUUGACUCUCUGCCCUUUAAAGGAGUCACAAACUUUUUGAUACCCAAAUAACUAAUAUGAAAAAUUGAGUUGGUUCAUAUUUUAUAUUGUAAUACAAAACCAUUUAACUUGGUUGGAGCUUCUACAGAAGAUCUAGCUACUGAAGAAACACUAUCUGAGAAGCCUUUGCGGCUUUGCCUUUUGUUUCACUACAUAAAAUCUCACAUCAGCUUCCAUAGCAGCAAGAAGAUUGAUAAAAGUAUCAAAUUUUAGUUCCUCCUUUCAAAAAAGAAGAUCCCAAUGUUUUUGGUUGGUGAACGCAUGAUUUAUGUUUCUCUGAAGAAGCUAGAGAAUCUGAUCAGAGUGCUUUGCAGAAUCACAAAACUUAAACUACUUUUGAUGCUGGAUUAAUUAAGCUGUCAAAUUUAUUGGGCUUCUGUUUUUGCCCUCUGGUGUUAUGACAUAAAUUCCCAACCUCUUCCUAGACUUUGAAUGCACUAAAAAAAGUAGCUCACUAACAAUGGUGGAAGGGGUUCCACUUGUUUCCCUCUAAUUAAGAUUAUCCAAGUUAAUGCACAACUGCACCAGCUCAAUGAUUUAUGAAUUAAUCUCUACUAAGUUUUCUCACCAAAAACAAAGGUUUGAUCUUAACUACAUGCACAUGGUAUCACCUCGGAAUCAGCACCAUACUCGACUGGCUUUUGAAACAACUUCUCUACUUAAGAAGACGUUGCUAGACAAAAACAAAAUUAAAAUAAAAACAUAUAAAAAUAUAUUUCUCUAAUUUCUGAUAGGAUCACAUAUUUGAUAUUCUAACUGAAUCUAUACAAUCUGCACAAUGAACUGUCACUUGCAGAACAAAUUUGAGUAUUUUUCUAUAAAAUUUUCUCACCGGACGAAACGCAUUCUCCCCGCCAUUCGAAAUCGUACUUAAAACUUUUGUAGUCACCAAAUUUUUAGUGCUAUUUUUUUUAACCUAACCACUGCCAUUUUUUUUUUCUUUUUUCACAUUUCUCUGAUUAUUCCACCACACUAUGAGCUUUGUUAAUGUUGCUGAAUUUUAGCAGGCCUCUUUCCUUUUUGGUCAGAAAAAAAAAAGGGUGCAAGAGACCAUUUCAUUUGAUAUGCUCACAGAACAGUCUAAAAGACAUUAAACAUCCUCUUCAAAAGACACUGUAGAUACAUGUGUUGAAACAAAUCAACACUCAAAUCUCUCAAUACAGGGCUUUUUUCCACCUCAUGCACAAGCUUUGCAAGAGUUGGUUUGCAUCAAACUAGUAGACCUCUACACUUUCGUGCUUCUAGACGACAACAUGCUCAUGAAUGAGGAUUGCGUCGGAUCCCCGCCAGCUGUUGCUGCUCUCCUCGCCACCUACUUCGCCUCCAGCAGGGUGCGUUAGCUUCUCAAAUCUUGUAUAGAUCCCAUUGCAGUAUUUCACUGUAUGCUUCAUAUCAUAGACACAACCUCUAGAGUAGAAUUUCUCUCACAACUGAUCAACUAUUUGAUCAGCUAAAGUGAUACGCGCUACGAAAGAUCACCUAACUAACAGAGGAAACCAUGAUGUGUACCAAUUGGAGCGAAUAAAUCAGAUGAGCUCAAAGCCAUUCAACACCAUGAGCAGCUCUAUGAAAAAUCCAUUUCGGGAGUUCCAUGCCGUGAAAGGGGUUUGAACUUUAUUUUAACUAUAACUCGCCCCGCUUGUGCAUGGUUUUUGUGCCAUCGGGCCUUCUCCGCUACUCCGCCGUGAGAUGAGUCAUCUUUUAUAUCAGUCUACCGCGACAACCGCUACCUAAUCAAAUAUCUCGUUGGAUGAAAGUUACCGAGUUACUGAAGGACUUCCCAACUUUAGAGGUCGGGUCUGCAAUAUGAAACACAUGAUGAAGUACUGCAACGGAACUUAUGGGGGGACUUGAGAAACUGGUGGGCCUGCUGGAAGUGAAGAAGGCAGUAGUAGGGGGUGGCAGAAAGGAGUGCAGCCCAGAAAGGUAGAGCACCGCUGCACUCCUUUCUAUGUCAGUUGCUUAUCAGGAUGGAGCAGAUUAUUUGCUAAGGACGACACGGUCAAGAAGCAUGUAGGAGAAGUAGUCGAUGGGAGGAGCUCUACUAGUUUGAGACAGUGAAGUAUCGUUCUAUUGCUGCGACCGUCGAAGGAGACCCGGUAUCUGUUGGAAAAGCAUAAAAAAGCUUUUUCAUUUUAAUCACAGAAAAGGCAAUCAGAAAGUAGUAUUCUUCUGUGUUUUCUAAACUAAGGUGGAGGUCAUGCUUGGAGCAGACUGAUGCAGUAAAAAAUAAUGUAGUAAAUAAACCAAAAGAAUAAAACCACCCAGCUAGUGCAAGCAUUAAAAAGUAAAGGAUUUGAAUAAAAUGAUAAUCUAUUUUCCACAUAGACUAGAAAUUAAUCAUGAAGCAAAGCCAUGCAUAAAGAUUAAAAUCUUCAGAAAAGGUAAACUACGUACCUCAACACCAUGAGGGCCUAUCCUGUUGCGACCUAUAAAAUUCAGUAUAUAUGAUGCGAAUUCCUCAGGCGCAUCUUCCUGAAAUAGAUAUUAAGAAAUUUUGUGAAGUACAAUAAACUUUAACAGUCUCCAGUACUUUGAUGUAUUAACAGUCUCCAGUACUUUGAUGUAUUAACAGUCUCCAGUACUUUGAUGUAUUAACAGUCUCCAGUACUUUGAUGUAUUAACACGUUAUUUCACAAAUAUAAAUGGAUUCAAUAUAACAGACAAGGUCCAUGUAAGCGUAUUCUUAGAAUGAUGCUCAUCACUAUCCCCACUUGAACAUCCAGCCUAGUUUUAAAAAAUAAAAUAUAAGUCUGAUAAGCAUUCGGUCCCCCCUACAAUAGUUAAUAUAUGUGGGCCACACUUAGUUUAUUAUUUCUAUGCAUGAUAAUCGCCUUCAUAUAUAUAGCAAAAUUCAUUAUUUAUAAACAGUAUUAAUGGAAAUAUUAAUUCAUCCUAAAUGGUUGCUGACCCUGUUAUGCUAUUAAGAUCUUCCUCACCCAACAAUGUUUGCUACCAGCAAAAAGUACUAAAUAAUAGUGACACAAUAGCAACUGAACAAUGAAAUGAAAGGGAUAAGUAAAUACCACUUAAAACCUUAGUUGUCAAAUAAGGCUUGCCCAUUAUUAAUAAUCAUAAUCCAUCAGAAAUAAAUUAGUUUUUCUCACAGACUGCAGCAAUCCAACUAAAAUUGCAGUCACCUCUUCCUAAAAGACGAAGAGUAGAAAAAGUAACAACCUGAAUAGCAUGUCCAGUAUGGCGAACAACCACCAUUUGAAAUUUGCCUUGCAUUUGUCCAAUUGUUAGAGCUCUGUUGCAGCACAAAAAACAACUUAUAUCAAAUGACUGCAGAGCUUUCUCAAAGCAACCAUGUGAGAAACAACCUCCAGUUCAAUAUGAUUAGUUACUUGACUCAAAAAGUUAAAAGUGCUUUCACCUGAAGCCACUCUGAUAUCUCAAUUUUCAUCAGCCGGUGCUGGUAAGUCUCAUAAUAUGUAAAAGCUUCAACAACUUAUUUACUGACUGUAUGGUUUUGAGUAGUGAGACAAUUGACUACAAAAUGUAGCAUCAUUGCGAACACGCAUUUAUUCAGAUUCAUUACUUCUUUUCAUCUUUAAGCUCUACAGCAUAUAUAAGUAUUCUAAGAUACCAUAGAUAUUCUUAAAAAAGAAUAAUCAGUAAAUAAGGUUUUAAGACCUCAAAAGGUUAAUAUGCCCAGCAGGUUGUGAGAAGGUUUGAAAGUCACAAGCAUAUGCAUUGAUUAAAAACCAAGGGAGGUCUCGCAAACUUAACAAAGGCUAAAAAACAUGGGUGUUAACUGGCAAUACUGUGAAUUUCCAAUGAUUUUGGAGAAAUAGCAAUAUGGAGAUACAGAUUUGAGUUUUCAUUCUUCAAUAAGAAUAUACAAACAUUGUUGAUAUUAUGAUUACAGAAAAAGAAUCUGUAAAACAUAUCUAAAAAAAGAGAAAUCAUCUUACAUUUAUAUGUUACUAUAUAUGAACCUCACUAUAAAAUGAGAAGACCCGGGGAAUAAGAGUUUGAAGAUGUAUAACUUUAAGAUUUCCUGCUCCUAACAUUUGUCUUAGAUUGUGUCAAGCUCCCAAGUGGGAUCAGUAUAGGAAACCUCUCCAUUCCUAUUAAGUUCUUAGUAAACAAUUUUUAUUAAUCAAAAACUACAAAUCUCAUCUUUAGAUGAUUGGAAAACCUUUUUCUCACUAUUUCUAGGAAAUAAUAAUGCAGUGAAACAAAUGCAUGCUUGCCGUUCAGAUAUUAUACCCUUGAUAUGUCAAGUUUCUUGAAGAACCUACCAGUCCAUUUAUUAGUUAAAAAUAAUAUAUACUAAAAGAAUAAUAUGAUAGAAAUGAUGGCAAUAUUGAUAAGCGAAAAGGAUACAAGGAAAGAGAACUUAUAUGAUAGCAGUCAAAUUCACAGAACAUAGAAGGAAUAAUUUCUUGGUUUUCUUUUUUCUAUUGUAUUUAAAACAAACCUGUCUAAUCUAUCUGUCCCAGCUAACAACAAAAGCUUUGGCACUGGGCAUGACAAGAACUUAUCUGAGAGGCCUUCGUACCUGGAAAGCACAUAAAUAUAAAAUUCAAAGUAAUCAUUAAGAUACAACUUCUCUAAUACUGCUAAUAGUAACUGAAACAUCGACCAAGACCAGCAAGAUAAGUAAUCUUUCCCUGUGCGGUUUGGUUUAACUACAUUACUGUUACUGGUAAUAAAUCAAGUUGUCAACAUUAUUUUCUUUUCUCUAUCGCCAAAACUCAUGUAAAACUUUAGAUGCGAUUUGCAGUGCACAUGGUUAAGCUUUACAGUUGCAACUCCAAUCCACCAGGAAAGCACCAUGGGAGGUUUUAUAAUGGGCAAAAAUUUACGAAAACCCCCAACGAUAGGUCAGAUUGAAACAAGUCGCUGAACUUCGAUUUUAUAGUCUCUUAUUUGAACCCAAAACUAAUGUACUAUUUGAUUUCUUUCAGGAUAUAUCAGACAUUAAUGGUUUCUGUCAAAAUAGAUACAGAAUAUUGCAAAACAUUCUGUUAACAAAACACAGUGCAAACUAUAUAGUGUUCCAUUAAAAACUUACACUGUUAACGUCUGCCGGUUUUUUCUGAAAUCAAAACACAUUAAGGGGAGUUCAAAUCCAAAAGGCUGAAAUUCAGAGAACUGUUUCGAAAGACCUAUAAUAGGGGUUAGUUUGUCCACACUUUUUGCCUAUCCAGAAAUUAUCAAUUUUUCCUGGAAGUAAAAAAAAAUAUGACUGACCAGCCUUUCCAGUAUCGCUCUGAUUCUUCAAGAGGAGUACGGUAUGUAUAGCUGCACAAAUAAAAGAAAGUCAUUUUAUAUGCCAAAAGCAGAUUGCAUGAAUAGCAAAGGAUUCCCUAAAGCAGUGUUUCUAAAGCAUUGCUUACCAUUUCUUCGAUUCAUCAUACUUAAGUGUUGAUGGAACAGAUAGACGAGCAGAUUCAACAUUUCUUAAUGGGCCGCCUUUGACACUCCACUCAACCUACAAAGAUUUGAACACAAAAAAUGGCUAGAAAGUGGUUAAUCAAUACAACUUAAGUCAACAGACUGUUAUUUCCAUUUCAAGGAAAAGUAGUAUUAUCGUGUAAUAACUAAUACUAUACAGAAGUCUCUUUAGUACCUCUCAACAUAAAAAUUCCGAGGUCCACUGAAAUCAUCAUUUCUAACUUCUAUAGAUUAAUAACCUCUUCAUAUAAUUAUCUAUUCUUGAUUUUUUUUUUUUUCACCUAAGUUCCUUCUGAUUAUAUAAUGAUAAUAUUUCCCUUGGUGAUAUAAAUUCAAAAUGAACACUUCAGAAUAUGAAUAUAUGAUAGUCAAAAGAAGUCUCUGUUGAUAAUAUCAAGUACUUGGUCAAUAAUAUUGAAGUGCUACCAAAUCCUUCAACAAUAAUUCCUCCAAAGAAAAGUGGAAUUUUACUCAGAUAUUACUCCUUUCGAAAAAAAGUAAACUAAAAAAUCACUAAGCACAAUUUUGUAUUAUUUUUAUCUCUAUAAUUAUUCCCCAAAAAAAAGAAGGUACAUUACACAAUUGAAUUUGAUAGAGCAGAUUAGAUAGUAUACGUACUGCCUUCUCGAUGGAGGGGAAAUGUUGCAUUCGACUUGAUAGAAUUUUUUGCAUAUGAAUCAAUGACGCCAUGGCCGUCCCCUAUUUUGGAAGUAGAUGAAUAAUAGUCAGGGAUGGAAUUGCAAUAUAUACAACAAGUUGUCUAAGUGAAAAGUUUUUGAUCCAAGUCACAACAUUGGGAUAGUAAAUUUAGUAUUCCAAAUGACUAACGUGAAACAAACCUCAACUACAUCGACAACAACAAGGCCUGUUAUAUUAGGCAUCACUUUUCUUGCAGCCACAUGCACAGCCACAGAACCUCCCAUGCUGCAAAAUGGCGGGAAGUAGGAAUAAAGUUCAUCCAAUGAAGAUAACAUCUUUAAACAUAAUUACAGAUUAUUAAACACAAAAAUGAAUACCUAGGCAAAAUUUACAAGAUAUGCUACUACCAGUAAGAUAAAUAAUGAACUAUCAAAAGGGAAGGAAGAGAAGAAAAAGGAAACAUUCUGUUCUAUUCUUUUAAAAAAAUAUAUUUUGUUAAGUAGGAAAUGCUCAAACAAGUAAAGAAAGUAUCAUUGUCUUUUUGCAAAAGAAAUGCAGCUAUAAGUUAAUAAAUCUCAUCAAGUUCAAACAAAGCCUAAAGUAGAAAUUUUCAUCAUGAAAAAAAAAGAGAGAGGCUCAGAUAAUUGCUGCAUAAUCUAAAGUAACAGCUAGUUAUGUCGGUUGUUAGUCAUGCUGCGAAUCUAUCAACUAGUUGGAUAAAGGAAGUAAAUGAACAUAAUAUGCCGUGCUCACAUGGAAAUGCAAAAAUAAAUUUUCCAAUAUGUUGGAAAAAUAUGGGUGCUGAGCAACUGAGAAAACUGAUUAAACUAAAAUGGAAAGUUCUAUCUCCAAUAAAAUAAUUAGAAUAAAAUCUAGUUGAACUUGGUUUUAGUUCUCAACAAAGAUUAAUGUGCAAAUGACAAAAUUAAGAAAAAAAAAAAAUGAAGGCCACUGGUUCUGAACGAACCAGAUGGGAGAAUUAGUUUGGGAGAGUGCAAGAAUAUGAAAUUAUUACACAUGGGUUAUAGGAUAAGAAUGUUUUAUUGGGCCUUUUUUCCUGUUUUAUUCAUUUUCUUCUUUAACUUUGGAGACUCACUAUGCGACUUAACAUCAUUGUCUCCAUUAAGUUCAGCCUACAGAAAAAUUUACAGAUUCUACUAUACAAGAAAUUGAUAAAUUUAAUUAAUAGAAAGUCGUGGAGAAUCCAAGUACAGCUUAGUGAAAUGAAGUUCAAUAUAUCAAAACUACUAACAUGCAAAGAAGAGAACCUGUGGCCGACAAGUAUAAUAGCUGGUGGGGAAUCUCCAUACAUUGUCUUCAAAACAGCCAAUACAUCAUUGCAUAAGGUCUGUUAUUAAAAAGUCAAUUAAUUAACAAAGUUUAGAAAGUCGAUGGUUAUUAUAUAUAUGUAUAUAUAUGUGUGUGUGUAUAUAUAUAUAUAUAUAUAGUAGGGCUACUGUGCUAUUAAGAGCACAGCAGCCCUUGUGCUUCUAAGUUUCUAAUCAUCCAUCAAUUUUGAUGGAUGGUUAGGGUGAGAGAAAGAAGAGAAAUUGGAGAGAAAUUAGGUUUCUCAAUUUCUCUUCUCUUUGAAUAUCUCCCCAAUUUCUCUUCUCUCUCUCACCCUAACCACCCAUCAAAAUUGAUGGAUGGUUAGAAACUUAGAAGCACAAGGGCUAUUAUGCUUCUAAUAGCAUAGUAGCCCUACUCUCUCUAUAUAUAUCUAUAGAGCUAGGCUGAUAUACUAUCGGUAGCACGGAGGUCUCCGUGCUACCAAGUUAUUUUCAAUGAUGUGGCUUCCAAAUCGACGAUCGGCUCCGCUAGACUUGAUCUACACUAUUGAAAGUAUUUGCAAACUAAAUUUUAUAAUUUUUCGGUAUCAUUUACCUAUCAAACGAGUAGUCUAAAAAUUAACGGCUGAAAAUAAAAAUCUCAUAAAAAAUGAUGAUAAAAGACUUAAAUUUAAGAUCAGAGGUACUGAUCUUACUCUAAAUAGUGAAAAUAAUUUUCUAUAAAAAUUUCAUCAUAUUUGGAUUGUUUUACACCGUUAAAUUUACAAACACAUCACAUCUACCAUUAAAAUUGUCAAUUUUGAAACCUUUUGAUCACUAGCCAAAUGAUGUCAAAAAAUUAUAAAAUUUAGUUUCCAAAUACUUUUAAUAGUGUAGAUCAAGUCUAAUGGAGCCGAUCGUCGAUUUGGAAACCGCAUCAUUGAAAACAACUUGGUAUCACGGAGCCCUCUGUGCUACCGAUAGUAUACCAGCCUAGCUCUUUAUAUAUAUAUAUGCAGUGUAGACCUACUAUGCUUUUGGAAACAUAAAGGAGUUGGUGCUUCCGACUUUUUGACCCUUGGAUCAAGGAAUGUAGGGUCGGGAUGAUAGUGGUCCCCCUUAGGGCUGAGUGGUUCCCCUGGGGUUAAGUGGUCCCCUAGGAUAAUAACAAUCCAAAGGUCAGAAAUGAUCAAAGGGUUUGAUCUAAGGGCCAAAAAGUUGGAAGCACCAACUUCCUUAUACUUUUGGACAGUAUAGUAGCUCUACUAUAUAUGUCAUACACACACACACACACACACGCAAAUCAUCUAUUUUACACAUGUACCAGGUUACAUAUGAAUUUUCAUAUAUGCCAUUGGAAAGUGCAAUUUCUUGUAAAAACGCCCUCAUCUUAAGGAAUUAUGAGUCAUAGCCAGAAAAUUGACUUAUACUAGAAAAUAGUUUUGAAAAGAGGCUUAAGUACAAGGGUACAUAAACAAGAAAUCAAAUUUUUGAAGGGCAUACAUGAAAUAUUCAGAUAUUAUAUAUGCAACAGAUAAUUUUGCAGGGUAUAUAUGUAAAUAUCUCUAAUAUAAAAGAACUUUCAAAAUGCCAGAGAACCUAAGUCUUCAGAACAACAACAUAAGAAAAAUCUUAUCCAAAAAUGCAAUUAGAUAUAUGCAUUUUCUUUGAAAACAUUAUCAAAGUUAUAAGGAACAUACUUCAAUGGAUAAAUCAGAGUCAUUCUCGGUGGAGGAUUUUCCAUGCCCCCUCAAGUCCAUUGCUACCACACGAGCCUUUUCCUUGAUUUUACUUGCUGAUAAUGCAAAAGAAAGGCUGGUACAAGAUGAAUGCAAAUACACCAUGUUGGAAAUAGAAUUUAUAAAACUUGGUAGGAUUAUUCUAAAUAGCCCUCGUGGGAAAUGUAAAGCACAGCAGCAAACUUAUAUUCCUUCGGAAGUUCGGAAUAAAUUUGAACCAACAAAGUUUUGUCAGCUGCAAAGAAGAUGAUAAUAAGAGUGCUUGAUCCUAAGUAUCCUGGAUGAUAUUUCACUUCCAGGAAGAUAUUCGGAGUAUCCACGAAAAGACGAAAAAUUUCUACAUAACUGCCUUUAAGUAUGUGUACCAAUUAGAUGAUAUGCUGAAAGUGUAGUUCAUUAAUCAUUCCAGUAACAUCUCAAUCAAGUUAACCCUUACAAAAAUAAUAUUAGCUAGAAAUCAGCUUUCUCAAAUUCCAGCUCUCAUUAAACAACAAUCGAGAGUUUUUCUGACAAAGGAAGUGAACAUGAACAGACAUUUCAUGCUUAUCAACAAUAAGAUAAUUUCAGCAGAUUGGCGUAAUGGGUAGUAAGGCAUUAAUCCUUUUUUAAUCUAUAUACAGUAGACACACACUGCCAGAUAACUUACUGGACAUAAGACAGUAAAAAUGCACCUGAUAGACACAAAACAUAAUAAUGGUAACAUUUCCAUGGAUAAGUGGAAGCUAAAUAACAAUCACAUUUCUAAGUAAAGUAGAACAACUCAAUUGCUAGAUCUCAGGUUUGAAUUAUCAUCCUUCAACGAUAUUCACAGUCAGAGGAAACAGCAACAUCAAUUUGAUAAAUGAAAUAAUCUUGUGUAUGGCAAUAAUACAGUUACUUUCGUUAAUCAGCCGUAGUUGCACCAGUAAUGGCAUAAUCUAGUGUUAUAGGUUCGUGCAUACCCAGAAUAGCCACCUCCAUGGAGGCAAAAAACAACUGGUCCAUCUGAUCCAGCCAUAUAAACAUGAAAUACCUAGACAAUAAAAAUGAAAUGAAGUAAGAUACUAUGUUCAAUCCCUCUUUGGUGCAGGUCUGGAACAAACUUCUCUACUCCAGAAGCAGAAGACGAGCGUUUAACAAUUGAAAAGGGUAGAGCAGUUGGUUAGAACCAUAAGCCAAAAUAGGCUUCCUGACUGUCAUAAGCUGCGAUUCAAAGCUUCUAUUUCUGGCUUCAAAAUGAAGCAGAUACAAGGAUUUAAAUGCAAAAUAAAAACUCUCACGAAACAGCACUUUCACAGAAGCUCUAGACAAACCUUCAUUCAUUUAUAGUAGAAAAAAUAGAAGCUAAUGUUAAAGAACAUCAACACCGUGCUGAUAAUGCUUACAUCAUUUGAACCUGGAAUUGUAAUAUCUUCUUCCUUGUCGAAAAACCUUGACCAGUCUAGUGGUGCAUACUUUUGGAGCAAACUGCUGUGAGAAUGGUUAGCAAAACAGGUAACUAUUACACAACAAAAUAGCUGCAGUAUAAUUCAAAUAAAUACUCUAAACCAUAAGGUCACAACCAAUUAGCAUCAUUUCAUUAGUCAUUACACUUUUUAGCUUCUAUGAACUCGAGAUUUGCCGACUAGGGCAUACCAACCUUUCCACUCCUAGAAACAUGUGUAAUUUCAAUAUACGGUGGGCUAUAAACCUCCAUCCCGACUUAGAUAUUUCAAACAUCAUGAUUUCAACAACGAGUUUCUAAUAUUAGUAGGCACAAUAGAUCGGAAUCACUCUAAACAUUGCCAAUCAAGGUUCUAAACAUAUCGUCCCAUUAAAAUGUCCAUCAGUGGCGCAGCAUAAGGCAAUGUCAUCCAAAUAUCCUUAAAUACAUUUAAAAAUGUAGAUCAAAACCCUUCCCGAAUACGCAAUCUUACUAAAACAGAGAUCAUAGCAAGAACCCCACAAAACUAGUCUCAAACUUGAGCAUGCUGAGACUAUACGAGGGUGGGUGUUUUCUCUCCGAUCAAUCUUUUGGGGUAACAUGGCAGCAGAACCAUGUCCUCAACAACCUCCAUUGCGAGAGAUUCUAAGUUCGAUUCCUGCAUCCACCAUUUUACGGCAUAUUUUUCGUUGUUUUUCCAUUCUUAGCGGCGUUUUGAUGAGAUCUUACCGAGACGCAGGGCGCGGAGGGAUCGAAUCGGGUGAGAAUGCGGAGGCGGAGGCGGAGUCGGAAGGGGGAGGAGGGGGAGGAGGAAGAGGGGAGAGCUCUUCGUCUUCGGCGGCGGCGGCUUCUUCUCGGAGGGUGGAGAGGUUCGAGGACUCCAUGGGCGAGCUCUCUCUCUCUCUCUCUCUCUCUCUCUCUCUCUCUCUCUCUCUCUCUCCUAGGGCAAAUUGAUGUGGAGCGAAUGGAGAAGACGAUCGGGGGCGAGAGAGAAGAAGAAGAAGGGCGAUCGAAGGAGGUGUCGUGUGGCACGUGCGGUAGCUCGCCCUUCCGUACGAAAGCGCACGCGUCAUGAGAGGGCCCACUCGGGGGGACAAACAUUUUAGGGAAAACUUCAAAAUAUCCCUUGUGGUUUCAUACGUUUUCAUUUUAGUACCCAGUGAUUUAAAGUGUAUCAAGUUGGUACCUGUGUUUCUCACUUUCUCACUUUAGUACUCUGUGGUUUAAAGUGUAUGAAGUUAGUGCUCUGUGAUUUUAUUUUUGUAUCAAGUUAGUACUAUGUGGUUUUAUGUGGUUUUUAAUCCACAGGGCAUUGACGUGAGAAAGUGCGAAACCACAGGGUACUAACUUGAUACAACUUAAAACAUAGGGUACUAAAGUGAAAAAGUGCAAAACCACGGGUACUAACUUGAUAUACUUUAAAUCACAGGGUACUAAAGUGAGAAAAAGUGAAACCACCAGGGGGUAUUUCAAGUUUUUCCAAAAUUUAGGAUUAAAUGCAUACAAGUUUCUACAAAUAUAGUAAAUUAUAAAUUAAUCAUUAUAAAAUUCAACUUUUCAUACAUUGUUCUUUCAAAAGUUCUAAUAUUUUCAAAUAUGACUUUCUGAUUUGUUAUGAUUAGAGAACAGUUUAUAUUUUAACAGCAAUAAGUGAAAUGUUAAUUUUGCCAUCACAAAAUGACCCUCGAGAAGUCACAAUAGUAUAAUAUAAGAUGUGUAAAAAUAUUAAGUUAUCUCAUAAACUAAUCAAGGUUAAAUAUUUAAUCUAUAGUUAAUUAAAAUUUUCUAACAUAUUCUAACGAUAGAGAUAUAUUUAAAUAUAUUAGAAUUUUUAUAGGGACAACAUAUAAAAUUUAAACUUUAUAGAAAUAUAUUUAUAAUUUACUAUAUUUGCAAUGACCUAUAUAUAAUUAAUCUAAAAUUUUAUGAAUUAGUUUGGAGACGAUGUUGAUGGAUGCACAUGGUCGAUCUAAUGGGCGACGUCCUCUCUGUUGCUCUCUCUUUCUCUCUCUAAAAACACCGGGCACUUUUUUCUUUUCAUAAGUCAAAUGCAUAUCGUCGCCCAUUCACGUCGUAACUAAUUAGUUUGGGGAUGAUACUUAUAAAAUUUUUGUCCCACUUAGGGUUCUUUCAUUCAACGUAAAAUUAUAAAAAAUAAUUUUUCGUGAAAAGUAUUUUCAAUCAAAAAAAAUUAUAAUAUUUGAUUUGUAAAAAAAAUAAAUUCUCAUCAAUAUUUGUUUGUUUGGAUGAAAAAAAUUGAUAUUUAUUUAGUUCGAUCGAAAAAAAUGAAUAAGAUAAGUUUUACACAACUUGAAUUAUUAUUUUUUGACGAAAAAUAAUAAAAAAUAAAAAAUUUAUUUUUUUCAAAUCCAGAAAAAUAUUUUUUCAUAAAUUAUUUUUACGUCAAAUCAAAAAAAAAUCAUACUGAAAAUAAUUUUUGAUUUGUUUUAUGCCAAACGAAGCGCCCACUCAAGCAAACAUGCAUAGUGGCGCUCUCAACUAUCGGCCCUUUCUAAGCGAGGUCCCCCCAUCUUUUAUUUUAUUUUUUAUUUUUUUUUUUUAUCGAGACGUCUUAAUUUUCAAAUGCCAAUUUGCAUAAAAAAUUUAUUAGUUUUGAGCUUUUGCAAAAGUAAACUGUCUUUUUAGAUUUUGCAGAUUCGAUCUAAAUUUUAAAAAAUUAACCAAAAUAUCUUUAUUCUCUUUUCCCUCACCUUUUUUCUCUCUCGUUCUUUUUUUCUUUCUCUCGAAAAAGGUCGGCGGAGGCGAAGGCAGCUUGCCUCACUUUUCCACGCCCCUUUGCCCUCUCUCUCACCUGCCCACCCUUCCUCUGCCUUCCUCGCCUCUGAUCCCGUUGAGACCGUGCCUACGACGCUCCUCAAUCACUUCCAAACUCUUUACAACAGUAAAGAGCGUAGCGUCACGUUCUCUUCCUCUCCUUUUAUUUUCUCGUUCUUUAUUUUUUAUCUCUUCGACGCCCCUUCACCGCUUUUACGACCCUCUGUGACGGUAACGAGGACAACGUCGCAUUCUAUUCCUCCGCCUUCGCUAGUGUAGGCAUCGACGCCGGCACCGGAAAAGAAAGACUUGAAGCAAGUGCAGGUGGGAGGGGGGCCGAGAAAAAAAAUAUAGAAAAUAAAUAAAUAAAUAAAUAAAUAUAAAAAAAAUAUUUUUUUCUAUAAGAAAAUUGAAGAACCAGAGAGAAAAGAAAAAUAUGAUGAAGUUGUACUGUUUCAAAAAAAUGUUGCACUAUUUCAAAAAAAAUAUUGCACUGUUUUAGAGAAAACUUAAUAGUCUUUGAGAUAAAAAUUAUAUUUUUUUGUAUGAAAGUUGGUUGAACGAAAGCUACACUAUUUAAACGAAAGUUGUACUUUUUGGACAAAAAUUACACGGUUUCUCCCCCUCUUCCUAUUUCUUCUCAUUCCUCUUUGUUUUCAUGUAUUUCUUCUGUUUCAAAAAAAUGUUGCACUAUUUCAAAAAAAAUAUUGCACUGUAUACAUGAAAACUUAAUAGUCUUUGAGAUAAAAAUUAUAUUUUUUUGUAUGAAAGUUGGUUGAACGAAAGCUACACUAUUUAAACGAAAGUUGUACUUUUUGGACAAAAAUUACACGGUUUCUCCCCCUCUUCCUAUUUCUUCUCAUUCCUCUUUGUUUUCAUGUAUUUCUUCUGCGCCCAUCUCUUCUGCACCCUCCAUCUCUGUCGGUAGAUCCUCCGCCCAGCUCUCUCCGACCUCUUUUUUUGAACGAAGCUACACUAUUUGAAUGAAAGUUGUACUUUUUGAACAAAAAAUACACGGUUUCUUCCCUUUCUCCUAUUUCUUUUCCUUCAUCUUUGUUUUCAUAAAUUUCUUCUGCGCCCUUCUCUUCUGCACCCUCCACCUCCGUCGGUAGAUCCUCCGCCCAGCUCUCUCCGACCUUUUCUUUUUUCCCUUUCCGGCAGUGGACAAAGGUCGAAGAGAAAAACAAAAAAAAAAAGAAAAAAAAAGAGGGUCGCGGCAUGACCUCGGCAGGAUUGGAGGCGAGGAGGACGGGGUCCACGGUCUCGAAUCAUAAAAAUUACCGUUUUAUGCCCCAAAUUCAUUUAUUUAUUCCAUUUAAUGACCCAUUGGGGGCGGAUCGGAGAGGGAGCUCCACCAACUUGGAUCUGUUUGCAUUCCUAGUCAGAACAAACAACAAUGUUGCAUCCAUAAAAUGCAAUCAUCCUGCAUUUGGCAAUAGCAAACACUUCUGCUGAUCAAAUGCACUUGCAAUAGUAAUAGAUCAAGGGGAAAUAAAAUAAAAUAAAAUAGGUAAAAACUUUUAGAACUUGCUUAAACUACAAUAUGGACCAUUUUAAUGUGGCUAUUUAACUUUUUCAAAAUUUUUUGGUAACCAAUAUUUUAAUUUAUUUAAUUUAAAUCAGUCAACAAAAUUAUGACUUAAAAGUAACUGCUUCCUUUAAGUAGUAAAUUUAGAGCUAUCAAAUUAUAUCAAAUAUACUACGUAAAUUUAUAAAGAUAGACGUUUCGUUUAAAUUUCGAAGUCAAAGUAUCGUAGACUACGGGUGGUUAUCCAGCUUGUUGUUCGUGAGCUAGCUCGUGUUCGUACGGAAUAACGGAAGCUGUAGUAGGGAACGCUUUCCGAUAAAGGUUGUUGUGGGCCGCAAUCAUCAGCCGUUUGUUUUGUUCCCAUCGAACGGCCGAGAAAGAGCUUCGAAUAUAUGAUUAAUUAAAAUUUUCUAACAGAUUCUAAUAGUAGGGAUAUAUUUAAAAAUAUUAAGUCUUUUACGGAGACAGCAUAGGAAAGUUGAAUUUUAUAUGGAUAUAUUUAGAAUUCACUACAUGUACAGGGACUUGUAUGCAAUUAACCCUAUUAUUAUAAUUAUUAUUAUAAUGAAGGCUAAAUUACAGAAAACUCCCUGUAAUUACCUGCUUUUUCACUUUCCUCCCUGACAUUUAAAAACCUACACUUUACCCCCUUGUAAAAUGAAAAAUGUCCACAGGGGGGGUUACGGUGUGUAAAAUGACCAUUUUGUCCCUCGCCAUUUUCGUCUUCUUCCUCAUCUUCCUCAGCCGCCCCUUCGAUCGGCCGCGAUUCCAACCUCAAUCGGCCGCGAUUUCUCUCCAUUUCCUUCUCCACCUGCUCCCCUUCUCCUCCUGCACCCUCCCCGCCCCUCGAUUUCGACGAUAAUAGGGAUGAAAUCGAGGUGGGUGUUGAUGGAGAGGUAGGCAAGGGCAACGAGGGCGAAGGCGAGGUGGCGGAGGAGGGCGAAAGGGAUGUAGGCGAGGGCGAGGCGACGGAGGAGGGCGAAGGGGAUGUGGAGGACGGCAAGGCGGCGAGGCGGCGAGCCGGAGGGAGGUGAAGCAACAAGGAAGCGGGCGGAGGGGUAUUUUCGGCAUAAAAAAAUAUUUUAUAAUGGAACCCUAACGGUAGGGGGUGAAGUGCAUAUUUUUCAUUUUAUAAGGGAGCAAAGUAUAGGUUUUUAAAUGUCAUGGGGGAAAAGUGAAAAAGUGGGUUAUUAUAGGGGGGUUUUCUGUAAUUUAGCCUAUAAUGAAUUCAAAGGGCUAUAAAUAAGAAAGUUGGAGCUGCGUUCGCGCUCUUCACUCUCUCUGUUCCUCUCUCUCUCUCUUUCUCUCUCUCUCUCUCUCUCUCUCUCUCUCUCUCUCUCUCUCCUGCGCUCGCCACGAUGAGCGACCAGGGAGAGCGAGGUCCCUCUCCCCCAUUCCCAUCGAACCCUAACCCUAGCCCUAACCUUAACCCUCCUCCAAGCCCCAGUCCCAUUCCUAACGCCGAUCGUUACCCACCGAUCAAUGGUGCGGCGGCGGCGAAUGGGAUUGAGGGAGAUGAGGUCGAUGAUGAAGGAGAUGAGGAGGGGGAGGACGAUGGUGAUGGUGCGGGGAAUGAGGAGGGAGAUGAUGAGGAAUAGGGCAUUGAUGACGAUGAUAAAGGGGAGGAUGAUGAUGAUGAUGAUGAUGAAGAGAAGGUGGAUGAUGGUAAUGUUCCGAAGUUCUUUAGUCCUCUCGAGAUGGAGGUCCUUUAUUGUCUGAACAAGAUUUAUCUCAACGCCGUCAACGAGGCGAAUCGACCGAUCAAAGCGGAGAUGAGCGAUCUUAAAUUCUCGCACCUAAUGGAUCAACCGUGUGCGGUUGCUAAAGAGUGCUUGCAAAAGGCCGACGAGCUCGAGCAAUCCACAGCAGUCUUCGAUGCGGAGUUGGCAGAGUUGGAGAAGUCGGCGGAGUUGGAGGAUAAAGACGAGAGUAUCGGAGCUCAGGACGGCGACGACAAUCAUGUUCAUGACCAUGAUCAUGAUACAAACCGAGGCAGCAUUACCAUUAUUUCGGUUAGAGAGUUCAACUAGUGGUACUGAAACAUCACCUGGCGCCAUUACCGUUAUUUCAGUUGGUUACUCAUAGUCCUGUUUCUAACAAGAGUUUGGAGUUUACUCUGGUAAAUAUUCAUGAGCUCAAGAUAAGCACAUGGUCAUAAUAAUGCUCAACAGUUAUAAACCUCUUUAGAUAUCUGGAUAAUAUCAUAGGUAGGGUGCUGUCAAUUCUAAUAUUAAGCGCUUUGAUUGAAUCUGCGAACACCUUCACUACAAUGUUGAAGAUACAAUUUCGAAGAUACUCACACUAAUUGAAGGUGUAAAUUGAAAAGAUAUAUCUUGCAAGCAUGUAUAUGGAUCGUACAAUCUAGUGGGAGAUUGUUUGAGUAAAAUUGUGAAAUUGAAAGAUCAUACAAUCAACUAAUCUUGCCCAAUUCUCUCUAAGGUUAUGUUUGUGAGUUUUGAGAAGUUAGGGAGGGAAAGUAAAAGAAGGAUAAUUACAGGAGGGUUUUCUGUAAUUUCACCAUUUUAGGAACAAUUUAUAAUCAAACUACAUACAGAAGGCCUAUAUUGAUAGGCUCAAAACUUCUGUAGAAGUGCUUUCUAAGAUAGAGCUGUUCAAGAUAAAACUAACAUCCUUUUUUUGCAUCAACUCACCGCAACAGCUUCCUGCAAAAGCUUCAAAUUGAAGUGCCCACUUUUAAAGCCUAGAAACUUGUUUUAGCUUUUAAACACAGUAAAGCUUUAGAAAAAUUUCUUGGAUAUUGCUUCUCAGGUUAGAGAAACUAUUCUGAAGCCAAACCAAACAGGCACAAAGUUCAAAAUAACUGACAGUAAAAGUUGCAGUUAUUGUUAGUUCAAGCUUUUAGGACAGAUGAAAUAAAAUAUCCAACAACAUAAAGAGCAAAAACCUCUUCUACAAAGAUGCAAUGUAUAUUUUUCUCCUCAUUUUUGAACAAAAUGUUUUACAAUCCAUGAAAACUAUUUUUGCCAAAGCCAUUAACAAAAAUCAAUACAAAAACAUAACAGCUAUACCUAUUUUAUUUAUUAUCCUCCACUGAUUGGGGGAAUGAUUGCUAACUCAUCCGUAUUUUUCAGAACUGUUGAUUCUAGGGCAUACUUCUCGCUUAGCGCCAAAAUCAUUGAAUUUGAGAUCUCUUCUAAGUUUGGAAAUUUGGUUAAGAGCUUACUCAUACAGUCCCCAGCAGUGCUCCCUUCAGGCAUUUCAAUAGAGGUUUUUGAUAACCCGGUUAAGUCGCGAGCUCUCGCGAAGAAGAGGGCUUUUAUUUCGAUCGACGAAUUUAUAUGAACCUUAGAUUUGUCAUUUUCUUUCAGGAUUUCGAUCAAUUCGCUCGUCCCAUGCACAGACGAAGUAUCUGAAAAUCAGCAACGAAAGAUAAGAGGUAGUGUUGUCAGCUUUAUAAUAUUUCCCUCGCUUAUAUAUUACUAAAUAAUACAUAAAUCAUUACAUAGAAAACCUAUUGCAAGGAUAAAAUUAAGACGAGAUUAUUCGACCUUACAACCUUUUUGAUGCGAUUUUGAUUUGGUCCUCAACCAUAAAUCUCCACGUAAUUUUCAUAGUUAUCACAGUUUUCUACUAUUCCAAUUUCGAAAAGCAUAUGAAUCCAACUUUGAAGAUUCGAUAGAUUAAGGACUAAGCUGAAAGAGUGGUAAAAUGUUACUGAGCUCUUCUAAACUCCAUCUAUAAAUAAGUUAGACACCAUCAAUUAGAAUAAACAUCAUGAAACAUCCUGAACAAAUCUGGAUAAAGAAGCAGGAAAAUUGCCAGUUGACAGAUAGAUUUGCCAACAAAGGUUGAGAUCAAGUUUAUGAGUAUUAUGUUCAACAAAUCCAAAUAUGCUGUUUGGCUAUGAAUGAUCGUUGAAUUAGAGGGUCUUUAAUUCACUUUUUCAUAAUCCCUUUGUUUCGAACUCAUUGUCAAUAAAUUACAAUGAUUUUCCUGGACUUGGGUGGAUUUUGAUAAGCGUAAGCAAAUCAUACAAUUUGAGAUCUGAUUCUCCAUGAUUUAUGUUUAACAAAUGUAGAAAAAUACUUGUACGUCAAAUUUUCUCUCUCUCUCUCUCUCUUUUUUUUUUUUUUUUUUCUAAUUGCCAUGUAUUGUAGAAAAAAGAUAGCUUCGCGUCCUUUUGGCUACGUCAAAUCCUAAAAUUAUAAAGGCCUGUUUGGAAACUCUUGAAAUAAUUAUAAUGGUUUUUUUUUUUUUAAUCUAUAGUUGAUGUGCGUGUCCCAAUACAACAUUACCCUAUUUAAAAGUACUCCAUUUCUAUGUUGUUUCAAUUUUCAAGAGCCCUCAACUUCAUGUUCUUUUCCUUUUUUUUCUCAACAUAGCAAAGAGUGAAUUUCUAUGUUGCAAAGAUGCAGAUACAGGGAUAUGAAUAUGAUCAUACAACACGAUACGGAUACGAUCAUAUGACAUGAUACAGAUAUAAUGAUACAACAAUUCCAAAAACUCUAGGAUAUGAUAUAGGGGCUAUAGUUGAAUAAAAUAUUAGUUUAAAUAUAUUUUAAUAUAUAUUGAUUAUAUGUAAUGAUAUAUUGAGGAUAAUCAGCAUCUCUGUGGGGCCGAUGUUGGCAGAGAGGCGUCGCCGUCGGAGGCAGUGGAGGAGGGUCGGAGAGGGGAAAAAAAAAUCGCAGCAUGGCCGGCGGGGUCGGAGGCGAGGAAGUCAUACGCGGACGAGGGUAAGAAUGCACCGGACAAAACCGAAGCUGACCGUCUCCGCCUCCGCCUCCGCCUCCGCCGCUCUUUGGGAAGAGAAAGAAAAAAAGAACGAGAGAAAAAAAAAAGAUUUUGGUCUUUGUUAAAAAUUCGGUUCAAAUAUUCAAAAUUGUAAAAGGUGAUCCAUUUUUGCAAAAGUAUAAAAUUAGUGAAUUUUUUAUGCAAAUUGAUCUUAAAAAAAAUAAAAACAAAAAAAUAAAAAUUAUAACCCCCAGCCUAAAAUUCCCAAAAAAAUAAUUCCAACCCCAAAAUUCCCGAACCCGAAGCCGCAAAACGCUCGGAGCCUCUCCCUCUCUCUCUCUCUCUCUCAGAUCUCUUCUUCGUCCCCUUCCCCUCUCUCUCUCUCUCUCUCUCUCUCUCUUUACCCCCUCUCUCUCUCUUUGUGUGCUCGAUCUCCGAGGAUCCAUGGCGGAUCAGCUCACCGACGACCAGAUCUCCGAGUUCAAGGAGGCCUCCAGCUUGUUCGACAAGGACGGCGAUGGUCAGAUCCCGAUCCCUCUCCCCCCUUCCUCUUUUCCCUUUCCCUUUCCAUUCCCAGAUCAUUUCCCCCUUUUCCAGAUCCGUGAGAUCCUCUUUUGCGAUUCGAUUUGAUGCGAUAUGUUUUGUUACUUGUAUUAGCCAUGAUCUAUUCUAUUUAUUGGUAGUUGUUAGGUAAAAGUGCAUGGAUGGAGACCCCCUCAACUAUAGUCCAUUUUGAAAUAGGCCUCUGAACUUCUCUUUUUUGUGGAUCAAAAAUUUUAUUAGAAUUGAUAGCUCCAUUAGUUUUUGAUCACUAGUUAUUAAUGGAAUGCGCACUUCGGAUAAAAAAACGUAGCUGGAAACGUGAAAUGUGGCGAAAUCGUUGAUUUAUUUAUUUAACCAAAUUCGUCAAUUGAAAUCAAAACGAAUGAAGGUUGAGAGGAUGCAAAUGGAAACAAAAAGUAAAAAAAAAUUAAAAUUGAGGGUUGAGGCCUGAAGAGGGUUUAUGUACAUAUUCACUUGAUUUUUAAAUUUGUUUAUUAAAUCUUUUGGGUCAAAUUAAUCUGAAGUGUUGUGUCUGUGGCCAUGAUAAUUCUGCGAGUACUCGUGACAUUAAUGUGGCUUGCGAUCGGAUUUAAGGCUUGAACAUGUGGUGUUUGUUUACGGUACGAUAGAAAGAAUACUUUGUGUUUGUGUCACUCUAGUAAUUCCUGGUCAUAUCCAGGUUGUAGUUGUUGCGUAGGUUCUUCUUGCUUAUCCACUUGAUGUGACAAGCUCAUGUCGUGUUUAUUCUAGCGCGAACUAAUUUGAGCUCAUAAUAAGAAAUUUUUGAACUUACUUUAAAACUAAUUUCUCUAAAAAGUGGUGUCUUUUUUGUUGAAUUCUUCGUGGACAUUACAACUUGCUUUUUAGUUGGAAACUAAUAGAUGUUCUGGUACGGUACGUUUUGUGUGUAUGAAUUAGCUAAUUGUUGCCAUUGGUAAAACACGUGCAGGUAUUCUUUAAUUAGUUAGAGUAGAGCCUUUUAAUGGCAUUGUAGUUAAGAUGGGAACCUACUAAUCUUAAAGUUCUUGAUGUAAUGGAAAGUACAUUGUCAAUGAAUUGCCAGUUGAGAGAUAAGAUUUGCCAACAAAGGUCGAGAUCAAGUUUAUGAGAAUUAUGUUUGACAAAUCCAAAUAUGUUGUUUGGCUAUGGAUGAUCAUUGAAUUAGAGGGUUUUUAAUUCACUUUUUCAUAAUCCCUUUGUUUCGAAGCUCAUUGUCAAUGAAUUACAAUGAUUUCCCUCGACUUGGGUGGAUUUUGAUAAGGGUAAGCAAAUCAUACAAUUUGAGAUUUGAUUCUCCAUGAUUUAUGUUUUACAAAUGUAGGAAAAUACUUGUACGUCAAAUUUUCUUCCUUUUUUUUUUUUUCUAAUUGCCAUGUGCUGUAGGAAAAAGAUAGCUUCGCGUCCUUUUUGGCUACCUCAAAUCCUAGAAUUAUAAAGGCUUGUUUGGAAACUCUUGAAAUAAUUACAGUGGUUUUUUUCUUUUUAAUCUACAAUUGAUGUGCGUGUCCCAUUACAACAUUACCCUAUUUAAAAGUACUCCAUUUCUAUGUUGUUUCAGCUUUCAAGAGCCCUCAAUUUUUUGUUCUUUUCCCUUUUUUUUCUCGACAUAGCUAAGAGUGAAUUUCUAUGUUGCAAAGAUACAUAUAUGGGGAUAUGACUACGAUCAUACAACACAAUGCAGAUACGAUCCUACGACACGAUACGGAUAAGAUGAUACAACAAUUCUAAAAACUCUAGGAUAUGAUAUAGGGGGUAUAGUUGAAUAAAAUAUUAGUUUAAAUAUAUUUUAAUAUAUAUUGAUUAUAUGUAAUGAUAUAUUGAGGAUAAUCAGGAUAUUUGUUAUAUGCUGAUAUAUAUUUGCUUGCAUAAUUGUUUUAGAUUUGUUCAUCAAAAAAGAUAAUCAAUCGUAUGAAAUAAUAAAUUCAAACAGUAUUAAUCAACUAUCAUCCAACUUGAUCAAAUAAUAACAAUAGAUAUUUAGUGGCACAGACUAGAAAAUUAGAUGAAUUCAUCAUAUAUAUCUGUUUUAUUAUAUUUUAUUAUAUAAAACAGUAAUAAAAAAAAUGCUAACACUUUGAUAGAAGAAGGAAAAAAUCACUCUACGGCCUUUGUUAAUUAGUGCUAGGUUGAUAAAUUAGAUAAGAGAAAGUAAAAGCUAAGUCAUAAAGGAUUUAACCAUAGCUUAAUCAUGCAUGGAGAUAGAGCGAGAGAGAGCACCUUCAACCAUCCACGAGCAAAGAGAUCAAAGAAAUGACGAAUUGAAGAGAGAAUGACAUUUUUCUCACUCUUUCUUUAUUUGCAAUGGUUCAGGAUGUGGGCGAUUUGAAAAGUUUUGAGUUCCGAUCAUUUUAGACCAAAAAAGAAUCCGACCAUAUCCCCCAUAUCCUCCCGUAUCCCUCCCGUAUCUGAGUCAUAUCCAAUAUUUUUUCUUAGUUUUUAAAAAUGCCGAGUACUUCAUUCCCAUAUCGGAUACAUAUCGGGCGCGUAUCGGUAUCCAAUAUAGGAACGGCAUGAAAUUUGAAGUAUCCGUGCUUUAGAGGUGAAUUUUUAUUUUACCCAAAGAUAGAAAGUUUUAGAGAAAACAUAAUGUAUCUCAACGCUUUAUUUUAGAUAUCCAUACAGUUCUUUGUAAAAACAAUUGUUCAUUGUGUUGAAAAACCCUCUUUUUUUUUCCAUUACAAUGUUUUUAUAUGGUUCCCAAACAGCAUAAAUUAUGCAGAUCAGGUUGGGAUUGGGAGCAAAAAAUAGCAGCACAAAAAUACCGAAUGGGGUUGGAGCUCUCGCCUUUUUUGAUGUUAGUUUUUUGCUCUCGAUUCCGCCCCAAUGUAUCGCUGCAUAAUUUGGAAGAAAAGGAUUUCAAUUCAUGUUAUUUUUACAUGCUCUAGUUAAUACUAUUUCAAAUGAUUCAAAAGCAUUUGGUGGGUUUGUUUGAGGCCGAAUUUGGUGUUAGUUACAACAUAUGCAUAGUCUUUCUUUUUUUUUUUUUUUUAAAAAAACCCUUCUUAAAAUGAACAUACUAGUUUUCUCACUAUUCAAUGCAACUCCAAAUUAGUUUAAACACAAAAAUUCAUAUCUAAUUUAAUUAAAUUGAAUACCAAUAAAAUUCAAAAUCAGUUGGAUUAUGGUCAUAUUAGAUUCAAUCACAUAUCAUUCCAAUUCCUGACCAACGAUUUCAACCCCAAAUCAAACUCACUCAAAUUCAUUCAAAUUGCGAAUCAAAUCCAAAUUAAAAUUUUGAUUCUAAGCCAAGUAACUAAAGUUCCAACACGACAUUCAAAUUGGAGGCUACUUACGAACCCUAAUUGUUGGAAUUUGGGAGAAAUUGAGAGCAAAAGGUAGGUAAAUUGGAAUGAUUUCGCAAUGGAAUUCAAUUCAACUCCAAAUUAGUUCAAACGCAACAAUCCACAACAUACUUUUUGAAGCUAUCUUUUUUCUACAGCACAUGGCAAUUAGAAAAAAAAAAGAAGAAAAUUUGACGUACAAGUAUUUUCCUACAUUUGUAAAACAUAAAUCAUGGAGAAUCAGAUCUCAAAUUGUAUGAUUUGCUUACCCUUAUCAAAAUCCACCCAAGUCGAGGGAAAUCAUUGUAAUUCAUUGACAAUGAGCUUCGAAACAACGGGAUUAUGAAAAAGUGAAUUAAAGACCCUCUAAUUCAAUGAUCAUCCAUAGCUGAACAGCAUAUUUGGAUUUGUCAAACAUAAUUCUCAUAAACUUGAUCUCAGCCUUUGUUGGCAAAUCUUAUCUCUCAACUGGCAAUUUUCCUGCUUCUUCAGUUAGAUUUGUUCGGGUUGUUUCAUGAUGUUUAUUCCGAUUGAUGGUGUCUAACUUAUUUAUAGAUGGAGUUUAGAACAGCUCAAUAACAUUUUACCACUUUUUCAGCUUAGUCCUUAAUCUAUCGAGUCUUCAAAGUUGGAUUCAUAUGCUUUUUGGAAUUGGAAUAGUAGAAAACUGCGAUAACUAUGAAAAUUACGUGGAGAUUUAUGGUUGAGGACCAAAUCAAAUUCGCGUCAAAAGGGUUGAAAGGUCGAAUAACCUUGUCUUAAUUUUAUCGUUGCAAUAGGUUUUCUAUGUAAUGAUUUAUGUAUUAUUUAGUAAUAUAUAAGCGAGGGAAAUAUGAUAAAGCCGACAACACUACCUGUUAUCUUUCGUUGCUGAUUUUCAGAUACUUCGUCUGUGCAUGGGAUGACCGAAUUGAUCGAAAUCCUGAAGGAAAAUGACAAAUCUAAGAUUCCUAUAAAUUCGUCGAUCGAAAUAAAAGUCCUUUUCUUCGCGAGAGCUCGCGACUUAACCGGGUUAUCAGAAACCUCUAUUGAAUUGCCCGAAGGGAGCACUGCUGGCGACUGUAUGAGUAAGCUCUUAACCAAAUUUCCGAACUUGGAAGAGAUCUCAAAUUCAAUGGUUUUGGCUCUAAAUGAGGAGUAUGCCCCAGAAUCAACAGUUCUGAAAAAUAGGGAUGAGUUAGCAAUUAUUCCGCCAAUCAGUGGAGGAUAAUAAAUAAAAUAGGUAUAGAAAAUAACGCUUCUGUUAUGUUUUUGUAUUGAUUUUUGUUAAUGGCUUUGGCGAAAAUAGGUUUCAUGGAUUGUAAAACAUUUUGUUUAAAAAUGAGGAGAAAAAUAUACAUUGCAUCUUUGUAAGAGAGGUUUUUGCUUUUUAUGUUGUUGGAUAUCUUAUUUCAUCUGUCCUGAAAGCUUGAACUAACAACAAACUGCAACUUUUAAUGUUAGUUAUUUUCAACUUUGUGCCUGUUUGGUUUAGCUUCAGAAUAGUUUCUCUGACCUGAGAAGCAAUAUUCAAGAAAUCUUUCUAGAACUUUAUUGUGUUUGAAAGCUAAAACAAGCUUUUAGACUUUAAAAGUAGGCGCUUCAAUUUGAGAAGCUUUUGCAAGCAGCUGUUGCGGUGAGUUUGAUGCAAAAAAAGAUGUUAGUUUUAUCUUGAACAGUUCGUUCUCAGAAAGCACUUCUGCAGAAGUUUUGAGCCUAUCCAUAUAGGCUUUCUGUAUGUAGUUUGAUUACAAAUUGUUCUUGAAAUGGCGAAACUACAGAAAAUCCUCAUGUAAUUUUUCGUUUUUUCACUUUUCUUCCUUGACUUUGAAAAAUCUACAUUUACCUCCUUAAAAUUUCAAAAAUAUUUUCAAAAGGGUUCGGCAUUAAUAGAGAGGACAAAAUAAGGCCUUUUUUAUAAAAUGACCCUCUAAAAAUUUUAAAUUGGCAAAAUAAUCCUAUCAAAAUUUUAUUUGAAAAACUAACCAUCUUUUCGCCACGUAGGAUUUUUACUAUAAAGGCGGUGAAUCAUUCACUGCCUUUAAAUAUAUAUAAUAAAGGCGGUGAUUCACCGCCUUUAUAAUAUAUAUGUAAAGACGGUGAAUGAUUCACCGUUUCAUUCACCGUCUUAUCUGUGUUUAUCUUCAUGACUUAGAUAAAUUUUGAUAAAUUUAGGAUAUUUUGCACUAAAGACGGUGAAUCAUUCACCGCCUUUAGAUAUAUAUAAUGAAGGCGGUGAAUUCACCACCUUCAUUAUAUAUAUUCACCGCCUUCAUUAUAUAUAUCUAAAGGCGGUGAAUGAUUCACCGUUUUUAUAGCAAAAUCCAACGUGGCGCCCACGUGGCGAAAGAAGGGUUAUUUUUCCAAAUAAAAUUUUGAAAGGAUUAUUUCUCCAAUUUUAAAAUUUUGGAGGGUUAUUUUAUAAAAAAGCCCCAAAAUAACCAAAUUGUCAUUACUUUUUCUAUAAAUAAAAAAUUAUUUUUUAAUAUAUUUUUGUCAUUUUAAAGGAUAUUUUUGGUAUAAAUUAUAAGAAAUGGAUGGAAUAGUGAUGAAACCCUGACAGAGGGGAGUUAAAUGCAAAAACUUGAAAUUUUCAGGGGGUAAAAUAUAGAAUUUUAAAAGUCAGAAAGUGAAAGUAAAAAAGCUGGUAUUUAUAAGAGGGUUUUUUAUAAUUUAGCUUGCUAAAAUUGCUUAUGAAUUAUCUGUUCUUAUUUGUUGUAUUCUUGUUAAUUUGGUUCAUGAUGAUUCUGCCAUGCUGAUCAGAAAAAAAAAAAAAAUUUCUUUUUCAUUCUAUCACAUAAAAAUAAAAAAAUAAUAAAUAUUGAAGCUAGAUCACUCAUUUUCCAACUUUGAUGCCUAAUAAUUAUUAUUAUAAUUAGAGCACAAAAAUAGGGUUUUUUUUUUGUCCUGAGAUUUGAAUUUAACAAAAUUUUGUGUAAAACAUGCGAGCUAGACUGCUAUACUAUCGGUAGUAUGGACGCCUCCGUGCUACUAAGUUGUUUCAAUAUAUUUUGAUCAAUUUUUAAAAAAUUUGGUGCGAAUCUGUAAAAUCUAAAACGACAGCCUAUAUUUGCAAAAGCAAACUAAUAAAUUUUUUAUGCAAAUUGGCCUUUGAAAAUUGAGACGUCUCGAAAAAAAAAAGAAAAAAAAGAUGGGGGACCUUGCUUAGAAGGGCCAACAUGCAUGUUUGCUUAAGUGGGCGCUUGGUUAGGCAUAAAACAAACCGAAAAUUAUUCGCAAUAUGAAAUUUUUUUUUUUUGAUUUGAUGUAAAAAUAUUUUUUCAUAAAAAUAUUUUUUUGGGUUUUUAUUUAUUAUUUUUUAUAGAAAAAUAAAAAUUUAAGUUGUGUAAAACUUAUCUUAUUCAUUUUUUUUAUUGAACUAAACAAAUAUUAAUUUUUUUCUUCUAAUCAAAUAAAUGUUGAUGAAAAUUUAUGUUUUUACAAAUCAAAUGCUAUAAAUUUUUUUUUGGAUCGAAAAUAUUUUUCACGAAAUAUUUUUUUUUAUAAUUUUAGUUAAACGAAAGUACCCUAAAUGAAUUACAAUGAUUUCCUUCGACUUGGGUGGAUUUCGAUAAGGGUAAGCAAAUCAUACAAUUUGAGAUAUGAUUCUCCAUGAUUUAUGUUUUACAAAUGUAGGAAAAUACUUGUACGUCAAAUUUUCUCUUUUUUUUUUUUUUUUCUAAUUGCCAUGUGCUGUAGAAAAAAAGAUAGCUUCGUGUCCUUUUUGGCUACCUCAAAUCCUAGAAUUAUAAAGGCCUGUUUGGAAACUCCUGAAAUAAUUACAGUGGUUUUUUUCUUUUUAAUCUACAGUUGAUGUGCGUGUCCCAAUACAACAUUACCCUAUUUAAAAGUACUUUAUUUCUAUGUUGUUUCAACUUUCAAGAGCCCUCAACUUUUUGUUCUUUUCUCAUUUUUUUCUCAACAUAGCUAAGAGUGAAUUUCUAUGUUGCAAAGAUACAUAUACUGGGAUAUGAAUACGAUCAUACAACACAAUACAGAUACGAUCCUACGACACGAUACGGAUAAGAUGAUACAACAAUUCUAAAAACUCUUGGAUAUGAUAUAGGGGGUAUAGUUGAAUAAAAUAUUAGUUUAAAUAUAUUUUAAUAUAUAUUGAUUGUAUGUAAUGAUAUAUUAAGGAUAAUCAGGAUAUUUGUUAUAUGCUGAUAUAUAUUUGCUUGCAUAAUUGUUUUAGAUUUGUUCAUCAAAAAAGAUAAUCAAUCGUAUGAAAUAAUAAAUUCAAAAAGUAUUAAUCAACUAUCAUCCAACUUGAUCAAAUAAUAACAAUAGAUAUUUAGUGGCACAGACUAGAAAAUUAGAUGAAUUCAUCAUAUAUAUCUGUUUUAUUAUAUUUUAUUAUAUAAAAUAGUAAUAAAAAAAAUGCUAACACUUUGAUAGAAGAAGAAAAAAAUCACUCUACGGCCUUUGUUAAUUAGUGCUAGGUUGAUAAAUUAGAUAAGAGAAAGUAAAAGCUAAGUCAUAAAGGAUUUAACCAUAGCUUAAUCAUGCAUGGAGAUAGAGCGAGAGAGAGCACCUUCAACCAUCCACGAGCAAAGAGAUCAAAGAAAUGACGAAUUGAAGAGAGAAUGACAUUUUUCUCACUCUUUCUUUAUUUGCAAUGGUUCAGGAUGUGGGCGAUUUGAAAAGUUUUGAGUUCCGAUCAUUUUAGACCAAAAAAGAAUCCGACCAUAUCCCCCAUAUCCUCCCGUAUCCCUCCCGUAUCUGAGUCAUAUCCAAUAUUUUUUCUUAGUUUUUAAAAAUGCCGAGUACUUCAUUCCCAUAUCGGAUACAUAUCGGGCGCGUAUCGGUAUCCAAUAUAGGAACGGCAUGAAAUUUGAAGUAUCCGUGCUUUAGAGGUGAAUUUUUAUUUUACCCAAAGAUAGAAAGUUUUAGAGAAAACAUAAUGUAUCUCAACGCUUUAUUUUAGAUAUCCAUACAGUUCUUUGUAAAAACAAUUGUUCAUUGUGUUGAAAAACCCUCUUUUUUUUUCCAUUACAAUGUUUUUAUAUGGUUCCCAAACAGCAUAAAUUAUGCAGAUCAGGUUGGGAUUGGGAGCAAAAAAUAGCAGCACAAAAAUACCGAAUGGGGUUGGAGCUCUCGCCUUUUUUGAUGUUAGUUUUUUGCUCUCGAUUCCGCCCCAAUGUAUCGCUGCAUAAUUUGGAAGAAAAGGAUUUCAAUUCAUGUUGUUUUUACAUGCUCUAGUUAAUACUAUUUCAAAUGAUUCAAAAGCAUUUGGUGGGUUUGUUUGAGGCCGAAUUUGGUGUUAGUUACAACAUAUGCAUAGCCUUUUUUUUUUUUUUAAAAAAAACACUUCUUAAAAUGAACAUACUAGUUUUCUCACAUUCCAUGCAACACCAAAUUAAUUUAAACGCAAAAAUUCAUAUCUAAUUUAAUUAAAUUGAAUACCAAUAAAAUUCAAAAUCAGUUGGAUUAUGUUCAUAUUAGAUUCAAUCACAUAUCAUUCCAAUUCCCGACCAACGAUUUCAACCCCAAAUCGAACUCACUCAAAUUCAUUCAAAUUGCGAAUCAAAUCCAAAUUAAAAUUUUGAUUCUAAGCCAAGUAACUAAAGUUCCAACACGACAUUCAAAUCGGAGGCUACUUACGAACCCUAAUUGUUGGAAUUUGGGCGAAAUUGAGAGCAAAAGGUAGGUAAAUUGGAAUGAUUUCGCAAUGGAAUUCAAUUCAACUCCAAAUUAGUUCAAACGCAACAAUCCAUAACUAAUUAUUAAAUUAAAAUGAAUACUUCUGAAUUCAAAACCAAUUUGAAUUCCAUUCGUAUUUGAUUCAACCACACAUCAUUCCAAGUUCCAACUAACACAUUUUUCAGUCAAAUUCAUUCGAAUUGCGAAGCAAAUCCAAAUUAAAUUUCGAUUCCAAACCAAGUCGCUAAAGUUCCAACACGAAAUUGAAGCGGAGGCUAGUUACAAACCCUAAUUGUUGGAAUUUGAUCCGAAAUAAAAAAAAACGCCAUAGGAAAGAGGAUCGAGCGAAAACCCUAGAUUUGGGUAGGUGGGGUUAGGGAGGGGGAAUGAUCGAACCUUUGGGUUGCUCCGUCGCCAUGGACACGACCUUCGCCGUGGCCCUCGACACGCCCCAAAAAGCCCUAAAAAUAGGUUAUGAGAAGGAGGAAGAAACAAUAUUCAACGGUCAACACAAAGGGCGAUACACACAACUCCAACUUAGAGUGCUAUAUAGGGAUAUGUAAUAUCUGUCUUUGUUAGGGAGAAAAUUGCAAAUAUGCCAGAUUUAUGUGGUAAAUUUACGGAUAACCCCUAAAUUAUAUGACAUUUGGAAAAGAAUCCUUACCUCUUUUAUUUCGGCACGAACUUCUUAGGUAAAAUUUAUGGAUAAACCCCCUUAAUUAAUGCUCCGUUCUGAAAAGAUUCCUCAACUUAAAAAGUAGUGUCAUUUCAUGCAAUGCGUAUAGUUGAGGGGCUUUCCAUACAAUUUUUCUCCAAAUUAAAAUUCUAUAAAUAUCAAAUAAGAAUUUGUAUAUGCGCUUAUGAAAACAAAAAAAAAAGAGAAAAUUUUAGCCCUUCGUUCCUCUCGGCGCCGCUCUCCCCAAACCCUCGUCCCGAGUGUAACUUUAAUGUCUCCAUUCCUUCCCCCUUCAUCUCCGACGAUCUCUCCUUUGGGUUAGGGUUCGGAUUCAACGCUUAUAUUUUAAUUUUUUUGGGAAUUUUUUCACGAUUUAGUUGUAUAAGGAAGUGCUUCAUUUGGGUGGUUUUCGAAAUGGGUUCUGCUUUUGCUGUUGAUUUUUGCUGCAUCAGGAAGCGGAAAUUAGCUUCGGAGCCGUAAAAGAAGCAGCUUUGGUGAAAAGCUUCUGCUUUUGCUUCAGAAGGAAACUGUUUAGCAAACCGAAAUUCUGUUCGGGAAGAAGCUUAGGGUUAGGGAUUAUUGCGUUUUACUUGUGACGUGAAAUGGAUGUUGUUUGCUGUAAUAUAGGGUAGUGCGCAGGAAAGGUGUUUGUUGAAAUGCCGAAGAGAAAAAAGUGCUUCUUUUUUUUGGGUUUAAAAUUUUGACUAUCUGAAUCGUUUUGUUAGUGUAGCUUGUGGAAAGUAGGAUUUAUUUUUCCGUUUACAAUAACUCAACGAAAAACUUUUACACUAUUAAAUCGGACCAUCUAAAUGCAUUUGCGGCUUUUGGAUUAAUAAACUGUCCCUCUCAUCAUAAUAAGGGGAAAAAAAGCAAAAAAAAAAGGGACAACAGUCUCUUGCGGAAUUUAGAAGUAGAAGUUUAAAUUAAAGCUUCUGCUUUUGAUGUUCAAAAAUUCAUUUUAGCUUCUUAUUGCAGCCAGAGGCAUGUUUUUGCUUUUGGUUCGCAAAGCCAUUCUUCUCCUAUACUCGAAGCUUGGACAAACAAGCACCCAGGGCUUGUUUGGCUCUACUGUAGGGUGUAUUGCUGUCCGAUGAAGUGUUGUUUGGAUAGUGCUUUUAGAAGAAGCAUUGUACUAAAAAUUCCUUCAAUAGAUUGUCUCUGCAGUAGAAGUAGGAGCACCAAAUUCGAGCUUCUAGCUUUGGGCUUCAGAAUCUCAUUUAUCAUUCCCGCUGCAGUAUAAGCACCAGAUUUUUCCUGUUUGCCAAAUGCUCUAUUAAAAGUGACUAUUGUUGAGAGUAGAAGUAGAAGCGGGACCAAAUAAUCACUUAGUACCCAAGUUCGAUUAUUGUUGCUUUUCCUUUUCAAAAUCUAUGCAUUUUUUUAUCAAUCUUCUUCUUGGAUUUCAUCGCUAUCUUUUGUAACACGUGUGUUAAACUAAUUUGUAUUCAAAUGAUUUUUCAGGAAAAAUGGUGAACAACUGAACUAGAUGUUGAUUGACUCCACCUCCUCAUGCAUUUAGUAAUAAGCAAUGGCACGCUGUUUCCUCUUUCUUCGAAGGCUGCAAAGGCCGCCUUCUUUAUCUCUUCAUAAUUUGCUUUUUUCUAGAGCAUUUGCUGCCCCUCUCCCUCCAUCGUUAUGGUCAUCACUUUUUCUUUUUGAUUCUCGUAACUUCCCUAAUUUGUUCGGUGGAGGUUGUCCUCAAUCUUUUCUCCUAGUUUCGAUUAGAUUCCUUUACCAAAUUAUACAGAACUAACUAUGUAAUCGUCAUAUACCUACCAUGUAACUUUUUGAUUUGUGUGGAUACUUCGAUCCUAUUUAACCCAUAAAUUUAAUGGAAAUGUUAUGAUUGUAAACAUUAGACAUUUUCUUGUGACAAUGAAAAGGUUGGGGACCAAACUGAAACCUUCUAAAGAGUUUGGGGAACUCUAAUGCAAUUCACCCUCAGUUCGUUCCUCAUCAUCUCUCGUCGCGUUUUAAAGCAGGUAUUCUCUUAACAAAAGUUCACACUCAUUUCACCCAUUUGGAAAUUUAUGGAAUAUAAGGAAUGUUAGCUAUGGAUCAGUGAAUCUCGUCCUUAAUGACGGGAUGCCAAAAUUCGAGACCCAUGAGAUAGAGCCUUUGAAAAAGAGGAAAUGGCUCACGAAGAAGCGACUUAAGCUCAAAAGGAAACGGGAGAAGAGUAAAAGGAAGGACGCAAACAAAAAGGAUCCACGACGAAUACGGCCGAAAGGGUUGAAGAAAAAGCAAAAAUUUCCCACUGCCGAGGCUCGGAUCAAGUAUAAGAUUGAGAAGGUAUCUAAUUUACCCUUUUGUGUUGCUACUCUCUUUGGUUUUAGAUUUUAUUUAUUAAUUUAUUUUGUAAGUUGUUAAGUGUUAACUUAUACAUUCAUUUGAAAUAACCAUCCAUUUAUUUGAAGAAACCAUCCCAGUAGGAUGCUUGGUUUGGCAGACCCUAUGUGAUCGUUCAUUCAAAAAGAGUAGGAAUGGAUUUUCCAUUUGCUUAUCCAGUCUAAUCUCAGACAAAGUCAGUUAGUGUAGGACUGUAGGCGGUGUAAGAUAGUUAGGAAGUCUUUCUAUUUUACUGUGAUAUAUGAAUGAUAUUAGUUAUAAAUAUAUAUGUUUAGCUAUUGACAAGCCCCUUUUUUUUUUUUUUUCAGUUUACACUAGGGAAAUUUUGUGUCAUCAUGUCCUGUAACUUAUUAUAGAUACUAGGAAAAUUUUGUAUCAUCAUGUCCUGUAACUUAUUAUAGAUAGGAAUUUUAAUUUAGUCGAUCAUUUUCAAUGCAGGCCAAACUAAAGGAAGCUAUGCUUGUCGAAAAGCUAAAGAAAUAUGAAGUCCCGGAAGUUCAAGGCCCGAUGGUUAAACCUGAAGAACUGACGGGUGAGGAACGAUUUUACGUAAAGAAGAUGGCUCAGAGAAAAUCUAACUAUGUUCCCAUUGGACGGCGAGGCAUAUUUGGAGGAGUAAUACUCAACAUGCACUUGCAUUGGAAAAAGCAUGAAACUGUUAAGGUUAUCUGCAAGCCUUGUAAACCAGGCCAAGUUCAUGAAUAUGCUAGAGAAUUAGAAAGGCUUAGUGGUGGGGUAGCUAUUCAGGUUAUUGGGAAUGACACGAUUGUUUUCUAUCGUGGAAAGAACUAUGUUCAGCCUGAGGUUAUGUCACCGAUUGAUACACUAUCGAAGAAAAAGGUACUUGCAAUUUGAGUUUUUUUUUUUUUAGUUUUUUUCUUUUAGUUUUUUAGUUUUUUUUUUAAUAAUUUGCUUCUUUGAUUGCACAACUUUUCAACUACACAAUUUAACUACUUGGGAAGCAGAAGCCAAGCAUUUGAAAAACAAGGAAUUUAGAGAUUUUGGCUUGAGUUAUAUAUUGAAAUGAGCUUCUAGGAUGCAAAAGGAAAAGCUCCACUUGAAGCUUGUGCUGCAGCAUUCUGCUGUUAGGAGUGCUUGUUUGGCUUGGUUUCUUGAGCACCUCAUCUGCUCGAGAAGCAUAUGCCGAGUGUUUCAGAAACACAAAUAUUUAGGCUUGUGAGUUGGCACAAAAGCAAAAUGAGCUCUGUGCACCAAAAAUGGAAGCUCUAGUUUGGGGCCUCUUUUUCUAUUUUCAUACUGGAGCUGUUGGGAGCCAAACAAGUCUGCUUACACAGCACUUCUGCAUAAGCAGAACAAGUUCUUAAGAAGAAAGCUGCUAGGGCUCCAAGCAGCUCUACUGAAACAUCUUUCAAGCAGCUAAAUUUUAACAAUUUUGUUCUUAGGCACUUGAGAAAUCAAAAUAUGAGCAGUCGCUUGAGACAGUUAGGCGGUUCAUCGCGAUAUCUGAGAAGGAGCUCGAGCUUUACUACCGACAUGUGGCACUUUACGGCGACCCACAGACAAGGAAUGCUGAUUUAGUUUAUGGUGAUGAUCAGAAAACCCCUUUUAGCAUGGGAACAGAGGAAUUGAAUUUUUCCAAGGAAGAAAGAGUUUGUUCUUCUGAUCAUUGUGAUAUAUCAGAAGAUUUUUCUGGCAUGGAAGUUGACUCAGAUUAUGAAUUUGAUUCCAACGAAGGGGAAUUCACUGAAGAUGAAACUGAUUCUGAUGUGGAAGAAGAAUCUAAUUGUCAGGUGGAUUUAGAGGAUGGAGAAGAGGAAUUUGAAGUGCCAAAAUAUCCAGCUUGAUGAUAUUCUGAUUCAUCAAGUCAAAAGAGUGGACUUCCAAGCUAUAUUUUCUUCAUGCAAAGGUGCGCCUAGUUUUGAUUUAUUUGGUAAUACAAUAGCAAAAUUCUGCUUUAUGUGAAUACCUGUAAACUGAUUGUUUAAUUGUUCCUUCGAUGAUUUUGUUUCUUUUCUAAUGUUUUACUUAGAAUUAUUCCUGUGUAAGUUAGAAAGAAUUAUUUUCUGUGUAGAUGGGCCUAACAUAACAAUAUAGGCUACAAAGUUCAAGUUCACUAAUAUGUAGAUGUUAUCAGGGGAAAAAAAAGGUUGUUAAUACGUACUAGAUCAUUCCUUUUAAAUCUGCUUUUGAUUCCCUGUUUGAUACAGUUGCUGCCUGUUUGGUAAUCCUCAUAAGUAUAGGUUAGCUGUAUAUAACAUGGGGCUAUAAAUGAACUCUGGUUUUCGAUAAACAAACAUCUAAGCACACUUGUUCUUAGAUGAAACUCAUUGUUGUUGGCAAACAUCCAUUACUGGGUAUGGCUUGAUUCUUAGGUAUUCUCUUCUACUAUAUUUUGGGGAACGACCUUGUUUUUAUUAUGAGGUCCUCUUCACUAGCAUGCUGCUUGAAGUAACCUAACAUAAAAAGGCUAGUAAACUCUUUUGUUACUGGCAAACUGCCCACUACUGUUUAUAAGCUUAAAUCUUAAAUAUUAUCUUCUUUUAACAUGCUAGGUGUGCCCUGGUUUUGGAACCUCACAAAACCGAUAAUCUUUUGUUUUUUUUUGGCUCUGUCCGAGAUCAACCCCAUACGAAUUAAACGCAUGCUAGAUUUUGUUUCGGAUAAUCUUUUUGAACAAGAGAAGUUGCACUUCUAUAAGGUUCCAACCAUGCUUCUGCAAAGUCUACUGCACUUACAUAUGUAGAGGACACUCAGAUAUUGUUACCUGAAAAAGAGGGUAAAAAAGGGAGAAAGAGAUAACAUGCAGAUGUUGAUUGAUCCAUCAUCAUAUUUGUGGGAUUGAUGUACUCUUGUACAAGUUGCUUGUAAUCUAUAGUUGAGCCAGUUGCUGCACAUUGAUGGGGUAGACAUCAUUUUGAGGCCCAGUAUAUGCCCUUUGUGCGAGGAUCAGGUUCACGGCCUGUGUUGGGUGGAACGCGUCCCAAAAUACAUGCUGAUUCCGAUUAGUACAAGCCACGGCAAAGGGAAGGCAUGUUACCUGUCCUUGGUUCCUUCCUAGUCCACAACAACCGCGAUCAACAACUGUGAAACCUAGAAAAAGAAAAAGAGAAAAAACAAAAUUAAAAAAGAAAACAUGAAACAAAGCUUGAUAUAAUAUCAUUGAAUUUGAAUACUUUCUUAGAAAAGGAGGGUUAAUAGUUUUCCUAUCUGAAGUGAAUAAUCAAGAAACGAAUCAGAAUCAAAUGGAUUAAAGCAUCUGGAAACUAAAAAUCCCACUAUUUUAGAGAAAUAAUGCAGUUCUUUUAUAGGUUUUCGGAUAAUAUACUUCCCAUCUGUUGUGACAUGGUACUGGUUGCUUUUAUUUUUCUUCCCUUUUGGUAUUUUUAAAUAAAAAUGGGAGUGAAUUCAAUGUUAUAAUUUUAUGAAUUUAAUUGAUUGAUUUGAUGAGAAUAAAAGUUAUGCUAAUUAGAUCGAUAUGUUAGAAGAAUGAAUAAAAUAAGUUAAUUUUGAUGAGAAUAAAAACUUAUGCGUAGAUCAAUAUGUUAAGAAUAAGUGAGAAAUUGCAGUAUUGUAAAAGUCGAUUAAUUGGCUGCUCUUUGUACUGCUGUUAAACUUAAAUUUUGGGUGUGUGGGCAAACCGUAAUUGGCGGAUUGUUGAGAAUGUCUCCCACGCAUAUGUGUUGCCUUAAACAAAGAUUGCUCCUGGAUGGUUGGUGUUCAACUGCUGGACCAGUGAUCUCAAGCCCUAUUGAAGAAACGACCAUCUGAUUCACCUGAUCGACGCACCGAUCGCGCUGGGGCUAUACGACGCCCUCUGGCUUGGGAUGCACCCUAGCGGCCCCCCUCUGCGGCAGGAAUUUUUGCAGCCCAUGCUGUAUAACCCUGUGGAGAAUGAACAAUGAGAGCUUAUCUCAAUUGAAAAAAAAAAAAAAUUUUAGCUGCAGCGGACCUGAUGAAAUAAGUAAAUAUAAGGAAGCUUAUCUCAAAUUGAAAAAAAAAAAGAAGAAAUUGAGGAGCAUAAAAGUCUCGAUUACAAAGAGAGCAUGAAGGAGACCACAUGAAGUGAACGAGCCAAUAAAAGUGUUAUAGAAAAACAGAUACUGAUACGAAACAGUUUAUCCUAGGAAGUUAAACUGAUCAUAAGCACAGCUAUAAAGAGAUGAUACUGAAAGACAUGUCCGCAGAAAAGUAAGCCCAAUGAGAAAUUUCUGUGUAUAAAUAAUUGAUUAUAUGAACGCUCGUCUAUCAAGCAUUUAAUCAUAAUUUGCUAGGGUUGACGUUUGACAACAAUUACUUGCCUUGAAGCACCACAUAUUGUCUUGAAUUCAUUCUAGAAUGUAUAAAGAAGCUUACCUACUCUACUGGCAAGUAAAAGAAAUUAUUAAAAAAUUCUGCACGAUGAACUGAUUAGUACCUUUUACAGAAAGAAAAAAAAAACAUCUGGCUAUUUGCAUAAUAUUCAUUUCUUUUUUUUUCCUUUUUUCGGAGAAAAAGGAGAUAAUACGUACUAUCAUCACUAUCUUAAGUGGAAAUCAAAGAAAAGAAAUCGCAAAAGUAAAAUCACAAGAUUUAAGUAACAUCCGACGAUUUUGUAGUAAUUAUUUUCGCUUACAUAGAGCUUUCUGUAUUGUAGUUAUGAUUCAAAUUGUUCUUGAAAUGGCCAAAACGUACAGAAAAUCCUCAUGUAAUUUUUCGUUUUUUCACUCUUUCUUCAUUGACUUUGAAAAAUCUACAUUUACCUGCCUUAAUUUCAAAAUAUUUUUCAAAAGGUAUUCGGCAUUAAUAGAUGGAGAGACGGACAAAAUAAGGGCUUUUUCAUAAACAAUGACCCUCAUAAUUUUAUUAAAAUUUUAUUUCGAAAAAUAACCCUCCUUUCGUCACGAAGGCGUCACGUCAGAUUUUUGCUAUGAAUGCGGUGAAUCAUUCACCGCCUUCAUUAUAUAUAUGUAAAGGCGGUGAAUGAUUCACCGCCUUUAUAAUAUAUAUGUAAAGACGGUGAAUGAGUCACCGUUUCAUUCACCGUCUUAUCUGUGUUUAUCUUCAGGACUUAGAUAAAUUUUGAUAAAUUUAGGAUAUUUUGCACUAAAGACGGCGAAUGAUUCACUGUCUUUAUAGCAAAAUCCAACGUGGCGCCUACGUGGUGAAAGAAGGGUUAUUUUUUCAAAUAAAAUUUUGAAAGGAUUAUUUCUCCAAUUUUAAAAUUUUGGAGGGUUAUUUUAUAAAAAAGACCCAAAAUAACCAAAUUGUCAUUACUUUUUCUAUAAAUAAAAAAAUAUUUUUUAAUAUAUUUUUGUCAUUUUAAAGGAAAAGAUAAUCGCAAAAGUAAAAUCACAAGAUUUAAAGUAAAAUCACGAGAUUUGUAUUAUUAUUUUCGCUUACCAAUAUCUGCCUUGUGUAGUGAUUGAGGAGGAGGUUUGCGUACUGCUCAGGAGUGUAGUUGUAACUGGAAGUGUAUAAAGAAGGCAAUAGAUAGUUGUUGAUGUAGUCAUUGCUACCCAAGGCCAUGACCACGAUAGACCUUGCAAGGUAUUGGUUGUAGCUGUUACCACCACCCAAUAGGGCUCUGAUUUCAUUCAAGUUGCUUUGGAAGUUCAACACUUGCUGAUUCAAGCCAAAUCUGUCUCCCUGGUAUCAUAUUUCGACAUUAUAAGGAACCCUAAGGUGCAUUUGGUCUGGGGUCAAGUUCUAAGCAGAGAGUAGAGUUAAAUUUGUAAUGAGUCUUUUAUUUAAGUGAUAUUUGUAGUACUUACGAGGAUAAUCCCAAUGAUCAUGAGAAUAUUUAAUGGAGGACUUAAUUUCAGAGAUUGCAUGGAAAAACAGUUUUCCUCGUAACCCUUGAAUUAUUUACAGUAGGUUAACUCAUAAAGAGCUCAGGUGAGACAAGAAUUAGAAAAAUGAGGAAUGAAAAGGAAAAAAAAAAGAAGAAGAAAGGGCAAAAGAUAGUUAUCACAAUAUCUGCAGCUGGAAUUUAUAAAUCUAAGAUAGAUAGUCUUACUAUAAUCCAAGUAGAUUUGUGCUGAAUAGGACAUCUCCGUGGGCAUAUGACCUACUUUUCUCCAAUAUCUAGUGCCUUGUUUCUGUAUAUACACAUGCGAGCACGUGAGCAUGUGAAGGCAUGCACACGUGCUCAUAAUAUUUUCGUGUGUAUUAGAAAAACUUUUUAAGGGCGAAAGAAAGAAGAGGGAUAAUGUAUACAAGAUAUCUGCCGGUCUCAUCCAUGAUGCCUCCUGCUGCUGAAGCAUAAUUCACUCCACCAAGCAAUCUUGUUCCAUUAAGACCAGGGCUUGUAUACGGUGGAAGAUAUGGAAGACCCAGUAAAUCACCUGAAAGAGUGAAAAAGAGAAAAACCAAUUUAAUUACUUUCUAUCCCAUGAAGUGGUUGGUAAGAUAGUUAGGAUUUCUGACUAGAUGUAGCCUCUAGUAGUCAUUUAUUUCCGCUUCAUCUAGCCCUCUAAAGUUCGAGUUUGUGGUUGCAUACUUUAGAUUUGUCUACAAUUGUGCGAAUGCCAAUCUACUCUUCUUUUCUUUAGAAUCACAUUGUAAACAAAUAAAACAAACGUUGUGAGACUAAUUCUUUUAUCAAUUACUUAAAAUGUCUAUCAGUGAAANUAGCCUCUAGUAGUCAUUUAUUUCCGCUUCAUCUAGCCCUCUAAAGUUCGAGUUUGUGGUUGCAUACUUUAGAUUUGUCUACAAUUGUGUGAAUGCCAAUCUACUCUUCUUUUCUUUAGAAUCACAUUGUAAACAAAUAAAACAAACGUUGUGAGACUAAUUCUUUUAUCAAUUACUUAAAAUGUCUAUCAGUGAAACUAAAAAUCCAAUUUACAGAGUCAUUUAUCAGUUUUAAAGCAUAUGUUGUGGUAAGGUUAGAAUUUAGAAUUCAAACUUACAUAAUACAUCUAUAACAGUUUUUCCAUUGCAGAACCUCCCAGUGGGGCCCUGAGAGAAGUCAAUCCCAUAAGGGUAGUAAUUGGACUUUGCAAGUGAACUGAGGUAGUUGUUGUUCCCAUCAUCGACGAGCGAGUCUCCGAAGACGAACAUUGCUGGGACCUGAGGUGCCCCAUGCACCCCAGCUGAGAAGAAGCAGAAGCAAGAAGACACGAAAAUCGCUCCAGCAAGGAGCCCUUCGGAAGCUGUUUUUGAGCUGAACUUUCUCAUUUUUGUUCAAACAAAGUUGAUGGGAGUGAAAGCAAAUUGCAAUUAGAAGCUGUGGAGAUGGCUGUAUAUAUACUCGGAUGUGAUAAAUGUGUACACUAGGGUUCCUGCAAGGAUAUUUUGGUCCAAAUGUGCGAAUAUCGGAAAAAAAGGGGACCAACUUUGUGAAAUGCAAUAAAGGGUGGAUUGUUUAUGCAAAAAAAUGGUCAAGCUCAUGAAACUCUUGUUUUUUAGCUCAGUUUCUUCCUGCUUUUCCUUACAAACUUUGUCAGUUUCAGUAACAGAUUGUUGGCUUUUCUCCAGUUUAUCUGCUCUUUUCUGCAAUCUGUAACUGGUGCCUCCAUAAACAGAUAUGAUGGGAAAGUGGUUGUAAAUCAGAAAAGUGCUUUUAUUAUGUUGGUAAAAAGGUGAUAUGUUGGAGAGAGAUUUGCUUUGCUGCUUAUCAGGAGGUAGUUAGGAAAGCUGAUGACAAAUCAUUUCAUAUUUUCCUCUAUAUAAAAAAAAAGUCAUGUAACAUUAUGAUGAAUUUGCUUUGAGAACAGCAUUUUUCAUGCAUGUGUUUCUUUUGUAGGGGUGGUUAAGAGUAAGCUUUAAUAUAAAUGUUUUUUAUGUACCUACAACAAAUUCAAGUGUGGUUGUGUGAAUAUGGAUGUAUAUGCCCCUUUUUUUUCAUUUUUUUUUCAUUCUUUUCAUUUUUUAAGUAUUAGGCUUACAAGCAAUUCCCUUUCCAACUCCGAAUUAAGAUGCGAGUUUAGGGAUUUCAGCAUUAGGUGUCAACUAGCUGCUGUAGUAAUUAGGGUUCCUUGUGGUUGUUUAUAUAUAUGACCUCUCUUUUCUCUCUAGAGAGAGAGAGAGAGAGAGAAGAGAAAGUGUUAUUUGUGAUAAUUACCUUGUCCAAGCAAGAGGUGGCACAAGAAGAUGGGCAAUUUAGAAGUUGCUGAGAGCAUCUUGGUAUUGUUGUAUUGAUACAGAGAUGGUAGUGUGAGAUGCUUCUAAUGCUGCCAAGUAUUUUGGUAAUUUACUUGCCUAAGUAGGCACUCUGGCAGUGGCAUUGGGAGCUAUGGCAUGAGAAGGGCAGAGAGCAGGAAAUGGAGGAUAAAUAUGAGUUCCUUUUGGUCAAUCUUUUUGCCUGAGCAGGUGGGGGUAUAACUAAGUACUUUUAUUAGGAGCUGUUUGGAUGUGAUUGUAAAUACAGUAUGCAUUUUAUUUGAUUUGAUGUAGUGGAAAGUACUGUAGUUAUAAAUAUUUUAUUUGGUAAAAUACGGUUGAAAAGUAUAUUUACGAAUUUUUAUUAUUUUUCAUAUGAGGUGGUGAGAUUACUCGUGUUGGAAAGUAAAAAAAAUCUAUUUAAAAGGAUAUAAGAAAGGUAAGCUUAUCUUUAUUUGAAAUUACUCUCUCCGAGUAUUAUAGUUGGAACUGCAGUCAAUUUAGACAUAGUUUCAACUACUGCUGCAGCUGAGUGACUUGAGUCUUCUCAUGCAAUUGCAACUGGAGCUGUUGAAUCCAAAUGCAUCAAAAUGAACAUGGAAUUUGCAUCUACAUGCAAUUAUAAUUAUAAUACAGAUGCAAUUACAUGUAACUAAACAGCCCCCUUAAAAAUUACAGAGAUCAAUUUUUUUAAUUUCAUUUCACAAAUAUAAGAUACAGUGUAAAGAUAUAGGUAAUUCAAACUUAUUGAAGGCAUUUUGGUAAUAACAACUAUUUAAAUAGGUGAAGGCAUUUUGGUAAUAACAACUAUUUAAAUAGGAGGUAGUAUCUAUUAUCUAUUACUAUAUACUAAAAUCCGUGGAGGGUUCUUUGUUUGUGGACACAUGUCCAUUUUACGUAUUUCGUGCACCUAGUGUACUAUGGAUCAAGUAAAAAAUAUAUAAUUUUACUUCGGUAGAUAUAUUUAAAGUUUAUAAUUUUUAAUAUAUAAACAUUUCGAAUGUCAUAAAACAUACUCAAUAAAUUAAAUCCUAAUUUUUGAAUUGUUUAUAAUUAAUUUUUAAGAGUAUCAUGUAUAAUGUUGUAAAUCGCAUCCAAAUACACUAUGAAUUAGACAAUAGAAAUAUUUGGUGCACUUGGUGCAGCGUAGACUAUGAAUCUAUUUUAUAUCGAUUGAGUUUACCGUGGAGGUAUUCUCUCAAUCCGAUAUAUAUCCUCUUAUAUUUUUCUCUCUCUCAUGGAGCGUGUGCUCUCUCUCUCUUUUACUUUAAUUUUUAUUUAAUUUAAUAUUCAUACCUUCUCUCUCCUCUCACUCUCUCACCAAGAAAUGUGCAUACCUCUUCUCUCUCUCUCUCUCUCUCUCUCUCUCUCUCUCUCUAACAUUACUUGGACCACUCUUCACUUCUUCUCUCCUCUCUUUCCUAUUUACAGCAACAAGAACNUCUCUCUCUCUCUCUCUCUCUCUCUCUCUCUUAGUUUAAUUUUUAAUUUAAUACUCUCUUUUCUCUCCUUUUCCAAACAAAAUAAAUGACUUUUUUAACCAAAUUAAAUUUAAAUUUAGUAAUUAUAUAUUUUUAAAAAUAUUUUAAUUUUUAAUUUUCUAAAUUAUGAGUAAAAUACACUCUAUUUGAAACUUUGAAAGUGCUCUCUCUUUGAUUUUAAUUUUAUUUAAUGUUCUCUUCUUUUUCUCCAAAUAAGAGAUAUAUAUAAAAAUUAACACUUAUAUUUGACUCUAUUAAGUGACUUUACAUAAUGUAUAAUAUAAUAAUUAUGAACUUAAAAAUUAUAUCUGCCGCGAAGCGCCAGGUACAUUGUUAGUGACAAGAUAUUGAUUGAAUUAUAAUAAUUUUUCUACCUUAGCAAGAGGUGUUACAACAGGGGAGAGAGAGAAAGGGUAUUUUGGUCAUUUCAGCUGUACAAAGGUAUUGCAUUAGCAAUACUUUGAAAGCCAUAUAUAGAGUAUUUUAAUAGAUUAAAGCCAGUCUAGUAUCAAAACCUACUAGUUGUUUCAAAAACAUUUACCAGUGCUUUAAUUUGAAAGCAUUCUAGCCCGACUCUUUACUCAUAUACACAAGUAGUGUUGGUAAUCCAGUUCGUGUUCAGUUCGAAAUGAGCUCAAGAUUGAUUGUUCGUUUAAUAAAUGAGCUGAAUCCGAGCUGAAUUUUUUAGCUUAAAAUCUUAAUAAGAGCCGAACGCAAGCUUGUAUUAGCUCGCUCGUGUUGGACUCAAUACAGCUCGAAUAUAUAUAUAUAUAUAUAUAUAUAUAUAUAUAUAUAUAUAUAUAUAUAUAUAUAUAUAUAUAUAUAUAUAGAGAGAGAGAGAGAGAGAGAGNNNNNNNNNNNNNNNNNNNNNNNNNNNNNNNNNNNNNNNNNNNNNNNNNNNNNNNNNNNNNNNNNNNNNNNNNNNNNNNNNNNNNNNNNNNNNNNNNNNNNNNNNNNNNNNNNNNNNNNNNNNNNNNNNNNNNNNNNNNNNNNNNNNNNNNNNNNNNNNNNNNNNNNNNNNNNNNNNNNNNNNNNNNNNNNNNNNNNNNNNNNNNNNNNNNNNNNNNNNNNNNNNNNNNNNNNNNNNNNNNNNNNNNNNNNNNNNNNNNNNNNNNNNNNNNNNNNNNNNNNNNNNNNNNNNNNNNNNNNNNNNNNNNNNNNNNNNNNNNNNNNNNNNNNNNNNNNNNNNNNAGCGGCGGUGGCGGGUCGAGUGGCUCGUGCGGCGGUCGGCUUGGGCUUAGUAGCCCGAGUGGAAAUGGCGAGGGAUGCAGCAGCGGUGGUGGCUGACAGCGGCUUAGGUGGCGACGGCAGGGUAUGUGGCAGCAGCAGCGGUGGACGUGGUGGUCGCGGCGGCGGCGACGACAGAUGUGGGGGAUGCAGCAGCGGCGACGGCGGACGUGGGGGAUGCGGCGGCGGCGGCGGCUCGCCUCUAUUAACUAUAUACGUGUGUGUAUAUAUAUAUAAUGUUAAUAUAUAUACAUGCAGAUAAUAUAUAUAUGAAGGCUACAUUAGCUGUAACUAUAUAAUAUUAUAAAAAUAAUUUUUUUUUAAAAAAAGUUUUUUUAUAUUUAUAAAAUAUUGUGUGUACUCAAUAGUCUUUAUUAUUAUUAUUAUUAUUAUUAUUAUUUAGUGGUAAUAAGUCUCAUCAUUCUCUUUUUGUUUAACACAAAACAUUAUUAAAACAAAAGUCAUGGGUACAUUUUGAAGUAAGCAAAGAAAACAAAGUAAUCCACCAAUUUUCUUGUUAUUUUCUUUCUUGCUCCCGAGGAAAGAAGGGUUCUUAUUUUUUUGUUCUUUCUUACUCCCCAGGCAAGAAGUGUCGAGUUUCAUUCCUUGACCUCGCUGCGAAGGAUCGGGUGAACAGCAGCUGAUGGCGAGUUUAGUCGGCGUCGAAACGACAACAACAGGUAUGGCGACGGCGGCUUCGGUGGAUGCGGCGGCUUCGACGGAUGUAGCGGCAUCGGCGGCGGACGUGGUGGGCGCGGCGGCAGCUCGGUUGGCGUUGGGCUCGGGUGGUGUCGAGCGGCGUCGGCGGCGGUUGGUGAUUACGGCGAGGAACGCAACAGCGGCGGCGACGGGCACGGUGGACUCGGCGAUGGCGACGGCGGACGUGGUGGAUGCGGCGGCGGCAGCUCGCCUCCACUAACUAUAUAUAUAUAAUUAUUUAUUUUAUUUUUGCUCUCAUCUUCUUCUUCUUCACUUUUUUUUUUUUUAUAAAGCAAUGCAACCUGGGAGUGUGUUUGCACUGGGUGUGGGUGAUCUCUCGGACUUUUUUUGAAAAUAAUCCAGUAGAAUUUUAUAAUUGGCAAAAUGACCCUUUGAAAAAUUUAUUUGUAAAACUAACCCUUCUUUCGCCACAUCGGCGCCAGCUUGGAUAUUUUUCGUAAAGACGGUGAAUCGUUCACCGCCUUUGCAUAUUUCUCGUGAAGGCGGUGAAUGGUUCACUGUCUUUUGAAGGCGGUGAACCAUUCACCGUCUUUAGAGCAAAUACACCCCCGCUCGCCUUACAAGGCCGUACCUGUGCCCUCGAGAAGACGGUAAACUGUUCACCGUCUUAACUAAGACGGUGAAUCAUUCACCGUCUUUAUAGUUAACCCCUACCCACCCGAAAUUUGGCCAAGUUCUGUAGGCGGGGCUAAAACACAGAUAAGACGGUGAAUAGUUCACCGUCUGCACUAAAGACGGUGAACUAUUCACUGUCUUUAUUGCAGACACCCGCCAACGGGUAUCCUUAGAUAAGACGGUGAAUCGUUCACCGUCUUCACUAUGUUCAUGAAGACGGUGAACAAUUCACCAUCUUACCUAGGUGUAUACCCAGCCCCGACCCCGACACCUCUCCCUCCCUCUUCGCUCUCUUUCUCUCUCUUAUCUCUCUGUCUCUCUCUCCCUUUCUGCCCAUCCCUCUCCAACCAAGAGCCGCACCCCGUCGCCGCCGCCCCUGGUCGUCGCUGCCCAAGCCGACGUCGCCGCCGCCGGUCGCCGUCGACCCACCGAGCCUUCCCCCGUGCCACAACAAUCCACAUUGCAAGUAUAAAUCUCUCUUAGCAAGUUUCUAGGUUUAAACCUAGUUUAAACUAAUUUAAACUAGUAUAAACCCUAAACCCAUUGCAAGUAUAAAUCUUUCUUAGCAAGUUUCUAGGUUUAAACCUAGUUUAAACUAAACCCUAAACCCUUAAACCUAGUUUAAACUAGGUUUAGUGUUUAAGGUUUAGACCUUGGUAGCAAAUGGUUAUCCAUUAAGCUGAGGAAAUAGUAUCAUAAGAAGCAAAAAGGUUAUGCUCCGGUUCUUGAAAGAACGGACCUCACUGUUUAAGAGGUAACCAUAGAGAGGACCUCACUGUUUACCAAGUUUUAACCUAGUAACACUCCCUUUAUUUUCUUGUUGUAAAUUUUCUAUCAUUUAGUUAUCAUUUCACUUAGGUUUAGUUUUCGCUGAUGAGAACAUGGAGAAUGUUGUUGAUUUAUUUUUCUGUGUAGUUCAAAUGGCUAGUCGUCGGAUGUCUCUUAGUGUUCAUUGGGAUGGACAGUUAGAUAUGGAUGGGAAUGGUCCUCGAUAUUUCGGUGCUCGAAAGAAAUUGAUUGCGAUUCGUUCAGAUACGACCUAUGCGAAUUUUGAGAGGAGAAUGUAUCGUUUAGUAAAUUGUAAUAGAGAAGAAUGUUGUCUUAAAUACACAAUUCAAUGCCCUACGGGAGCAAAUGAAUAUAUUGCUCAUGAUAUAGUAGAUGAUGAAUCAUUGGAGGGAUUAAUUGGAUUGUUUGAACAUUAUGGAUGUGUGUCGCUAUACNGGCUGCCACUUUUGGCGGAUUUUGAUGCAUGUGGUGGUUUAGCUUGGGGUGCGGCAGCAUUGGCCUACCUUUAUCGCGCAUUGGGAACGGCUUCAUUAAAGGAUAAGGUCGAAUACUGUUGUUUCGCGACAUUAGUACAGGUAAUAUCAAUAUUAUAUAAUAAUUGUUAUAUAAAGCUUCUCCUAUUUAAGUUCACCUGUCUAAUUUAUUGUAAUUUAUUUAUAAAUUUGGGCGUGGGACCAUCUUCAUGGCGGCUGACCUACUAGCGUUGGAGCUAUUGCUGACAUGGCUGAUUGCCCUUUGGGUUGCCGGUAUGACAAUUAAAUAUGAUACAUAUUACAUUUCUGUAUAUAUAUUUGCAACUAACAUACUUUUCAAAUAUUAGUUGGACGAACGCCGGCGGUUUACGUUUUGGGGCAAAUGUUAGGACGACCGAUAUUGAGUUAUAUAGAGAUGAGCUAGAUCAGCAGCGAGAGUCCCAUGUACGUAAUAAUGCAACCAUUUUUUCAAUAUUCAACUGUAUUAAUGCAUUCUGCUGACUAUUAUUGGCUUUUUCACAGAUUACAUGGCGGCCGUACACAGAUGCUGUUAUAGAUGUGCUACCGGCAUUCUGUGUACAGGACAAUGCGGUAUGGCGAUCGCGGACGAUGCUGAUUUGUUUUCAUAUCGUCGAGCUUCACGUGCCCGAUCAAGUCCUUCGGCAGUUUGGUCUCCUACAGCAUAUACCAAUUCACGUGGAGACCAUCCGUCGCUUAACAUCUCAGGGGCGGCCAGAUAAGGAUUGGGCCCACUUUCAUUCUGCACACAUCGAGAGAUGGGGACAGCGAUUACAGGCUACUAUUGAUCAGCAUCCGAUUGUCGGUGAUGACCCGGUUCAGGCGACAUCUAUUUAUAUGGAGUGGUAUUGGUAGAUCACGAGAAGAUUGAUUUCUCGUCCAGUACAGCGUCCACCAUUGACUUACCUGCCUCGCGGCCAGACGGAGAGAGUUUUGGUACGAUCACUCAUAUGUUAAUUUAUUUUUUAAUCUUAUAGUUAAUAUAGAUUACAAAUAGUGAGUUUUUAUCUAUAAUGCAGGUGGACGCAUUACGACAGACUCAAAUGGGCAUCAGAGGGCUAGUUCAUGAUCGACCUUCUUAUGAUGCGAUGAUGGAGACAUUGACGAGCAUGGAUGUCGAUAUUGAGUCAGUACUGGAGUACAUUCCUUCCAUACCUGUCGCCGCUGAUGUUGGAGGUCAAGAUUUUGGUCAACCCUCGACAUCGGGUCAUCACAGGAGACACUCACCGACAUCGACUGGAUCAUACUCGAGAUCGAGCCUACGAGUGUCACGAUCUCCAUCUCCUAGUGAUGUUGCAGAUAUACUCGCCGCCCCUUCAAGAUUUCCUUCCUUGCCAUUGGACUUGGACUCGCUUCUGCCGCCAGUCUCUCGAGAGCACUUUAAAUUAGUCUACUCUCGAUGUCAUGCCGCGUCAUCAUCACAGGCCCGCUCAGCAUCUACACCGGCCACUAUCGAGGGUGAUCGACCUGAGCCAGAGGAGACUCAGGCGAUUCUGGAGCAUCUCGAGGGCAUUAUCAUUGCGGAUCUCGAUCAGAUGGCCGGUAUCGAGGCUCUUGAUGACGUACCUAUUGUUGAGUUCGAUGUACAGGGUGGCCGUAGACGUGGACGUGGCCGAGGACGUCGAGGGAGAGGAAGAUCGAGAGACUGAUUGUAUUUUUUUUUAUUUAGAGAACAUACUUUGUAUAAUAUUAUAUAAUAUUUGAUUUAGUUCAUAUUUGUAUAUUUGUAAGUGUUUUGUUUGAUAUUUUUAUCCAGUUGAUUGUAUUUUGUUAUUCCACUCGUGAUGUUGUGUUUCUUGUUUGAAUAUUUGUUAUCGUGAAAAAACUUACCUCAAACUUGUUGAAAUUGACGCCAAAAUUGAGCAGAAAUUAGCACCUGGUGCUGUUUGCACUAAAGGCGGUGAAUGGUUCACCGCCUUUAGUGCAAAUCCAGAAAGCCGCAAAAAAAUGGCUAAGUCCUGGACUAGGGGCUUUUACACAGAUAAGACGGUGAACCAUUCACCGUCUUUAGUGCAACACAGAUAAGACGGUGAACCAUUCACCGUCUUAUCAGUAUUUUAGGCCACACUCCAGUACUUGGCUAAAUUAGGCUAGGUGGGAGUUUACUCUAAAGACGGUGAAGCGUUCACCGCCUAAUGAAGACAGUAAACAAUUCACCGCCUCAUAUAGGCCACAAAGCAGCUGGUUUUUAUGGGGAUUUUUGCGGGGAUUUUGCUAUAAAGACGGUGAAUGAUUCACUGUCUUAGUUAAGACGGUGAACCAUUUACCGCCUUAUCGAGGGCACAGGUAAGGUGGCCUUGUAAGGGGAGCGGGGGUGUACACAAGUAAGGUGGCCUUAUAAGGGUGGCCUUGUAAGGGGAGCGGGGGUGCAUUUGCUCUAAAGACGGUGAAUGGUUCACCGCCUUCAUAAGACAGUAAACCAUUCACCACCUUCACGAGAAAUAUGCAAAGGCGGUGAACGAUUCAUCGUCUUUACGAGAAAUGUCCGAGCUGGCGCCGACGUGGCGAAAGGAGGUUAGUUUUACAAAUAAAUUUUUCAGAGGGUCAUUUUGCCGAUUACAAAAUUUUACAGGGUUAUUUUCAAAAAAAUCCCUGAUCUCUCUCUCUCGCACCGCUUCCAAUAUAUAUAUAUAUAUAUAUAUAUAUAUAUUUAUUUAUUUAUUUUUAGCUUCCAUCUUCUUCUUCUUCACUUUUUUUUUUUAAUUUUUUUAAUAUAUUUUUUAAUGCAAUGUGCAAUUUGGGUGUGAACGAUCCCUCUCUCGCACCCCCCCCCCUCUCCGAUCGCCUCCUCCGAGCUAUUUAUAGAACUUUGGAGGGGGUAUGUUUGCUAGAUCCAAAAAUCUCUCAGAGAUUUGUUGGUGGGAUGGCAUGAAUUUUAUAGAGAGAGAAAGAGAGAAAUAGAGAGAGAGGAAGAGAGAAAUAGAGAAAGAAAGAGAGAUUCAAAGAUCUUUCAGAGAUUUGUUAGUGGGAUGGCAUAAAUUUUGUAGAGAGAGAUAGAGAGAAAUAGAGAGAGAGGAAUAAAGGGGGAGAAAGAGAGAAAGAAAGCGAGAGUAAGAGAGAGAGAGGGGGAUCGGUUCAGGAGAGAGGGGGCGGUAGGUUUGGGGAGAGAGAGAGGGUCGAUCUCUUUGGUAGAGAGAGAGAGAGAGUCCCAAACCGAGAAGAGAGAGCGGUCAGUUUUUGGGAGAGAGAGAGGGGUGGGAUCAGCCUCCAACCGCCACGUGGAAUAGGGCCAUCUUCUAAUCGCCACGUGUAUUGACUGUUCUGUCAAUUUAAAUAGUUAAAGAUUAAAAGUAAAAAUGUAUAAAAGUUGCCUCCACUAAACCCAUGGGAUUUGACUACCUAAUCUUUAAAAAUUUUAAAUUUACUAGCUAACUUUUUCAUUUAUAUUAUUUGAGCCAAUUAGAGACUUUUGAAUUUUAAAAUUUGAAUGCGUAGUUUACCUUUAUAAAUUUAGUAUAUUUUAUAUAAUUUAUAUAACUACAAAUUUAUUAAAAUAAAUAAUUAAUUUAAAUUUUGUAUCCGAAGGAUUUCAAAAUUACUUAAAAUUAACCAAAUUCAAAAGAUAGAAUAGUCGAAUCAAAAUGGCCUAAAAGUUCAAGUAAAUUUUAUAUAUUUUUACCUAAAUUAAUAUCAGAGGAUUUAAUUGUGACACGUAUUAUAGUAUGAGGACCAAAUGGAUAAUUUAGCCGAGUAAAAUGAUUCGGGGCUCUCCGUUUCUCCCUCCAAAACAGAAAACUUGUCGUUGGCGAGCACGGAUAUACGAAAUUUUAUCCGGAUCCGAAUCCGAAUCCGAAUAGGACGAAUUUAUCGAAUGUUAAAUGAAUAUGAUUUCAUACCCGAUAAAUUUAGAUUUGGAUAUAAAUUUUAUUUCCUAUCCGAUCAUAACCCGAGUCCAAACCGGAGCGAAAUUAAUUUUACAUUAUAUAAUUUCAUAUCAUAUUUAAAUUUGUAUUAUAAAAUUUUAAAUUUUAACAUAAUAUUUUUUGAAAAAUAAUAAAGAGAAAUAAUUAUUUUGUGUUUGAAUUUUCAGGUUUAGAUUCGGGUUCCGGGUUAUUGGACGGGUUGAGUUUUCAAAAUCCAUCAGGUUGGGAAUUCGGGUUCGGGUUUUGAAGAAAAACCCGCCCCGAAUCCGACCGUUGACAUCCCCACAGAGAAAUGGAGAACCCGCCCCCAUUCUCUCUCUUCUUUCUCUCUCCUCUCCUCUCCUCUCCUCACUGUCGCCAUGGACACCGACGACGAGCCCUCGUCGUCGUCGUCGGCGGCGGCGGCGGCGGAGGCGGAGGCGGAGGCGAUUCGGGCGGAGCCGCCACGGAUACGGCGGCUGGAGGAGGCGGUGGUGAACCGGAUCGCGGCGGGGGAGGUGAUCCAGCGCCCGGCGUCGGCGGUGAAGGAGCUCGUCGAGAACAGCCUCGACGCCGCCGCAUCCUCCGUCUCCGUCGUCGUCAAGGACGGGGGCCUCAAGCUCAUCCAGGUCUCCGACAACGGCCACGGCAUCCGGGUACUCAAAGCCCUAAACCCUAACCCUAGAACUAACCCCUGCAAAACCCUAGCCAUCUUGCAAAUCAAUCUCCUAUACCUGCUGAUUAGAAUGCGACUGUGUGGUAUUCAAUCUAGUAGAAGGUUGGAACGGCAUUUUGAAAUGGACCCCUUAACUGCAUUUUUUCUAUUACCUCUUUAUUGAGAGAUUUUAGGCAAGUACAUUAGGAAUUUUUUAUCAAAUCGAUUGAUAAUUUAAUCAAAUUUAAUGUAUUUUAUUGUUUAAAUUACUUUUUAGAAGAUAAAAUCAGAACAAUUAAUAACUAACAGCUAAUAGAACUGCUAAAUUUAACAAAAGUGUCAAUUUAAUUAACUAUAAUAGUUCAAAACAAAAAAAGAAGUUUAUGAAGGUGUCAAUAAAGAGAGGAAAAAAAAAAGUAAAGUUGAGGGACCUAUUUCGGAAUGGCGUAUAGCUGAAGGAGUCUCCAUGUAUUUUUACCUUCGCAGAAUUUCUUGCGUCUUAACCCUCUAAUUAAGGACAACAGCAAGUUGGUAGGAUUUUGUAUUUUAAAGCAUGAGCCUUUUGUGUUUUUGUGGGGUUUUAUGUGAUUUCUCAGUAAUUUUGGUAGUUUCAUCUAUUUUCUUGAAUCGUACUCUAUUUUGUGUAAUCAUUUAACUAGACAUUGCUGAUUUUUCUGGUGUGAACAGUUAAAAGUUAAUGAAGAAGAUAAGAUAAAGAUAAUUAGGAUGUAUAUGAUUAAUCUGUUAAGCUUAUGGAGCAAUGCCGUUGUGGAAAGUUAAGAUUUUUGCUUGUUAACUAAUAUGGAUUUGGCAAUUUUUUAUUAUUUUGUACAGUGCAUUCAUUGGCAGUUCCCUAUAAUCCUGAUUGAAUCUGGGAAUAAGUUAUACAUUAACAAGUAAUAGGACAACUUUUGAUGAAUGAAAAUUUCAUUUUGUGAUUGCACCCUGAAUCAUAUCGUUCCAGAUAUUAUGUAUUACACGUACUAGCUACUUAUCAUACUCCGAAGUAUAUUGGAUAAGUUAUUCUAGCAUCCAACCAGGCUUUUCACGUAUUGAAUCCGGUAUUUUGGUGAUUUGUGAUCAUAGAGCGAAGCAGAGUUAUACUUAAUAAUUUGAGUUAAAAAAAAAGAGUAUAAACUUCAAAUAUUUGGAUGUAUUAUGUACUUGAGUGAAGUGUUGACUUGACAACUAGUACUACUAUUUAUCUGAACUACGUUUGCACAUUGUGUUGGCAGUACGAAGAUUUGUCUAUAUUAUGUGAAAGACACACAACAUCAAAAUUAUCUGCAUUUGAGGACCUACAAACAAUCAAAUCAAUGGGUUUUAGAGGAGAAGCCUUGGCUAGCAUGACUUACGUUGGCCAUGUCACAGUGACAACAAUAACUGAAGGGCAAUUGCAUGGUUACAGGUAAAUAUACAUAGGACUGAAUUCUAGAUGGUUUUUGGCAAUUAUAUUUCUGCUUUAUUUAGAACUUAAUAAUUUAUUUUUCUAUUCCAUUCAGGGUAUCAUAUAGAGAUGGUGUAAUGGAGCAUGAACCGAAGCCAUGUGCUGCAGUUAAAGGAACACAGAUUAUGGUUGGGAGUUUUAGUUGAUUUGGAUUGUUUCAUUCUUUAGAAUCUUGCAGCAGUAUUUUGUUUAGAAUAUUAACAUAUUUAGCCCCUGCAAACUUAUGCAUGUAUAUAUGGAUAACCUGUAAAAUUUGAUUUUCAUAUAUACUCUAAAAAAUCAUCAUUUUUUUACAUAUAUAUAUAUAUAUAUAUAUAUAUAUAUAUAUAUAUAUAUAUAUAUAUAUAUAUAUAUAUACAUAUCCUUGUAAUUUACAGAAAUGCAUGUCUUUAAAAAAGUUAUUAGUAAACAGAACUAAUUUUCUAAAUAGAUCGGGUUACUCCUCAAUUUAAUGGUAUUUUUACAAGAAACAACACCAUCCACCAUGGGGUGCAUAUGGAAAUUCAGCUUUUGCCGCAUCAUAUCUUAAAAUACAUUAUUUUACUGGGUUAAGUAUGUAAGAUACCUUUGUAUAUGAGACUGAGAAUCGAAAUUUGUUUUUUGCAUAGGUUGAGAACCUUUUCUACAAUAUGAUUGCUCGUAGAAAAACUUUACAGAACUCCAAUGAUGAUUACCCAAAGAUUGUAGACUUGAUUAGCCGCUUUGCAAUACAUCAUACAGACGUGAGCUUUUCCUGCAGAAAGGUGAGCCAUCUUUUGUUGCUUUCACACAUGAACUACCACAGCUGAUUAAGAGAUUUAAAUAUAUACAAUCUGCAAAAUCAUCUUUUGUUGUGGGGAUUUAUAUGUAAAACCUCCAAUGUGAUUUUAUUUCAUUUCAUUUCAUUUUGUUUUAUUGUUGUUCCUUAUCUUCCUUUUGGAUAUAGCAUGGCGCAAAUAGAGCAGAUGUUCAUACGGUGAUUGCAAGCUCCAGGUUGGAUUCCAUCAGAGCUGUUUAUGGUGCUUCUGUUGCUCGUGAUCUGAUGGAAAUUGCUGUUUCUGAUGAUAAUCCUGCUCGAUCAAUUUUCAAGAUGGAGGGCUUAAUUUCAAAUGCCAAUUAUAUAGCUAAGAAGACAACGAUGAUACUCUUUAUCAAUGGUAUGUAAAAUUAGCAUGUCAAGAUAUUUCGUAUUUUUGAAUCAAAAAUGAUUUAGUCAAUAUGCAAUAUAUAUAUGCUAAUUUGCAGCAGGAAAAAGUAAUAUUUCUCUUACUUGAUGUUUGAAGUUGAGUGAUUUGGUUAUGCCUUAGAAAAAUCUUUCUUUCAGGCAGGUUGGUUGAAUGCACUGCCUUGAAGAGAGCUAUAGAAGUAGUGUAUGCUGCAACAUUGCCUAAGGCAUCAAAACCUUUCAUCUACAUGUCAAUCGAUCUUCCGUCUGAGCAUGUAGAUGUGAACAUGCAUCCAACUAAAAGAGAGGUAUGCUGCUAGAAAUCUAUAUGGAAAAAAAAUAUUAUCUCUGGAAAAUGGAAUAGUAAAGAGAUUAUUAUCUGUAGAACAAUGAUCCCUCUUAAAGUGAUUUUUUUCAUAGUUAUGUACUCCUCAAAAGUUAGUUUUUUAAAUAUGAAUACUUAUUUAACAUCUGAAUAUUCAUAUCAAGGAUUUAAGUACCGUGGCACGGGGUCGUGCCGGAAAUUUGCUAGCACGGUACAGCACGAUGCGUGUCGGGCCGUGCCGAUGCGUGUCGGUUACAAAAAAUGUAUGUGUGCCAACAUAUAAUGGCAUGAAAUAUUUAUUUUCUUUAGCAACAAAAUAUGUCAAUCAUUUAUUAUGUACUUUUAUGAAAUCUUUUGAACUUUAUUGAGAAAAUUACUUACUGAUUUAAAGAAUAGAGGGUUUUGAGUUGUGCCAUCGGCACAGAGGCUGUAUCGUGCCAAUAUUUUAGUGGCACGAUACGGUAUGGUGGAUACGGCCCGUGCCGAUGGGCACUUAAAUCCUUGAUUCAUAUAUGCCGUUUGAAAACAUAGUUAUAGAUGGAUACACAUGUACUUGGUUAAAUGCCUCUCUUUGAAAACAUUUUUCUAAUUCAGAACCAACUUCCCCUAUAAAUUUGAUGACUUCUGAACUUAAUUAAAGUCAUUUCUGUAAAGAAUACUUAGAGCGAUAUGCAUGAAAAAUCAAAGUUUGAAGAGGUAUGCAGGUAAAUAGAUUAUUUUGCAUAGAAAUAUAGAAUCCCCUUAUUCUCACUAUAUUUUAAUUGUGUAAUAGUAAUGCGUUAUCCUUUCAUUUCUAACAUACUUGGUUAAUUUCCAUUUAUCCAUUUGCCAAUUUGCAGGUAGGCCUUUUGAAUCAAGAGAGUCUUAUUGAUACCAUUCAAAAUGCCAUAGAAUCAAAGUUGAUGAACUCUAACACCACAAGGAUAUUUCAGAUUCAGGUAAUUUAUUUGCUCGCCCUCUUGAAGCAAUUGUGACCCUACAUUUCCUUCCAGUAAAGAAAUCUGUUGUGUUUUGGUUUUAUAGCAAACAAUUGUAAGCCUACAUUUCCUUCUGGUAAAAAAAUCUGUUGUAUGUUGGUUUGAUAAUAUAGAAAAGUAGCUGUAGCGUUAAAACAUAUUUUAAAUACUACUAGCAUCAAAACAUAUUUCAAACUCUACUGGCAUUAAAACAUAUUUCAAAUAGCAUUAUGGUGAAUUCAUGUAAAGAGAGGUCGUAUUCCUAAUUUUGUUCAACCAGCACAAUCAUGACAUAUGUUAAAGCUGCAGGUAGUACUUAGAACUUUUUCAAUCGAACCUUCCAUCUUGAGGAUGGGAUUUCUGCAACAGGAGAAAAACUGUUUAGUCGUCAUACAAAUUAUUAUUAUUAUUAUUAUUUUUUUUUCUGAAUAUGAGUAUUUGGUUGUUAGGUUGAGUGGUAGUCUGGAUUCAAAUCCUCUCUGGUUUACACAUUGGCUGAGAGGUGAAUAAUUCUCCAUAGUCCAUCCAUAGAUUUUAUCACAUUUCUUCUAUUGGGACAACAAGGUAGAGCACACUACAAUCAUGAACUUUAUUCUAGGUCUCAUGCAAGCGUGCCUUUUGCUUAAGUGCGUGCCUUUUGCUUAAGUUUUCCUGCAUUAGGAAUGUUAUAUCAAUUGCCAGAGGGCUAAUGUCAAAUUGAUCAAGGUGGUAGCGUUUGCUAAAUUUUUCUAUCAAACCUUUUUGACUCUAAAUUUGUCUCUAAUUUCUUAUAGCAUUUUUACAAGUUUUAAGCAUUUUACAAUAUUGUUGGAAAAUCGGACUACCUGCUAGAUUACAUUGUAUGUAGAGUUAUGACAUUUGUUUGGCUGGUAGGAAAAGACCAAUUCUUGUAUCUUGUGAAUCUUUCUUUGAAAUAUAUUAUAUAUUUUUAUGUGUUAGUUUUGCCUUCUGUGGCUAAUUUCCAAUGCUCUUUACAGGCUGUAAAUUCGUCAUCAGCAAGUCAAUUUAAUUCGCGAAAAGAUACUGAUUGCAACACAUCCACACCUGGUAUGCUCUGCUGUUGCCUUUUGUUUAUCAGGCUACUUGAAUAAUAUGUAGCAGUUUUGUUUUCCAAAGUAAUUACAACAGUUUCCUUAGUCCAAAAAACAGAAGCUUUGUUAAGCUAACAAAUAAUUUGGAGCUUUUGCUGUAACGAGAAGCUGAGUUGAGUUUUGGGACCUCAAAAGUGGAAGUUGCAAUUUGAAGCAUCUAUAUCUGCGACAACAAGCUGUCUAGAUGAUUUUAAUAGCUGUUAGUGCUUCUUUGAAUAGCUCUACUCAAACGGCAUUUCUAUAGAAGCUCUGUCUAAGGGCAAACAUGCCCUUAUGAUGUCGCAUUUACAUUUUUCUCGGACAUAUCAUAUUAUUAAUCCUAACAACUCUGAUUUUGCAGCAAUAAAAUCUCAAAAAGUUCCAGUAAAUAAAAUGGUAAGAACAGAUUCACGCGAUCCAUUUGGAAGGUUGCAUGCCUACUGGCAAGAUGGACAAUGCUCACAGGAUGGAAAGAAAUCUGACCUUGUUUCUGUGAGGUAUAGUAUGUUAUUUAGUUGUAACUUCCUCAUAACCUUAUUAUUUGCUCCACUACUUCCUUUGUGGUUACUUCUGCUAAAGUAUGUUGAAGUGAAUGUUAUUGUUCAGCCAACAAACUUAUAAAAAAAAUAGGGCUUUUACAGCCAUAUCCCUGCAAAAUCUUCUAUUUACAAGUAUACGCCUUCUGAACUUGUAUUAUAUAUCCCUCGAAAUUUCUGUUACUCGCAGAUUAACAUUACCUCAGUUAUGUUCCUACAAUUUCAAUUUUAACAACUUUCCUACAAUUUGUUCCAUCUAACAAGCAAACCAACUUCCAUUGUUCUAACAUUUGUAAAAUGGUUUUGCUUCAUCUAUACUGUUUGCUGACUUGGCAAAUUUUUAAGGUUGGUUUGGGAAUGAAAUAUGUUGACAUAGCAUGUUUUAGACUAUAGACUAACAGGACUUAACUAUUACAGGGAGUAAAUUUUACAGAUGCUUAACCUUUACGAUUGAAACUCUUAUAGGAUGUAAUUGAACUUUGGAAUUGUGGUUCAAGGAUGAAAUAUAGAAUUAAGAAAUAAAUAUGUAAUUAACUAGCCUUUAUACUUUUUUAGGAUUGUUAUUUAUUUACCUUUAAUCCUCAUCUGCAAGAAAUGCCGUGAGAUCAAGGAGGAAUCCCAAGGAAUCUGCUGACUUAAGUAGCAUCCAUGAGCUUCUUAGUGAAAUUGAUUCUAACACUCACUCUGGUGAGUUCAUGUCAAACAUGAGCCUCAUCUUGAUCCUAUCAUGCCUUAGAUUGGCUUCCUCAAAUCUAUUAAAGAUUGAUAUCUCAUGCUGUUUAUAUAGGUCUCUUGGACGUUGUUAAGAACUGCACGUAUAUUGGGCUUGCUGAUGAUGUUUUCGCCUUGCUUCAACACAAUACACUACUGUACCUUGUUAAUGUGGUAAAUGUGAGGUCGGUGCUUCACCUCAUUGCUCUUCUAUUUUACUGCAUUUUCAGCUUUCAUCGGUACUAUAGAUAUUUAGGUAACUAUCCAUGCGUCGAUUUAGAUAUAUAUUAGUUUAUAUCUGAAUUUUCAUGUGCAGCCCUUUAAAACUUAAAUUUUUUACAUAUAUAAUCUCGUACUCAUAAUAAUUACCGCGUUACAAAAAGAACUUUUCUUAAUGAAACCAGCUUUUACCCAUGAAUCAAAUGACCUGCAAACUUAACAUAUGUGUAAUUUUUCAAGAUACUGCAUUUUUCAGGCAGAUUUUACCAAGUCAGGUAAGUAAUAAGCUCGUUUUGUGGGAAUGCAUAGGUUACUGAUCCUUAGUUUUUCACAUCAUUUUCCUACAAACCGAAUAUAAACUCACAAUCUGGAUAAUUGUUAUCUGAACUUAUUCUAGUUAUUUUUUAAUAUAUAUAUAAUAUAUAUACUCUAUAUAAUGAUGACUGUUUUCUAAUUUGAUCUUGUUAAUGAUAAUUUUUUCUAUUUAAUGAUAGUUAUUUUCUAAACUUGCUCCAUUUAAUGACAAUUUGUUUUUCCUCUUUCUUUUAUAUCAGUAAAGAACUCAUGUACCAGCAAGUAAUACGCCGAUUUGCACAUUUCAAUGCCAUCCAACUUAGUGAACCAGCUCCACUUCAGGAUUUGCUAAUGAUGGCACUUAAAGAAGAAGACUUGGAAUCCCCUGCUGAUGAGAAUGAUGAUCUGAAACAGAAGAUUGCAGAAGUAAUUGCUUUUCCAUUCACCACUUAUCAUCUUGCCUUUCUAACACUGAAUCUGUUUGCUAUUAUAAACUGAUGGAUAUAUUGACCUGUUAGUUUUCGAUCUAUAAAAAGGUGAAAUUACAGGAUAUUUUGCAUAUAUAGCCUUACAAAUAUGCGAAAUUGUGCGAAUGCCGCUGCAAAGUGGGUUUACUCACGUACCCCUAAAACUUUGUUAUUUGCAAGUGUCCCCCUGCCCGGGUAUAUAUGCAAAAAUGUUUCUGCAUAUACCUCCUGGAGAUGCUGGAAUGCAAAUAAAUACAGUUUUUAGGUUCACAUACACAAAUUUUUGGUGCACUUUUCAGGGGUGUUUGCAAAGUUUUGCAUGUUUUCAGUGGUGUAGAUGAAAAUAGAAAACACCAAUCAUAUAAAUUGGUGUUGUUGCAAGUGGCCAAUUCUGCUUCAUUGGAGAAUUUAUUUCCUACGCAUGGUGCAUCACAUCAGCCUGUGCACCAUGUUUAUGUUGUCUACAUUUAUUUAUUGGCAUAAAUGAUCAUUCUCGGAACUGUGACUGUAGGUUUUCUAAUUCACAUACGUGAAAUUGUUAUUAAGUAAUAUCUAAGACAAGAAAAUUGGAGAAAUUUUGAUAUCUGUUGUUCUACUCAGCAUCUUAGGUCCAUUUCUAGUUUUCACUUUGCAAUAAAAUUUUCAGUUGGAAUAGUCAAAUUUGUUGGAGGUAAUUGUGGUUUGUUUACGUGUAAGAUGUUGAGGGUUUAUUUUCUUUUCUUUUUUUGUUCAUGCCAGUUGAACACUGAGCUUCUCAAGCAAAAAGCCGAGAUGCUGGAGGAGUAUUUUUGUAUAAACAUUGAUCAAGACGGAAAUCUGAUGAGACUUCCCGUUAUACUCGACCAGCACACUCCUGAUAUGGAUCGUCUUCCUGAAUUUUUGUUGAGUUUGGGGAAUGAUGUAAGUUCUGUGUCUUAUUUUUGGUCUUGUAAUUAAUCAUUUAUUCAUCUUCUUUUGUUUUUUUAUUAAACAUGAAGCAUUUAAGGAAAAUUUAAUCAUUUAUUCAUCUUCUUUUGUUUUUUUAUUAAACAUGAAGCAUUUAAGGAAAAUUUAAGGAAGAAUUUGGUAGUAAAUGCUGUAAUUAUUAGGACUUUUAUUAAGUGUUUUUUUACUCUUUGUUUCAUCUUUCUGAAAAAUGAUAUUAGUGAUCCUAAAAUUGUGUUUGUAAGUAUUUUAAAGCCCAUAUCAGACAGUUCUAAAUGUCUUUGAUUGCUUUAUCUGGCAUUGCCAUUCUUAUCUUUCUCCUCCACUUUUCCGUUUCUACAAUAACGUGAUGACUUCUGUUUUGGCACCUUCAGUCCGCUGCUCAACUUUUGUGAGCAAACCAUGCCUCCAUUCUAUGGGACUGUAAUGCAUUGUUCGAAUAAUCUAAUAUGCAAUUUUUUAAAUCAGUAUGAUGCAAUGUAGUACAAAACUGUGUAUGGAUCAUUUCACAAGUGUGCAUUGUGGUCAUGUAAUGUGGGGUAAUUUGGUCCUUAGUUUUGAAUUAUGGGCCGAAGUUGCAAAAAGAAAAAAGAAACCUGUCCUUUUACAAAAACCAAUUAGUUUCAUCUGUGUUUGCAAGUAGUAAAUUAUUCAUUCUGUAUGUUUUAUGUUUAUAAUAAUAUUGUGGCAAAUAUGUAACUAAAUCAACUAUAUAGGUUGACUGGGAGAAUGAGAAAGAAUGCUUCCAAACUGUAUCUGCUGUUCUUGGGAAUUUCUAUGCCGUGCAUCCUCCCUUUUUGCCAAAUCCAUCAGGAGAUGGGAUUCAGUACUACAUGAAAAACGUGGACAAAAUGUNGUAUGUUUUAUGUUUAUAAUAAUAUUGUGGCAAAUAUGUAACUAAAUCAACUAUAUAGGUUGACUGGGAGAAUGAGAAAGAAUGCUUCCAAACUGUAUCUGCUGUUCUUGGGAAUUUCUAUGCCGUGCAUCCUCCCUUUUUGCCAAAUCCAUCAGGAGAUGGGAUUCAGUACUACAUGAAAAACGUGGACAAAAUGUCAACUGAUGAAGAUGCACAGAAUAGAUUAACUAAUUCAGGUAAGCUAAUCAGACAUUGCAAAUGAUAUUUCUACAUGAAUAUAAAGUUUGUAUUAGCUUGCACAGAAAAUAUGCAGUAAUUUUGUGGCUAAUUUAGUACAACAAACUGAUGAAAGUAAAGUGUUUUUUGUUUUAUUUUGUGUUGCAACAAUGCAAAAUUGCACAAAUUGUUCUGUAAAGUUGGUAUCUGCAUGCAUGGCCCUGAAAACAUUUCUUGCUGGCAAGUACACCCCUGCUGGGUACGUUUAUGGAAAAGCAAUUUUGCAUUGUACUCUUGCUGGGGUAUGAAUGGAAAUAAAUGUGAUUUUUCAGGGUACGCAUGCGAAAAACAGCUAUGUUGGGGUAUUUUUGUACAAUUUCAAAUAUUUGUAGGGGAAAAUGCAAAUGCAAAUGCAAAAAAAAUAUCCAAAUCAUGUUCAGUACAAUUUCAUCUGGUUCUUGUAACUGCUUUUUACCCUUCAAGCAGCAGUCAGGAGUUUGACAAACCAAGAGUCCUGGGCUUCUUUCCUGUGGCAAGAAGUCGAAACAACCUUCUGCAAUGCAAAAGCGGAAGCUCCGAUUUGAAGCUUCUGGCUUUGCUGUUGCACAAAGCUGUUGGGAGGAUUUCAAUAGAAAAUCUAUUACAGCUUCUUCUAAAAGCUCUACUCAAACAGUACUAUUCCAGAAACUUCAGCUGGUCAAACAUGCCGUUAACAUGGAAAUAACUUUUUUAAGUUGAAUUCAGUAAAAAUUAAACAGUACAAGUGGCUAUCUAGAAUUGUUUCAUUUUGUGUAACCUUAUUUGACCUUUUGAGUUAUGAAUUAAACAACAGAAGAAGAUGUGGAUUAUGAACUACUCGCAGAGGCAGAAACUGCAGGGGCUCAGCGUGAAUGGACCAUUCAGCAUGUCUUGUUCCCAUCGAUGAGGCUGUUUCUCAAGCCUCCAAAAUCAUUGGCAACAAAUGGAACUUUCAUUCAGGUUGUUUUCUAUCUCAACUCAAUGCAUAUUGUGUAAUAUUGAUCUUAGUGUCUGUUUAGUCUAGCAUCUAGAGCAGCUUAACAACUCCGAAAAACAGCCAAUUGUUUUGAAGAUAACAAAUCUGAACCUUAUGAAAGCCAAGAUGAGCAUUUAAGUCACAAAGCACAAGUGUCCAUUUGAAACUCGUGCUUCUGCCACAUUGAGAAGCAGUGCGGAUACUCGAUUAAAAAAACAGAAAACAAGAAAAGUUGUUAGUGCUCCUUUGAACAAUUUUACUUAGAGGUUACUUAUUUUCUGGCUAACUGCCCCUUUUUCUCGUGAGUUCAACAUGAAUGCAACUAAUAUCUAGGAGAUUUUCAAAUGGGGAAUCGGACAUGGGUGUCCAUAACCUCUUACCAUANAACAGAAAACAAGAAAAGUUGUUAGUGCUCCUUUGAACAAUUUUACUUAGAGGUUACUUAUUUUCUGGCUAACUGCCCCUUUUUCUCGUGAGUUCAACAUGAAUGCAACUAAUAUCUAGGAGAUUUUCAAAUGGGGAAUCGGACAUGGGUGUCCAUAACCUCUUACCAUAGUUUCACUUUGUUUCCCAACCUUUAAAUUGUCAGAAUUGGGUCCCUGUUCCAUUGCAAUCCCUUCCUUUUGUAAGUUUCUUGUAGUAAAUGGUCCACAUAAUUGCCAUGUAUUAGCUGCAUGUGCAAUUUUUUACACUUCUUAUUUAUGCCUUCGUAUCGAUUUUGCUUAGAUGGCAGUUAUAUGGCUGUAACAUGCACAUUUGCUUCCACUAAUGGAAAUAGAGAAAUUUUGAAGGAAAAGUUAUGAUUGUAACAGAAUGCGAAGGACCGGAUUGUAACAGUUUAAAAGGAUGAGGACAAAAUUUAAGCUUAAAAUGUUGAGGAUCUCCAAGGCAUUCAUUCUAAAUAAUUUUUUCUUUUGGCCGACUCUUGUUCAAGAGGAUGUUAACAUAUUUCCCUUUUUUCCCCCUUUUGAUAAAUUUCACUUAGAUUAUGUAGGCCUAUGGACUCUUACUGUGUGCUUUCAAACAGGUUGCUUCUUUGGAGAAACUCUACAGAAUAUUUGAGAGGUGUUAGAACAACCCUGCAACAAAAACUCGAACAUGUGAAUAUGGAAGAAAAAUGAAGAUAAUGGAGUGGAACAACAUUUUUGUCGAGUCCUUCGGAAAGGGAUCUGAAAGAUUACAGUUCUUCCUUUUUCUGCCUUUUUUUUGGCAUAUUUGUUACCCUUUUUUUUCUUCUCCUUUUCUGUUUUUUUUUUUUUUCUAAAUAACUUUUUACCCUUUUGGUUUUUCGGAAGGUUGUAAUAUAUGUUAAAGCUUGUAAAAUCUUGUAAAGCUAAGGAGCAUUGAGCUGUUCUAUUGCCCUUUCCUCAUAAUUAGAGAAGUGUUGUUUAAGUAGAGCCGAUAAAAAUAUGAAGUUACUCGUUUUUAUUGCAUGAUGUUUUGAUCUGAUAUCGAUUUUUAAUCAGGUUAUAGCAUUUUGAGCAGUGACCAGGCUCAAGAGAUUAAAAAAGUUAAAUAUGUUAGGAUUAGAAUUGUCUUGGAAUGAGUGAUUAUCUGGAAUGUGCACAGGUAUGCGAUUGUAGGGAUGUGAGCAAAGUGUAAAAAAAAAGAGGAAAAGUUAGGGACUAGUUGUAUAAUUAAUUCUAACGGUUAAGAAUCAGAUUACCAAAAAAAGAAAGAGAAGAAACGAAAAGAAUUGUAAUUUCUACAAUUGUAGGUUUACCAAAUCCUUUGGUCAGAUGUAAUUAUAAAUAUAGUAUAGUUCGAAAUACAUGCAGUUAAAAAUAUAAUAAUUAUAAUUAUAUGUAUUUUUUUUGGUUGGAUAUAGUAAAAAGUACUGCAACUAUAAAUAAUUUAUUUAAUUACAUGCAGUUGAGAAAUAAUUUUUAAAAUUUUAUUAUUUUAUAUAUAUAAUGAUGAGAUUUCUUUUAAUAUAAAAAUUAUUAGGAAGGUAAACUUAGUUUUUACUUAAAGUUGGAACUGCGGUUGGAAUUUGCGAUCAAUUUGAGUUUUGUUUCAAUUGCUGCAGUUGAACCACCUCCUGCAAUUUCUACUACUGCAGUGGUUGAAAUUAAUAUAUCAAAUCAAAUACCAAAUUUAUAACUAUACGUAGUUAUAACUGCAGUACAGUUGCAACUAUAUACAAUCAAACGACGCGUUUUUAAUAAAAAAUAAAAAAAAAAGAAAUGCCAAAUCUUAAAAAAAAAAUACUUUAUUAAUUACCGCUAAAACCCAAACCCUUAUCCCCUACGGCCCCGCCCCUCUCUCUCUCUCUCUCUCUCUCUCUCNNNNNNNNNNNNNNNNNNNNNNNNNNNNNNNNNNNNNNNNNNNNNNNNNNNNNNNNNNNNNNNNNNNNNNNNNNNNNNNNNNNNNNNNNNNNNNNNNNNNNNNNNNNNNNNNNNNNNNNNNNNNNNNNNNNNNNNNNNNNNNNNNNNNNNNNNNNNNNNNNNNNNNNNNNNNNNNNNNNNNNNNNNNNNNNNNNNNNNNNNNNNNNNNNNNNNNNNNNNNNNNNNNNNNNNNNNNNNNNNNNNNNNNNNNNNNNNNNNNNNNNNNNNNNNNNNNNNNNNNNNNNNNNNNNNNNNNNNNNNNNNNNCCCCUCAUUAUCGCGACGUUCUCUGUGAAUCUUAGUUUUCUUUUUUUGCCUUUGUAUUACUGCGUAGCUGUGUAGCCUUUCAUAAUCUUAAUCUUUAAUGAGUUGCUACAUUAAUUAUAGCCUCUUGUAGUACUUAUUCUAUUAAAUUAGAGUUUUAAAUUGUUUCGGAUUUUUCGAAUUCUUGCAAACAUAUAUAUGGCUUAUUAGGUUCUAAAUUACAUUUAUUACAAUUGGAGAUUUUCAAUUAAUUCCAUGAAUCUCUUGUACACACUUUGCGGCAUUAGUGCUUAUCUGGCUUUGUUUCUGUAACAAUUUCUUCACCCCAUAAAUCUGCAAAAUUCAUGGUUUUUUUACCGUUCGAGAUGAUCAUUAGUGAAAGUAGAAGUUCUAUUUUGAAACUUAUUUUUUUGAGUUUUGUAGAAUUUUGUUAAAUAAUUCUAUCCAAACAAUAAUAUAUUAGUGCUUUGGUCAGGAAAAAAAAAGGGCUUAACUUGCAAAUAGACAAUGUGCGUUAUUGCUCUAAAUUUAUUUUAGAACCAGUACUUAAUUUUAAUUUCUUGCUCAGUGGUAGAAAAGAGAGAAAAAAAUUAAAAAGAGAAUAGAAAUAUUUUGGUCGGUUUUUUAAAAAUUUAGUCUUAAUUUAUAAAAUAAAACAAAUGAUUUGAUUUUGCAAAAAUGUAAAUCAGUACUAUUUUUUAAUGCAAAAAAGGCUCUUAUUAAUGUUAGCAGUGGUUCACCAUAGACUCUUGUGCAAACACCAAAGAAAAAUAGUAACUACUUAUACCUUCAACUACUACUAAUUUUUCAAUGCAUCAUCCUAAAAAUAUGUCUAGAGGUAUAGGGGGAGAUGAUGUUGUCGCGCAACAACUCCAACGACAACAGAGGUAUGGGCGAGAUAGAAGAAAGCAACGGGGCGACAACACAAGGGUGGUAGAGGGGGUUGGUGGAGGAGAAGAGGAGGACACAAAAAGAAUAAGAAUAUUUUAAUCAGUCUCCUCGAUCCUAUUUUGUAAAAGUAUAAAAUUAGUAAAUUGUUUUUAAUGCAAAAUGGCUAUUAGUGUAAGUAGUAGUAGUUCACCAAAGAUUCCUGUGUAUAUAUACACCAAGGAAAAAUGGUAGUUAACUAUUUGUACAUUCAACUGCUCCUACUUUAUUUAUGCAUCAUGCUAAUAAUAAUAUAUGUAUGCAAUUUGGAGAAGAUGCUAUCUCACAACAACUCCAACUAUUGAUUUUCCAUAUACUUAUUAAAGCACAAGCACUCUCACCCAAUUCCUUGAGAAGCACUGUUCCUCACAUUUCUCUAUGGCUUCUCUAAGUUCCUUCAUAUGCCACCACCACCACCUCUUGCUCUUCCUCUUCGCCGCCGUCGUCGCCGCGGCGGUGUUUACUACAAAAGCCGUCACCGCCGACGACAACAUGACCCACCUGCACUUCUACAUGCACGACAUCCUCGGCGGGUCGAACCCGACCGCCAUCGAGAUCGUCAAGGGCCCCGUCGCGCUGCCUUCCGUCCCCGGCGUCAACUUUGGUAACCUCAUCGCGAUCGACGACGCCUUGACGGAGGGCCCCGAGCUCUCGUCGAAGCCCGUCGGCCGGGCCCAAGGGUUCUACAUGUCAACUGCUUUUCAGGAGGCGUCGUUGCUCAUGUCGGUCAACUUUGUGUUGGCCGCCGACGGGCCGUAUAACGGCAGCGUGGUGUCCGUUCAGGGGCGCGACCCGAUCGCGGCGCCUGUCAGGGAGCUGUCGGUUGUUGGCGGAACCGGGCAGUUUCGGAUGGCCCGUGGGUACGUGCUUUGGAAGACGUACGAUGGCAACGCCACCAACGGUGACGGAGUCUUGGAGCUCGACGUCUACGUCACGACAGAGUGAAUUUGUCAUCCCUUCCAUCUCAAUUUUCGAAUCUUACCGUCUGUUCUUUUUUUUUCUUUUUUUUUUAUUUUAACAUUUCCUCGUACUCCUAAGAAAUAGGACUGACGGCAUAUCACUGAAUGAUUCAUGAUUGAUGUGGUUGCUCAGCUCUGGUAGACGCGCGCCGUCAACGACACCAACGGCGAUAACGCAAUCACCUGCGGUGCAUCAAUCUUCGAAAUCGACGUCAACGUCACUACGAAGUGAAUUUGUCAUCCUGCUGAUCUCGAUUACCAUAUGUGCAUUUUUGCUUUAAUAUUUGGCUUGUUCGAGUCUGUUGGAGUUUGAUAGUAAGAAAUGGAAUUAAUGACAGAUCACUAAAGGAUUUAUGAUUGAUGUAAUUGAUCAGCUCUGAAAGACGUAUGUUGUCAACCGGCAACACAAUCCUGGAGCUGGACGUCUAUUUUACAACGAAGUGAGUCUGUCAUUCAUCCCAUCUCGAUAUUCAAAUCCCACCAUUUGUUUUUUUUAAUUUAAAUAUUUAGUUUUCUUAGAGAGCUGCGGAGUUUGAUAGUAAAAAUAGAAUGGAUGGCGGAUAGAUAGAUGGUAUAUGGUUGAUGUGGUGGAGCCAGGUCAACAUCUACUUUGCGUUCAACCAUUUUGUUAAUAAAAGCAUGGUCAUAAGUUUGUUGGUUUGUUUCUUCUUUAUUUGUCAUUAUUGAAAAGUAAGUUACUUGAAAAUAAUAAUAAUAAUAAUAAUAAUAAUAAUAUUAUAAAAUUGGGUACUUUUCAUAGCAGUUGCAAAGUUUUGUUGGGAACCAAAAUUAUUGAGACAGUGCUAGUACAGCUGUGCUCGUCAGUGUGGUGGCAUGUGGGAGUGCUUUUUUCUACUUUUAAAAGCACUACUAGCAGAGGAAAGUGCUUUUCCUUUUUUUUUUUUUUUUAAUUUUAUUUUAAGAAAGACAAAAGUAAAAGGAAACGCUUUGGUUCCCCAAGGAUUAUGGCGUUUUUUAUUAUGCGCGUGACUUAAUAAUUAAAGCCAGCUACUGCUAUUGAUACUAUCACAUUUUUUUACAGUUAAAUAUAUUUUUUUGGUUUAUUUUUAUAUGUUAGAUCAUACUAUUCAAUUAGAGAUGUCAACGGAUUGAAUUCGGGACGGAUUUUUAAAAACCUGAACCCGAACCCGACUCCAAAUCCGAGAUCCGAACCCGAAUCCGAAUCCGACGAAUUUUAAAAAUCCAUAUCCAAAUCCGAACCUGACCAAAAAUUUGAAAUCCGAACCCAAAAAAUUUGAACCCAAAACAAUUACUUCUUUUUUCAAUAUUUCAAAAAAUAUUAUAUUAAAUCUAAAAUUUUAAAAUACAAAUUUAAAUAUAAAAUCAAAUUUUUAUAUACAUAAUAUAUAUAAUGUAAAAAAAAUUCGGGUUUGGGUCGGGUUUGGGUUCGGAUUCGGAUUUGGUACAGUCAAAAUUCAUAUCUGAGUUCAUAUCCGUCGAAUUUUUAUUUUUAAUAUUCAUAUUCGAAACUAUAUCGGUCUAGUAUCAAAUAAAUCUGUUAUGUUAGGAUUAAAAUUUGAAUAAAAUUUUGGAUAUCCGUACCAGUGACAUCCUAUGUGCCACCAAUUAUUUCUGGGUCCAAUCAGUCUCCCAGAACAACUCUCUACAACUUGUCUUUUUCUUCUUCUUUGAUUAGAGUGGCUACUUUUUUUUGAAGGGAAAACUUCAAAUACCCCCUUGUGGUUUCACUUUUUCUCACUUUAGUAUCCUGUGGUUUAAAGUGUAUUAAGUUAGUACCCUGUGGUUUUGCACUUUUUCACUUUAAUACCCUAUGGUUUAAGGCGUAUCAAGUUAGUAUCCCGUGGUUUCGCACUUUCUCACUUUAGUACUAUGUGGUUUAAAAAUCACAGAGUACUAACUUGAUACAAAAAUAAAAUCACAGAGUACUAACUUAAUANGGUCAUAAAUGAAUAACCUUCUUAAAAUAGAGGUUAGACUUUCUCAAUUCAUAAUCAGAAUUAUCAAACAUUAUCUAAAUAGUAUAAAAAAUUUUAUAUAAAAAAUUUAAACAAUUUGGAUUGCUCUACACCGUUAAACAAGCAAACGACUCAUAUAGGCCGUCAAAAAUUGUCGAUUUUACGACACUUUGAUCACCAUGUAAACCAUUAUCAAAAUUUAUGAAAUUUAGUUUCUAGAUAUUCAAAUACUCUAGAUCAACUUCAACGGCUCCGAUCAUCGAUUCGGAAUCUCUAUCAUCAAGAACAAUUUGAUAGGAGAAGUGCUACUAUCCUCUUAAGAGGAUAGUAGCCCUAGCCUAUAUAUAUAUAUAUAUAUAUAUAUAUAUAUAUAUAUAUAUAUAGAGAGAGAGAGAGAGAGAGAGAGAGCGCUAGGAUGGAAUACUAUCAAUAGCACUAAGCUAUUGGCGCUAUUAGGUUUUCGGCUCUUAAAUAAAAAAAAUGGUCGGUUAGGAUGAUGUAGGCCUUCUAGGGUUGAGUGAGUUAUUGGUUGAAUGGUAUAAUCUAAUAGGUGAAAAUAGUUAAAGGGUUAAAUCUAAUGGCGGAAAACUCGGCAGCACCAAGCGGUUGGUCGGACUCUCUCUCUCUCCCUAUAUAUAUAUAGAGUCCGGCUACUAUACUCUUAUGAGUAUAAUCCCCUUUGUACUGAUAAUUUUUUGACCAUUAGAUCUACUUCUUUGAUUAUUUCCACCCGCUAGAUCAUAUUAUUGAACUAACCACCCACUCGAAAUAUAGAUAUAAAUUUUACAUCCUAGGGGACCACUAUCAUCCUAAUCGCACAUCUUUUCAUCCAAUGGUCGAAAAUUUAUGAGUAUAAAAAAGGCUAUACUCAUAAGAGUAUAGUAGCUGUCACGCCCCGGAUUACACGUUCCCCGGGCACGCCGACAAAUCCGCCGUAUACAAAGAAAUUUUCCCUGUAUACGAAGCGAUAGCUGUACCUGUAAAUCAAACACUACUACGAACAGUAGUAGAGAGCUGCUAGAGAAAACUGAAGCUAAAUAAAACAGAGUUUCAUAUACAUAGUUCAGAUCCAAAAUACAGAGCUACUCGCACUGGCGAGUUAAGUCAACUAUGUACAUAAACUCGAAACAAAACAUCUACCUGCAGUAGGGCACCUCUAGCUCAGCACGUCGGGUAGGGCUCUAACUCGCGACGCCCUUGCCUCGAUCCUGGUCCGCAGACGGUGCAGCAGCCGGAACCUGUGGCUCUGCAAAAACAUAGGUAACAACUGGGCGUGAGAACUACUGUAAAAACAAGUAGUCCUCAGUGGGUACCGCCCAAAACAACAUCGGUCACCCACUAAGUCUACAGAAGGGAGCAAGGAUAGAAGGAAAGCAGGAAGCAUACUCUACCGCUAUCAUCCACUACACUAUCAUGCUCUACACUAACCAACUGUAGGAAAUGUCAAAUCUGACCCAAUCCAAAUCGGGACUGUAAGCAUACCCGUCCCCGGGACUGUGAAUACACCCGUCCCUGCCCCGUUGCGACUAUCGGGCUCUAUCCACUCUAACUGGUCCGUGGAGAGCAAGUCCAACUGGCAUGAGCGACACCAACGCAAAAGCACAAGCCUGACUCCGGAGUGGCACUCAUGGGCGCUACCCAACCGAGUAUGCAGCGUAUCUCUGUCGAGCUCAAUCAGGCUCCAACUAGCCAAAGUCAAGUAAUCGACUCAAACUGGUCUAACAACCAACAGGUAACGUGUCCUCGGCACAAUCUGACGUCAAAAAAGCGAUACGGGUCCACCGUCAACUCUGACGGCACCCAACAGUCCGGAACAACCUGAACGACCCUGUAAAAAUCCACUUGGCGAACCAGCACGAGUGUAAAUACAUUCUAAACUACCUGGAGUACUCGUCUCGAAGAAACUGCGACAGUACAAUUUUCUGACGGCUCCUAGAGCUAAAUCAGGUAGUUAAAACUGGUGACAGGUCCAAAUCGCAGGUUUUCUCCUAAUUCAAUUUCCAAGUCCCACAUGUAUAAUCUACUUAAAUUAUAAAACAUGCUCCAAAAUUCAGAUUUCACAAUCUACAUAAAGUCCAUGAAUUUGAGCUAACAUAAUUUACCGAAAAUCAAGAUCUAUACAUGCCGACCAAUAAGAACUUAGGAGUAAAGCCGAUGUAACCCACCUAAAGUGCUAUCUCCUGGCAGCAAACGAAGCCUCGGCCUAAAAGGAACUCUGCUGGAUCAAUCGGGGAUCUCCAAGUCCGGUCGCCAAGCUAACGCCAAGCUAAAACGACAAAAGUUCACAAUUCAGUCCCCGUUCACAGCAGCUGAGAAGAGCAUGAUUUCGACCAUGGUAACCUUGACCAAAAAUUGCAAGUGAGGGCUCUGUGGAUUCCUCUCGAAGUCUAGAAUCCAAUGAACCAAGUUUCGUCGCGAUCCGACGCUCCUACGCGGAGAACGAGCCGAAAUACUAACAGUCGACGGUAGAUUCUGCGAAAACAGCACUUAAGCUCAAAUCAACGAUACCCGAAGUACUCGGAGCAAUUGCGACCAAAAUGCUCACCUCAACAGCGACAAUCCUCGGCGCGAUGUCCAGGACGGCGAAGACGCACCCUCGCCCGGCCUCUUCGCAAUGCCCCGGCAACAAACGCUCGCUCGAACGGCUCGCGGCGCGACGUCGGCGAAUCCCCGGCUCAACCGUGCUCCACCUCCACCAAGCUUAGAGAGAGAGAGAAAGAAGAAAGCACAAAAGCCUUCUCUCUCUUCCUCUGCUCGGUUUCCAACUGAUAUAGAGAGAGAGAGAAGGAAUCGUUACAAACGAGGGAGAGAAAAGACCCAAUUGCCCCCUCACCUACUCUGGUGUACCGGUACACGGGACCGCGUACCGGUACAGGAGCCAACCCGAGAGCAACCCGCGCGCGGCCCAGUGCAGUGUACCGGUACACCUUGAUGGCUGUACCGGUACAGCAAGCAGAAAAACUGCUAUUUGCAGAUUUUCUUCGCUGAAAGCUGCUCUCGCGUCGCACGGAGUCCGUUUUGCGUCUCUUUGACGCCAACGCGACUCGGACUUGUCCCGACACUCUCCAGAGCUGUCGACAAGCCCCCACAGCUAGACACCAGGGAUCUCACAGUAGCCCUAACCUCUCUCUCUCUAUCUCUCUCUCUAUAUCUAUAUCUAUACUAUAUAUAAAAGCGUAUAGGAAUUCCAACAAUGACAGACGGAAUCCAAAAAGGAAUAAAAUAAUAUUCUCUACGAAUGAUUAUGAUUAAUUUGUUAAAAAUAUGUUAAAUAAAAACGAACGGUUAUGAUCAAUCUAUUAAAUUUCUACUACAUAUAAAAAUCUAUUCCCUAUAAAUGGUUAUGAUCAAUUUGUUAAAAAAAUAUCUCAAAUAAGAACAGUUAUAAUCAAUCUAUUAAAAAAUAGCAUUUGCAUGCAUCUAUAAAUUCAAUCCUAUGAACGAUUAUAAUCAAUUUGUUAAAAAAUAUCUCAAAUUAAAACAAACGGUUAUGAUCAAUUUGUUAAAAAAUAGCAUUUCUAUUAAUCUAUUUUACAUUAAAAUUAAAAUUUGAGUUUAAAUUAUAAAUUAAAUUUAAUUUUUAGAUAUCAAAUUUGAAUUAAUAAUUAAUUUUUUUAUUACAGUGGAUCAAAAUUAAAUUUUAAAUUUUAAAUUAAAUGUGAAUUAAAUUUUGAUGCUUUUAGUUUAAAACACAUAUUUAAAUUUGAUUCAUCAAAAAUCAAAAAGUAUAUAAAAAUGUUCGAUGUAUAUAAAUAAAAGAACACGAUAGGAUAUUAUAAAUAUUUUCUAAUAAAAUAUAACACAUUAAUUUAUAAAUAUAAUUUUUAUUGUAAAAACUUGGAUAUAUAUAAUGUACAAAUUUAUAUUGAUUUGAAAUAAAUUAUAAUAAUUGUUACAUGCAUUUGCACGUACAUUCAACUAGUAUAUAUAUAUAUAUAUAUAGCACCAAGCUAUUGGUGCUAUUAGGUUUUCAACCCUUGGAUAAAAAAAUGUACAGUUAGGAUGAUAUGGGCCUCCUAGGGUUGAGUGAAUUAUUGAUUUAAUAGUAUAAUCUUACAGGUAAAAAUAGUUAAAUGGUUAAAUCUAACGACUGAAAACUUGAUAGCACCAAACGCUUGGUGCUAUCGAUAGUAUCCCAGCCGGACUAUAUAUAUAUAUAUAUAUAUAUAUAUAUAUAUAUAUAUAUAUAUAUAUAUAUACUAUGCUAUCGGAAGUAUAAAGUAGUUGGAGCUUCCGAUUUUUUAGCUCUUAGACCAAUCCCAUUGAUCAUUUCUAACAAUUGGAUUAAUAUUAUUAACUAAUAGGGGCCACUCAACCCUAGGGGGACCACUCAACCCAAAAGGACACUAUCAUCCUAACCGUAGAAUAUUUGAUCCAAGCGCUACAAAAUCGGAAGCACCAACUACUUUAUGCUUUCGAUAGUAUAGUAGCUCCGAUAGUAUAGUAGCUCUACACUAUAUAUAUAUAUAUAGAGUCCGGCUGGGGUACUAUCGAUAGCAUCAAGGAUUUGGUGCUAUCGAGUUUUCCACCGUUAGAUUUAAUCCUCUGAUUAUUUUUAUCCAACCACUCACUAAACCCUAGGGGGCCCACACCAUCCUAACCACCCAUUUCUCAACUCUGGAAGACGAGUGCCGUCAACGACAGCAGCGAUGAUAACGCAGUCUCCGCCGGUGCAGCAAUCUCCGAAAUUGACGUCGACGUCACUACAAAGUGAAUUUGUCAUCCCGCUGAUCUUGAUUACCAUCUGCUUUUUUGUUUCAAUAUAUAGUUAGGAAUGAGAUUGAUGGUAGAUCAUUAGAUGGUCCAUGAUUGAUGUGGUUCAUCAUCUCCAUUUUAGAACCUUAUCUUUUAUUUUUUGUUUAAUAUUUAUUUUAUGUUAGAAUGGUGAAGUUUGAUAGUGAAAAUAUGAUUGUUGGCAGGUCAACAUCAACUUUUUGUUUAAUCAUUGUGUCCACAAAAGUACGAUUAUAAGCUUGUGUAAAAGUACCAAGCAUUUGAUACUUGUAAAUUUUUUAUCGUUAAAUUUACGCUUUUAAUCAUUUUCACCUAUUUGGUUAUUCUAUUCAACCAACCACUCACUCAACCCUGGAGAUCCAUAUCAUCCUAAUCGUACAUAUUUUAAUCCAAUGGUUAAAAAUAUAUAAACAUCAAUAACUUGAUAUUUUUAAAAGUAUAGGUGCUCAAUUAUAUAUAUAUAUAUACAUAUAUAUAUAUAUACAUAUAUAUAUAUACAUAUAUAUAUACAUAUACAUAUAUAUAUAUACAUACAUAUAUAUACAUAUACAUAUACAUAUAUAUAUAUAUAUAUAUGGAGUUUUGCUGGAAUACUAUCGAUAGUAAACGAGCUGUUUUACUACCGAUUUGUUUUCGAUGAUAGAACUUCCAAAUUGACGAUCGGCUCCGUUGAACACGAUCUAUAUCACUUGAAGUGUUUAGAAAUCAAAUUUCAAAUCUUUUUAACAUCAUUUGCCUAAUGAUCAAAGGGUUUCAAAAUUUGUAAUUUUAAUGGUCGAUAAGAGGCGUUUUCUCGUUUAACGGCGUAAAGAUAUCCAAAUCAAUUGAAUUUUUGUUAGAAAAUUCUUUAAACUAUUUAAAACAAGAUCUGUACUCUUGAUCUUGAUUACAAGACUCCUAUCAUCAUUUUUUAAAGAGUAUUCAUUUUCAGCCAUUCAUUUUUCUGUUCACUUGAUGGAUAAAAGAACAAUAUCGAAAGUGCGUGAAAUUUGAUUUCUAAGUAGUUUAAUGGUUUAAAUCAUAUUUAACGGAGCCGAUCAUCAAUUUGGAAGCUCUAUCAUCGAAAACAAAUCGGUAGUAAAACGGCUCGUUUACUAACGAUAGUAUUCUAGCUCAACUCCUAAUAUCGUUUUGUAUUUCUAACAGCUCGAACUUUUAAGAUUAAUGGUUAGCGCUAACAAUCUGACAGUGCCUUCUUAAUUGUCGCAAUUAAGUCUCAAAAUUCAAUUUAGCUGACUAAAUAAUAGUAAAUUAUUGAUGAAAAACUGAUGAAAAUAUUGUGAUUAAUGAUGCGAUAAUGAUUAAAACACAUUACGUAACUUCCAUAUCAACAAUUUUGUCAAUAUUUAAUUUUUUUAUAAUAAUAAAAAAAUUAAACUAAAAAUUAUUAUAAAUUAAAAUUUGAGGAUCAAAAUAUCACACAACUCAGAAUUUGACGGCGGAAAGUGUAAUUUGGCUUAAAAGAUUCUAUUAUUUUUUUUGUGUGGAUGGAAACUAAAGAGCAACUGUUCCUAUCUUCUUAUGUUGUGCUCGAUGAAAGCUAAAGACUACCUACGUGUAUCUUCUUCUGGAUUUGUGCCUGGUGAAUGAUUCAGACAUCAUAAGAUACUGGAUGUUGACAUGGGACACACAUAAGCAUCCACUGUCCUAGGAAGCAUCUCAAACCAAAGAUCAAUGGGACUCUAACAAAUAAGUACUUUCUCAUAAAGAGAAUAUAACCAAAAUGUAGAUAACAAGGAAUAUAUAUAUAGAAUUAUACGAUUGUACUAUCGAUAGCACCAAGUGCUUGGUAUUAUUAGAUUUUCGGUCUUUAGAUGAAAGAAGGUGCAGUAAGAUAAUAGUAGUCUCAUCGGAUUGAAUGGAUGCAUGGUUGAAUAUGUAGUAUGAUCUAACGAAUGAAAAUGGUCAAAGAGGUAGAUCUAACGACAAGAACUCGAUAGCACCAAGUGUUUGAUACUAUCGAUAGUAUAGUAGCGAUAGUAGUUGGACUCUAUAUAUAUAACACUGUUAUCCAUCAAACGAUCUGAUAUAAGGACGACUUACGACAUAGGACUAUUUAGAGGCAAAGGAGCUUAGGAGAUCCUUUGGUAUCAUUUGUGCGAUCACUAAUAAUCUAAAACGUAACAUUUUUAUAAUUUGAAAUAGUCUUAUAUAUAAAAUAUAUUAGAGUUAAAAUUUUUAGUCUGGCUAUAAUAUUUUGAGUGAUGACUAGAUCCAAGAGGUUAAAACAGUUGAACCAACUUAGAGUUAGAAUAUUUCUAGAAUAGAUGACCCUCUGAAAAGUGGGGCAUUACAGUCAGUAUUAAUUAAAGCCAAUCUCCCGCUAAAAUAUAAGAUGAGACUCGACUGAGCCAAAGUCAUAAAGUGGGAUAAAGUACAGAGUGGAGUGCAAUUUCCUAUAAGAUCGGCUAAACUAGUGAGAUGGGUGUCACAUUGACUGAUAUUUGUAAGUGUGCUUGAGGGUANAUAUAUAUAUAAAUAUAUAUAUAUAUAUAUUAUGGACAACUAUAAUUAUUAAAAUUAUUAUUGGCUUAUUUAUUAUUAAAUUGAAUUCUAUAUUGUAACAUAGUAUAAGGGUGACCUACGCUGGCCAUAAGUUCAGCCGUAUCCUUCCAUAUUUAAUGAGUUAAAUUUUUAUGAUAUGUUUUCUUAAGUUAAAUUAUCGUGUUCUACUUAAUUUAUCAUUCAAAUAAUAUUUGCAUGUUUUGUGUAUUUCUUAUACUUUUUAUGCAUACGAUCGAGUAAAGAUAUUAAAAAAAAAAAAAAAACACUUCAGGGUCAUUUUUAGUUAGAGAACAAGCAAUAUUUGAUUUGCAAGUAAAUAAAAAUAAAAUUCUCUUAUUAGAAUUUUGGUUCACAUUGAGNAAAACUUCAGGGUCAUUUUUAGUUAGAGAACAAGCAAUAUUUGAUUUGCAAGUAAAUAAAAAUAAAAUUCUCUUAUUAGAAUUUUGGUUCACAUUGAGUAAUCAUUGAGAUUUAACAAGUGGUAGUUGGAACUCAUCUUAUACCUAAUGUCACCCAAUUAAGAAGUGUUAAUUAAGUGAGACACCAUUAAUUAAUAAAAGAGGCCAAAAUUUAAAACUCUUGGAUUUAGAGUUUUAAAUUGUUUUCGAAUUUAAGAAUCCUUAUAAAAGGAAUUUAUCGCUUUAGGAACAUGGCUUAUUGGAUUCUAAUUCAGGACACUACAACAGAAUUAGAUUAUAGAGACACAUGUUUGGAACACUUUUGUGUAAGUGUCUCAUUUAUGCCAACAUUUUUUAAAAAAUCUAUUAAUGCCUAAAUAUAAAGCCCAAUCAACCAAAAAUAAAAGGUUACUCUACUCAACCCACCCUACCCAGCCCAUUUGGCCCGAUUACAAACAGAAAAGAAAAAAAAUAAAGAAAAAUCGAUUACCAUCUCUCUUUCUCUCCUUACUCAAUCCACUGAAAUCCUAGAUGAAGAGCCCUUCCCUCUCGUCCUCUUCCGCACCGCAGCCAACGAGGUAAAGUUCCAUGUUUGGAACACUUUUGUGUAAGUUUCUCAUUUAUGCCAAAAUUUUUUAAAAAAUCUACUAAUACCGAAAUAUAAAGCCCAAUCAAUCAAAAAUAAAAGAUUACUCUACUCCACCCACCCUACCCAGCCCAUUUGGCUCGAUUACAAACAGAAAAGAAAAAAAUAAAGAAAAAUUGAUUACCAUCUCUCUUUCUCUCCUUACUCAAUCCACUAAAAUCCUAGAUGAAGAGCCCUUCCCUCUCGUCCUCUUCCGCACCGCAGCCAACGAGAUAAAGUUCCGACGGCUGCUAAAUGCUUAAAUAAGUGUUGGUAAUUAGUAGCACUUUUUUUAGGCUACAGCGACACUUUUUAACUGUCACUAUAUACCUAGCGACCCCACAUAUAGCAACAUUUUUUAAAAGUAUUGGUAAUUUAGCCAGCAGCAUUUUUUUUGACAUGUACCAAUAUUUAAAAGUGUCGCUAUAUACCGUUUUUGUUGUAGUGAGAUUAUCGCGUACUUUAAUUGCCGCAUUAGCGCCUAUUUGACUUACUCUUUAUAUAAGCAACAUGUCUUAAUUUGGUAAAUUGAUGAUUUUACCGUUUGAGAAGGUAAAAGUAGAAGCUGAAAUGAUAUUCUAAAGAUAAAAAUAGAAGCUUUAUUUUGAAACUUACUAAGUAAACAAUAUUAAUAAAAAUUAAAAUUUUAUUUCUAAAAACUUUAUAUACUCUAAAAUAUAUUUAACUGUGUCGAUCAUAAAUUUAAAUACUCUAAAAUCGAAAUGAGAUUAUAGUACCGGAGUUCAGGUACUAUAGAUAGUACAAUAGACUCGAUCUCUAUAUAUGUAUAUAUAUUAGUAUAUAUGUGAAUAAGUCAACUCAAAAUAAUAUUUUAUUAAACUUAUUCAUGCAUCGACAAUAAAUUAAACAUGAAAUGGGUUUCAUUUAUAACUUUCACAAAAAAAAAGUGUAUUAUUCCUCUAAAUUUAUUGUAAAAUUAAAAUACAUAAGAUAAAUUAUAAUAAAAAGCAGUUAUUAUCCAUAAAUUCUUGGGUUUACUCCAAAAUAAAAUGAAAAAAAAAAUGCUAUUUGUACAUCCAACUACUCACAUCAUGCGAAAAUAUGUGUAUACAGUAUUGGAGAUGAUGCUACCUCACAACAACUCCAAUCAUUGACCUUUCACACUAAUUAAAGCACAAACCCUAACACACCCUCUCACCCAAUUCUCUGUAAGAUCCACUUUUUCACACAGCUCUCUCUUGUUUCCUAUGGCUUCUCUAUAUUCCCUGAUAUGCUACCACCACCUCUUGCUCUUUCUCAUCGCCGCCGCCGUUGCGGCGGCGUUUACUACGCAUGCCGUCGCCGACGAUAUGACCCAUCUGCACUUCUACAUGCACGACAUCCGCAGCGGGCCCAACGCAACUGCGGUCGAGGUCGUCACAGGCCCCGUCCCCGUACCUUCCGUCCCCGGCGUCAACUUCGGUGACUUCGUCGCGAUCGACGAUCCCCUCACGGAGGGCCCAGCACUCUCGUCGAGGCUCGUCGGCCGGGCCCAGGGGUUCUACUUGUCCGCAGCACUGCAAGAGGUGUCGUUUCUCGUGUCGGCCAACUUCGUGCUGGCCGCCGACGGGCCGUAUAACGGCAGCGCGGUCUCCGUUCUGGGGAGCGACCCGAUCGCGGCGCCUGUCAGGGAGUUGUCGGUCGUCGGCGGGAGCAGGCGGUUUCGAAUGGCCUACGGAUAUGUGCUCUGGAAGACGUACUUCUUCAACGCCACCACCCUCGACGCGAUCCUGGAGCUCGACGUCUACGUCACGACGAAGUGAUGAAUUCGUCACAUCGAUCUCAUCUCGCUCGUUGAGCCCUAUUAUUGCAAUCUGAUAGUAAAGAUAGAAUCGAUGGCGGAUCGAUCACUCAGAUGAUACAAGAUUGGUUUGACUGUCCAUGUCAAAUGCCAAUUAUUUGUUCAAUCAUUAUGUCAAAAAAAUAAAAAGGCAUGGUUAUAGAUAAGCUUGUCUGUUUGUUUUUUCUUGAGUGUCUUUGUUAGAAAGCAAUAGUUAAAAACUUUUUUAAAAAAAUAAAAAUAAAAUUUGGUACUUUUUUAAAAAUAAAAGUAGAGAGAAAUGCUUUUUCCCUUUUUUUAAUUUUAAAAAGAAUAAAGGAAAUGCUUUGGUACCCACCAAGAGUUCUCUACAUGUGAGUAUCAAUUAUUGUGUUGGUUUAUGGUAUUUUCUUUUAUGUUCAUGACUUAAUAAUUAAUAAUGUUUUUUUAUAUUAUGAAAUAUUUUUUUAACAUAAAGAUAAAAUUAUUAAAAUUAGGCUAAUUUGCAUUAAAAGUUAUUAGUUUUGCACUUUAUAAAAUUAAACUAUUGUGAAAUGAAUGACACAUUAUAAAAAUAAUUUUAGCUUAUAAAGGAUAUUUGUUGUUUAGAUAAUUAAUGCUAAUUUAAAAGUGCAUAUUAUCGCUUCUCCACAUAUUAAGUAUACUUCAAAACUUUUAAUUUUUCAAAUUAAAAAUAAUAUGUAUGAUUUUUCGACUUCACCAAUAUCUUUUAUAACUUAUCAAUUCGAGUUAGCCGACGAUGAUUUGAACAUUUUAAAUAAAAUAAUAUGAAAGAUUUUUAAAAUAUUAUAUGACACGCCGUGAAAUGAAUGACUAAUUAUUAAAAUAGUUUCUGAUUAUAUCGAAUAUUGUUUAAAUAGUAAUUUUAAUUUCGAAUGUAAAAAUGCAUUAAAAUACUUUUCAAAUAAAUUUAAAAGAAGUUGGAUAUGUGUUUAAAUAAGUAAUUAGUAUUCUUUUUAAAUGUAAAUGUAAAACAUUUUUUUAAAAUAAAUUUAAAAAAUGAUAAUAAGUUGGAGAUGCGGGGUAUCGAACCCCGUACCUCUCGCAUGCAAAGCGAGCGCUCUACCGUUUGAGCUACAUCCCCAUUUUGUAAAUUUAACAAAAUUUUUGUUUAAUGAAAUUAAAAUACAAUUUACUGCACACAACUCCCUCUAAACCUAUUGAAUUACAGAAAUAUCCCUACAAAGUUCGAUUUUUCCUAAUUAUCCUUACAAAAGUUUUAGCGUUUUCAAAUAUACACCUGUUGUUAGGAUCCGUCAGAAAAAUAUAAUUAACCAUAGGUAAAAUAUUUAACCCUGGUUAGUGAAUGAGGUAAAUGGACCUUUUUACGCCACUUAUAUUAUUUGUGAUGAUAGAAAGAAAGAAGAUGACCAUUAAAAAUUUUUGAUAAGAUAUUUUUGCAUAAUUUUAACAGUUAAAGUUUUUGGAGAUAUAUUUGUGAUGGCGAAAAUGUCAUUUUAUUUAUCUUCUGUUAAAAAAUAAACAAUGUUCUAAUGGUAAUAAACAAAAGGGGCGAGUAUGAAUAUUGUUGAAUUUUUCUAGGAAAAAAUAUGAAAAAUGAAACUUUGCAGGGAUAUACUUACUAUUCGAUAUGUUUACAGGGAACUGUGUAAGUGGCAAUCUGAACCCGUACCUACGGGUUACAGGUGUGGCAAUCUCAACCCGUACCUACGGGUACCUAUGGGGUUACUCUUAAAUUUGUGGGUAUGGGUACUAAUUUUUCUUACCCAAAAAAUUUUGGAUAAAAUGAGUAGAUUCUAAUUAAAUUAUGAGCAUUUUUUUUUGGCAACCCGAUAGUGAAUACUCUUUUUAUUUUAUCCGUUCUUAGAAUUCUAAUAUAAUUUCUCCUACCGUUAUUUUUUUUUAUUUAUUAUCUGUUGUGUAUUGCGAUAUUUUAAACAAUAAGUUAAAUUUUAAUCUUUUAAAAAUAAUGUAUAUGUUAAGUGUUUGAAAAGUUUAAAUUUAGAAAAAGAAAAAAAAAGGGAAAACUUCAAAAACCCUCCUGUGGUUUCGUGCAUUCUCACUUUGCUACCCUGUGGUUUAAAACGUAUCAAUUUACCCCCCUGUGGUUUCAUUUUUAUCUUUUCGGAAGCUUUUUCGUUAAUAUUUCGUUAAAUUAUAUACAAAAAACUUCAGAUAACCAUCUAUAUUUAUCGAAUAGUCACUUUAGUAUCCUUUAAUUUUAACUUUGUCACUGAUUUUAAAAAAAAAUAAUAAUAAAAUUGAUAACAAAAAGAUAAAAACGAAACCACAGGGGGGCAAAUUGAUACGUUUUAAACCACAGGGUAGCAAAGUGAGAAUGCACGAAACCACAGGGAGGGUUUUUGAAGUUUUCCCAAAAAAAAAAAGAUUAAGUUGCUGGUAACCCGUAUAUCCGCCAAAAGCCGACCCUAGGAAUGUCAAUGGGUACGGAUACCCAAAAUUUUAUCCGAACCAGAACCCGAACGGAGCGAAUUUACCUAAUGCAAAAUGGAUAUAGUUUCGGAUAUGGAUAUCAAAAACAAAAACCAAACGGAUAUGGAUAUAGAUAUAGAUUUUGAUUGUACCCGACCCGAACCCGAACCUGACUCGAACUUGAUCCAAACCCAAAUUUAUUUUACAUUAUAUAUAAUAUGUAUAUAAAAAUUCGAUAUUAUAUUUGAAUUUGUAUUUUAAAAAUUUAAAUUUAAUAUAAUAUAUUUGAAAUAUUGAAAAGAGAAAUAAUUGUUUUGGGUUCGGAUUUUCGGGUUCGGGUUCGGGUUCGGGUUCGGGUUUCGGGUUUUUGGCCGGGUUCGGAUUUGGAUAUGGAUUUUUAAAAUCCGUCGAGUUCGGGUUCGGGUUUUGGGUUUAGAGUCGGGUUUUUGAAAAUCCGCCCCGAAUCUGACCCGUUGACAUCCCUAGCUGACCCGGGAGCAGGAAUAGAUAAUAAUGAUGGCUACCAAAAAAUUUAUGAGUAAAUUCUACCAACAUUCACAUAAUCCGAGGGUACAAUGACCUUUCUGCGGAUUGUUUAAUUUGUCCGUUUGCCAGGUCUACUUACAAAUGAUCGGAAAUAGUUAAUAUCUCUACUCACGUGCAUACCGUAGGGGCGGUGAAAUUGGAUCCGAGCCUAAACGAGGUCCGACCCAAUGGGCUAUGUAUGAGCCGGACUUUAUGUAUUUGAAAAUUUUAAUUUUGGGUUCGGGCUAGACUUUAAAAAUUUAGAUCCAAAAAUGUUUUGGAGUUAUUUGAACAUGUGAAACAACCGUUGUACUCUAAAAACUUAAGCUAUUAGAGAACAGUGUUUAAACAUUUUCAUAUUUAACACUUCCCCUCACGUCUGGGCUCGAGACUUUUUAAUCGGCCCAUGACGUGGGCUUGAAUUAAAUGGGAGGAAAUUAAUAUGCUAGGAGCCUGACGUGACUCGAACUCAGGACCUCCUGCUCUGAUACCAUAUGAAACAACCGUUGUACUCUAAAAGCUUAAGCUAUUAGAGAACAGUGUUUAAACAUUUUUAUAUUUAACAGAACAUGUUCAAGCCCAACCGAGACUCAGCCCAAGAGCCUGAUAUAUUAGUUAUUAUUUCGGACUAACAAGAUAUUUAGUUAUAGACAUUUACCUAUAUAAUGAAUUAAGGAGACAAUACAAUAUAUCAUACAGAGUUGUGCUGGAAUACUAUUAAUAGUAUUUGAGCCUUUUACGACUAAGUUUAUAAUCCUUAGAUGAAAAAUUAUAUAAUUAAGAUAAUUAAGAUGAUAGUGGUCUCCUGAGAUUUAAUGGUGGCUUUCCUAGGGUUUAGUUGGCGGUUGGUAAAAUAGCAUGAUCUAAGUAAUGAAUUGAUUAUGGGUAGAUCUAAUGGUGGAAAGCUGGAUAGCAUCAAGCGCUUGACAUUAUUAAUAGUAUUCCAGCCGGACUCAUAUUAUAUAUAGUAUUAUUUUAAAGCUUUUGAUUAAUUAGACUUUUCUUGUUCCUUGGAGUAAACUAAUUUUUUUUAUGGGAUCAAAUUCUAGAUAGUUUUAUUUCACUUUGAUAUAAUAUAUGGCCUAAACAAAGCCAAAUGGAUAUUGGGCUAGGUUUGGUUCCGGUUUUAAUUCUCUGAAAAACCUGAGGAGGAAUUAGGUAUCUCAAUUUUUCUUCUAUUUAAGUUUUUCUCUAAUUUCUCUUCUUUCUCUCAUCUUAACCACCCCUGCAUCAAAAUUGAUGAAUAAUUAGGAAGCCAAGAACAUAAGGACUGCAAUGCUGCUAAUAGCACAGUAGCCUUACUAUACAUAUAUUAUAUAGAGUUGAGCUGGAAUACUAUCGGUAGCAAAUCGGCUCCGUUGCCACCCAUUUGUUUUCGAUGAUGGAGCCUUCGAAUCGACGAUCGGCACCGUUGAAUAUGAUCUAUACUACUUAAAUUAUCUAGAAAUUAAAUUUCAUGCUUUUCCAAUAUUAUUCUCUUAUCCAUCAAGUGGCGUAAAAAUGAACGACUGAAAAUGAAUAUCUUCUAAAAAGUGAUGAUAGAAAUUUUAUAAUCAAGAUCGAGAGUAUAGAUCUUGUUCUAGAUAGUUUAAAGAAUUUUCUGAUCAAAAUUCAAUUGAUUUGGAUAGCUUUAUACCGUUAAACGUGAAAACACCUCAUAUCUACCAUUAAAAUUACAAAUUUUGAAACCCUUUGAUCAUUAGGUUAAUGAUAUAGAAAAGAUUUGAAAUUUGGUUUCUAAAUACUUCAAGUGGUACAGAUCAUGUUCAACGGUACCGAUCGUCAAUUCGAAUGCUCGCUCCAUCAUCGAAAAGAAAUGGGUGGCAACAGAGCCAGUUUGCUAUCGAUAGUAUUCCAGCUCAACUCAUAUUAUAUAUAUAUAUGAAGUAUUUUAAUGAAAUAUUAGAGGUAAGGUAUAUUUGUAUUUAACACAUAUGUCAAUGACAUUUAUUCAAACACAAACAAAUAAAGCACAACAAAUUCAUACAAAGUAAUGUGUCAUCUUAAUCAUUUGUUAGCGGUGACAUACACGUCCAAUUCUAAGAUAGAAUCUCCAGUGGUGGCGUUGAAGGAGUAGGUCUUGAUGAGCACGUAGCCGUGCGCGAACCGAAACUUGCGGCUGCCGCCGACCACCGACAGCUCCUUCUCCGGCUGAUCGUCAGCGUAGCUGCCGUACACGGCGAUGGUGCUCCCGUUGUGCGGCCCGUUUGCCGCGAAACCAAGGUUCGCCGACACGAGCACUCCAGAACCCUGCGUGUACGAAUGUACAUAUGUUCACAUACGAUGAUACGGAGGAUAACUUAUUCGGCAUAAAAAGUUUUUAGUGUGAAAAGUUUGACUUGAUCUGUUCCUUAAAAAGUCUAAAUAUUCAUAAUUUCGUAGGAUAACAUAUUUUACCUGCGAAAUAAUUUUUCUUAUUUCAAAAAAAUUAUUUGAAGAUAAAAUAUCAUAUCAAAUUCUAAACUCUUCACACUAAAAAUUAUUUGAUCACUGAUCAGCCCCGUUUGGAUGCAUGAAUAUAUUAUUUGUAAAUUUCUUGAUUUAUAUACUGAAGAAAUUUGCAUAUUUUAUUAAUACAAAGUGUGACUAAUCGUUUAGAAUGAAAUAUUAUAUUUAGACUUUAAUUAAGUUAAGUUUUCAUAAUAAGAUAAAUCACAUCGUCAGUGAAGUAUACUAUUCUAUCAAAUCAUGAAUAAAAUAAUUUAAAAAAAUAAAAAAAAUCAAACUAUUUACUUACAAUCAUACUAGAUAAUCCACAUACAGAAUAAGUUGCCAUUGGAUAACUUAUUAUGAUACCGAAAUAGAGCCUUAAUACUCAAAUUUACAAGUUUUUAAAUAAAUUAAAAAGAUAUAUAGAGUAAGAUAUUCUUAUAUCCAAAUAAAGCAUAUAUAAGAGUGCAUUUGGUAAUGGGUUAUAAAUACUUUUAUUGUUGGAAUAAUCACGUUUGAUUAUUUUCUUAAGAAUAAUAAAGAAUAGUAGAGAAAAAAAAAGGGUUAAUUUCAUAUAUAUAUNNNNNNNNNAUAUAGGUCCCUACAAAUAUAGUGAAUAGCAAAUAUAUUGCUACAAAGUUCAACUUUUAUAUAUUAUUCUUACAAAAGUUUCAAUAUUUUCAAAUAUGUUCCUCUGGUUUGUUAUACCGUUAGAGAACCGUUAGAGAAUUGUUUAUAUUUUUAAUUUUACAAUCACAAAUAUAUCCCUCCAAAAGCCAUAAUAGUAUAAUAUAAAAGGAUAAAAAGGUCAAAAAACUAAACAUGGUUAAGUAUUUAACCUAUGAUUAACUAAAUUUUUCUAAUAAAUUCUAACGGCAGGAAUAUAUUUGAAAAUAUUAGAACUUUUGCAAUGACAGCAUAUGAAAGAUGAACUUUAUAGGAAUAUGUUUAUCAUUCACUAUAUUAAUUUGCAGUGACUUGUAUGAAAUUAACUAAAAAAAAAAGUAUAACUAGAUCGACAAGGCGAAGGGGUGGGGGGAAAUGUUAUUAACACUUUGACCAGAAUAAAUUGUUCCUUUCAAAUUUAGGCUUACUUAACGCUAUUAGAUAAAAGGGAGUUAGGGUUAAAUCAUAUAGGGAUAUACUUCUGCAUUUUCCGGUGGAACCGUACAAAAUAUAUUACAACCGAUUCAUCGCGAUAUGCGGAAUACAAUAUUACGUACGGAAACAAACGAAGCAUUUUCUUGUCGUGCAAUCGAUCCGCAAGUAACGCAAUCUCUCCGUAAUUCCAAACGAAGCUAUAGCUGUAUAUGAAAUAAAAUGCUUUAUCUCUUGGUUAUUGUGUUACGAAACGCACUCCCUGUAUACCUCGAUACUAUCCAGCAGGUAGAACCCCUGGGCCCGACCGACGAGCAUGGACGUCGGGGCGGGGCCGUCGGUCAGGGGGUCGUCGAUCACGUAGAGGUCGCCGAAGUUGGAGUCCGCCAGGGCGGCGGGGCCCUCGACCACCCGCACAGUGGUCACGUUCGGCCCGCCGAGGGUGGCGUGCAUGUAGAAAUGCAGGCGGGUCAUGUCGGCAUCGGCGGCGACGGCGGCGGUUGAAGCUAAUGCCGUUACAACGGCCGUUACGGCGAGGAGGAAAAAGAUAGAGCGGUGGAAAGAAGCCAUAGAGAUCUAGAGAGAGAGAGAGAGAAAAAACCGUUAGAGAGAUCUAGAGAGAGAGGGGGGGUGAGUGCCCAGGGUAUGCCACCGGUGCUUUAAUAGUCGUGCGAGGUCACCGCUGUGUUUUUUCUUAGGUAAACUUUAAAUACCGUCGCACUUUUUCUAUUUAAUACUUUAUAAUUUAAAAUAUAUCAAGUUAGUGUUCUAUACUUUUAUUUUUAUUUUUUCGUUAGCUUUUCCGUUAAUAUUUCGUUAAAUUAUAUACAAAAAACUCCAGAUAUCCCAUCUACAUUUAUCGAAUAUUCACUUUAAUACUCUUUAGUUUUAAAUCGGUCACUGAUUUAACAAAAAAAAUUAAUGCAAUCGAUAAUAAAAAGAUAAAAACAAAACCACAGAACACUAAAUAGAUACACUUUAAACCACAUAGUACUAAAGUGAGAAAAUAUAAAACUACAAGGGUGGUAUUUGAAGUUUUCCCUUUGUUUUCCUUAAGGUGGUCAAUGGCUGUGUUUUCAAGGGGAAACUGCAUGCCAUUGCCAUUAAUUUAGGCAACGAUUGGAUAAGGAUUAAACAUUUAACAAUGAUGGAUACUGCAAUAUACACGUCAUUACAGCCUAAUUAUUUUUAUAUUUUUAAUUGAAUUUUAUUUUUUUAAAGGUUAAUUUCAUACAGAUCCCUAUAAAUAUAGUAAAUUACAAAUAUAUGUUCUUACAAAGUUUAACUUUCAUAUGUUGUUCCUUAAAAAAUCCUGAUGUUUUCAAAUAUAUCUCUGCCGUUAGAAUCUGAUAGAAAAUUUUAAUUAAUCAUAGGUUAAAUACUUAACCUUGAUUAGUUUUGAUAUUUUUACUUUUUUAUAUUAUAUUGUUACGUCUUUUGGAGAGAUAUAUUUGUGAUAGCAAAAUUGAAACAGAGAUAUAUAUUUGAAAAUAUGAGGACUUUUGCAAGAAUAAUAUAUAAAAGUUGAAUUUUAUAAAAGUAUAUUUGUCAUUCACUAUGUUUGCAGAAACCGGUACGAAAAUAACUUUUUUAAAAAAAAUAGUGGCGAUUGCUAUGGGUAGCCUAAAAUGUACCCAAACGUGCACCCUAAACUCCCCAAAUUGUGUUCAAGCCUUGUGAGCAAUUAGCAAGUGGAGCAAUCAAGGGUAUAGAGCAAGAUUUUUUUUUUUUUUUGGGGGAUAAAUUUCAAAUUGUCCAUUUAAAUUUUGCCAUAUAAUUGUUUAAGAUUACAAAGUGAAAUUAAGUUAAACCAAAUGAGACAAUUUGAAGUUCACCUUUUUUUCUUUUCUUUUUUUUUUUGCAUGUGUUUUUACCAAAGUCAACUUUUUCAAUGAUGUGUUUAAUUGUUGUCCGGUCAAUUUUGUUUAAUUUGGUCAAAUCCCAAAUUUUAGAAUAACUCAAUUCCGCGUGCAUUUGACUUGGCAAUGUAAGUUUAAAAUAUUCAAAAAUAUUAAAAAAAUAACUUUACUUUCUAAAAUUCGUAUUAAAAUAUACUUAAUAAAAAUAAAGAUAAAACUAAUACAUGACAGAGCGUUGGGAAGUUCUCUAUUGAAAUUUUAUUUGGGAAUAUUCCAGCUUAUUCUCCAAACCCCCGUGAAAUGAUAAGAACAUUUUUUUUUUUUCCCUCUUCCCUUAUUUUAAAUGAAUUCCUUUAGAUACAGCACAAAUUUGUUCCACCACCUCCUAUAAAACUAUUUUGUUACAGGUUUUAUUCUGGGGAGAAAUUUAAGACUUUUUAAAUAAUUAACACUACAAAAUCCAUAACUUAUUAUAAUACACAUAAAAAAUAUAUAAGGAAGAAACAUACAAGGCAGAACUUAACUGAACUAUGGCCUAUUUGAUUAAUUUGGCUAUCCAAUAUUUUGAAAUCUUAAUUUUACGGUUAGUCUUUAAAUUUCUUUGAUUUGAAUCAGUCAACAGCAACAGCAUCUCUUCAAAAUUUAAGCCAAUUACUUAGUUUAAUUUUAAAUGAUGAAUUCUAAUUUCAAAGUCAAAGUCGGUUGACUGAUACAAACCGAACAAAUUGAAAGGUUGAUAGUAAAAUUAAAAUUUUAAAAUGUUGGAUAUCCAAAUUAAAAUUAUCUAUAGUUUAAAUAAAUUUCAUAUGUUUUUUAUUAAGAUAUAAUUAUAUUAUGAAUUGAGCUGCUAUACUAUAAAUAGUAAAGAAAUAGUGUUUAUUUUAGGAGCAAUUGUUUAUAUACCUCUGAAAAAUUUCUGACUUUUCGAUUUACCAUCUUAGAAGGCUAAUAUUGAAUAUACCCUUUCUACGUUCCAAUCUAUUUCUAAUAUACCCCUAGAGUUAAAAUUUGUUAAUUAACUCUGUUAUCCCUAUAAAAUUACAAUGUUGCCCUUUCAAAUAUACUCUUUCACCAUCACCAACUUUCUUAUUUGCCCUUAAAGUCAGGAACACAAAAAGUAUUUUGAUUUUUGGUAUUUUUCAAUAUACCUCUCUACCGUCACCAACAUUUCUUAUUUGCCCUUAAGUUAAGGGCAAAAUUGGUAUUUUAAUUUUUUUUAACUGUAGUAGAUAUUUGACUCACAUUUAACCCAAGUUAACUUAAUAGGAGAUAACUGCGAAAAUAUUUUGCAAUAACGGUAAAACAUAUGAUGGGUAUUUUAGAAAGAAAAAAAAAGUAUGGAUAAAUCAGAUAUUUUUAAACGUAUGAGGGGUAUAUAGACAAUUAUCCCUUUAUUUUACUAUGUAACAUUAUGAAUUGAGCUACGUAAAGAAGUUAUCCGAACUGUACUACCUAACUUUCAAAUUUUUGAUCUAACUAUCGAAUCUUUUAAUUUAUUUGAUUUGAGUCAGUUAAUGACAUUUUGAUUUCAGAAUCUGAAUGCAUCAUUAAUUUAUCUUUAUAAAUUUAGUUAGUAUAUUUUAUACAAUUUUCGUAAGUAUAAAUUUAUUAAAGUAAAGAGCAGUUUGGUUCAAAGUUAGUAACACUUACAAAAUAUUGUACAUUUUAUAUUAGGAAUGGUAAGUAUACUACUAACUUAUCAAUCCGCUUCGGUGAGAGAUUCUUAAGACGUAGUAUAAAAGAGUUAGUGUUUUCGACUUUUUAGCUCUUGGAUUAACUCCCUUGAUCACUUGUAAUUUUUGGAUUAAUAUUAUUACCCUGUAGGGACCACUCAACCCUAGAGGAGACAAGUAUCAUUCCAGCCGUACAAUUUUUGAUUUAAGGGUCAGAAAAUCGGAAACAUGAACUCCAUAAUAUUUCGGAAAGUAUAGUAACUCUACACCUACUAAUAAUUCACAUAAUAAAAAUAUCUCCUAACUUAUGAUAAUUUAAUAUUUUAAAAUCUACAAUGAUUCCACUCCUUCACUACCGCCAUUGCCCACGGGUUAUCAUGCAACACUCUUUGGUUCACGGAUGACGUGGUGAACCGGGUAUAAUUAAUAACUUCUACGUGAAAAAUUGGUGGGGAUCUUCAUUUACUUUCGUCAACCGUUUCUGUGGUUUUAAAAUUCAUACUAUUUACGUAAUGAACGAUGGAUAAGAUGGUCUCACGCUCGCUUCUGACCCUGCAAAGAACUUCGAUCCCCGAACGAGCGGCCUCGCUCAAUUUCUUCGUCAAAUCCCCAUUAAUUUCAUAUCUCGUAACUUAUGAUAAUUUAGUAUUUUUACGACUUAGUAAUCUAUAAUAAUUUCGCUGCUUCAUUAACGGGAUUUGCCCAUGUUAUCAUACCUCAUUCUUUGGUUCACGGAUGACGUGGUAAACCCGGUAUAAUUAAUAAUUUCUACGCGAAAAGUUGGUGGGGAUCUUCAUCUCCGUGAGACUUUUCGUCCACCGUUGUUGUGGCUUUAUGAUUCGUGCAAGUUACGUGAUGAACGGUGGAUAAGAUGGUCUCACGCUCCACUCCGACCCCGCAAGGUAAUGGGACCCCGUGCUCGAACUUCGAUCCCCAAACGAGGGGUUUCGCUCAAUUCCCCCUCCCCCCACCCCCCCNCCCCCCCCCCGGCCCCCCCCGCGCUCAAUUUCUCCACCAAAUCCCCGUUAAUUUCUCCUACAAUUACAUGUAAAAUCCCCCAAAUCGACCAUUCGCAGGUGAUUAAUCCGUAUUUUUCAUGUAAUUUCGUUAGCUCUCGCAUCCCUUCUCCAUUUUCCCAUCGAUUUCGCCUACAAUUCCAUGUAAAAAUCCCCAAAAUCCACCGUUUUUUUGGUGAUUAAUUCUCAUUUUGAUGUAAUUAUUGUUCUUUUUUGGUGCCGCAGUGUGAAAAAACCUAAUAUUUCUGUAGAUGUUGUUAGAUCCUUGUAAAUCCCCAUCCGAGCAUGCUAAAAUUUUAGUUUUUUACUUGUUUUCUACUUAUUUUAAUCUUUUUUUUUGUUUUGAUGCAGAUAAUAAUCUGGGUCAGAUCCUUGUAAAUCUCGAUCUGGGUAUGCUUAAAUUUUGCUCUUUAUUUUUAAAAUAUUUUUUAGGAGGAAUUAAAGUGUAAAUGUUCUCAAAAUCUCAUCAUGGUUUACCUUCUAGUGUAAUAAUUGUUGCAUUAUUGUUUUAACUUGCAUUAUCUAUCACUUAUCUGAUUAUCGAAAUUGCUAAUUUCAGAGUUUAUCCGGGGAUGUGUGAUAAGUUCAUCAAUUAACUGUUGAUAUAGAUGAAGAGAUUUGAUAAUUUUGUUGUGUGGCCAUGUGUUGAUCUCUAAAAAAAGUGUGAAUCAAUGCCAUGAGCACCCCCAAAUCCUUCCAUGCUUACCCUAGAUUUGACUUCGACCUAGAGUCCGGAUUGCCCCGGAAGGCCCGGAAAUCGAGCUCCCUUAAAAUGCUCAAGUCCUUCGGAAACCGAUUCCACCAUUUUUACAAGAUGCACCCGCUUUUAGUUUCGCUAAUCUCAUUGUCCUUGGGGCUCACCAUUCUAAUCGGGCUCUCAUUAUACGAAAGCCGGUUUAAAACGAUGGGUUACCGAAGGGGCGACGAGGUGGAUUUGCGUUCUGGUUCUUAUCCUUUUAAGAAUUUGCGUAAUCUUGUGAUGGUGGCGGGGCACGCGAUCUAUACGAGCAACAGUUGUGGGAAGAUGGAAAGCGAGGAUUCGUGGUUCUUGGAGCCGUAUCAAAAGCACACGGGCCAAGCCGCGACUUUUGUCUCACAUAUUAGAGAUGGCGUGGAGAUCGCGGCUAAGGAUGAGGGUGCUCUCUUAUUGUUUAGCGGCGGGGAAACCCGAAAGGAUGCGGGGCCUAGAAGUGAGGCACAAAGUUAUUGGGCCGUUGCGGAAUCAAAAAGCUGGUUCGGUAAGCUACUCUCUAAGAAGAAGUAAUCUUAUUGUGCAUUACUUAUUUAAAUGCAGAAAAAAAAAACGCUGUAGGGCAAUUAUCCACUGCCGAAUCAUUAAACCUUUAUACCAAUUUACUUCUAAUAGAUGCAAUGAUAUUUUGUUUUUGGCAGUACACUUAAUGUAAUAGAUGCAUAAUUUCCCUAUUUUCGCUUGUGCUGGACGCAUAACUUCUCGAUCAAACGUAAUUCCAAGUUUUGAAAAGGUAUCGGAUCAUUAAAUGUAAUUUUGGACACAUAACUUGGCUUCUUACAACGAUGUCCUAGAAUAUUGCUCGGAAAUUCCAACUUUAAAAGCAAUACCAACUUUUAGAUAUAUUUUUUUUAAGACAUAAAAUGAUGGCUUUUCAUAAAUAUCUGAAUUCUUUAUCUGUGUGUGGGUGUGUGUAAGUACAGGCACAACUGCUUUAUGCUUGUCAAAUUCGAGAAACUAUUAAGUGUGACCACUUAUCUCAAAUUGCUUCCGACAAACUUUAUGCAGCACAAUUCUUUGGCAUUUAUUUCUCCUAUCAAAGUACAUUAAGAUCAUCUGUUGUAGUAGGGGGAAAAAAUUUCAACAAAUUGGCAUUUCGUGUAGUUCAUAACUUAGGAAAGGCCAAAAAUUUCUGUUGUCCAGAUUUUAGUCAGAUAAACUUGGAGAAUAAUCAAGUCUCAAAUUAUGUGCAUAAAAUUGUUUGUCUAUUGUUUGUCAAUAUUUGUGCUGAGCUGUUGCAGUCGUUUGUCUCUAACCAGGCAACGAAGAUAGUGUAAAGAGCAGAGCACUCACAGAGGAGCACGCCAGAGAUAGCUUCGAGAACCUUCUUUUUAGUGUUUGCCGGUUUCGAGAACUCACUGGCUCGUACCCGCAGAAUAUAACCGUAAGUUUCCUUUUCUUUUCCUCUCAUAUUUCUUUUAAAAGCAAAAUGUUCAAAUGAUGCUGUUUUUCAUUAUAAUAUGCUGCACGAGAUUGAAUCCAUCAUUGUCAACUAUCGUAGAGCAAAAAGGUUUUGAGUUGAGAGUGAGAUUUAUUUGUUAGCAUCAUAUCAAAUGGUCUAAGAUUUGUUGAAACAAUAAAUUUCAUGAACCUUAUUAUUUCAAAUUGAUAACAAUUAGUUAUUUUUAUCGUAUAAUUGAAUCUAAUGGUAUCUAACCAGUUCCUUUUCUUGGUUGACUGCAUGUGGGCUUUGGAAAUAAGAAAAGCACUUAAGAACAUAACAGCAACAUUCUCUAUUUGUUUUAUUGAAAAAUUUAGAUCAACUUUCAAAUUUGGUUGAUUAAACAAUUCUUAGAGUUAUCACUAGUGAAUGAAUUUUGACAAGGAACAUAUUGUAAGUAUGAAUUAAUAGCAUGAUUUUUUGAGCAAUUCAAAAAUGUUAUGCUUUUAAUUUUCCAAGGACUUAGUUAUCCGCUAUUUAACUUUUUUACUUUGAAACUUGAACCCUGCUGAAUUUAGAAGCUUGCAGUUUUUUUUUCCCCUUGAAUCUUCCCAGUUUUUGCUAAAUACCGAACAUUUCAACCCUGCUGAAUCUUUCCGACUAUGUCAUCACUGAACAUGGUCGAUUCAAUCUUUUAUUUCUCAGGUCGUAAGCUAUGAUUUCAAGGAGGAGAGGUUCGCCCAUCUACACCGUUCCGCCCUCAAUUUGCCGCAAUCAAGGUUCUUCUUCGUCGGCACACCAGCCACUCCGACCGCAAAAGAGGCAGCAAUGAAAGGCGAAGCCUCAGUUAGGGCGCAAUUUCUCGAAGACCCUUAUGGGUGCUUGGGCUCUCUCCACCAAAAGAGGCUUAAGAGAGACCCAUUUCAUCGCACCGUGCCUUACCCUAAUGGGUGCCCCGAGCUCAAAGGCUUGUUCAGCUAUUGCGGGCCGGUCCCUUACCCCGGCUCGCUCCCGUGGACCCAGUAAGAUUCAAACUAGUGUUUGAGCUCAGCUUGUUUGUUUCCACUUCUUAGGUUCAGUACAAAUGGAGGAGCAGGUUAUAUAGCAUGAAAAAUCUUUUGCGAAGUUUGUACAAUACAAUAUUAUGCUUUGGAAUUGAUACAACGAUUUUGCGAUGAUUUAGUGCAUUUAUAGGAAAGAUACUUCACUGUACAACAUCGGCGGAACCUAUGGUUCCUUCGAAAAGUUAGGAGAGAAUGCGUUUACUCUAAUGCGACGGCCGAAGAGAUCAUCUUUGUGUACUGUAACUUUUCGAACUAGUUUAAAUGGUGAUUAUGGCCACUCAAAUAUUUCUCUUUUGCUCCUUUUGUCUCCUCUUUCUUUUUGACUACAUGUGAAGGUGCAAAGUGAUUUUUAUUUGUUGAUUUUAUCCUGUUCCUGUUCAUUUGUUAUGGUAUGAUUCAUUUAUGGAGAUUUAUGGUUUCUUCUGGUUCUUGUAUUGCGAUUUACAGAGAACUCCACAAAAUUUUCGCUAAAUACACUGCAUUUUUUUUUCCUGUUAAAAAUUUUGGUUUCUUAAGUUGAUUGUGAUAUGAGCAAAACUUCACAAUUGUUUAAAUGAAUUUGAAUAAAUCCCUGAAAUUGGCCUACAAUGCUAUGCAGAAUUAGACGGUUUUUCAGUGGUCAAAUUGUUCUUAGCAGCAAAUCAAAUUAGAGCUUCUACAAAAAUGUUGUUUAAAUAGAACUGUUUAGAUAAAGCACCAUUAUCUUUCUAACCGUUUUUCUAAAAAGCUACUUUCCGCGGUAGAAGAUGAAGAUCGAACUGCAGAAACUUUUUUCCUUCGGUGUUAUUUUUCGUUUAAGCCGAACAUGGACAUCUAAUAUUCUAAAUUCUAAUAUUUAAUUCAUGUUAUCCCUUCCAUCAGUUUUCGGUUAACGGAGCUUGACAGAAAACUGAUGGAGCGGUAACAUGAAUGAAAUAUUAGAGUUUAGGAUAUUACAUGUUUAUUUUAGAAGUUUGAAAAGUAAAGUGAAACUCUGCCGAAAGUUAAGAAGGUAAGAGUGCAAUUUACCCAGCAUUAUUUGGUACUUGACGAAGAUCCAUGUAUAGUAUUAGAUUUGAUUCUAUGGACCAUUUCAAAUUGAAGCUCUCAAAAUGUUUUGAGCAAAAACCCAAUUAAUUCAAUUGUUUUAGACUAAUAUACAGUUUUACAAAAACCAUGAAUUUAUGAAGUCCGGCUACUGUACUCUUAUGAGUAUAGACCCUUUUGUAUUCAUAAGUUUUCAACCGUUAGAUCUACUCCUUUGAUCAUUUUCACUCGUUAGAUCAUAUAUACUAUUCAACCAAUCACCCACUGAAUACUAGAGAACUACUAUAAUUCUAACCGGGGACCAUUAUCAUCUUAACUGUACAUCUUUCCAUCCAACAGUCAAAAAUUUAUGAGUACAAAAAAGUCUAUAUUCAUAAGAUUAUAAUAGCCCUACUCGAAUUUAUGUAUGAUUCGCUACUUCAAAUGCUUAAACAUUGAUUUUUUGAGAAGUAUACAUUUCAAACCCACCAAAAAUUAGGGGCACUUAAAUGUUAAAAACAUUUAUAUGAAUAAAAAAGAAAUGUACAAAUAGGUGCCUAAAACUUUUAAUUUCAGCAAUUUGACCCCUAAACUUUAUACAAUAGUUUAAUAAGCCCCUCUCUUCAAUUGAUGUUACUAUUUACACAACCUUUUUGAUGUCAUCAUCUUAUAAAGAUUCAAAACAUAUACACACACACACACAAACAUUUUCUAUUCUAAGAUAUGAAAGAAACAACAAAAUUGAAAUUAGAUUCACCCUAUUUUUCAAUCCUCAUGCUUAGUUAUCAAAAUCGGAAGAUAAAAAAUAGAUUUCUUCACAUUUUAGAGUCUUAAAAGAUUAUAUGCACGACAUCUGAUCAUAACAGCUGAAUUAUUAAUAACUAUGAUUGAGAAGAGGGACCUAUAUAUUGAACGAUUUGAUAAAAUUUAGAAAAUUCAAAUUAUGAAAUUGAAAGUUUAGGCGCCUGUUUAUAAAAGAGCUAAAGUUGAGAGCAUCUUUAUUCAUCUUUUCUUUUGGUAUAUACACAUAUACAUACAUGUAUGUACCAUUGUAUCUUGGGGCCUUAUCUUGUGGAACAUCUCCAUCUCCCAUGUCUUCACCAUAUGUUAAGUCCACUCUUCUAAUGAACCUUUCUCCCAUACCCUCAUAUAUGUAUUAAUUAAUUCAUUAUUUAUUUAUUUAUUUAUCUAGUGAUUGAAAGAAUUCAAAAUCAACAGCUGGAAAUUAAAAUCUCACAAAAAGUGACGAUAUGAUAGUAAAAUUUUAGAUCAAAGAUAUUGAUUUUAUUUUAUAUUGUAUAAAAAAAAAUUACUAAAAUUUUACGUGAUUUGAGUAUUUCUACAUCGUUAAACUUGCAAAUUACUCACUACGACUACUAAAAUUAUUAAUUUUGGAGUCCUUCAAUCACUAGAAAAAUUAUAAAACUUCAUAUACCCUACAUAGGUUUAUCGAAUAUUUACUUUAGUACCCCUUUAGUUUUAACUUUAUCACUGAUUUUUUUUCCUCCGUUAAUAUUUCGUUAAAUUAUAUACAAAAAACUUCAUAUAUCCUAUCUAAAUUUAUCGAAUAUUCACUUUAGUAUCCUUUAAUUUCAACUUUGUCACUGAUUUAACGAAAAAAAUUAGUGAAAUGGAUAAUAAAAAGAAAAAAAAAAACCAUAGGGUACUAAUUUGAUACACUUUAAACCACAGAGUACUAAAGUGAGAAAGUGCAAAACCACAGGGGCUAGCUUGAUACACUUUAAACCACAGGGUACUAAAGUGAGAAAGUAUGAAAUCACAAGGGGGAUAUUUAAAGUUUACCCUUUUUAAUAUUUUCGUUGGACUUUAAAUGGCGUAACGCGAACUUUAUAGUUUAUACAUGUAAUGUUCGCGUGAGCAAUAUUUAUAAAGGAUAGUUCAAUAUAGUUUUUAUUUUUUUAUUAAAAAAAUAAAGCUCCUCAGGAAGUAACUUAGGUUUGUUUGGUUUCUCGAAAAAGUAUGACAAAGAUUUUCCCAAAAAAAAAGUAUUCUGGAGAGAAAAUUCUUUUUCUAGUUAUUCACCCAUUUGGUUCAAAAAAAAAAACUUACUUUUUUAAAAAGCUUCUUUUAAAAUUUUAUGGAAAACUAAUUUUUUUUAUUUUUCUGAGAAAAGAUAAAAAAACAAAAAAAUACUAAUUUUUUAUAAAAUUGAGAAUUUUUUUUCCAAAAUAACUAAUUUUUUUUUUGUAACUAAAUGCGGAAAUAACUGAAAGAGAGAUUUUUCAUGAAAAAUAUUUUUGUCGUACUUUUUCGAUAAACCAAACAUUCCUAAGAUAAAAGAUUCAAUCAAUGUUCUACUGGUUCAAGGCACUAUACAACAAUAGACUUUUGAGUGUUUUGACUUCUAUUUUGACAUCUAUUUGUUGGACUCAAUUUAAAAAUUUAUUGAAAAUUCAAAAAAUUAUUGUAUUCUUGAGGGAAUUUGACAUCUAUUUGUUGGACUCAAUUUAAAAAUUUAUUGAAAAUUCAAAAAAUUAUUAUAUUCUUGAGGGAUAAUUGGCAUAGGGGUGGAAAUGAGCCGGGCUCAAGCGAGCUUAUUUCAAUUCAAAUUUGACUUGAAAUUAAUUUCAAACAUAAAUUUAGACUCAAUCUCAGCUUAAAUUAGAUUCAAACUGAGCUCGAUUAAGCCUAACUUUGAGUCAAGCAAGUUUGAGCCCUGAAAACAGGCCGUUUGAAAUUUCUAACUAAAACUUGACACAAAAAUAUGUCUAAUUAUUUAACAUAUAAAAUAAAUAUAUAAAGUUCAAUAGUAUAAUAUUAAAAAAUAAUUUAUAAGUUGAUAUAUCUAAUCUUAGAAUGUCGACUUCUGAUUUGGAGUGAGAGAGAGGAGACCGCGCUAGGGUUUAGCAUAGCUACAGUCGACAAUAAUAAUAAAAAAAUACACCAACAUUUUAAACCCGUAGGAGCUAUUUUUAAAAUCUCACAUCGUCUGAUAAUUCUAAUCAGUAUGUCUAUGAUCUAAGCCCAAUAGUCGUAAAACCAACCCUUUUUUUUCUUAACCAUUAUAUAGUUCAAACGGUUUUGUUUUUAGUUGCACUUUUCCUUUUGUAUCCCAUAUAAGAACAAGUUAUUAAAUGGGAAAUCAAUAUUUUAUAAUUUAUAAAUCAUAGAAUAAUAAAAUAAUCCAUUUUCACAAACCACUGUAUGAUUUGUAAUGUACAUCAUUUUAUUAUCUUAUUUAACAAGUGUCUUUAUGAUAAAACAAGGACUAAAUUAUACAAUAGUCAAAAUAAAACUUUUCAAAUUAUAUAAUUAAUAAAGUAAAAGAAUCACAAGGGCCACAUUAAAAUUUGCCAUAUAUUUCACGUACUAAGGCUUCUUUUGAGAUUACGGAGAUAUUGCAUUACGUAUAGUGAAAAAGUAUGAUAAAAAAAUAUUUUGUUUGUUUCUGUACUUAAUAUUACGUUUCGCAUAUCACGAUAAAUCGAUUAUGAUAAAUUUUCUACAGUUCCACUGAUGAACACAGAAGUAUAUUCUUAUAUACUUUUACACCAACUUCAUUGUAUCUAAUAAUACCAUAUUACGAGUCUCCGUGCCAAACUAAACCUAAGAAAAGAGAGGGGCAAAGAAAGAGAAUAAGCUUUUUGCAAAGGGUAUGUAUGUAAUUUUGCCUUCUAGAAGCAUAAAGACACUGUUAGAGAGAUAAGGUGUGGAGCCUUCAACCUGGACAAAAAAGAUACUACUUCAUACUCUCAAUACUCUCUCUCUCUCUCUCUCUCUCUCAAUGAAACCAUCUAUUGUAUGAUUUGGGGGAGAUGGAUUUGGUUUUGAAUGGUGUUAUCCAGAAUAGGGUUUUUGGUUGUGGUUGGAUCAGCUCAUCAAACUCUUUCUUGAACAAUGGCAGCAGCUACAGGCCAGGCUCAGUUUCCUUGUUGAGAUGUUUGUGCCCACCACCUGUUUGUGGAAAUGCCUCACUGAGUUGCCAUGCUAAGAAGAGGGAGAGGUAUGCCGAACCAGUUGCUAAACCAAAAGAUGAUGAUGGUGAUGAUGAUAAUGUAGAAGAAGAAGAAGAAGAGGAAGAGGGAGGGAUUGAGGAGGAGUUUAUUGAAGAUUUUGAUGAUGGUAAUUACUUCUUCAAAAUAUCCUUCAAAAUAUCUUAUCUAUCUGAUAAAGGAGUGUAUGGAUGUUACUGUUAAAUCAUAUGGAACAACCGUUGUUCUCUAAUAGUUUAAGAUGCUAGAGAACAUUAUUUUUAAUAUCCAUAUUCAACACUCCUCUUCAUGUCUGGGCUUGAGACUUUUGAUAAAUCAAAAAUGGAAUUAAAUGGGAGAAAAAUGAAGCAAGGAACCGCAGUACUCGUACUCAGAACUUCUUGCUUUAAUAACAUAUUAAAUUAUAUAAAACAAUAGUUGUUCUCCAGAAACUAAAAUUGCCAGAAAAUGAUAUCCGGCAUAUCUCCUCCGGUUUAUGUAAGAAUUAUUUUGUUAUUCAUAACUUGUAAAAAGGAACAAGUAAUCCCCAUUCUCAAUUAUGCGGUGAACCACUUCGUAAGUGAAAUAUGCUAUGCUUAAAAUUAAAUAGUGAUGAUUUGCGCCUUGCAGUCGACUAAGGUCGAUUUUUAAUGUUAAAGUUGCCGAGGGAAAUCCCUAUCCAACAGAAGUUUUCACUUCUUAACUUGUUCCGACAUGCAAACAGAUCCUUAAAGCACAUGAUGCUAAUUAUCUUGGAGACUAUUGAUUUUGCUCUUCUCAUGCAUCUAAUGCAUUGUAAGCAGUAUUAAGCUUACUAUCUUUAACAGUAUAUAAAAGUUGUGCAAAACUCUUUUAAAGAAGCAUCAUUUUGCAUUAUGUUUAUAAUAUGUUCUAAGUUCUAACUAGUUAGAAUGUUCAUUAUCACAAGUUUCUUUUUUAACUUUCGUAUUCCCUCUAAUUGGAGAUAUCUUCUACAUUCCAAAACAUUGGGGUUUUUCUUGUAUGAAGCAAAGGUGCAUAAUUUUUUUUUAAGUACAUGUUUUUCCUUGCAGAGAUAAUCAUGGAUGAUACGGAGGAUUUUGAAGAUGAUUUCGAGCCCGAUGAUGCAAACCUUUAUGUAAGAUGUAACUUCUUGAUUUGCUAACUUUGUACAGCGAGAUUACUAAUAUAAAUGUGACACAAAUGUCUAUAUUUAGUUGGAGGGGCUUUUACAUAUAUAUCUCUGCAUAAUCAUCUACUAACCUGCAUAACUUAGUAAGGAAGUUGCAUAUAAUUCAUGAGGAAAGUUGAUUCAUGAAGUCAGCAUAUGCAAGAAAUUAAGCAUUUGAAGGGCAUAUGUGAAAAUUCAUAUUUUUCAGAGAUAUAUAUGGUAAUUGAUAAUUUUUGAAAGGUUGUGUAUGUGAAUAUUUAUUUAUAUUUUGAAGGUUGGAGAUGGAGGGGAAGGUGGAGGAAUAUCACUUGCCGGUACAUGGUGGGACAAAGAAGCAUUGGCUAUUGCCGAAGACGUCUCGAAAUCAUUUGGAGGUGACUUGAAAUUAUACGCUUUCAAAACACUUGCGAACUCUGUCAUCAAAGUGCGCAUUGAAAAGCUUUCUAGUAAGUAAGUAGCUAUCAUCAAUUUGUCAGAAAUUAAUAUUUUUUUUAUCAAGUACGAAUUCAAUUACUAACUUGCUUGAAGUUUGAAGUAUUAUUAAAGAACUGUUGAGCCUUAGUAAAUGGCCGGUAAAAAGAGAACUCUGCACACCAGCUCUGGAAUAAUUCUUCUAUACUCGCUGAAAAAGUUAUCGAUAGACAGCGGGAUUUGUUUUGGCUUGCUAGAGUUUCUGUAGAAGUGUUGUUUGUAUAGAGCUGUUUAAAGAAACAUUGAUAGCUUUUUAAUUGAGAUCUACUGAAUAGUUUCUUGCUUCAACUGAAGUAAAAGUUUGAGCAUGUACUUUCUGCGGGCCAAAAGCUCAUUUUAUCUUGCAACCUUACGAAUUGCCCAGUACAUUCUGUUAGUCAAAUACCCAAUUUUUGAAAGCUUUGCUUUAUGGAGUAGAGAAGUUGUUUAAGAAGCCAAGCUAAAUAGGCAUGAGGCUCGUUUGUCAUAGCAUCUUGAAUGGCUUCUUUCACGUAGUGAAGCGGCUACCAAACAUUUAUGAAAUGAAAAUCUGGAGCUUUUGCUAUGGCGGAAAGCUAAAAUGAGCUUCUAGGCCCCAAGAAGUAGCAACUUCGAAUUCAAAGCUUGAGUUCUGCUAGAGCAAAGAUUUGUCUGAGGAGCUUCAAUAAAAAAAAUUGUUAGUAUUUCUUUACUACUUUCUCCAAAAGCUCCAGCAGGCCAAAAAACUUACUACUGUCCUAUUGAUUACCUUUCCAUCAUUGGUUUCUAAUCCAGCACACUUAUUAAUAGGUAUGGUUCUCCGAGUAUGAACGAUAUUGAGGCUUUCUCAUCUGCUUAUCAAUCGCGUCUGGAUGAAGCUGAGCUUGGUAAAAGAAUACCAGAAAAUAUAUCCUUGGAGGUAAUCCAACUAAUAGCACUUAAGAUGCUUCCUCGCUUAGGGACUAAAUUGUUUCCAAAAUGUUUUUGCAACGUUUAGUGCCUGUUUGGCGUGGCUUCUGAAAUAGAUUCUCUACUCCGAGGAACAACAACAAAGUGUUUCCAAACCAAAGUCUGUUCAAUAGUUUGAGGCUUAAAAUAAUCUAGAUUUUGGACCUCAUAAAUAAAGUUCUAAUUUGAAAUUCUGCUCUUGUGGUGGAAGAAGUUGUUAGGGCAAUUUCUUAUACAUUUUGGAAAGUCAGGAAGAAAAUCUAAGAACUAAAGAAGUAAAAAGAAGUUUUAAAAAAAAAUAUCCAAGCUAUGCUUAACCGACAAUUAUCCUUAACAGAUUAAACCUUAAAAUUUCAUACUUAUAUUCAUGAUAUUCAUAAUUUAGUCAUAAUGAUUCUUAGCGGCAUAUUUUCCGCCCAAGAGGAGAAAUUAUUGCCUGCACUUGGUGCAUCCAUACAUUAGUGCACCGCCCAAGAGUUGAAGACUUUUCUCUAUCAUCGGAUGGUUGGAUCGGAAGUAUUAGAUGAAUGGAGGGCCAAUGGCUGGGCAGUGCUCUUUUGUACUGGUACACCCAGCGCAGGAAAUAAAUUCUCAUCAAAGAGAUGUAACACAUGUUUGACCACUUAAUGAAAACAUGAUUAUUCGAUGUGCUAAAUGUGAAACAACCGUUGUACUCUAAAAGCUUGAGCUGUUAGAGAACGGUGUUUAUAUAUUUUUAUAUUUAACACUCUCCUUUGUAUCUGAGCUCGAGACUUUUUUGCAAGGCUCAUGACGUGGACUUGAGAAUGCUAGGAGCCCAGCGUGACUCGAACUCAGGACCUUCUACUUUGAUACUAUGUGAAAUAAUACGAAACAAGCAUGGUUGUUUGAGCGGAAGAUGGUAAUAUCAGAUUUGUAAAACUUUGAAUCAAGGAUUUAUCCUUUGAGUGCCCAUCGGCAUAAGCCGCACUCAUUGUGCCAUACUGUGUCAACAAGAUAAUGGCACAAUAUGACACUCAUGCCGCUGGCACGGUUCAGAACCUUAUUUUCUACGAAAUUAGCAAGUAAUUGCCUCAACAAAUGUAAAACAUUUGAUAAAGAUAUAUAACAAGCAAUUUAAAUAUAUUGGUGCCAAAUAAAUAAAUUAUUUCAUGCCAUAGUGGGUCGGCAUGUAGAUAUUUUUCUAACUAGCACAAUUGACACGGCACGGCAUGCACAAUGUACCAUACCAUGCCAGCAAAUUGUCAGCAUGACUUCAUGCCGCGACACUUAAAUUCUUUUUCACUUGAACCAUUUCUCCAAUAUGAAGGUAUCAUCUCCGGGUGUUGAGAGGGUGGUUCGCGUCCCAGAAGAGCUCGAACGGUUCAAGGACCGGCCGAUGUACGUCAAAUAUACGACUACAGAUGCAGCGACAUCUUCGAUUCAAGAAAAUGAUGGUGUGUUCAAACUUAUCUCUUAUGAUAUGGAGUUGUGCCAAUGCAUUUGGGGUGUAGCAGAUGUGAAGAUAAACAGAAAGCAAGCAGGAAAAGGCAGGCCACUGAGCAAGAAACAGCGAGAGUGGCGGCUGCAGACGCCGUUCGAGGAUCUGCGACUUGUUCGACUGUAUUCUGAUUGCUGAGUUAAUUCUCAGUUAUGUUUGACGUGUUCGACGACGAGUAUAUGUUGAUGUAAUGUGUUUUUUCUCUUCUUAGAGUUUCUGAUAGUGAAAGAAAAUAAAGAAAAUAGUGUAUUAUUAAUUUGAUCAUGUUAUUGAGAAAUAUUACAAAAUUUUCUCAGUUGAGGGGGAGGGUUUUUCUUCUUUCUUUUUAUUUUUCUUUUUAUUUUGGUUAUAAUAUGUAAUGCUUAAUUACACUGUAUCAUAUUUUACUCUAUUUUUUUCUCACUUUUUACACUGUACUAUUUAAUUUUUCAAAGGCACCAUUGAACUAUUCUUUUACACUAUAAGUGAUAAACAUUUAAUUUUAUAUGAAUGUGGUUAAAAAAUGUUGAUUAAAAGCGGCAUGGCAUAUAUUUAGCUAAUUUUGAUAUAAAAAAUAAUCAAAAUAAUAAAAAAUAAAACAAAUAAUUUAAUAGAAGUUUUCAAUGAGUUGAUCAUUUAUUAAGAUUUAUUUUAUAUUUUUUCUAUUAUUUAAUUCGUGCUUGUUAAUAAAGUUGUUAGAUUUUGUCUACAAUAAUAAAUUUGUUAAUAAUAGCAUAAAAAUUUGGGAGAAAAAAAAAUAGUUUAAUAAUAUCUAUGAGAAAAAAAUUAGUAUAUGUACUAUAUAUGUACUAACAAUAUAUGUACCUCACGUAAGGUCCAAUAUAUCUGCUAACUAGGGGUGUCUUGAGCGACUGGGGUCGGCUCGUGUUCGACUCGCNAGCCAAACACGAACGAGCUAGGGCCGGCUCGUUUAAUAAACGAGCUGAACACGAGCUGGCUCGUUAAAGUGUCAAGUCGAAAAAUUCAGCUCUUUAAUAAACAAGCCAAACACAAGCUGACUCACGAGCUAGCCAACGAACAAUAAAUUAAAAGGAUUAGAUUGGAUAUACAUAAAAAUUAAAUUUACAAAAUCUUACUCAGUAGACUUCGAUCAAAUGGUUGAAAUUUUACGUAUAAAUGAGUCUUUUUAUAAUUGAGCUCAACUUUAUAUUUUUAUUUUGCUAAAAUAAAAUAAUAAAAAUAUAUAUAUUAUAUAUAUAAUUAUUUGUUUAUAUAUAUAAAUAAAAAAUAUUUGUAUUCGAGCAGUUAUCGAACCGAACACGAGUGAGUUGACCCCAUCUCGUGUUCGGCUCAUUUAUUAAACGAGCUGUAAAAUUCAGCUCAUGAUCGGCUCGUUUACUAAACGAAUGAUUCGAUCUCGAGCACAUUUCGAGCCGAACACGAGUUGGCUCGCGAACAGCGAGCUGGAUUACCACCCCAACUACUAACAAGGUUAGCAAAAAAAAAACGUAGAAAAUGAUAUAGUCAUUAUACCUCGCAGAAGGUCCAACGAACUUCUAGGGACAUCUGGAAUCUGCUAGUGGCUCCUGCCGUGAACUUGCAUCUUCGAAUGAUUGCGAGGACUCCGAGUCCGGUUCAUUCUCGACUACCUCGUCAUUUGGUUGUGCUUGCUCUAUUGGCACAUCAUCGCGUGUUUCAAAGAACUCAACUGAAACUAUAGCAUCAUCAUUUUACUUCUCCUCAAUGCCUUGAAAGGACCUUUCGUUGAAGACAACGUUACGAGUUACGACAAUCUUGUGGGUCAUAAGGUUCCACAAUUGAUAUCCCUUCUUUUGCAUAGCCGAGAGAGAUAAAUCUCCAAAAGUUCUUAUCCAAUUUCAACCUCUUCUUCUUCGAUAUCCACGCAUACGCAUCGCAUUUAAAGACAGGAAGAUAAGAGUAGUCAAUGGACCUGAAGCUCCAAACUUCUUUAGAAAUUUCCAAACCCAGUAAUUUUGUAGGUGCUCAAUUGAUCAAAUAAUAAGUCGAGCUCACAGCUUUUGCCUAAAAUCUCGUCAAGUUUUGAAGUAUUCAAUGUGCUCCAAUCCCUAUCCAUCAAUGUUCAAUUCAACAUCUCGGCUACACUAUUUUGUCGCAGUGUGUCAGGAACCUUGAGAUGCCGCUUAAUUCCAUACUACGAAACUCAUCAAAUUCCCUCAAGUAAUACUCCUCUCUGUUAUCGAAAAAUAGGCACUUAAUCUUUAAACACUUUUCAUUUUUUACAAGAGUUUUAAACUUUUUAUAAGUCUCAAACAAGUCAGAUUUUCAUUUUAAAAAAUACACCCAAAUCUUCCUAUAAUGAUCAUCAAUGAAAGAAACAAAAUAAAAAUAUCCACCCAAUAAAGUACCGGACAACUCCCAAGUACCUGAAUGAAUCAACUCAAGAUGAUUCUUACUACUACUUUGAGGUGAUAGAGAGAACCACAACCUUUACUAUUUUCCGUAAAUAAAAUUUUCACAGAAAUCCAAUGGUGCAGAAUUGUAAUCCCGAAGAUUUACGUGAUAAUGGCUUCUACCAUUUAAAUCUCGCCCACCAAUCUAUAAAGACCACCCACUUGCUCUUCUUUCAUCAAUACCAAAUAUUCUUGAUAUAUUUGACGAACUUAAGCCCUUGCAAAAUUCUUCAAGCCAUCGAAGAUUUUUCCAAAUGAAGGAACAUGUCAAACAAAUUAAAGUGAUGUAAAAAUAAUAUAGCAUCUUAAUUAUCGCCAUAUCAUCAAUUAUAAUACUUCUACAUCAACAAUUUAUUAAUAUUUAACCAACCCAAAUAGAUUGUAAAACUUAAUUUUAAUAAGAGAAAACUUCAAAUACCCCCCGUGGUUUCGCACUUUCUCACUUUAGUACCCUGUGGUUUCAAGUGUAUCAAGUUAGUACCAUGUGGUUUCGCACUUUCUCACUUUAGUGCCCUGUGGUUUCAAGUAUAUCAAGUUAGAACCCUAUAGUUUCGCACUUUCUCACUUUAGUACCAUGUGGUUUAAUAUUUCAUUAAAGUAUAUACCCUGAAAUGGAUAAUAAAAAGAGAAAAUUAAAACCACAGGAUACUAACUUGAUACACUUGAAACCACAGGAUACUAAAGUGAGAAAGUGCGAAACCACAUGAUACUAACUUAAUACACUUUAAACCACAAGAUACUAAAGUGAGAAAGUGCGAAACCACAAGGGGGGUAUUUGAAGUUUCCCCUUUUAAUAAUUCAAAAAGUUUGAACUAGCAAGUCACAACAAAAUAAAAUUUUUGGACUAUAGUGUCACGCGCCUUACCCUUUUUUCUCUAUUUUUUGAUCAGCUCUACUCAAACUGCACAACUACACAUAAGCACAUGCAGGGGCAACAAAUUUAAAGAACAUCUUGAGAUUAAAAUUCGACUCUGCAGCAAUCAGCAAAUAGGUUAUGCAAAUCAAGCAGCAACAACAGAAGGAAAAGAAAAGGAAACCCAAAAAAACAAAAAGAAAAAAAGAGAGACAAAUCCUACGCCUAAUAAAAUUGUGAUACAAUAACUGAUCACGUAAGCCCUAAUACAAGAAGUGUCAUACGCAAUUAUAAGGAUAAUAAUUAUAAGGAUUAAAUAACUUACCACACUAGUAAUUUGAGAUUUUAGCACAUAUGGUACAUUAGGAAAAUGUACACAACAACAGCGAUUCUCAUUCUAUUUUGAUCUGGCCAUAAUCAAGCGAAUCAUUCUGCAAGUGUACAUUUCUCCAACCUUGGCACAUCUUCUUCGGGGUGUUCCCUAUUGGAGACGCCCAACCGCAUGCCAACGGAAACCAGGGUUUCGAGUGAUCUUUCGCUGUUCGCAAGGAGGUCUUCGUCUAUUUGUAUGGCAUCCUACAAGAAAUAAGAAAUAUGCCACAAGAAGCUUCAUGUUUGUACACUGCAUCCAAUAAACUAAAACAUUGGAUUUCAUGUCAAGGAAUUACAGGAAAAGAAUGGCUAAGAUGCAAAGAAAUCCCUUAUGGGGAUUGGCGCUUUGCACCUCUACACUUCGAAAAAAACCUACAUUUUGGCCCCGGACUUCGAAACCAUUAUCACGUAAAUGUUUCCCUUGUGUAUUCAUGAGAAAAUGUAAUAAAAUAAUUUAUAAUAACAUAAAAGAGCCGAAAGAGCCUUUCUUGGUGUGUAUAUAUAUAGGGAUUGGGGAAGGAUAGUUCAAGUACUUUUGUAUUUUAACCAAAUAUUUAUUACAUUCUUGAACAAAUACUGACAGGAAGGGGAUAAAAUAAUAACAGCUUAGAAAACAAGGAGCUAAAAUGAGGUUCCAAGUGAUAGACGCCGUAAAUUUGCAGGGAUUUUCUGCAUUUUUUAUAUUGCAACAGUAAAUGGCUAAUUGUCUAAAGUAGCAGCAGUAAGUAAUGUUGUACGAUUUUGAUUGUUAACAGGCAUCAGCUAAACUUUCAUUUUAUGAUUCAAAUAAAAUUAAUUCGUUAACCCUAUCAACGUAAAUCACUAUCUUAUCAAAAUGGAAAACAAAAAAGAAAAACCAUCAUCUUCAAAUAUUUUUUCUUUGUAUUAUCGUAGGGAGUGACACAUCUUUCAUUAGUAAAUUCAACCACUGUACAAGUAUUUAAAAUUAAAAGUUUUCAGCAUAGGAAGCUUCGAGAUAAUUAAGAAAAAUGUGAAAGAACAACUUGAAGCACAACUCAGCGAGACAAACCUUCUCAAAGAUGCAUAUCACAGUGCUUCCUCCAAAAGAAAAGUAUCCAAACUGCCAUUCAAGUGCAAACAUAUUUUUCUAAAAAAGAGUAAUAUAAUUUAAGGGUUUACAAAGAAAAGUGCAUAAUGUAGUGAAACAAGAAGUUAAUAAAUUAAAAGAGGAAAGAAAAAAUAACCUCGUCUCCCUUAUGGACAUAUUCACCCUCCUUUCUCAAAAAGGUGAUGCUUCCGACCAUUGUUGCUCCAAUCGCAACAAAAGCCACCUACACCAAGAGCAAUGCACAAUGCACAUCAUCUUAGGAAUAUAGAUAGGAAAUUUUCAAUUCAUUGGAACCAUAGACAUCUAUUUAUGUUGUUUUGCAAAUUUAUAGGAGAAAAGGAGCCUGUUUAAAAAAAUAAUCUGUUAUUGUCGCACUUAACUAUUUGGAAGGUUAGUUUUGUCAUAAAAUCAUCAUCAAAGUUUGGGUGGUGAUCUCAACCUACACUAAAGUUCAGGUGGAUCCGGUUUUUUUUUCUGAUUUAAUUUCAUUAACAAAUAUAUAUUGUAUAACAGUAACUGGAAAAUUUAACCUCUGGUGCUUCCAUGUGAAUGACUCUCCUUAAAACAGAAGAAUUUUUUACGACCGUGAUGAGUAUUGACUAUGUGUCACUGCUUUUUUGGUAGUGACUCUAGAAACAAGCCUGUUACAAAGUACACGCAUGCAUGUUCAAGGUGCUAACAGUAACCUGGACCAUAGCUUGUAAUGUACCAACUACCAAAGUUGUCUUAUAGGUUUAAAUGGUCUUAUUCUUUCAAAAUAAGCCUAUUUUUAAAUAGAUAAGCCACAUUCCAAAAUGACUCAUUAGUUUCUUAUACGAGACUAAAGAUUUUUGACUGGAAAAAUACCACUGAAGUUGGAUUUUUAACAAAGAUAGUUGUGCAUAUGUCGAAAUGCAAGAAUAUGAGAAAGAAGACAAACCUUUCCAAAUUCAGAAGUUGAAAUGAUAGAGACGACCCUUUUAUUCUCCGUGAAGACAUUACAAUAUUUACUAUUCACGGCAAUUGGAUUCACCUACCAAAAGAACAGAAACUAGUCGUAAUGGAAUAGCAAAGAGAUAAUAAUUCAACAAGUAUUUGUAUAUUUUUGACUCUACAGGAGAUAUACCGUAUACAAGCAUCCUGGGAUAUCCACAAAACUCUCGAUGGUUCCAGAAACAGGAACAUGAAAACGAUGAUAAUCCUGCCAAAUAAGAGAAUACUGCAGGAAUUAAGCAUAUUCUCUGAAACUUGAACAAUAAGAUAAAAGGGAACUAAAUAACUUGUCCAGUCUAAAAAUCCACAUAAGAGGGCUCAACACUCGCUAAGCACCAUAAAUCCAAACUCAGGAGAUCCUACCAUUAUUGUCAAAAAAAGGAAGAAAGAAAGAAAGUGAAAAAAAAAAAAAAAAUUAAGAAUGAUACCUGUGGCGCAAGUCGAAAAAUCACUAAAGAGCCCUCAUUCCAGGCACUAGAGCAUGUCUCCAUUCCCAGAAGACCGUGUAUAGAAAAUUUGCGGCCCUACAAAAUUAUGAAAACUAAAAUAAAUAAGAGACUUUUCAACUUCCAAUGCUGGUAGGACAAAUCAAACAGUAGCCAUGCAUUAACCAGAGUAAUUAAAACCCAAAUUCAUUUGCCGAUUAAUAAAUCAACAAAUGAAGAGCAAUCUAUCUCAGGCUAACAAACCACUUUAAAUGAAGAAAAUAUACAACCAACCACACUAAGGUAGGCUUAUGUGAUUACUUUGAAGAUCCAAUCAACAGUAGGAAAAAGACAAACAGAAAAAUAAAAGGAAAAAAAAAAAAACCUUCCAAGUUUUACCUCUUGGAUAUUCUCUUUGCUUCUCACACACAUUACAUAUGAUAAACGUAAGGAACAACUUAAAGAUGAUUAAACUGCAUUCCCACUUUUAUACUGCUGGUUGUACAAGAACAAAUGGAUGACUUCGUUUUUUUCUGAUUGAAAUUAAAUUCUCCGUUUAGAAAUUCUGAGUCGUUUCUUCACCAGAAAGACUACUUUAAUUCCCCGCACUACUGUUAAAAAUUAUAGAGCAAAAAAGCUUUACCUUAAUCCAAAGCCUAAGGCUAUCACUGACAGAAUUAAAUGCCAUCAGACGGCUAUCAGCAGCGCAAACAGCAAUGUCAUCUCGCUCGAUACAAGCAAUUGGUCGUGCACCAGGCUUCAACUCUCUUGUGAAGAAUUCAUUGAACGUCUGCAUUAGGCAGAUAUAUAUACUUUAGAAAAGAUAGACAUACUCCCUUACAGAGAAAUUGGAGGAGUACGUAAGUAGAAAGUUUUUGGGAACAAUUUCUAAGUAGAAAUUGACACUUGACAAUCAUAUGAUACAUGAAUGUUCGAUAGCAACAAUAUAUACUCUUUAAUAGAAAGUAUGUGUCGAAGUGCAAAUCUAAGACAUUUCAUAUCACUUUUGAUUCUAUUGAUGAUACUAAACAAAUAAAUGUACCAAUUCCACAAUAAAAUGUUGAGCCACUACUCUAAGUUCGUUGUACAGAUUGAAAAAAUAAAGUAAAUGUAAAAGAAUAUGAAACAACCAUUUUUCUCCAAAAGCUUAUUAUUAGAGAACGGUGUUUUAUAUUUUUAUAUUCAACACUUUCCCUCACGACUAGAUUCGAGACUUUUUAAUAGGCACAAGACGUGAACUUAAUUAAAUGGGAGGUAAUCAACUAACACUAGGAGGCUGGAGGAGUUCAAAUUCAAGGCCUCCUACCCCGAUACCAUAUUAAUAAAUAUGAAGCAACCAUUUUUCUCCAAAAGCUUAAGCUAUUAGAAAACAGUGUUUUUAUAGUUUUAUAUUCAAUAGUAAAGAAAAUGACCAAGUCAUGCACCCAAGCUCACUACCUUGAAAUAUUCUAGAGGAUACUUAACUUCGCCCAUAUUAAUUUGGUCCUGCAAUAACACGACAACAAAAUAUUAUGAAAAUAUUAUCUUGUAUUUAUAAACAAACCAUCAGGGAAAUUGACAAAGUAAAAUUUAUGCAGUAUGAACUUGGUAAUAAUUAGAUAUAUCAAUAUAAGCAGUUUUCCACUGCAAGCAUCUAAAUAUUAAUUACAUCAGUAGCGUGUAGAGAGUUUCAAGCUAGAAGCUGGAAAAAGACGUGCCACACUUUAUUCUGAAUGCUAUAUUGCACAAGGAAAACACAAAGAAAGCACAGACACACAAACAAUCGUCCUUGAUCCUUCUAGCUUUCAUUUGUUUUAUCCUCGCCAGGAAGAAGAACUUUAAAACAUCUCAUAAGAAAAUCAUCAAAUGUUCAUCAUGUUGCGUAUCAAAAGGCUCAUAUCAAAAAAAGACCAAAAAGCAAUAUCUACAAUAUAUGUAUGAGCAUUUAGAUCAUGUGAAAUAUAAUAGAUUUAGAAGAACCCUGUUUAAAUGUAAAUCCUGGCAUUUUAACCAAUUGUAUAUGGCAGAAACCUUUAACUGUAGAAGAGUUCAGGAGUUUAACUAAGGCAUCGAAAGAGCCUAAAACUUUUUGAGCAUGGUUACUUACCACUAAUUUAGUGGUGAAUGUGGAACGUUGGAGCUAUAGCCUAUAGUACUCGUAUUCUUUUUCGAGUGUGUGUGUUCUAAUUUUGGAUAAUAAAAGAGUGAAAGACCAAAAAUUGCCUUAAAAAAGUCGAUGAAUGUUGGUAUAUCUUUAGCAGAUUCAACUGAGUUCAUUCGCUUCCCCUGCUUCUCCGAAAUGCUCUGCAAGAUUUCUUUCGCCCCUGUAGCAAUGAAAGAAUUUUUAAUUCCUUUUGUCGGACAGAUGCCAAAUGCAACCAGGCAACUGGCAAUGAAAGAAUUUUUAAGUCCUUUUGUUGGAGAGAUACCAAAUGCAACCAGGCUUCCGUAGCAAUGAAGAUUUUUUAGCUAAAUUAGCAUCGACCUUUUAAUAUAAUAAUAUAGAAUAAUUAGCAUCCUACUUAUAACUUGCAAAUCAUAGAGUUCAUUAAUGCUAUGAAGUUCAUUCACGUGCUGUAAGAACCUGCUUUUAUUAUGUUUCGACAUUUUAAUCAAUGACAUAGGAAUAGUGCAUUGCAUUCUGGACUGAUCCAUGUGUAGCACCAAAGACUCAAUACACCAGAGGGUAGACAGACUCCAUUUACCAAAAGAAUAGCAAGCGCAAGGUUAAAAAAUGUUCUUUUGAUAUGAAGAAAUGAAAACUUGUAUAAGAGAGCAUAGAAAAUAUUCGUAAAUUAAUUUAGCUCUUGCAUCCUUUAAAAUGUAUGCUUAUAAACUCGGGAACUUGUCACUGACGUGAUGGCAACAUCAUGUAAAAUUAGAAAAGCAACAAUUUGCCUGGCUGAUUUUGCGUACCAGUAUCAAUAAGUGCAAGACCAAAUUUUGAUUGAUAUAUAGCCCUCAUAGACAAGACAAUCUUGCUGUCGAUAAUUUCUUCCACUAGCCUCUUCGAUUUUCUAUCAAAAACCUGGUUCAGAAAAAACAAAUAAAUAAAUUUAUAAGAAAAUGACACGGACUUACUCCCAUCGAGUUCGAAGCUCAUUAGCAUUGUUUGCAAUUUUUAAAAUACAUUUUGUCUUGGAACGUGAACCUGAUUUAUCAUCCACUUAAAUAAUGCUCUUAACACUCAAUUUAGCCCGUUAAAAAACUUGAUGAAACUCACAGCAGAUAAGCAGACCCAUAAUUUUAUGAAGGCUUUAUUAAGACAUCUAAAGAGCACGUUUGAUAAGUUAAGCUAAAGAAAGUAACGUCAAAUACACAGGUUUCCAAGGUAAAGCAGGAACAACUGACGAUGCAGGAAAGGAUAUGAAUAACAAUUGGACUUCAAUUUUAGGUCACAAUUAUGAUGAUAUCUCAUUUUACAGGAAAACGGAGUUAAAGAUCAUUUAGGCUGAUAGUCUGCAUGAGCAAUUGUAAAAAUAGAGGCAGUAGAGGACAAAUUACCAUGCCGAUUGCUUAUAAAUUGAUCUACAUGUCACGUGAGAAAAUAGUAACUGAAUCAUCUAACCUUAAAAAGGCCCAUUUAUACUGAAAAGUAAUGUCAAUGUAAUACAACAGAAAAGCAUACCAGAAUAUAUGCAGCACUUGAACCAGAGUUCAAGCCAACAUCAUAACAUGAAACAUGAGCCCAUUCACUAAGUUUAAACAUCCACCUGGCACAGAAAUUAAUCUAAUUAAAAUAAAUAAAUGAUUUAGGCACUUGGUUUAAAUAUGGAUUAUGGGAUUGAGAAAAUCCCGGCAUAAAAAAAAUCUCAAAUAUGAGAUUGAAAUGAAGAUAAGCAUCUCACCCAUACGAAGCCUGCUUUUCUGUUAGAAACCCUCCGGUCAUAACCUGAUUUCCAGUUCCCUCGUCGAAACAUAGUGUCAUAUGAAUCAUAUCAUUCAUCUUAUCAUACUUCCCAAGAAUCUCACCGCAGACAGGACAGUUGCUAAUAAGUGAUUCUCUGCAGUUCUAUAAAAUUAUAGUAAAUCAUUCCGUAUGUACAGGAAAAAAAGCUAACCCCACCACCCUCUGUGGGGUAAACAGUGCCAUUUUCUUUUUACCUUCUUGACAUGUAGAAACCUACAUUUACCUUCCAUUUAAGACAAUUAGCAGUGAACCAAUUCCUGUCAAAUUUUUUCAGAAAUUGAUGGUCUUAAAUAUCUCUUUUCCACUAUAAACGGGGUGUAACGAGAGUUUCAAAUCAUAUUUUAAGACUACCUAACAGUCACUGAACAAAAAAUGUGGCAUGAAGAGGAUUAAGUACUAUAGGUCUAAAUUUUGAAGGGGCUAAGAGUAGGUUUAUAUUUCAGGAGCAUUAAAGUUCCAAUUGCACUAUAUUCAAUGGGUUUGCUACAUUAGCUGUUAAAAGGGAAACGUAUAGCAAUAUCAGAAAGCAUUCCCAUCUUCCAGUCUAUUGUUACUGUAGUUUCACAAGUAAUUCCUGUUGAAGACACAAAAGAACUAAAGAAAAUGUUAAGGAAGAAGUCCGCAAAUUAUUACUUUUCUUGUUGAUCAGCUAGAAGAAUAGCUAACUCAUCCAUAUCAACUAUGCCAUCGCCAUUCUUGUCAGCUCGCUUAAAGAGUUCUUCCGCCUAACCAGCAAGAAAAAAAGAAAAAUGCUAGAAGUUGAAAUUCAGAGAAAACAGAAAGAUAUAGGUUUUACAGGAAUAUAAAGUCCUCAACCUUGUUUACGGCUAGUUGAUUACCAAAGGCAGUCAUCAAGUCCGUAAAUUCAGACUGAGAUAGCUGGCCAUCUUCAUUGAAGUCCUAUACAAAGAACAAUGUGUAACAAAAAUGUCAAACAGAAACUUACGAAGUAAAAUAAAUGCAUCAGCGGAUUCAGUAUUUUUCCUAACGGAGCAUUGGCAUGCUUAAUCUUAUAAAAAGCUUCUUUGAGAUGGGAAAUAUCAGCCUCAAAAUUACACUAUAGCAUAAUUAAUUUCAUAAACAACAAAUUAGUAAGCACUUAGCAUAGAAGCUUGAAUUCCAGCAAUAUCGUUAAGAUACACUAUGAUUAAAGGCGACUUUACAAUUGGAAAGGGAACCCCUAACUAUGGUACUCACAUGAAUUCAAUCACAGAACCCCUUGUGAACCUAUUUAAUAUUCUAGACAGGCCUAGCUACUACGAGGAUACAUAACCUGUAGCAAGUAGCAACUUAUAUGAAAAUCAUAUAAUCUGAAUAACAAUAUACCAGUGAAUAAUCACAUUUCUGGAUAUAAGAACACAUGAUCGGUCAAUUACAAGGAAUAGUGUACGCAUCAUGGGUCUACCAUAAAGAAUACUGAACAUUAAGGCAUCCUUUGGCAUCAUUGUUGUUUUUGUUUUUUCUAAACACUAAUUCUAUAUAAUUCUAUAUAAUUUGAUAUGCCGGUGGAAGGACUUCUCUUUCAUUGCCGUGGUUCGUUAGCUUGCAAUGCACUCUGGCCAAAUGAUGGAUGACAAAAUUAAAUAAGGACUUUUAUAUAUUUAGCCCUCUCAAAACUCUUUUUUUACAAAUGACUCUAACAAAUUUAUAUUUGCAAAAAUAACCCUCUUCUUGUCACACGAGCGCCUAGGUGGCAUUUUUAAGUUGAAUACGGUGAUUCAAUCACUAUGUUUAAACACAGUGAUCGGAUCACCGUAUCGUUUUUAUAUUUUUUAUCGCUCCUAAGUUAAAAAAGAGGGACCAGAGUGUGGAUAUAAACACGGUGAUUCAAUCACCGUGAUCAACUACGCUCGCAUGGUAAGGAGAGCGCAAUAUAUGUAAAUAUAAAUUGGCUAGGGCCAUUUGUACCAAAAAAAAAAGUUGUGAAGGGCCUAGAUGCUAAAAAAGCCCUUAAAAAAAAAAUAAAUAAAUAAAUCUUAGAAGCAUAAUAAAAGUUGCUUCCAAAUUCUUAUUUUUUCAUUGCCAAACAAAUAUUUAGGAUGGAAGGAUUGCAAGCAACGUGCCAUUUCCUUUUAGACUAUUUCGUAUUCUAUUUUUAAAAAAAAAUAAAAAAGGGCAACAAUACCAAACAAGGCCUAACAGUUCCAACCAGUUAAAUUGACCCAGUACCUAUACUUUGCAUUUGCAGAGAUAAUCAGACAAACAAAUUUGGUCCACUUUAUGGUGAAAUAUUUAAUCACUUUUCUAAUGAUAAAAUCUUGGGAACCAGUAGCUAUGGUGUGUUUAUAUUCCAAAAAAAGUAUUGUUUACCAUAUUAGCAAAAUAGAAUUGCAUACAAUCAGAAAUAUGCUCUCACCCAUGCAUGCACGCAUCUAUGAAUAAGUCUUUUUGUAUGAUGUGCUUGUAAACUACAAUAAUUAAACUUGUAUUCUUAGCUAUUUAGGGGUCAGCUAUAUCAUUCUUAUCCUUCCAUGCAGCUUUGUUUUGAGUAGACAUUCUCUAUACAAUUGUGUCAUCAUAACAUUUCUCGAAACUUCAUUUAAUAUCUGAGUCUUUUCCCUCCUCUCAAAGUACCUUUAUUGGAAUAAAAGAACCCUCCUUAGUAGGGCACUAUGUGGGCUGCAUUAUGCACACCAGAAUCAUUUUAAUUCAUUACAUGAAACUUAUCAUCUAUUACACCUAAUUUUCUCAAUUUGUAUCUCAUUCUAUCUUCUCUAGAAGCCUCAUACUCCCGUCUCAAAAUUACCACCUCGGGUACCCUCAAUUUUGCAUAUGUCCUGAUUAAGAUUGUGAUGUGAUCCCUAAAAGUUAGCUGUCUUCUAAAAUUUAUUUGUCUUAAAAGCAUUAUGAAGAUCGAACAACACAUCAUCAGAAGCAUAUCUCAAUUUUAACCAUCCUGAGCCAAGUCUGUGCACUUUGUUUCUAGGAAUUUUCAUUUCUUGUCCGACUACUGGUCUAAGAUGAUUAAAGUAUUCCUAUGUAUGUCUGAUCCACCAAGUCACAGCUAUAAAAAUAUAAACAGAGACAAGGAAAUAAACAAAUUAAUACUAAAACUAUUUCUAGUUUGCAACUUUUGCUUUUAAAUACUAUGGACGUAAUUUUAUUAGAUUUACCAACUAUGAUGAAUUGAUGAUUGGUACAGACUAAACAUGAAGUUGCAAUAACUUGUUCAUUCAUGUUUUCUACUUUCCAUGGCAAAACCCGCAAAUGCUAAUGACAUUUUGUAAUUAUGCCUUAUAAAUUUGGCUAUACCCAGUCUGCUAUCCUUUUUGAAUGUAUGUAUGCGCAAAUGGAAAACACACAUGCCUUGUUUAUUCAUUGAAGCGUGGACAAAACUAUAAAUGACUUUCAACUAAACUCAUGAUCAAAUCCUCAACAAAAGGAACUGGUCUCAGCAGAAAAGUCACAGUUUGGUUUCUUUUUUCAAGGAAUUAGCUCAAUAUUCACAUCAAGGAGAAUUCCAAGGAUAAAAGUAUUGAUUAUUUCAGAUUUACAAUCUGGGAAGUUCAGGGACCAGAAUGCUGAACCAAACAGCUUUCCUCGAAUAAUCUCAGCAAUUUAGCAUUUUGCUUAAUCCACAAAGAGGAAUUCAAAUAAUAAAUUAUAAAUAAAAAGUAAAACUACAAAACACUAAAUAAAUCAAGAUAUAACACACCAAAUAAAAAAGAGAAGAAGAUUUUAGUCAAAUGGAAGUGAAAAUUACCGCUAUGGCUAAUACACGACGUGCGAAGCUUUUUUGUGUUUCAAUUGGGUCCUGCCAUGAAAACAAAACCAUCAAGUAUAAAUCCAUUAGAAAGUUUGGUAAUGUGAGUUGAUCACCAAGCUGAAAGAGAAUUAGUAUGCACCUCAACAUAACAAAUAAUAGAUAUUUUGCCCACUAUCGUGCUGGAUGAUGACGGAUCAAACAAAUCAAGUUCCUCAAGGUUGUUUUCUGAGUCCUGCAAAUGGAAUCCCAUAAGACUGUAAUGCUCUUAAUCAUUAAAUCAUUUAUCAUCUCCACUAAAAGUUAGAUCAUUCAAGUUGAAUGAUCCAAUUUAAUAUCUUUAACAUCUAUCUUCCUUUCCUCCUCGCUGCUUGCAUGAUACCUUCACACUAAUACAUUAUGGCCAAAUACCAAGUCCAUUUAACUAAUGCAUCUCCCCCAUUGUGCAAUAGUUAUAAAGAAGAUAAAGGCCUCGUAUUUUGCUUUGCUGCAUUAUAGACAUCAUGUUAAAGCUUUUGUAAAGCACCGUAUCAGUUGUUGAUUCAAUUAAGUUUGAGCAUUUGGGCGAUGUGGUUGAGGUCAUUCUAUUGAUGGUAGCUAGUUGUGUUGGAUUUUAUCCAAAAAUAAAUUUUGAUGAUAACAAACAAAUUUUGGAUUUAAUUUGUUACUUAGCAAUUUCAGGUUGUAGUUGAAUUUAAAGUGGCUCAAACCAAACCUGAAUCAUGAUCAAAGGUAACAAUUCAAUCAAAUUGUUCAAAUUGGCCCGGACAAAAUCAAAUUGUACCAAAUUGGAUGCAAGUGCCACAACAAUAAUUUGGAGGACUUCUUUACAAUUUAUCAGAUUUGAGCCCGGUCAACCUAGUCAAGUUGACCAAUUCACCUUUUGCGUUUGAUUUGAGCUUAAUGUCAAAUUAGCCAUUAUUUUAAUAUGGUAUGAAAGAGAUUUUAUGCAUGGUAUAAAUUCAAAAAUAAUUUUAUUAUGGCAUGAAUUUAAAAAUAUGAAAUAUGAUAUAAAUGAGUUUUACAAGUAUGGUAUUAUUUCAAAAAUUUUUACAAAUGUGGAAUGAAUUCAAAAAGUUUUUCAUUUGUAGUAUUAAUUUAAAAGGAUUUUACGAAUUUGGUAUAAUUUCAAAUGAGCUUUUCAAUAUAGUAAUAUUUCAAAUGUGUUUGCAAAUGUGGUAUGAAUUCAAAUUUAUUUUGGAAUUAAUUCAAAUGCAUUUGCAAAUAUGGUUAAAAUUCAAAUUAAAAUCAAUUAUGAUUUAAUCAUGUUUUUGUUCCAUUUUUGAAAUGAUGGCUAGUGUAUUUAAAGGGGGGGCUUGGAUGUUGUUUGGGAUGGAACUUCAGAAAAAUUCUCUAAGUCCUAAUUGUUUAUUGAUUUGUAAUUAUGAACUUCAAUGAGAGAUUGCAAAAGAAGUUUUGUGUGAUUGUAAGCGGCUUUGGUCUUGCCCUGUUCAAAAGGCCAAGUGAUAGUGAAACCGGUACCUCGAGGAGAAGAGGGACCGGACUGGAGUAGACAGAAAGGCCGAACCAGGAUAAAUCAUCCGUGUUAUCUGAGUUUGAUUUUUUCUUUUAUUUGGUUGUGCAAUUUUUAUCUUGAUUUAAUUUUACUUGAGUUUUUAGUUGUCAACUAAUUCACCCCACCUCUUAAUUGCCAUUUGAUCCUUCAAGUUGGGCUGCGCUGUGUUAUCAAAGUCACUCUCAAUCUCAAUGGAUCUAUUGUGUAUGGUUACCUAUUUGAUGCAACCCAGUUGUUAUAUUUUUAAGUCUGCUGGAAGAAGGACUUCAAGGAUGGCUGCAGCAUUGUAGUGAGUUGUCAUGCUUCUUACAACAUGAAUCUAAACUAAGAAGAGAUUGUCACAUGUUUGAGCAUAAAUGAUGACGAUAUUAGAACUCAUAUGGGUGAAUUUUGUUAUGGCCCAUAUAAUAUGACGUCAAAGAAUGGGAGAAAAGCUUGGAUACGUAAGGAGUAGCACAUUAGUGCAAAUAAGUUAGUUCUAAGCAUUUAAGGCAUGUUUGCUUCGCCCUUUUCAUACCGUGGAAUCGGAAUCGAAAUGGAUGACUGCGGGUGUUUGGUAUGCGGGAGUCCCAUUUCCAUUCCAAUUCGGACCCCCCACCGCCCUAGCCGAUUGGAAUAGGAACCCCCCAAUCAUCCCUUUUUUAAAACCAGCCUUGGGCACUUGAUGAAAAUUGAAUCCAAGCAGAAUCACAGCUUCCAAAAAUGCCCCAAUUACAUUUUAUACCUUGAAUUUGAAACUAAGUUAAAAUUUUAACUGUAAUUUCAAAUUAAUUUUAAUUUUGAAUUAAUUUUAAUUUUGAAUUAAAUUGAAUUUAAUUUUAAAUUUUAGAUUUUGAUUUGAACUUAAAUUGAAUUUUAAAUUCAAUCAUGCAUUUUGAAUUUUGGUUAUGAAUUUAAAUUUAAAAUCAAAUUAGUAAAAUUUUUACGUUCAAAUUGUGAACUCAAAUUCAAAUUUUUAUUCAAAUUAUAAAAUUUAGAUUGUGGAUCCAAAUUGAUUUUAACUUUUAGUUCGAUAAUAGUGCAACUUUUUUUUUAUUAAAUUCAAUUUCAAUUUUGAACCUCAAUUAAAAUCUAAAUUUGAAUUAGUUUCAAUUUUUAUUUGAAUUUUGAUUGCGUACUGAAAUUUAAUUUUAUGUUUUAAUUUAAUUUUUUAGUUUGAAUAUGAUUUUCAAUUUAAAUUCAAAUUUUACGUUCAAGCUAUGAACUAAAAUUUAUAAUUUAAAUUUUAAAUUAAAAUAAAUAAAGAACUCAUGAACUGAAUGUGAUAUAUAGGCAUAAAGGUCAUGUGAAACAAACCAAUUAUUAAACUAGAUAUGAGAAAAGACAAUGCGCUAAAAUACAAUCUAGUACGUUACCGGGCUAAGUAUUUCAAAGAGAUCAAUCUCACAAUAUCCAACUAGGUUGCUCCUAGAAAAUCUGUUUGUCUGCAAAAUGCACAUAGUUAUAAGCUUUCAUAGAGGAAGAUGUUAAUUCACUGAACACGAUAAUGCCUGUGUUGUAACAGAAAAAAUAAAGAGAUGUCUUCUCACAAUUUUAAAAGAGAUUACUUUACAACUAGCUACUACAUCAAGUGUUCAAAAUAGCUAUUAGCUGUUUUAGAGCAAUGGUAAAGGCAAAGCCAAGUGUUAAGCAUGAUAGCCAUCAUUUAAAACCAACUAUAUGAUGAUAUAAGUAUACCAAAAUGGUGACGAACCGAAACGAAUCAUCACAAAUAAGAUCCUCAAUUAUACCAAUAUAAUAGCUUACCUCAAAUAUGGAAAUGCGUGCAAUGUGAGGUCCAUUUGUUUCCAGCACAACUUUCUUUUCCUACAAAUAUGGCAAAAGGAAUCAAAUCAGAAAUAGAUUGUAAUCUCCAUCAUCGAGAAACCAGAGUAACAGUUAAUGAAAUCAUUAACUCACUGAUUUCCACAUAGGCUUCUCAGUACUGCAGAAGAGGUUACACGGAAUCAAAACAAACAGAUAAAAAUAAUUCAUUAGAAUUACUUACGAAAGAAUAUUAACGUGGUAAACAAGAAAAUUUCUCACAUUAGUGAAAUAUAUAGGAGUAAGGAAUUUCAAAUAUCUCCACAUAAUAAAUGAACAUUAUAUAAAAGUUUGAAUAUAUGUUACUAGAAAGAGUAAGGACAAGUUUGUUAAUAAAGCUGAUUAAUACAACAAAUAGAUGGACAGAAUAUACACUUUAGCUUACUCUUGGGAAAAGUACAAAAAAUAUAAAAAUAAAAAUCUACCUUUUCUUCUAAAAACACCAAUUUUAUAUUAGGAGCAACUCACUUAUUUUAGUUACUUCAAACAGUGUCAAUGGAUCAUUUUCCAAUAAAAGUCACUUUUUUGUUACAACAGCCACUAACUAGAGUGCAUGCACAAAAUCACACUAUUGAGAUACUGUAAAUACUACCUAAACAAUAUAUCCUCUUGUUCCGUUUGGCCCUACUUCUGCUUCUACUUUCGACUGCAAUUAUCUAUUAUUGAGCGUUUGGAAAUCAAAAAAAGUAUGGAGCUUCAAUUGUAGCAAGAGUUGGAAAUGUGAUUUGCCAAGCACAAAACUUGAAGCUCUCAGUUGAAUCUUAUUCUGCUCCAGAGAAAGCUGUUGUCAGGCAACUUACUAUACUGCUUCGCCCAUUACCACUUCAGUAAACAUCGCUACAUCUCACACCUACAAAAUUUACGAUGAUCUAAAGACCCUAAGCUGAAUCUAACAAGCGAGGGGGCAUUAAACUCAACUGAUCCGACGUCGCCGUCCGGUACGUCCGCUCCCCGAUCGACAAGCACGCGAACCACCGAUCCUUAAACCCCAUCUCCGCCUACGAUCAGCAUCACACAACCAUCCCUCAAGCUUAACUCGAUCGCAUGAGCAGAAAAACGUGGGGGGAAAAAAAAACCCUAGAAAAGAGUGGGAGGGGGAGUGAUCUCACCCCGACGAUCUCGAUCCGGGCGAUCCCGGCGAAGUCCUCGGCGUCGAUGCCCUUGAGUUGUGGCGGCGCCGCGGCCGCCGCGUCGUGGCCGGAGCGGUGGCGGCGGAGGCGGAGGCGGCGGCGGAGGCCGGAAAGGCGGGAGGGUGGCGGCGGUGGCGCUCCGCCGCCGGAGUCGCCGGAGUCGCCGGAGCGAGAGGCGCCGUGGCCCAUCGAAUGGGUGGUGGUCGUGGGCUCGGGAGGGGUUUGGUGUGUGGAAGCGUCGGAAUGGAGUAGGGAGUGGGCGGGGACAACGAUGUUGUGUUGAUUUUUAUAGUAAAAAGGAGAGCGCCUUUCAAUUGAUUUGACUUUUAUUAAGGUAAAAUUGCACGAAGGCCCCUCAACUGUAGAAAAUUUGUAAAUAUCUCCCUCUAUUCUAAAAAUAUUUUUUAAGGUAAAAUUGCACGAAGGACCCUCAACUGUAGAAAAUUUUUAAAAAUAUCCCUCUAUUAUAAAAAUAUUUUUCUAAAUUUCAAAUCUCAUUAGUAAAUACUAUGAUUAAGGAUAUAUUUGAAGGAAUUUUUACAAAUCGAUGAGGGCAUUUUAGUCUAUCAGAAAUAUGUUAGAUAUUUUUAAAAUUUUAAAGUUUUAAAAUUUAUUUUUUUGAAAUAAUUUUAUAUGUAUUCCUAUUGAGUUUUAAAAUUAUAAAUUUAUCUUGCAAAUUUUUAAUCAUUAAAUGUAUAGAAAGCUUCAAGAUAUAUAAAUAUAUUUCUACCAAUUGAUUACCUAUAAAGACCAUUUGAUUCGUUUGGACUGCUUAUAAAAAAUACUUUUUUUAAAAUUUGUUUAGGAUUUAUAAUUUUUAGUUCAUGUAGAAUGUAAUGAAAGUUAAACUGAGAAUAUUAAAAUAAAUAAAUAAUUUUAAAUAUUAUUAAAAAUAUUUAUUUAAGGAUAGAAUAGUUAAUUUAUAGGAACCAAAUGAAAAAAAAUACCAAAAUAAUUUAUACCAAACAAAGCAAAUUAUUUCAGUUUUCAUUGAAAUAACCUGUUAAUUUAAUUCUCUCCCACCCACGGAAUAAAAUUUAUUCCUGGAAACCUGAGAGGCAGCGCAAUAAAAUUACAGGUCUUUUUUGCAAUUAGCCUCCUGAAAAAAAUUUAUUUUAAAAAUAGCCUCGGCAAAUUUAAAUUUACAAAAAUGGCCCUGACCCUGCCACGCAGACACCACGUCAGCGCUUUGCGGGCGGGGCUGGGCAAGAUAAUUAAGUUAAACACGGUGAACCAUUCACCGUGUUUAGACGUGGUAAAUAGUUCACCACCGUGUCUGAGGAAAAAAAAUGGAAAGAAAAAAUAUAUGUAUUAUGAAAAAAAUAAGUAUGAAAUACGGUGAAUCAUUCACCAUGUUUGAACCUACGUGGCCCUGAAGUGGCGUCUGCGUGGCAAAAUCAUGAUAAUUUUUAUAAAUUUAAAUUUGCUAGGGUUAUUUUAAAAUAAUUAUUUUUCAAGGGACUAAUUGCAAAAAAAAACUCCUAAAAUUACCACUGCCUUCUUUUUGGGUCACCUCCAAAACAGCGCCACUUUCCCACCUACCAAAGUCUCGUCCUCGUCAUCUUUUCUCCCGGUACCCAAGAAUGUAGAAAUUUGAUCAGUCUAAUGUGUUUUUUUUUUUUUUUUUUUUUUUUUUGAAAGAUAGGUAUGCAUGCUACCCGCCUUAUUUAUUUUAUUUAGAAAUGAACUUAGCUAAAAAUGUGAAUCAACUAGGAUUCGAACUUGGGUCUAAUGUGUUUAUAUUAGAGGGUUUUUGUUUAACUAUGUGAAAUUAUUGGCACUUAAAUAAAUUAGUUACUAUUGCAUAUAUUAUUGGUUAUUAUAGAUUUCUAAUUGUAUAAAUUAAUUUAAAAUUAUCUUACUUACUGCAUAAGUGCUGCAUAUUGCACUGCUCUGUAGAAAAAAUAUUAUUUCUUAAUUAUAAUGUUUAGUAUUGUAAUUAUGUUUGAAAAACCUAUAUUAAAAUUUAUCAAGUAUUGUAUAUAUAUUAUACAAAGAAAAAGAUUGACUAUAUUCAUAAGGGCAAACUUGGUAUUUUUAAAUAUUUCACUUAACUUUACAGACUAUUCUUCUCUUAUUUUAAAAAAACUACCAAACAUCAUUUUAUCUAUUUCAAAAAAUAAGUAAAAAUUAUGUCGAACAAAAAAUUACUUCCAUUCCUUUCUAUCUUAAAAUAUUAAGAUAUUCUAGGAAUAAAAAAAAUUUAAUCCUAUAGUCAUUAUCCCAUUACCAAAUGGAGUCUGUGAGAAUAAAUGCUCAACCUUAUCACUUUGUGGAGAUACGGAUAUAAUUAAUAUUUUUUCGGCUUUGAAAAGAAUAAUACUAUGUACAACCAUUUUGAGAUGUGUAUAAUACACCUCAUCAAUCAUAUAAUAAAAAUAUUUUGCUAGUCAUAUCAACGUUCCAAGUGAGAAAAAAAUUUUUAACUCUAAAAUGUAUAACAUAAAAGGAUGUAUGUGAUAUGGUGGGAAAAUGAAUACUUGCGGUGGAGAAGGUGAUGGUGAUAAAGGAAUUGUUCUUACAGAGGUGGAUGGAUGGACUACUGGGAUUAGUGAGGUUUGAGAGGGCAUAGUAUUGUUGGGUCUGUUUUGCUGUUGGUUUGCUGGGGGAAAGAACAAACUAGGUACUACUGGUAUUAUAGAAGGAUACUUUGGAGAAGUAGUGGAGGAAGACUGAGAUGGAGAUACAAUACCUUGAGCUUGGGGAUUCUUGAGAUCUCUGAUCUGUUGCUCCAAAAUAGCAAUUUUCUGUAGGUGGUUCUCGUCUCUUGUUCUCAGUUCAUCACAGAUAAUAUUGAACUUCUGGAACUGUGUGACCAUUGUUACGCAGUUGUCACAAAAACUAGUUCUCUCAAUGUUGUAGGCAGAUGAUGCAGUGUUCCAAAGGUUUGGAUAAGAUUGGCUACAGUAUUGGUGACCGGUCGAUACAUCUGGAGAGUGUCAGACUAAGUCGGAGUCAAUUCUGCGUGAAUUGGAUGUAGAAAUGGACUCGGCGCACUCAAAUAAGCAAAACUGGAGUUUUGCCAGAUUCGGGCGCCCAGAACACGGUUUAGGUCGCCCAGAACACUGUUUAGGUCGCCCAGAACUGAGUGCGAAAAUUAACUGAAACUGGAAGCUAAUUCGGAUCCUAUGUUCCGAGCGCCCAGAAGUGGGUCCGAAAAUUUUACAUCGUGAAUAUCGUUUGUGUUGACGCGUGUCUAGUGGUAAGUGAACUCCGCCGGAACCGGAUAAGAGCACACUAGACCGGGGGCGAUGGGACCGAGGUAGAGUGCAUGUAUGGAGCCUAGAUGUUCCAGUCGCCCAGAACAUGGUUCCGGGUGCCCAGAAAUGCCCAUUUCUGCAGGGACACCGAAUUGCAGCUGCUUCUCUUGGGGCUUAUUUUAUCCCUCCAACACCCUAUAAAUACCUUGUAUACGUCCCCUUUGAGCUCUUUUUACCUGUUCUUCACAGAGAACUCAGAUUUUGCUCCUUAAUCCCUCCAAUCUUUCCAAUUUGCAUCAAGAUCCACAUCUCCAAGAGUUGCAAGGUGCUGAUUCUGUAGUUUUCCCAGCGACAACCUUCAGUGUUUUGGCUCGUGCGCGACGUAGGAAUAUCAGAUUUCGACAAAACUUGGUUUACUGGAUUCUAGACUUUUAGAGGAAUCCACGAAGUCUUGACUUGUAGAAUUUGGUGAAGGUUAACUUAGUCGAACUCAGGUUUUCCUCUGCUGUUGUUGCUAUGGACAGAAUUGCAAGUUUUUGAGUUUUCUUGGGGUGAACUUUGGAAGCAGGGGCUUUGUGGAGUUGAGACACAUUCCCUAUCAACCAGUACUGGAAUUAGGACCAUCUUCACCUGAUUUGGAGAUUGUUAGGUGAGUUUUGACAUUGGAAUUGGAUAAAUCCUAAGCUUAAGUGCUGAAAUUGAUGAAUUUUAAUGGAUUUUGGGUGAAUUGUAAUGUCUAGAUUUUGAGGGGAUUGUUGCUAGUUUGGAGGUGUUUCCAGCUGUGUUACUUGUGAUCCGAGACUGUGUUGCUGCCAGAGGAAUCGCAUUUGAGGUGGGUUUUCAUCGGAUUACUCCUAAGUAAAUGAGUAGAUGUAUAGUCGACAUGUAUGCUUGUUGUUUGAUCUACAAUGUGAUUAGAUUAAAUUCAUUGAUUAGCAGUGGCUGUAAUCUGAAUUUAAGCAUAUUAAAUAAGUGAUAAUUAUAUAUGUUGGACUUGAGAAUUGAAUUAGGAGAAAAUCAGCGAUUUGGACCUGUCACCUGUUUAUACUACCUGAUUUAGCUCUAGAAGCCGUUGUAAUUUUAUAUCGUCACAGUAUCGAGGCGACGGAUACCCCAGGUAGUUUAACUUUCUGUUACGCUCAUGCUGGGGUGCCGAGUGUAUUUUUACAGUAGCAUUCAGGCUGUUCCGGACUGUUGGGUGCCGUCGGGGUUGACGGUGGGCCCAUAUCGCCUUUUUGGCGUCGGAUUGUGCCGAGGGCACAUGACCUGUUGGUUGUUAGACCAAUUAGUGUCGAUUACCUGGACUUUGGCUUGAGAGAGAGUGUGUGAUUGAGCUCGACAGAGAUACGCUGCAUACUCGGUUGGGUAGCUCCCACGAGUGCCACUCCGGAGUCGGGCGUUGUGCUUUCGCGUCGGUGUCGUGCAUGCCAAUUAGACUUGCUCUCCACGGACUGGAUAGUGUGGAAGUAGCUGGAUAGUCUCAACUGGGCGGAACGGGUGUGUUCACAGUCCCUGGGACGGGUAUGCUUAUAGUCCCUAAAGAGAUUUGGUUAAGAUUGACAUUACUACAGUAGGUCAGCAUAGAGCAUGAUAGUGUAAUAAAUGGUAGAUGUAGAUUUCAUUCCAGCAUUCAUUACUACCUUUGCUCCCUUCUGUAGACUUAGUGGGUGGACCGAUGAUGUUGAGGGCGGCACCCACUGAGGACUACUUGUUUUACAGUAGUUCUCACACUCUGUUGUCACCCCGUUUUUGCAGAGCCAUCGUCUUCGGCUGCUGCUAUUGCUGAUCAGGAUCGAGGCAAGGGCAUCGCGAGUUAGAGCCCUACCCGACGAGCCGAGCUAGAGGAGCCCCUACAGCAGGUAGUUAUUUUUUGUUGGAGUUCAUGUACAUACAUAUAUUCAACUCGCCAGUGCGAGUAGUUUUGUAUUUUGGAUUUGGCGUAUGUAUAUGGAACUCGGUUUGUUUUUAUUACUGGUUCUUCUAGCAGCUCUAUACUACUGUUUGUAGUAUUGUAUGUUUUACAGGUACAGCUAUCGCUUCGUAUAUAGAAAAAAUUCCUUUAUAUACGGCGGAUUUGUCGGCGUGCCCGGGAAACGUGUAAUCCGGGGCGUGACAGAUAAAGUGGCUGGAAUUUGUGGAGAAGAGCGAAUAGUGGGGGAAAUGAAAAGGUUUGGAUCAAGGUGGUUUCUGGCUUUGUUUAAGGCUUCAGAAAGAGAAUGAAAGCCUUUGUAAAGAGGUUGUGAAAAAUUUUUAACCUGUGUAAUGACUUCUAUCCAAGAAUCAAAAACAUCGGUUUUAAAAUCUUGAAAGGCUACAUAAAAUGGAAAAGUGUCUUUGGGUUUGACUGUCUGGAAAUACUCUACUAAGGAGUUUAUGCAUGCAACAAAAUAAUAUUUUGUAAAUGAAAAGGUCUUUAGGAAAAGAGUUUUAAAGGUGGGAAAGUUAUUCAAAACAGUCCCCAAAUGUCAGAUAUAAUAUCAUCUAAAGUUCCUCAAAUAGUCUCCAAAUAUCUGUAAGGAUGUUAUCAUGGUAGUGUAAUUCUCAAAGGAUUUGUCUAAAUUCCUUUAAUUCUUUGAUUUCCUCUUGAUGUCUUUCUAGAGUUAAGAACAUUCUGUAAGUCUGGUCAUGAGUCAAAUGUCUUAUGUCAUCGCCUUCUAUAUUCCAUGUUUCUUCGGAUAAUGUUUCUUCCUCGUCUCUUUGUCUGUCUUGUUCUAUGGCACUGAGCCACCACAUGUCUAACCAAUUUUGUUCAAUCAUAUCAUUGUAAAAGUCUGGAUGAGUGAAUUCUGGAAGUUCUUCGUCAUAGGGCUUGAAAACCAUUUUUAUCACAGAUCUUGUACCAAAAAGUGGUCUUGUAGUUUUGGAAUUUCUUGAGUCUGAAAUAUUCAAAAUUAUAUGUAAGGGGUCUAAGAAGAUUUACUAGUCGUAUUAAAUGGUUGAUCUCCCAAUUUACUAGGAGUACUAGGAGAUUUGGUUUCUAGGGAGGCUAAAUGUCUUGGAACUUGUCUAUGAAAGCUCCAUGGCUGGAUAGGUUUCUUUGUAGGAGUGUCCUUUGAUUGUUCUUUGAAUUUGGAGUGAAGAAAAAUGCUUUAUAACUUCUUGGACAAUAGGGGUUGUAUCUAUAGUAGGAGUAAGACUCUCAGCAGGCCUUUGUUGCGCUAGCAAAGUUUCUAAUGCAUGUAUUCUGCUAUGUAAUCCUAAUAAAAAUUGCAUGUAUUCUCUUUUAAUUUAAGUUUUUAAGGUACUGGUGAAUAGUAUAUAAAAAAAAAAAAUUUCACGAAGCUCUCGUGAAGCUUCAGCGUACUUUCGUGAAUAGUAAUUUUGCAUAGUGUUUUUUGCAUAGUGUCAGUAUAGUAACCGCAUAAAAAAAAAGCUCCCGUGAAGGUGCUUCAUCAUUCGUGCAUAGUACCAGCAUAGUGUCAGAAUUAAUUAAGCACCCUUUAAUCCUUAAUUAACUACGCUCUCUUCAUUAGCCUUUUAGACACCCAAAAAAAAUCCUAAAAAAUCUGAAAAAAUCCCCUAAAAAUCUCUUUGCAUUUUUAUAGUCCUUUUUGAUUGCUCUGUAGAGUUUUCGCUUCUUUUCAAAAUCUCUUGUAAAAAAGCUUAGGCCAUUUUCCUAUUCACUGUUGAUAUCCAUCCCUCUACUAUUUUACUCUACUUUCUUAGUAUUUCUUCCAUCUGUGCUCUUCUUUCACUCUUUUCCAUCCCCACGACUGUUUACCCAAUUUUUAGGUUUUUACCAGUUGGUUAAAAUAUAUUACAUAGUCUAACCCAUCCUCAUCCUCAUCCCCACGCACGUUUUCAACCUUUUUCUUUUCAAUCUUAAAAAAUUCCAAAAAAUUCUAGAAAAUCACAAAAAAUAUUUGAAGCAUUUCUCUAGGUUUUUGGCACCUUAUUUCCGCUGUUUGUAAGGUAGUUUGCUUCUUUCAGAGGUUUGUUAAAAAAUUUAUAAAAAUAUUUUAGGGUUUGUGAAUCCUCCCACAUCUGUACUUCUUUAGACUAUUCCUAGGUUUUCCAAGAUAACCAAAAAACAGUUUCCACUUUUACUUGUGUUUAAAAGCUUUUCGCUCUAUUUUACCCCUCUAGGGUUUCCCACAAGUUCACCGUCCUACUCAUCUCCUUUCUCUCAGAUCUUAUUUCCCCGCUUUUCCCUUGUUAAAGCUUUCAAUCUCCCACUCCACUUUCACCUAAACCCUAAACCCUAAACCCUAAAACUCCAGACUGGCUAUGCAACCCGUGACUGCUGAAUGCCAAACACAGGACACCGCGGAAUUACUGCGAAACUUCCCACGCACGGACAAAACAAAUGACGAAUUAUUCGCGUGGCCCCCACUUCAAUUACCUAAGCCUCCCGUGCACCAAAACUAUGGGCAAAACUGUAGGCCCCGCCGCAAAAUCAAAACUGCCUCGCUGCUUCCUCCGAAGAAACGACGAAAUUGCGGACCCCGCCAAUUUAACGUCUUGCAGGAUCCUUCCUCCUCCUACAUUUGGCCACUCCUUCCCACUUCGCUUAUAAAAGAAACCAUUCGAUGCAUCAAAGGGACACGACAUGAGACGAAAAAAAAAAGGGAACAUUAGAUAACACACCCACCUGAGAUAGAGAAAGAAGAAGCGCAUUAAGGAAGAUCCAUUCGUCGCCAAGAAAAAAAGAGAAUUACAUAGGAGAGCAUCCUACCUCCACAAAUAUCCUCUUAAUGGCCUUUCUUUUCCUUCCUUUUUUGUAAAUAUUUCCUACCGCAACUAUACCCUGAAAUAAGGAGUCUGUAUAAAAGGAGUCUUUCUUUUUCCCUCGGGCAGUCCCGGAAGGAAAACCUUCUAACUUUGUGAUGUAAGUUUUAUCUUUUGUUAUAUUGUAUUUCUCGAACUCUUGUAUCCAUGGCAUUUUCUUUGCUCCAUGAAACCCUUUUCUUGAACUCUUCAUGAAAUUUCCUGAUAUCUUUAUGAUAAAUAUUUCAUCCUGAGCAAGUGUGAAGCAUAUACGCUUGGCAGAUUUGAUAAAAGAAAUGCUCUGUAAAUUUCGCCAUUGAUAGCCAGAGAGGGCUUUGCGGCGUAGGAGCGGGGUUCUCUAAAAACUGUACGCCAUGAGGGUCUUGUGCACCGACACUAUGUCUCAAGUGAUAUUACCAUAAAAGACAUAUGAUUUCAUCCUAAGUCCAGGUUUAGGUUACCUGCAUCAUAGAUAAAGAGUUUUAGAAAUAUAAAAACAACCGAAAAAAUUUUAUCGUGAUUCCUAGAAGGGAGUACCAAACGGGACUUACACCAAAAAAUUUGGAAAAAUCCAUAUUUCAGUGUGUAGUUGCGGUAGAAAAUAUUUACAGAAAAGGAAGGAAAAGAAAAGCCAUUAAGAGGAUAUUUGUGGAGGUAGGAUGCUCUCCUAUGUAAUUCUCUCUUUUUUUUGGCGACGAAUGGAUCUUCCUUAAUGCGCUUCUUCUUUCUCUAUCUCAGGUGGGUGUGUUAUCUAAUGUUUCUUUUUUUCUUUCAUCUCAUGUCGUGUCCCUUUGAUAUGUCGAAUGGUUUCUUUUAUAGGCGAAGUGGGAAGGAGUGGCCAAAUGCAGGAGGAGGAAGGAUCCUGCAAGACGUUAAAUUGGUGGGGUCCGCAAUUUCGUCGUUUCUUCGGAGGAAGCAGCGAGGCGGUUUUGAUUUUGCGGCGGGGCCUACAGUUUUGCCCAUGGUUUUGGUGCAUGGGAGGCUUAGGUAAUUGAAGUGGGGGCCACGCGAAUAAUCCGUCAUUUGUUUUGUUCGUGCGUGGGAAGCUUUGCAGUAAUUCCGCGGUGUCCUGUGUUUGGCAUUCAGCAGUCACGGGUUACCAUUGUCAGAUGUUUCUUGAAUACCUUAGAUUUUGGAUGGUAGUGGACCUCUUCUGAUGUAGAGAACGCCGGUUUUUGAUGAUGGUGGAGUUGGACAAGAGGGUGUUCAAUCAUGAUGGAGUUGGAUCAGAAGGAAAGGGUCGUUGCCGGAGGUAUAGUAAUCUAUAAAGUCGGCAAAUAUUAUACUUGGAACGACGACUUCUGUGUAGGAAGCAUCUCGGCACCGACUUUAAUAAGUAUCUUAUCUCCAAAAACAGGGAUCAUGUGGCCAAUGAGAGGCCACAAAAACCCCGCGAAUCGAAAACGCGGGAAUCGUCGCCCCCACCCCCUCUCUCUCUCUCCCUCUCUCUCUCUCUCUCAUGGCGACUCUUCUCCUCUCUCCGCCCACCACCACCGCGCUCUUCUCCCCCAAAACCCUAACCCUAGCGACCAGAACCGCCCCCGCCCCUCCAUCUCGAUCCAUUCGGGUCAACGCCGCAGCGAGCUCCGCCGAGCCGGAGAAGGCGGCGGCGGUGUCGCCCGCCCAGGGAGGCGGCGAUGGUGACGCUGCGGCGGCGGAGGCGCCGCCUCCUUCCUCCGGCUCCGCCGUCUUGCGGCCGAAGAAGCCGGUGUACUCUAGUGAGUUCUCUUUCACGCUCUACAAGUGUUUGAUGUAAUGUCGCAGUGGGGAUUACAAUUAUGGUAGAAAUGUAUGGAGCUUCGAACCCCCUUCACUAUAAGCCAUUCCAAAAUAGACCCUCAAUUAUAUAUAUUUUUAUUUUUUUAUUCUUUGGUUCACACCUCUUUAAUUUUGAAUCCUUUUGAUUCAAGUAGUUUACGCCAUUCGAGCCACAAAUAUAUGACUAUUAGCUAUCAGGUGUCGCAGUCGACAUUUUUAUUAGUGAAAAAAAUUAUAAAAUCAUUAAAUAUAACAAAAAUUUUCAACAAAUUCCCCAAUUACCUGAUGUGGAUCAUCUAAUUCAAACCAAUUGAAAGUUGACCUGGAUUUUGAUUUUAUCCGCAAAGUUUAUUUGAAACAAUUUAGUUCCUGAAGUUUGAUUCCAAUCUCGAUUUCAUAUAUAGAGUUUGAAUAUUGUUAAUUUAGUUCGUAAAGCUUGACCCUGAAUUUGAUUUUGUCAUAGAAGUUUUGUUUUUAACAAUAAAGGUGUAAAAUUUUGACCCGGAUAUCAAUUUUAGUUCGGAGUUUCAACUGCGACAAUUUGGUCCAUGAAGUUUGCCCCUGAUCGUGAUUUUGUUCUCGGAGUUUCCAUAUUGACAAUUUAGUCGAUAAAUAUUGAUAACAAUUUCAACUUCAUCCUUGAUUGUUUUUUAAUUUAUUUUAACAAUGCAAAGUGUGACAAAUUCCUAUUAAGGCUUAAGCAAUGUCUACUAUGGGUGUUUAUUAUUUUGCCUUGUGAUUAUUCAGUUACAUGAAAUCAUUUCAAGUUUUAUUACUUUUUUUUCCCUUCCGAAUGGGUAAAAGUAGAAAAAAGUUGCCCCGAAGUGCUUGCGUAAUGCCUUUUAUUUUAUUUAUUGUGGCCUAAACUUUUUAUAGUGUUAAAUUAUAUGAAACAGUUGUUUUUCUUCAAAAGCUUAAGCUAUCAGAGAAUAAUGUGUAUACAUUUCAUAUUCAACACUCUCCCUCACAUCUAGCCUCGAGGCAGAAAACUAAAUAAUGUUAGGAGUCUGAUGGAACUCGACCUCAAGACCUUAUGCGCUAAUACCAUGUUAAAUUAUAUGAAACAACCGUUUUUCUCCAAAAGCUUAAGCUACCGGAGAAUGAUGUUUUAUAUACUUUAUAUUCAACAUCUAGAAAUAAGCAUUUCCAAAAUUUCCUGCUUUCCAGUGAAGAAAGGGCAGAUUGUACGUGUGGACAAAGAGAAGUACCUAAACAGCAUCAAUGUGAGCUUGCUCUCCCUCAAUUUGCGUUUAAAUGAGUGUUGUUUAGGAUUCUUCAUGUUAGCUUUUCUUUGUUCAUGUGAUAUUUUAUAAGAUAUAUUGAGCAUGUUCCUUAGAAUGUAUAUUGUGGUGUAAAUUUUGUGCACAUAUUCUAAAUUUGUCUUCUGUCAUUUCAGUAUCUAUCCGUCGGCCAUCCACCUUUUUAUAAAGGGUUGGACUACAUAUAUGAAGACCGUGGCGAGGUAAUGACAAAUCUUUUGUACUUGAUUGCUUUCACAUACUUUUAAUCGUACAUCAGGUUGAAAUUACAUUACGUAGUACAUAUUUCUCUCUUUUAAGCCAGCUCUUUGCUAUCUUUUCUCUAGAAGAUUAAUUUUCACACCUCUACUUGCUGCUGUUUUUGCUGCUUGCUGAAUUGUUUGUUAUAUACUUCUAGGUUUUGGACAUACGAAUUUUCGAGACUGGGGAAUAUGCUCUUGUAAGUCAAUUCCUCUUAAUGUUUUGAAUUGAUUAUUUAUGUUGUAAUCUUAUACCAGCACUUUGUGUAUUUUGUAAAAAAAAAAAAAAAUUAGGUUUUUGUUGUUCCAGCUCUGGUUAUCAGAAUGUAAGAGUUACAUAAAUAAGCUGCAUAGGGAACAUCUCUUACUACAUUUAUUAGGAGUUAAUUAACUGCCGGAAAAGGUAAAAUGUUGAUAACCUUUUUCACUAAAUUUAUUGAGCAUGGUUCAAUUUUACUUGCAAGCGGAAAAUAAAAUCAGUAUAAUCAGUUUUUAUUUCUAAAAUCAAACCGAAAACGGAAUUCCAAAGUCUUUUCAUGUUAAAAACUGAAUCGAACCAAACUACUCAAUUAAACCCAAUUAACCAAAAUUGUUUUGAGUCUGGCAAUCUGGUAAACCAAAGUAAUAACACAACCCUCCCUGGUGGCAGUGGUGCAACUAAUUAGGUCAACUAGUAAACUUCGCUCCUAAUAGCUGGUUUAACUCUGUUAGGGAAGAGAAUUUAGAUACCUUUUCAUUUCAGAUUUUACCCUUUAUUAACAAAAAAUUAAAUCCUUUUGGUUUUUUAUAUUACAGAUUGCUUGGGUUGGAAUUCCAACUCCCCCCGCAUGGCUUCCAACCGAUAUGCUUAUUAAGGUAAGAUUACCUGACGAGGAAUUUUACGAACAGUUAUUGUAUUAUAUCGAACUUGAGUUGUCUUGCAUGUCAAGUUGACUUACAGAGAUCUAAUCUUUUCCACAGAUUGUGAGAGGUAAGAAACUAUAUCAUAGAAAUAUAAUGAUUGCUACAAAUCAACUCUUCUUCUUUAUACUCCGAGAAGCUGGUUUUACGAAAAUAUUGCUCUAAGUUUUUUCCCAUCCAAUUUCGUGACUACAAAUCUACAAGUUCCAUUAUUUAGGAUCUCUUCCUGUUAAUUUGUGCAUGUUCCUAUGUAAAUAUGCAUUGUCGCCUAUUCUCAUUUGCGAUUUGUAGCUGAAUAACCAUUGCUUGUUAGAGCAGAGAGAAAUUUUUCCAAAAUCCAUAUUACUUGUGCAAACUAUUAUAAGAAGUUAACAAACUUUAAAUCGAAUCUCAAAUUUUUAUUCCCUUAGAGUAAGAACAGGGAGAAACUUAUUUUUCUGUUUUCACGAAUCGCUCGUCUAACUAUUUUUCUUAUCAUUUCGCAGUCGGAAAAGCUUGACUAUGAAAGAAUUUGAUCUUGGAAGUACACUUGCGGGUGAUUCUGCAUUUUUCUGUCUCAUUUUUUCGCUUGGUCGGGGAUGCUCCAGAGUAAAUAUUUCACUUCGAAUCAUAAUGCAAUUUUUGCAUAUAGCUCUAUUUGUUCAUAAAUCAGAUAUAUUCCUUAAAAUAAAAUUUGCUUUGAAUCUGAUCUAAUUCGGUUAGUACCAUCUCUACUCAAUCAAUAUCUUCAUUGUAUCAGUGCUUAAUAUAGAUGUAUAGUUUGAUAUGCUCAUUAUUAUAUUACACAUAUAUAUUGUGUGUCUAGCUUUAAACAAUGUUAAGUCUUAGUUCAUGUUUGACAUAUGUUAUCGACAAAUUGUAAACAAUUAAAAAUGCUCAUGGUUAUGUAAAUGAUUCUUACAAUGCCGAUAAAAUUUCCAUAAAAGCACUAUUAACGUUGUGUCCUAUUAUGUCCCCUUUACUGGUGUUGCACGAAUUUUUGAGGCGAUCCGACGGCUUAAAAAAUCACAAGCACAGAUGCUCUCGCGCUUUUAAAAGCACAGGAGUUCAACUCCCUUUCUCUUUCUAUAUAUAUAUAUAUAUAUAUAUAUAUAUAGUGAGAGAGAGAAUUGGGCUUGAAUACUUUUAAUAGCACCAAGUCAUUGGUGCUUUUAGGUUUUUAGCCUUUGGAUUAAGAUUUCUGGAGUUAGAAUGAUAGUAGUCCUCCUAGGGUUUAGUGGGUGGUUGGUGAAAUAGCAUAAUCUAAGGGUGAAAUUAGUCAAGGGAUAGAUCUAAUGGUGGAAAAUUUGAUUGCACCAAAUGUUUGGUGCUAUUAGAAGUAUCCAAACAAGAGAGAGAGAAGAAAAGUCCAGCCCAGCCGGAGACUAUAUAUAUAUAUAGAGAGAGAGAGAGAGAGUCCAACUUGUGUGCUUUCAGAAGCACGGCGUCCUCUAUGCUAUCGAGUCGUUUUCGAUGCUAGGACAUCUGAAUCAACGAUUGGCUUUAUUAGACUUGAUCUAGAGUAUAAAAAACAUCUGUAAAAUAAUUUCAUUAUUUUCGAUAUCAUUUACUCAAAGGGGCUCAAAAUCAACAAUUUUAUUCGUCGUGAUGAGCCGUUUGCAAGGUGAAUCGGUGUAGAAAUAUCAAAAUCACAUGAAAUUUUGAUAGAAAGUUUUUUAUAAUAUAUAAAACAAAUCAAUAGCUUUGAUCUAAAAAUUGUGUCAUAUAUCACUUCAAAAUUUGAAUGCAUUACUUAUCUUUACAAAUUUAGUUAAUACACUUCACACAAUUUUCGAACUUAUAAAUUAUUAAAGUGAUUAACUUAAAUUUUGAAGUCAAAGGGUCAUUGACUGAUUCAAAUCAAAUAAAUUGAAAUAUUGGAUAGUAAUAUCAAAAUUUUGAAAACAAUUAAGUAAUCAACUCAAAAUGGUUCGUAGCUCAAGUAAGUUCUGUAUAUUUUUAGCUCUUAAUAAUUUAGUUGGUAAAAUUUCCUAGAAAGAAAAAGAAAACCACUUUAUUCUUAGGGGUUACUUUGUUGCAUGUAUGUGCAGCUGUAUUGCAAUUUUAACUACAUGUAAAUUCAAAUAUGAUGUUUUCUUUGGUACACUUCAAUCCAACCGUUGCAGCUGAAACUACAGAAGCAGGCUCAACUAUAGCAGUUGAAACUACGCCUAAAUUGACCGUAGUUUCAACUGUAAUAGUUAGAGAAGGUAAUUUUAAAUAAGACGUAAACUUAUCGUACCCACGACCUUUUAAAUGGGAAAAAAAAACAUUCCUUGUACCUUAGGCAUAGCCUCACUACCUUAUUUACAAGGUGAUAAAAUUUGUGAAUACAAUGUCCAACUACAUACAACCCAACAAAUUGUUUGUAUUUGCAAUAUUUUCUACUAUGUACAACCAAACAAGGUACAUAAAAUAUCUGUAACUACUGCAUUUUUAACUCCAUACUUUUUUCACUGCACUGCAUUAAAAUUACAUACCAACAUAUGACCCCUUAGAGAUUGGCCCUGGUAGCUAUAUCCGACGAGGAAGCUGAUAUUGCAAUUUUUGAUUUAAUUGUCACAAACUUAAACUACAAAAUCUGUCAGAAUUAAAACUCGAGGAUGGAAUUGAAAUCGGCAUCGAAUUUCCAGGUCUUAAUGUGCAAAAACCAUCUCAUAAAAACUUGGUAAAAUUUGGUGUAUUUGCUGAUUAUUACUAGUCAACUAUACAUAUAAGUAAGGACCACAAUGUGUUGUAUCUAUAGCCAUUAUCAUAUACACUAUACAUAUGCACAAAUAGCUCUCACUUCAGAGAGAGAGAGAGAGAGAAAGAGAGAGAGAGAAGUUGAUGAAUCUAUCUCUAGAGGGAGUGAAUAUGCUUGACCUUCUGAAUCGCCUGUUGUACUUUCGAUAACGGCUCAUCAUACAACAUCACAGGAUCAUCGAACUGGGGCCCCAAACUAGGUUCUCCGAGAAAAGCGCGAAAUGUGUCGGCCACGGAGUUAGAGAGGGAUUGGAGGUUGUAUCCGCCUUCGAGGAAGAAAACACACCGACCCGCGCACAGCUCCUUCGCGAGCUCUUUGAUCUUCGAAGCGAGCAUGUAGUACGUUCCCGUUGUGAAUUGGAGACCGGCUAGCGGGUCUAGCACAUGAGCAUCAUAUCUGAAGAGAGAGAGAGAGAGAGAGAGAGAGAGAGAGAGAUAGAACUAACUAGCUAAGAUAAGGGUAUUACAGAAAGAAAGUGCAGCAGUAAGCUGUACUUAAGAAAUGCAGAUGUACAGGGGUAUAUAUUUGUAAAUUGACGAUUUUGCAAGGUUGGAUCUGUAAAAGAUCCGGUAUAUAUGUAAAUUGAUGAUUUUGCAAGGUUGUAUCUGUAAAAGCUCCUAACAGAGAAAAUGCAUUAAAUUUGACAUCAAUAUAUGCUAAGAACAGCAGAAAUUGCAAAACUGAUACAUUAGCAUGAAAUCAACAGCAUGAAUUAACUUUCAAGGGGAAGUUCCAACUCACCCCGCUGAAACGAGAAUAAUGUCAGGCUUGAACCUCUGCGCGCACGGCACAAUAACCUCAUCAAACACGGUUCGCAUAGAACUAUCGCCUGAGCCUCCGGGUAAGGGCAGGUUGAGUGUCGUUCCUUCGCCUUUCCCUUGGCCGACUUGUUCCAUCUUUCCUGUGCCAGGGUAGCUCCCAUGCUGCAUCAGUUCCCAGAAAAAAAAAAAAAAAAAAAAAAAAAACAACAACAACAACAACAACAACAACAACAACAAUUGGUCAUUCAUGUAGAAGCUCAAAAUUCGUAUAUAUUCCGAUAAUGUUAAUUUUCGGAAAGCUCGUAAGUACAUUUCGAAAGUUCGAAAAACAUGAAAAUCGCAAGCAUUUAAAGUUUGGAGGUCUAGUAUGAAUUUACCGGUCGUCACGGUGGUACGUAAAUUGCUUCAAUUAAAAGGAGGAUUUUACAUACAUGUAUCUCAGUAAAUGCAUCUACUUAUGUGGUAUUCUGCAAAAUAUGAAUUUUAAUAUGUAAUCCUAGACAUUGCAGCUUUGUUCAUCAAAACCCUUCUCCAAAUUUGGGAGUCAUUCAAUUUAUAUAAGGAAAAUUAACAAAAGAAGUUUUUGAAAGAGGGGUUUUCCGCAAUAAAGUUUGCUUUUUGAAGAGCACGAACGAAAAAAGAAAAAGUAAAAAAUGUAUAAAACUUACCUGAACUUUAGUCCGUUUUUUAUUCAACUGCCCAACCUUUCAAACUUUUGAUUUUAGUACCCGGCCUUUCAAUUUGUUUAAUUUAAGUGAUUUGAUAGCUCUUGGGAUAUAAAAUUUAAACUAAUUGCUUACUUGAAUGAAUUUAUAGUUAAAUGAAUUGCACAAAAUAUGCUAACUAAAGCCAUAAAGAUAAACGGCAUAUUCGAAUUUUGAAAUUAAAAAGUAACUAAUUGGCUCAAAUCAAAUAAAUUAAAAGGUUGGAUAGUAAAAUCGAAUUUUUUAAAGAUUAGAUAGUCAGAUCAAAAUGGGUGAUAGUUGAGGUAAGUUUUUAUACAUUUUUACCCACCCCACUCCCCCAAACAAACAAUCAAAAAAAGGUACAGAGGCCCCUUCUACUGGAGGACAUUUUGAAAUAGAUUCUCUAGCUUUAAAUAAUCUGAUUGGCAUGCCUCAAAUUUUUUUUUUUUUUUUAUUGUGUCGAUUUGAGUUAUCAAUGUUAGUUGAUUUGGGAUUCCGUUUGAAUAGACACUUCUGCGAGUUAUCACUUAUCAGCUAUUAAUAAGCUCUGAAACCUAAUAGAAUCCCUGAUUCAAAUGAUAAAAAAACUUGAUCAAAACAAGUUUUUAGGAGAGAAUCAACCGAAAAAAAAAAAUUGAGGGGGUCUCCACACAGGGCCAGCAGGGGGGGCAUUUGUGUAAAUUGAGAAUUUCUCAAACAAACAAAGAAAGCAGCAAUCAACUGACCUGAUGAGUCGAGAUGAAGAAUAUAUCCGGAUCAUCGUAAAAUGCAUCGCACGUUCCGUUACCAUGAUGAACAUCAAAAUCGAUAAUGAGGACCCGCUUAAGUUUAUGCACAUAUUGUGCAUAACGAGCGGCAAUCGCGAUGUUUCCGAAGAUGCAGAAGCCCAUCGGACCUUGAGGGACGGCGUGGUGCCCUGGCGGCCUUAUUAAGGCAAAUCCUGUUGCUGGGUCACUGCUGAGCCUUGAUGCUGCAGCCUAGGAUAAAAAUACAACAUUUUCUUGGUAAAGAACCACUGCAAAGAAAAGUUUGUACUAAAUCAUAACAUAACAAAUUUGUCAAUUCCUUACUACCAUUAUUUACCAAAGAGGAAAAAAAAAAAAAAAAAAAGCAGGUUGGAGAUUUGAUAUGAGUUCACAAGUGCUGAAACUUGCUUGUUUGAAAAUUAUGAUUUAUUUAUAAAUAAAUAGGUGAAAACCUUCACAGACCUCACAUCAACUAUAGUGUGCUUUUAAAUCGGUACCUGAACUUUAAUAAUUAGAUUUUGCUACCUAAUGCCACAUAAUGUUUGAUUUUAGAAAUUUUCUUCUUUUUUUUUUUUUGUUUAGAAGUUAAAGAGUUUCUUCAGAAAAGUUGUAGACUAUCCCCUCCGGUAACAGAAUAUUCCGUUUUUAGACAUUGAAACACUGCUGCACUUUGAUAAUGAGGUAAUUAAAUCGGAAAGACUCAAAGUUUAGACAGUGAAAUCAAAACUUUUGUUGUUCCCGUAGCUGUUUCAAAUUGCGCUGUAAUUCAGGUAAGGUCAGUAUAUUUUUACCUCACAAGUAUAAUGAGUCUGAGUCAACAAAAAAGAAAAAAAAUCUUACUUACCACAGAAUCGACCAAGGAAAGUCCAGCGCCAGCUGCAGCAAGUGAUUCUUGAAAGGUCUGUGAAGUACGGCAAUACGUUAACAGUUAAAGGUGCAGAUUGAUAACAUACCUGAUUUAACACAUUUCAGUUUUUCUGAUUACACAUAUGUCGCCGUAUUAAGAAUUUAAACAAAUAUGAGGGAAGACAUCAGACAGCAUUCCUUCAUUAUGGAUUUGCAGAUUGCUACCCUGUCGUUGAAAGUGUAGCAUAUUGCUACUGUGUGGUUUUUCCUGUUUCCCAUAAAGGGGUGUUUGGUUCCUCGGAAAAGCGUGGAAGACUAUCUUUUGGGCACCGUUUUUCCACAUUUUUCGUUUUCCAUAUGAGAAAUUUGGAAAACGAAAACACUACUUUUCCAUGAAAUAUGGAAAAAGAAAAAUUUCAGGAAAACUACUUUUCCUAGGAACCAAACAGACAGAAAAUACUUUUCCAAGCAAAAAACUAUUUUUUGGGAUAUUUUCCGGAAAACCAGACACUCCUUGAGUAUCGGCCAUUCCAGUUCAGGUUGCCCUUGGCGAGUAACCAAUUAUUGUUUAGUAUCAGAAUGUGUGCUCUUAUACGCAAAGCAAACCUACUUGCUGUUACCAAAUGUAAUUUAGCAUAUUAUUACAGAACCCCAAAACAAUAAUAGUUAAAGAAAAAGAAGUGUACAAAUAUAAGUUGUAAGAUCUAGAAUAUACGGUUUCAGUAGCAUAUGUUGGCCCAGAUCCUUCGAUGAAAAUGAGGCCUUCAUCUGACGCCAUGGACAUAGCCUACGGGAAAAGAGAAAAAUGAAAACAUUUUCUCAAUUGUAGGAUUGAAAAACUACUAUGAAAUUUUAAUGAAAUAAGAUACCUUCUCAAGGCCCGUUACAUAAGCUCUUGAAUGAACACGAGCAAUGUCGUCGAUUGAAGCUGGCUGGAAACUUUGAACUUCAAGCACCUCUAAGCCACGAUACUGAAACACAGGAUGCCAUACUUAUAAAAUUAUUUUAAAAAAAUAUUAAACACACCACAAAUUUUAGCUAACAAGAGAUCUAACAUUCAUGAAGUCCACGCUGUCAUAUAGCAAAAAAAGUAAGAACCAACAUGGAAGGUAGAGAAUCAAUAGACUUCUUGACAAACAGAAGAUCAAUUAUUCCUUGAUUAUUUCGAUGUGCUGACGAUUACUAUAUUGAAGACUCUAGGAGUAAUGACAUAUUUCCCAAGGAGCGGUAUGCCAUAAAUUCAAACCAAAGACUAAGCGCCUAUUUGGCCUCCUUCGGGAAUAGCUUCUCUAGAAACUCAAGUGUUUGCUAUGGUAAGAAGUCAAAUGAGCUUUUGGAGACCAAAAGCAGAAGCUCCAAUUUGAAGCUUAUGACCGGCAGCAGCUGGGAAAAGGCAGUUAGUUCUUGCAAGCACCGGUUUGAGACAAUUUGUUUUACGCAGAAUAUUCACAGCAUAAAAGUUGAGAAACAGAAUAUUGUAUUAGCAUAUCUUGCAGUAAAGAAGAAAGGAAGAUAGAAUUGGCAAAAUGGUAAGUUCACCUUUGGGGUAAGCUCCAAUCUUUCAAGAGCAUCAACAAUUGCUGGCACCCUUUUAUUUGAUUCAGGGUGAGAGUCCUAGACAUUCAAAUCAAACCAGAAGUAUGAAAAAGGAAAAAGAAGAAUAUGCUAAUUUAGAAAGGAACAGAAGAACAUCUAAUAUCAUCAGCUUUAAAGAUACACACUUCUCUUAUCCAAACCUAGUAUUUAAACACUAUAAAGACCUUCUGUCGAUUCAAACUAUUAAAACUAUUUUUUGUGAUAGCAUACAACACGAUAUCAACAUGUAUUCUCAUACCAUCCGUUCACACUAGCAUGCAUAAACAAACAGUUAUAAUUUUCGUCUUUGUUUCUUAGAAAAAAAUCAUGAAUAGUUCACAAAGUUUUGGUUGGACAAAUAACUUUGAAUUAUUAAAAAGCAAAAAGAAAAUCAAUCUAAAAGUAAUUGAUAUUUCCAACUAUUCGAGAUAUUUUUGAUUUAAUUAUAGCCAAAAUGAAAUUUUUAUUGUGAAUUUAACUUUUCUACACUCUGGGAAUGAAAGAAGAUAUCAUAAAACUUACGAAAAUUUAUGCUAAUGGACUUUUACCAUUAUAUAUUGGUGUUUAUUCAGCUAAACCUUUUUCAAAUUUAUUCUAAACUUAUCAAAAUUUUUCUGAGGUAUGAAAUUUUCAGCUUUUACCAGAAGGCCAAACUUGUCAUUGUGACGGGAAAUACCUUAUUAUGGCCCAUGGCUGGAGCUACAGAAUAGAGGACUCGUGCAUCACGAAGUAAAACAUCCGAUGGAAUUGAAUAUGGCUUCUUUUCACCGUCAAUAAAAGCAACAUCAUCUUUUGCAGAGCAUCUUACACAUGACCUCAAACUUCUAUAGAAUCUUCUCGCAACACUUGCCAAAUUCUUUUCUGAAUGUAAUCGACAGCAGCCCUCCAAUAAAUAGCAAUGUCGUCUAAUCAGCGGAAACAUUUGCCCUAGAUGACAGGAAUUUCAUAACUUUCAGGAAAGAAAAGCUAACAAUUCAAAUUUAAAACUACAAAUUUUCAGCAGAAGAAGCUGUAGUGAUGCCAAAGGCCUAAAAUUGUUCUUGACUCGCAAAUUAUGCAGAAGCCAACAAAGUGCUUUUGCAAAAGUACAAUACUAUCAAUCAUGAGUUAAUAACGAGACCUCUACAUUGAACUAACAUGAGUUUUCUCGCAAACAAAUGGCAUGCAUGCACUUAGCACACAUUAACUACACUACAAUUGAGAAGCAAGAAAUUUUUUUUAAAAAAAAAUCGAAUUACUAUCACUUUACAUUCUCCAAAAAGAAACACUAGUGAUGCUAAUAAUCAAUCUCAAGCUAUCCAAGUGAGAACCAAGUGAUUCUGCAUGAGUAUAAUAGUAUCAUUUAUUAGUAAAAAUGAGAACUUUGCAGAAGAAAACAUUACUACAUUCUAAAAGAAAGAAACCCAACAAUUAAAGUUCAAAUACUUCAAAAUUUCACGAAAAGGAGCACUAUUAAUUCUAUGCAAAAUAUAACAAAGGGUUUCUGCAUAGGUAUAAAAUUGUCAAUCAUAAGGGCAUUUUCACAAACAUAUGGCAUGCAAGGUAGUUAGUAUAACUUUACUAAAAUCUAAAAGAGAGAAAAAAAGGAAAAAAAAAGAAGAAGAAAAGAACCCACAACUUGAAAUUUAAAGUUAUAUUAACUUUUCAUAAAAGAGAAACACAAGUCAUGCUAAAAAUCAUUCUCAACUAAUGCAGAGCAGAACAAAAAGCUUCUGCAUAAUAACAUUAUCUUCAGUCACAAGUCAAUAAUGAGACCACUAUGUUCAAGUAAUGGCCUGUCUGUUUGUCAGUAAGUAAUUUUCAGGUUGAAAAUGAUUUCUAGCAGAACUGAAGUUUAGGUAAAAAAAUAUAUAUAAAAAAAUUCCGCCGCUAUUUGUUCAAUAGGGACCCAAUGGCUUUGAAACUGUAAUUAUAUCACUUUUUAUUUAUUUUUACGCAAAUUCUCACACUAUCAUGUAAGAGGAUGAGAAAAGUUGCAACAUGUAAAUUUUUAUUUUUAUCUCUCUUUCCGAUAAUUGACUUCGGCACCACACAAGGGCCCGAAAACUACUUCACUUCCCUCCACCUUCGGUGAAACAAACAUGCCCUAACUACACAUGGGCAUUUCCACAAACACAUGGUGUGCAAGGUACUUCAACAAAACAUAACUAUAAUUCAAUAUACAACAAAGAGAAAACAACAAUUCAAAUUAAAAAUUUCAUCAAAGUUUCAUAAAACAAGUGCUCUCAACUUUAAAAGUUGGGACUUUUUCCUCUUCAAAUUUCUAACUCCCAAAUGCGAAUUAAAUAAAAAAAAAUUGAAGAAAAAUACAUAAAACUAAUCCUUUAACAUGCAUCACUAAACUACAAUAUAUAACAAAGGGAACCCAAUAAUUGAAAUUUAAAAUCACAUUAAAUUUUUCAUAAAAACAAACACUAGCAAUGCCAUGAAUCAUUCUCAAAUCACGCAAAAUACAACAAACAAAGUGCUCCCAAAUUUAAAAAUUGGGUCUUUUUUGCUCUUCUAAUUUGUUAACUCCCAAAUCCGAACUUAAAUUCAAAAAAAAAUUGCAGGAAAACAGAAAAGAUAAAUCCAAUCCUUAACAUGUACCAGUGAGGGUUGGAUAAUGGAGCGUGGUGAGCUCCAUGAUCGGGGAGAGUUUUUUUUUUUUUUUUUUUGGUUUUUUUCAUAAUUUUCCCACCACAUAGUAAUAAUAAUAUAAGAUAAAAAAUAUAUAUCUAUUUUAAGAUGAGAAAAAGGUAAAAGUGCAGGAUGCCCCCUCAUCUAUAGCUCGUUUUGAAACAACUCCCUGAACUUGUUUUCUUUUUUUUCCUUUUCUGAUUGGAAAGAAAUUAAAAGGUUUAUCAAAUUUUGUGAUAUAUAUUAGUAAUUUAUUAAAUUUAAUAAUAAUAAAUUAUUUUUAGUUAAUAAAAUUGAACUAAUUAGCAGUUGAUAACUUUAAAUUAGAUUUGAUAAAAUUUUUAACUUAAUUACGUAUAAAAAUUGAAAUAAAAUCUUAUAAACUGAGUCUCAAAAAAAAAAAGAUAAACUUCAAAUAUUACCCCAGUGGUUUCGCACUUUCUCACUUUAGUACCCUGUGAUUUAAAGUGUAUCAAGUUAGUGUCCUGACGUUUUAUUUUUAUCUUUUCGUCAACUUUUCCGUUAAUAUUUCGUUAAAUUAUAUACAAAAAAUUUCAGAUACCCCACCUAAAUUUAUCGAAUAUUCACUUUAAUACCUUUUGGUUUUAACUUUAUCACUGAUUUAACGGAAAAAAUUAGUGAAAGCGAUAAUAAAAAAUAAAAAUGAAACACAUGGCACUAAAUUGAUACACUUUAAAUCAUAGGGUAUUAAAAUGAAAAAGUAUGAAGCCACAGGAGUGGUAUUUGAAGUUUUCCAAAAAAAAAUAAAAACUUAUCCGUCUUUAUUAUUGGUUUUGGACCCAAAAUAAAACUUGUCCCAAAGUUUAGUCACAAAAUAGUUUUGGGCCUAUUUGGACUUUUCCUAAUCUAACCCAAGCUUGGCACAAAAUUAAAAGCCCUUUCAAAUUUUUCCUUCUUUAAUAUUAUAAAUAAAAUAUAACAAGAGUUAAUUUAAAAUGCUUUUAAAAAUAAAUCAGGUUAUUUAAUUACGCGUCAUCUCACAAUUAAGCAGCUAAAUAGACCAUCAGUUUUAUUAAAUUUGAUUUAGAACCUUUAAACCGUCUGAAAAUCAAAUUUCGCUAUAUUAUGAUAUUAUUUAUCUACUGAUCGAGUGAUUUCAAAUUUAUUUUCUCUUUAUCAUUAAAAAUUAUUAAUUUCAAGAUUACUUGAAUACUAAACUAAUGAUUUCGCAAAAUUACAAAGUUCGGAACCCAAAAUGUUCAAAUAGCUUAGAUCAAAUUUAAUGAUGCUGAUCAUUAAUUCAAUAUUUCACUGUGAGAAAUUAUGUUUAUCGUAUACAAUUUUUUUUUUUUUUACUUUAAACUCUCAUAUCCUUUUAACAAUAAGUUAUUAUAGAUAACAAAAAUAAAAAUAAAAAGUUACAUAAAUUAGAAUUUAUAUUUAUUUAUUUUAAAUACAUGAAUUGGAACCAUACAAGGCUCCCCGGGUUUGGGGGCCCCUAUGGGACCCACUACAUUUUUUGUUUCUCUCUCUCUCACAAUAUUUAUUUAUUUAUUUAUUUAUAAUUUAAUUAUUUAUUUAAUUUUUAUUUAUUUAUUUAUACACUAAUUUGGAACUCAGAAAACACCUAUCCUUAUUUUGGAGGGUUGUGGGCCCACAUUAAUUUUUUGAAGGAUUAAUUGCACAUUAGGUCUAAUCUUUUCACUUUUUUUUAUUUGGUCCCUAAUCCCUAAACUUUGCAUAUUUUUUGUUUUAGUUCACAAAUAAUUUUUUAAGGAUUAAUGUAUAUAAUAAUAAUAUAAUAUUUGGUAGUUGAAUCUUUUACGGUGUAAAAAAUAUCUAUUUUGAUUUCGCAUGUCUUUUGAUUAGUCUUAUUUUUUAUGCUUCUGAUAAUUAUCUACUGAUUUCUUCGCUAAUUUACAUUUCGAAAUCGAACACUUUAUUAGUUGUAUGUGUAACGAUAAAAGUUAAUGAGGGCACAAUAAAGACGUUGCGGCUAAGAAUACCAAAGAUAGUAUUUUUACUCUACUUAGUUUUUUUAUUUUUUUUUUGUAAAUUCUAUCUUGAUGAUAAUAGAAAAAUAUUAUUUAUCUUUCUUAAAUACUUGUAAUACCGCUGGUUGUUUUAUUUUAAAACUAUUUUAUUCAUUUACGUAUUACUCCAAUUAUUAAUUUCUCCUGUAUACGAAACUAGCUGAGCCGUAACAAAGCCAAGCUACAACCAUAUAGAUAAUGAGCUACUAAUGAAAACAUAUAUAUAUAAUAUAUAAUAUAUAUAUAUAUAUAUAUAAUAUAUAUAUAUAUAUAAUAUAUAGAGCCUCCGUGCUCUGACGCGUUUCGAGAGGAAUUUUCGAAUCGACGAUCGCUCCGUUAGUCUUGAUCUAGCGCAUUUGAAGUUUCUAGAAAAUAAAAUUUUGUAAUUUUUUGAUACCAUUUACUUGUGAUCGAAAGGAUUCAAAAUCCAUAAUAUUCAAUGGUUGAUAUCUGCCGUUUCAAAUUUAAGCGGGUAGAAGUAUUCAAAUUCAGAUGAAACUUUGAUACAAAAUUCUUUAUACUAUCUACAACAAAUCAAUAUUUGUGAUCGAAAAUUUUAGUGCUAUAUCACCGACUUUUUAUAGAUUUUUUAUCUUAGCCGUUAAAAUUAUUAAUUUUGAAUCCUUUCGAUUGCUAGGUAAAUGAUAUCUAAAAACUGCAAAAAUUAUUAUCUAAAAACUUCAAAUAAGCUAGAUCAAGUUUAACGAGCUAAUCGUUCAAUUCGAAGAACUUCUCUCAAAAACGGUCUCAGAGCACGAGGCCUCCUGCUCCUGAGAGCAGCAGCAUCUGCUAUAAUUAUAGUAAUAUAUAUAUAAUAUAUAUAUAUAUAUAUAUAUAAAAUAAAGUACAAUUCAAAUUUAUAAAGUUCAUCUGUUUGACAAAAAUGAAGGCAUAGCUUAGCUGCAUUAAUUAAUUAGUCCAUUAGUUAACUAGGUGAUAAUGAGAGCUUAUGUAAUUGUGAAUGCACGUAGAGUUUUUUUUUUUAAGAGAUAGAUAGCACGCUACCCGCUUCGUUUAUUUCAUUUAAAAAUAAACUUAGCUAGAAAUAUAAAUCAACUAAAAUUUAAACUUGGGUCUCAGGUACCAACUAUCAAGUCCUUUACCACUUGCUCUAGAAACGGUUGGUGUGAAUGCAAAUAGAGUUAAAAAUGAAGGAGUAAUAUGAAAAACAAGUUGGGUUGUAAGUUUGAGAUAUUUCUUGUUUCCUCUUCAGUUGAAGAGCCCUAAACCCUAAACCCUAAACCCUAAACCCGAAGGACAAAUCAUCAGCCGCUGUUCGAAAUAAAGUUUUAGCAAACUAUUGAUAUGCGAGAACAAUACAAUCAUGAGAAAUUUUUUAUUAUUAUUUUUUGGAAAAACUUCAAAUACCCCCUUGUGGUUUUAUUUUUUCUGACUUCAAUAUCCUGUGGUUUAAACUGUAUCAAGUUAGUACUUGUAGUUUUGCACUUUUUCACUUUAGUAUCAUGUGGUUUAAAGUGUAUCAAGUUAGUACCAUGUGGUUUCGUAUUUCCUCAUUUUAGUAUCCUAUGGUUUCGCACUUUCUCACUUUAGUAUCCUGUGAUUUAAAAAUCAAAUGGUACUGACUUCGAUACAAAAAUAAAACCACAAAAUACUAACUUGAUACAUUUUAAAUCACAUGGUACUAAAGUGAGAAAGUGCGAAACCUAACUUGAUACACUUUGAACCACAGAAUACUAAAAUGAAAAAGUACGAAACCACAUAAGGGGUUUUUGAAGUUUUUUCUUAUUUUUUUAAAACAACACGAAAGUAUCCGUUUGAAUUACUGGAGAUCACUAGUAUAUGAUAUGAGAUGCAAAACAAUAGUCCAAAGCUCAGAACAGUAAAAGAGCCUUUGAAACAGAGACAAGAAGUGCAGAGCUCUGAACUUGGGAACUAAUAAUACAUUUUUCUGCAUUCAGCCAGCACAAAAGUUCGAUAGGAGUUAGGAGAUUACUCAAUUCAAGCUGUGAGACUUGCCUCUUCUCUAUUGCCAACAGAAGAAAAACAGUAUUCCUCAUCAUAAGGCCCACCGAAUCCAGCAGCUGCAGGACCAUCAAUGUCAUUAGCAUCUCCUAACCUCCCUAGUUCAAAUUCCUCCAACUCAUUACCAAAGAAAUGCAUGUUCAGAUUUCCAUUCAAUCAUAUUCAAAUCUAGAUUUACUAUAGAUAAAGGUCAAUCCUAAUAGAUAUAGAACUACUUGAUAUGGUAUAUUUUAUUUAUAUUUCAUCUAUUUUAAAUUUAAAUAGAAUCCUAAUCAGACUUUGAUGGGAAGUCGAUUUGAACUCUAUAUAAAAUGGUAUUGGUCUUGCCAACUUCUCAUACGCAUUCUGGUGAAGAAUUACCAUCGGUUCCACAGGUAGAGUGCCUGAAAUAGGAGGAGAAAUCAAAUUACUCAAGUUCGGUUCGUGACUUCCAGAUCAUAGCCGAACUUCUCGUUUUCGCAGAUUGAUCAAGAAUUUCUUUUCUGUGGCGCUCUGUGAGUCAUUUUAUUUUAUUUGAUCCUGGACUUUGGUAUGUAUUUAAUUUGCUAUUUAUUUUACAUACCUUGAAAAUCUAUCAAAUACAUACUGUGAAGCAUCAAAACGGGUGUUCUCUGCGAAAAAAGAAUAACAAAAAAAAGUUUAAACACAUAAUCUACGGACUAGAAUAAACAGAAAACAUUAACGCGCAUAGAUCAGCCAACGAGCAUGCACAUUCAUCUGGUACAUGCAUACUCAAUAUACCAAAAAAUAGAAAGGUAAAACAGCACCCGUCAGCUUAGCAAUUAGGCAUGCUGAAGGGACAAGUAAAGGCUUGUCUUAUUGAUGCGCAACUUGGAUUCACUAUUUCAGUACUACGAAAAAAAUAGGGAAAACUUCAAAAACCCCUCCUGUAAUUUCACAAUUUUUUAUUUUAGUGCCCUAUGAUUUAAAGUGUAUCAAAUUAGUAUCCUAUGGUUUCUCACUUUAUCACUUUAGUACCUUGUGGUUUAAAAUGUAUCAAAUUAGUACCUGUGGUUUUGCACUUUAUCACUUUAGUACUCUAUGAUUUCACACUUUAUCACUUUAGUACUCUAUGGUUUAAAAAAUCACAGGGUACUAACUUGAUACAAAAUUAAAACCACAGGGUACUAAAGUGAUAAAGUGCAAAACCACAGGGUACUAACUUGAUACGCUUUAAACCACAGAGUACUAAAGUGAUAAAGUGAGAAACCACAGGGUACCAACUUGAUACAUUUUAAACCACAGGGUACUAAAUUGAAAAAAAUUGAAACCACAAGGGGGGUUUUGAAGUUUUUCCAAAAAAAUAAUGAAGUGACAAGAAACAGCUAGCCCUACAAAAACUAAGAUCAAAAGACACACUAAUUGAAUGAGAUGAAGAGUUAUCUAGCAAACUUUAUUUAAAUUCUUCUUUAGACUAAGACAGAGUAAAUUAUGAUAACAUUAGAACUACAACAAACAUAGAAUGGUAGGGCCCUAAGUUCAAAAUCAAUCACGCAAAUAAUUUCUCUUUUUAACCAAGCGCACAGAGAUGGAUGACAACUACUGAUACCAAUUUGCCAUAAUUUAAGCUCGCCGAAUUCUAGCUAAAUAGUUAGAAGUUUCAGCCCUGAACAACUUCGAAAAAUGUCAAAAUGAAUAUAUCAUCAGAAAUGUCAUUCCAACACGAUUACACACCAAUUAACACUCAGCAAAGAUAUCCUCCUUCACAUAAAACUCUACUAACAAUACAACAAUCUCUGAUUAACAGCUAUAUAUAUGAAUCCAACAUCAAGUAUUUUAACACAUGUUCUUUUAACAACACAAAGAAAACAACUAAUCUUCCUUUAACAACAAAAAAGAAAAAAAAUAGCUGAUAUGUCCAAAUUUAAAUAUUACAUAAAGAGAAUAAUCUAGAUAAGUCAAAAAUUAGUAACAGAAUAAUCUAGAUAAGAUGCUUCAGAUCAAUUCCUGCUAUUCCCACUUACAUAUCCUUCUUUGUCCUAAUAUUUUCAUGCCCCUUUAGUAAUAUCAUGUUCAAGCCGAUCAAAGUCGACCUCAGCUCUUCGUAUGGGUGGGUUCACAAAAUGAAGGCAUCUAUACAACAUGUUUACGUGCUUCUAUAUACCAAUAAAAUGUAUAUAAUAUAAGUUAAUACAACAUUUUAUUUACUAAUUUUUUUUUUUCAUAAAGUUACUCCUAUAAAAGAUCAACUACUCGGCGAUAAAAUUUUUAUUACAACAAAAUAAAAAGAACUAUUAUUUUUGAAUAAUUAUUUUAAUAUAUAUUGACUACUAUAUUAUUUUAAAGAAAUAUAUUUCAUUGUAUGGUUUGCACUGUCUAAAUUUUCAUGUUUAAUUAGCUUAUUUUAUAAGACAAAAAAUGCUAAUUAAGUUUGUAUAAAUUUUACAUCUCAUUGUUACAGCCGUUAAUCAAUCAUUAUUAGUGUAUGCGAAUGCACACGCGCACGUGAGCACAAACUCACAUAAAGUGAUGAGACUAACAUUAAAAAAUUUAACGUAAAAUCUUAAAAUUACAAGAUUUAAUUUCUACUUGUAAAUAAAUAAGUAGCAUUACUCUACUUUUUGAUAAUAAACUGUGAACUAAUGUAUGAACUUCCACAAAAAUAUCUAUUAAUUUAACAAAUUUCUACUUAAAUUAAUCGAAAUGAUUGUAGAAAUUAAAGUUUGGAAAGUGUUUUUGGAAAAAAAAAAAAAAAGGAAAAAAUAAGGGUGCCAUUUUCAAAAUAUGCUAUAGUUGAAGUAUUUUUUAAAAAUUUUUAAAACUUUUAUAAUUUAAAAUUUUACAUACGAAAUAGAAAAUUACUUUAUUAAAAGUAACUUGAUUUUUAAAUUAAUUUAGCUAAAAUUUUUAAUUAUUUUAGGAACAUGAUGGACUUUAGCGACAUCAACUGCCAUUGAAGCCUUAGUCAAGAUAAAGACCGGCUACUUUAAUUGAUUUAUCACCACAAUAUAUUAUUCACGGCCUUAACAAGGGAUAUUAUGGUUGGUCUGACCACGGCGGUUGAAAAAUUGUGAAAAAAAGUAGUGUAGUAAUGAAGAAAGCUUAACCCUGUGUAGAUUGUAGAUGUUUAAGAAUAAUUAGAAACUUUGAUAAAAAAAAUAAAUUAUUGUAUGUCUCGACAGUUAGUACAUUUAGACGAAAACAUAUAAUUCAGUUAUAUUACCAUUAAUAUUCAGAGAUUUGAAAAUGUCCCCUCUGGUGAUGAACAUGCGCUUUUGAAAGCGGUUGCUCACCAACUUGUUGUAUGCGGAAUCCAAACUAACGACUUUUUCAAAAACUACGACGGUGGAAUUAUAAAAAGAAGCAACAUGUCAGAGAGGAUUAUCACACUCAAUCAUUCUAUCCUAAUUGUUGGAUAUGGAGAAAAGAACGGGUUAAAGUAUUGGAUAGUGAAAAAUUUUUGGAAAAAAAAGUGGGGCGAGGAAGAGUAUGUAAUAAUUGAACGAAGAGUAGGAAUAGCAGGAAUUGAUCUGUAAGCAUCUUAUCCUGUAUAAUUGUUUACAUUCAAUCGUGCAACCUUUUGAGGAGUCAUACUUCUGUUCACUUGGAUAUUAGGUAACCAAUUUUAAAUUAUUAUCUAGAUUAUUCUUUUUUUAUCAUUUUAACGAGUAGAGGAAUUGAUCUGGAAGUAUAUUAUUCUGUAUAAUUAUUUACAUCUAAUCGUGCAGCCUUUUGUUUAAAUUUGGACAUAUUAACUAUUUUUUUCUUUUUUGUUGUUAAAGGAAGAUGAUUAGUUGUUAUUUUUUUUGUUGUUAAAAGAACAUGUGUUAAAAUACUUGAUGUGAGAUUGUUAACAGCUAUAUAUAUGAAUCCGGCAUCAAGUAUUUUAACACAUGUUUUUUUAACAACAAAAAGAAAAGAACUAAUCAUUUUCUUUAACAGUAAAAAAAAGCGAAUAUUUCCAAAUUUAAAAAUGAUAAAAAAAGAAUAAUCUAGGUAAUAAUCUAAAAUUGGUUACCUAAUAUCCAAGUGAACAGAAGUAUGACUCCUCAAAAGGUUGCACGAUUGAAUGUAAACAAUUAUACAGGAUAAGAUGCUUACAGAUCAAUUCCUGCCAUUCCUACUCUUCGUUCCAUUAUUACAUACUCUUCCUCGCCCCACUUUUUUUUCCAAAAAUUUUUCACUAUCCAAUACUUUAACCCGUUCUUUUCUCCAUAUCCAACAAUUAGGAUAGAAUGAUUGAGUGUGAUAAUCCUCUCUGGCAUGUUGCUUCUUUUUAUAAUUCCACCGUCGUAGUUUUUGAAAAAAUCGUUAGUUUGGAUUCCGCAUACAACAAGUUGGUGAGCAACCGCUUUCAAAAGCGCAUGUUCAUCACCAGAGGGGACAUUUUCAAAUCUCCGAAUAUUAAUGGUAAUAUAACUAAAUCCUAUAUUUUAGUUUAGACGUACUAAUUGUCGAGAGAUAUAAUAAUUUAUUUUUUUAUCAAAAUUUCUAAAUAUUUUUAAACAUCUACAACCUGCAUAAGAAUAAGCUCUCUCAGUUACUACACUACGCUUUUUCACAAUUUCCCAACCUACGUGUUCAAACCAGCCGCAGCAUCCCUUAUUGAGGCCGUUAAUAAUAUAUUGCAGCAAUAGAUCGAUCAAGUGGCCAAUCUUUAUUUUGAUCAAACCUUCAAUGGCGACUGAUGCAGCUAAACCCAAAAUAUUACUAAGAUAAUUUAAAAUUUUAGCUAAAAUAAUUUAAAAAUUAAGUUACUUUUAAUAAAAUAAUUUUAUAUUUCGUAAGUAUAAUUUUAAAUUAUAAAAAUUGUAAAAAUUUUACAAAAAAUGCGUCAACUAUAGCUCAUUUUGAAAAGGACACGCUUACUUUUCCUCUUCAUUUUCAAAAAUACUUUUCUAACUUUAAUUUCUACAAUCAUUUCGAUCAAUUUAGUUACAAAUUUGUUAAAUUAAUUGAUCUUUUUAUAAAAGUUCAUACUUUAGAUUAUAGUUUACCAUCAAAAAGUAGAGUAACGCUACUCCUUUAUUCAAAAGUAAAAAUAAAUUUUAUAAUUUUAAGAUUUACGUCAAAUUUUUUAAUACUUGUCUCAUCACUAUAUAUAUGCAUUUGUGCACGCGCGCACGUGUGUGCGUGCGCGUACAGUAAAACCAAUAACGAUUGACUAACGGCUUAAGCGGUAAGAUGUAAAAUUUAUAUAAACUUCAUGUGUGUAUAAUUAGCAUUUUUUGUCUCAUAAAAAUAAUCUAAUUAAACAUGAAAAAUUAGACAGUGCACACCAAAUAAUGAAACAUAUUUUCUUUAAAAUAAUAUAAUAGUAAAUAUAUAUUAAAAUAUUUACUCAAAAAUAAUAAUUCAAAUUAUUUUGUUGAAAUAAAAAUUUUACCGCUGAAUAGUUGAUAUUUUAUAAGAGUAUCGGCUCCCCUCUCUCUCCAGUCUAUGGUCAACUGCAUGCACAUAACGAAAAGAACUCCCUCAACUCGAAGUAGAGUAUAGCCGCUGAUAAAAAAAAACAAAUAAAAACAUUAGUAAAUAAAAUGUUGUUUUAACUUAUAUUAUAUAUAUUUUAUGGGUACGUAGAAAUAUUUAAACUUGUAUAGAUGGGUCCACUUUAUGACCCCAUCCAUACCAAGAGUUGAGGUCAACUUUGAUCAGUUUGAACAUAAUAUUAUUAAAAUUAGAUUAAAUUUUUGAUACCGUAAUGUUAUCCAAAAAGAGUAAAAUUCAAAUCGACCCGCUUUAGCUCAUUUUCACUUUACUCAUAUUUCACUUUACUCCUAUAUGUUUUAAUUUUUUUUUUCGCUAUAUUUUUUUUCCCCAAAUAGGGUGUUAAAUUGAAAAUCUAUAAAAGAAUCAUAGGAUGGCAAAAUAAAAAAAAUAUGCUAAACCACACGGAAGCAAAGUAAAAUUUUUGGAACCACAGGGUGAAAUGAAAAUGAGCUAAAUGAGGUAAACCACAAGGAAGCAAUUUGAAAUUUAUCCAUUAAAAUGUGAUGAACCAUUUAACACGGAGAAGGAAAAGACUACUUGUACAUUAUUUUAGGCAAUGUCAAUCUUAGGACAUCUAGAGUUUAGAUUAAUUACAUGAAUUUUUAAAUUAAAAAAAAGAGCGAUAAGAUCAUUAUAAAAAGUGGCUAGAAGUAAUUAUUGAAGUGGAAGAUGCAGGCAGAUGAAUUGUGCUAUGAAGAAAGAUUAUAUUUAUUUUUUCGAAAAGAACUCACACGUUGAUAAUAUUUUGAAAAAUCAAUUCGAUUAAACAAAAAAACAUAUAGGAAUACAAUAGCAGCUGAACUAGGCUGGAAUACUAUCAAUAGCACUAAGCUAUUGGUGCUAUUAGUUUUUUAGUCCUUGGAUUGAUAAAUGUGUGGUUAGGAUGAUGUAGGCCCCUGAGGGUUGAGUGAGUGGUUUGUUAAAUAGUAUGAUCUAACAGGUAAAUCUAACGGUAGAAAACUCGAUAGCACCAAAUCCUUGCUGCUAUCGAUAAUAUCCCAGCCGGACUCUAUAUAUAUAAAGAGAGAAGAUAGAGAAAGAGCUCUAUUUCUUAUGAGUGUAGAGCUCUUUGUACUCAUAAAUUUUUGGCCAUUGGAUGAAGGGAUGUGCAGUUAGGAUGACAAUGGUCCCAGUUAGGAUUAUAGUGGUCCUUAGAGUUAAGUGAAUGGUUGAUUAAAUAGUAUGAUCUAAUGAAUGAAAAUGGUGAAAGGUAUAGAUCUAACCAUCAAAAAUUUAUGAGUACAAAAAGGUCUAUACUCACAAGAAUAUAUGCUUCAUGCUUCUCUUAUGAACAAACAAUUAACAGAUAUUUAUUGAAUAAUAAUACGUAAAAUUAAUAUUGAGUAAAAUCGAAUGAGAUUGUGAAGAAAGCAAAUGUUAUUUAAAAUAGACCCUAUUAUAACAUAAUUUUCAUUAAUUACUUUCUUAUCAUGUAUGUUGCAACAAUAAUCUAUACUAAUCUAUGAAUCCCCAAUAUCUUGCUGACAUGGCGUUACCUCCUUCUUUCAAAACUGCUCUAUUUCAUCUCCCAACCUCCAAAACCCCUCAUCUUCAAAACCGUUUCCUCCUUAUCUUCCAAUAAAACCACAAUUGAAUGCAUAUAAUUGCAUCAAAACUAUUCCCUCUCAUCUCCCAACCUCCAAAAUCCCUCAUCUUCCAAAACCGUUCCCUCCUCAGCUCCUAAUAAAACCACAAUUGAAUGCAUGUACUUCAACAAAAUUUUGUAGGAUUAUUGAUCUUCCAUCCGUUGAAUUGAGAGCGCAAUAGAAUAGAAAGUUCGAUUCCUUAUAGCUCUACUUCUAGCAGUAGUUUCUUUUUUCGUUUUUUACAUUUAAUUUGUUGUUCGCUUGGAUUUUAGGAAAGCAUUUUUGGGUGUUUUUUUUUUAAUUUUUGGCACAUUUUAUGUUUUUUUUUUUAAAUCGUUCUAACUUCUUGAAAAGUUUCCUUUUGUUUCAGAGAGAUGAUCUUUUUUGUCUGAAUGUUUUGAAUAUUUUCCCAAUAUUAUUAUGGGGAUUUUCUCCUGAGAAGCUUAUUCAAGGGCUUUUUAUUGUUGGUUUUAUUGUUGGUUUCUAUAUUCCCCUCUUAAAUACAAGCCGACACUAAUGUGACACUGAUAAUAUUGGAUUAUUAUCAUAGUGUAUUAUACAAUAAUUAAAAUAUCGUGUCGAUGUCCGGCUAUAUAUAUAUAUAUAAUAUAUAUAUAUAUAUAUAUAUAUAGUAUAUAUAUAUAUAUACUAUAUAUAGAAUUAUAAUAUAUAAUGCUCGGGGUUACUUCAUUAUUGAUUUUUAAAAAAUUGAUUUGCGUCAAAAAAAGAAUCGGACGGAUGAAUCUGCUUAUUUGAUUUGUUAAAUGUCAAUUAAAAUCUUUUCAGUGUGCUAUUUAAUAUUUAUUAUUUUUCACUUGCAAUAUUUCAAAUAUUUUUUUUAUAAUAUCUAUGUAAUAAUUUUUCUUCUCAUAUAAUUCUUACUUUUUAUUUUCGGUUUCUUUUAUUAUUUUUUGUUGAGUUGUGAUUCCAUUUUAAAUAUUUUUUAAUGUGUUUUUUAUAUUAUUAAGUCUAAUCAAAUAUGGUUAUAUUUUUUUUUCUUCUUUACAUUCAUAUUUAUUUAUUUAAUUUGUAAAUUUUUAUUAAAAUAUUUUUUUUCGCUGCAUCGCGCGGGUCACUACACUAGUAUACUAUUUAUGAGAAAAGGUGACCUUCACUCAUAAUAAAGAAAAAUCUAAAUAAAGUAAGGCUAAAAAGAAGAAAAGAGGAGGCACGCAAAAAACUCAUAUACCUCUUUAUACUUGUUUAUUUAUAGCAGCACUACUUUUCUUCGAUAAACUACAAAUGUAAAUUUAAUAUUGAGUACUGAAAUCGAAUGAGAUUGUGAAGAAAGCAAAUGUUAUUUAAAAUAGAUCCUAAUAUAAUAUAUUUUCUACUAAUUAUUACUUUCUUAUCAUGUAUUUUGCAACAAUAAUAUACCAUUUAUCAAGGCGACCUUCAUUUAUAAUAAAAAUUUUAAAUAAAACAUGACUAAAAAGAAGAAAAGAAGACACACACAAAAAACUCAUAUACCAUUUUGUAUUUUUCAAAAUAGAGAAACUAAUUACGAGAUUAUGGCACCCAGAAAAUUAAGGAGGUGAAAAUGUACUACUACUACUACCUGUGCUAGAAUGAGGGUGGCCGCGCGCCGCCCUCCUGCAGCUCUUGAAAACGUGCGUAAUAGACUAGACGGCCUCAUCUUUCCGGGAAGGAGGGAGAGGGUGGCUGGGAGUGCAACGGAAGACUGAGCUGCUGCUGCUGCGGACGGUGGGAGUUCUCUUUUUUCUUCGUGGAGUUUUGAGUAACUAUCCCAGUGGGGAGGUGGGGUGUGAAAGAAAAGAGCAGGCUAAUAAAUAGGGGAAAGAUUAAAUAAAAUAUUAUUUUAUGUGAGCUUGGAGAAAAGUGGAGCACAGCUUUAAAACAAAAGACUCCCGCAACAAGACAAUUCACUGCUCUCUCCACAGGGAUUGAGCAGGAAGUAAUAAUUAGAUGCACCCGGUGCACUGGCAGCAGAUGCACCAUACACCCUUAUAUAUAUAUUCUAUAUAUAUAUAGAGAGAGAGUUGAGCUAGAAUACUCUCAAAAGCACCAAGGGGUUGGUAUUUUUAAGUUUUUAGCCCUUAGAUGGAGAGAUGUAGGGUUGAGAUGAUGGUGGUAGGUGGUGGUAAGUAGAAUAGUAUUUAAUCCAAAGGUUAUUAGUAAUCAAAGAGUAAAUCCAAAGACUAAAAACAAAAGAGCACAAAAGGGUUGGUGCUUUUGAGAAUAUUCUAGCUCAAUUAAAUAUAUAUAUAUAUAUAUAUAGAGAGAGAGAGAGAGAGAGAGAGAGAGAGAGAGUAGGUCUUGUGUGCUAUUAGGAGCACGAAGCCCUCCUUGUUCCUAAGCCGUUUUCGAUCAUGAAGCUUCCGAAUCAACGAUUGGCUGCGUUAGACUUAAUCUAACCUAUUUGAAAUAUCUAGAAAAUAAAUUUUGCGAUUUUUCGAUAUCAUUUACCUAGCGAUCGAAAUGGUUCAAAAUCAAAGGCUGAAAAUAAAAAUUUCAUAAAAAGUGGUGAUAUAUCACUAAAAUUUUCGAUCGGAGAUAUUAAUCUUGCUGUAAAUAGUAUAAAAAAUUUUCUAUCAAAAUUUUAUCUGAUUUGAAUACUUCUACACCGUUAAACAUGCAAAUGGUAUACAUCAACCAUUAAAAAUUUUGACGCUAUAUUAAAUCUAACGAAGCCGAUCGUCGAUUUGAAAACUCCAUCAUCAAAAACGGCUUAGGAGGACGGAGGGCUCCGUGCUCCUGAUAGCAUACAAGACCUACUCUAUAUAUAUAUAUAUAUAUAUAUAUAUAUAUAUAUAUAUAUAUAUAUAUAUAUAUAUAUAUAUUCAAUCUUUUAAUUAAAGGGUUUAGAUUACAGGGGUAGAGUUUAGAUUAUAAGGUUUAGGUAUUAGGUUUUUUUAGCCCUUAUUUGGUUGGGGGUUAAGGGGUGGAAUAACCCCUUAACCCCCAUUUUAUCCCCAAACAUCCCAAAAAAUAGGUGGGGUUAGCUAACCCCACCUAACUCCACCUUAAAUAAAUUAUCCCGGGUUAGCUAAUCCCACCUAACCCCACCAAACUUCAACCAAAUACUAUUUUCUAUUCAUAAUAAUCCACUAUCUUUCUUAUCACACCUACUCCAACCAAUCAUUAUCCUUCUUUAUCAAUCAUUAUCUUCUUAUCCCACCUACCCAACCAAACACUAUUUUUCAUUAUUCUAGACUAACUCCAACCCGCAACCAAACAUAAAAAAACUUUAACCCCACUUUAACCCUGAACUUAACUCUAUGUAUGGAAUAGCUACUUUUUCCUUAACUCUGAACCAAACGGAGGCUUAGGGUUUAGAAUAUAGGGUUUUUGAGUUUUAACUUUAAAAAUAUUAUAUAUUAUAUUUAUACAAUCAAAUAAAACUCUAAGCUCUAAAUACCUAAACCUUAAUCUGUAUCCUAAACCCCAGAAUGUAAAUUCUAUAUCUUAAAAAAUUAUAACAAAAGUUACUUGCAUCAGGUGCACCCAAUGUGCUCACAGCAAGGGGGGAACUGCGCCAAAGGACUUUUGGCCCUUUAAAGCUGCUUUUUUUUUUGCCCUUUUCUUUUAUCAGAUUUUAUACAUCCCAAAGCUCAAAAUUAUAUUAAAUUUAAUAAUUUAUUAGUAUUUAACUGUUAAUUACUCUAGGUUUAUUUACAUCAAAUUAAUUAAUUAAAAUUAUCAAAUUAGAUAAAAUUGCAAAUGAAUUUAAUAAAAUUUUAUUUUUUUCCGGACUACAAUUACUUAUUUCUAUUAAAAUAAAAACAACACAAAAGGUAGUCGGUCCUCUAUGGUAGUGGAAAAGACAAACUGUUUUUCUUAAAAGUGAUUACAAAAUAAACUGCUAUUUGCUUCCUUGCUCUUCCUUAUGAAUCAAAGGAUUUUAUUUUAAAUAUAAUUGCCUAUAUACCCUUCAUACGUUGAAAAAUAUCCGAUUUAUCUUUCUUCUUUUUUUUUUAACUACUCCUUAUAUGUUUCACCGUUAUUGCAAAAUAUCCCGGCAGUUAUCUCCUAUUAAGUUAACUUGGGUUAAACGUGAGUUAAAUAUCUACCGCAGCUAAAAAAUAUAAAAUACCAAUUUUGCACUUAACUUAAGGACAAAUAAGAAAUGUUGGUGACGGUAAAGGGUAUAUUUGAAAAGACCAAAAGUCAAAAUACUUUUUGUGCCUCUGAAUUUAAGGGCAAAUAAGAAAGUCGGUGAUUGUGGAAGGAUAUAUUUGAAAUGGCAAAAUAAUAAUUUUACAGAGAUAACAGAGUUCAUUAAUAGAUUUUAACUUUUUAGGGAUAUAUUAGAAAUAUGUUGGAACAUAGAAAGGAUAUUUUCAAUAUUAACCUUUUAAGAAAGGUAAAUCAAAAAGUCAGAAACUUUUCAGAGGUAUAUAAACAACUGCCCCUUUAUUUUACCACCUUAUAGUCUAAUAAUUAGUACACUUAUAUACUAUUAUUUUAUUUCUAUUCAAGCUUCAAAACACGUCAGUGAGUAGGAUAGUAAAACCAUACAUUUUAGAAAACAUAGUUAUAAAUAUAAAUUACCCAUCAUUUCAAAUACAAGUGACAAAAAAUUUGAUACCGGUUAGUUUGGUUUAUAUUUCCAGCUUUAUUUAUUUUUAAAAACAAAUAAACGAAGUGAGUAAUGUACUACAUUUUUCUCAAAAAAUUAAUAAUUAUAAGUGCAAAUUAGAAAAUAAUAAAUUAAUAAAAUGAUAAAUUGAUGGACCACAAUUUUAAUUUUAUUAACUAAAUAAUAAUAUAUAGUUCAUGAACAUAAGAGAUCAUAAAUAUUAGUAACAAUAACCCGACUAAAACAUCUUGAGAAAAUUAUUAAUAAAUUUGAUUAGCUUUCAUUCUAUUUAACUUAAAUUACUUAGUUUAUAAUAUUAAAUUUAAAAUUUAAGAAGCUUCCUAUAAAAAAUAGUAAAAGUGAGAAAGCUAUUUAAAUAGACCUACCGGGAGGGUUUUCAUUUACUUUUAUUAGGGUCCGUUUAAUUCAGCGUAAAAUCAUAAAAGAUAAUUUUUCGUAAAAAAAUUUUUUUGUGAAAAAAUAAAAUUUUAUAUUUUCUAGUAUUUAGUUUGUAGGAUUCUUUUUCACUAACAUUUACUUGGUUAAAAGAAAAAAAACAUAUUUAUUUGUUUUUUGACACUGUACAAAAUCUUCAUUUAUCUUUGACAUUGCACAUCAAAUUGCGUUUUUUUUUUUUUUUUUUUUUUGAUUCAUUAAGAUGCAGUUUAGUUGGGGAGUGAUAGUGGAUUGUGAGAAGAAUACUCACAUUUAUCUAAUAUUUAGAAUUAGGCUGGAAUACUAUUAAUAGUAAAACGUUCUUUUUGCUAUCAAAUUUUUAAUCCUUGAAUGAAAAAUUAUAAGGUCAGAAUGAUAUUAGUCGGUUAGAGUUGAGUGAUCCCUCUAGGGUUGAGUGGUCUCCACCGGAUUAUAGUAUUUAAUCUAAUGGUUAGAAAUAAUGAAAAGAGUUGAUCCAAAGGCUAAAAAACUGAUAGUAAUAAUAGAAUUUUGCUACUAAUAAUAGCCCAGUCCAACUCCUAAUAUUUAUGUCAAAAAUCCCUGUUUUCUCUCUUAAAAUCUAACUUAUGUAUUUACAGUUCAUGCUGAGUUGUCAUUUCUGUAACAAAACUUGCUUUUGUUCGCUGAGGUCCUGUUUGGAUGUUGGGACAUGACAUAAGGUUCUAAUUAUGAUUUUCAAUAUGGCAUAUUUCACCUUUGAGGUGAUUUAUUUCCUUGGAUUUUGGGAUAUUCAACCUUCUUACACUUUUAGCCAGUUUUCUCUGUUCUUCUCGACAACAAACUAAUAAAUGGACCUUCAGUAACAAAGGGACAUUUGUCAGAUGCGGCCUAAAAACAGGUCUGAUAGUAGAGUACUAAAAAAAUAUCAGUUUUAAGCAACUGGUGCCAAUUUACCAAGAUGACAAUAGGUAGUUAAUUUACUUGAAAAUGUUGGCUUAAGCAUGGUUGUUUAGUAGAGGUUGUGUCUUGUAAUCAUCUGGUAUUUCUCGUCAAGGCCAUCUAUUAUCAUGACUGUUCCAUUACUAUUUUACCAUCUCUUUUGUCAAGUAUUUAGAAGUACAUAGGCAUAUCUAAAAUAGACAUAUCUAAAAUACACAUAUAUGUUCUGACUAUAAGAUUCAAUCAUACACAAAUUCACAUACACAUUUAUGUGAAAUUCACAUACAUGUGAGGUUUCGCCGAUUGAGUACAAUCGGGUGAAGGAGACCUUUAGAGCCUUAGAUUUUAAAAAUCAGUUGAUGAAGAAGUUCUAGAGUGCUAAUCAGAUGGAGUGGAAAUGAUUGGAGGAUUGCCACAUGGUCUGUUGUAGAAUCAGAGCUAGAUGUCCGCACAUUCUGAGGUGAGAAAAAUGGUGUGUAUAAUAGAGAAAACAUAAAACUGGCUUAUAUCGCAAAUACUGAUAAAUUUUCUCCUACAAAAAAGGAAAAAAGAAUUUUUUACUUUAUUCUCUAAUAUUCCCUAAUAUUUUUUUUGCAAUCAAGUUCUCACUUCUUCUUGAUUUUAUUGCAAUUAUGUCCCAACUGUUAAACCCUUAUGGUUUCACACUUUCUCGCUUUUGUACCAUGGGGUUUAAAAUGUAAUCAAUAUAGUACCCUAUGGUUUAAAGUGUAUUAAUUUAUCCCCUUAUUUUGGGGGUUGUAGGGCUCACAUGCAAUUUUUUUUACGAAUUAAUCUCAUAUUGGUCACAACCUUUUCACUAUUUUCUUAUUUUGGUUCUCAAUCUUUUUUUUUUUUAAUCAAAUUUUUGAAUCUCUUGAUUUAAUCACAAUAAAAUGACACCGUUAAAAAAGGUUUUAGAAUUAACGAUGUUAUCAUACCAUCGCCUAUAUAUCCUUUUUUUGCAUGUCAAUUAUAGCCUAUAAACUUUAUUUUUCACAGUAGUCCACCAAAAAAAAAUUCAAACUUUUAAAUUCAAAUCCGGAAUUAAUCUUAAAAUUAAUCUUAAAAUAAAGUCUUCCCUUAUUUUGGGGGGUUGUGCUUCUGAUAAUUACCUACUGAUUUCUUCAUUAAUUUAAAAUUUAGAAAUCAAAUACUUUAUUAGUUAUAUGUGUAACAAUAAAAGUUAAUGAGGUCACAAUAAAGACGUUGUCGCUAAGAAUACCAAAAAUAAUACUUUCACUCCACUUUUUUUUUUCUUUUCUUUUUUUUUUUUGUUGUAAAGUAUGAAAUAGAAAAAUAUUAUUUAUCUUUUUUAAUACUGUAAUAAACUUUUGUUUUAUUUUAAACUGAUUUAUUCAUUUUGCUUAUUAGGUUUAAAUAUUUUUAAAAAGAAAAAUACUUUAAUUUCAUUCUUUAAUUUAUUCUUUAAUUUUUAAUUAUUCAAUACUGAAAUAAAUAAUAUUUAAAAAUAGUAAUGCAUAAUAGAAAAAAAUUGAUAUUAAUAGUUAUAAUAAUUUACUAUUAUAUUGUCUUCCCGCCGCAAUAUUUUAAGUAUUUGAUUUAGAUAUUUUCAAAAAUAAUAUAUUUCAAUUUUAAUUUUUAAUUUUUAAUUGUUCAGUAUUGUUUGCUGCGUAGCGCGGGUUUCUUAACUAGUACUUAUUUUGUCAUAAAUUUUGAAAUUUCUUUUAUACAUAUUAUCUGUUUAUAGAAUAAGCUUGAUUAUGAAUACAUGUUAGAAAUGUGAAGCCCUACUCAAAUUGUAUAUUUUGCAUAUAAUAUAUUUAUAAUAUAAUUAAGCUUUAAACUAUACAUAAAUAAAUAUUUGUGUAAUGACUAAUGAGUACGACAAAGUACAGGAGUCUUUGUGCUUUACGAUUAAACAUUUGAUUCCAUAAUCGGCUCUGUUAAGCAUAAUUUACGCUAUUAGUACUAUCUAAAAAUUAAUUUUUAUAAUUUUUUGAUAUUAUUUAUUCAGUAAUUAAAAAAUCGUAAAAAUAAUUUUUAAUGACCAAUACGGGAGUCUUGUAAGUUCAAUAAUAUAAAUCAAUCCAAAUUAGGUGAAAUUUUGAUAUAAAAUUUAUAUAAUUUAAGUAAAUUUACCCCUAUUUUUUAUGAAAUUUUUAUUUUUUACUGUUUAUUUUGAGGUUAUUUUUUUUGUUGGGAAAAUAAAAAAAAAUUUAUGCCAUUAUAGUAUAUACAAAUUUAAAGACUCUUUAUUUUGAGGUUACUUUAUUAUAUUUCACACAUUUUUCCAACCAAACACAAUGAUCUCCCAGGAAACCAGGAAACUGCAAUCUCGGUUAAAAUGUGCGGAGGCCCCUUGUAUUAUACACUCUUUGAAAUUGGCCCCCCAAACUUUUAAUUUUUGGGUAAACUACAAAUACCACCCCUGUGGUUUAGCACUUUCUCACCUUAGUACCAUGUGGUUUAAAGUGUAUCAAGUUAGUGUCCUGUGGUUCCAUUUUUAUUUUUUUCGUUAGCUUUUCUGUUAGUAUUUCGUUAAAUUAUAUACAAAAAAACUUUAGAUAUCCCACCUAGAUUUAUUGAAUAUUCACUUUAGUAUCCUUUGAUUUUAACUUUGUCACUGAUUUAACGAAAAAAUUAGUAGAAUCAAUAAUAAAAAGAUAAAAAUAAAAUCACAUGGCACUAAAUUGAUACACUUUAAACUAUAGGGUACUAAAGUGAAAAAGUGUGAAACCACAGGGGUGGUAUUUGAAGUUUUUCCUAAUUUUUUUUAUCAACACUUUUUGUCCUAUCAACAUGUAUUAAUCACACCGCGAAAUUUCAUCGUCUUAACCGUAAAUUAUUAUAUGAGAGUCACGAGAAGCAAAAAAGUGAUUGAGAUUGGCAAUAACGAAACGGAUGAGCCGAUGCCUGCAACGGUGGUAGCAAUGAUAGAUACAAAUAAAAGUUGAGCUCCUUUUGUUACGUAGUUAUUGAUUGUGAAGAUAAAAAUAAAUUUUUAUAUUUUUUAAAAAAAUUAAAGAAAUAAAAGUUGAGGGAGCGAUUUCAAAUGCUGGGAUAGUAGAGAGGUCUCCCUAUAUUUUUAUAUAUUUUUGUUCUUAAUUUAAUUUUUUAAAAUAAGUUGGUUUGUUGGAUUUGAAAGGAGAGCUUAGAUUAUUUAUAUACCACCUACUAACACCUCAUUCUAUACUUUAUACUUUUAUAUGUAGGAUAUUAUUACGGAUACAAAUGGAUCCGGAUUUGUGGAGAUUUGCACCACUUCGUUCUGAACCGGACAACACAUAUUUUAAAAAAAUUGUUCGGAAUCUAUUUGAAUCUGCUAAGAAAUAGAGCGGAAGGCAGGGAUACAUUUAUUUCUCUGAUCUGUCUCGAUCCGCUCUAAAAGAAAAAGAAUAAAAUUUAAUCGGUCGUGAAUCUGUCUUUUACUGGUUCUGUCUCGUUUGCAUCCCUAAAUAUAAGUAAUAGGUGCCACAUCAGCUUGUAAUGAGCCUAGUGAUUGGGCCAACACAUUCAUCACUUAGCUCACCAACCAUCUACUAUUAUUGUGAACUAAAUUUAAAAAAAAAAGUACUUACAGAGAAAAACUUUUUCACUCCUCUUUUAUUUUUGGUGAAACAAGCAUAUGCAGAAUCACAUAAGCAAAUUGAAAUUUAUCCUUUAAAUUUUUAUUAGCUAAACUACAAAAAAUUUACCUAUAUAUACCCUUUUUUUUCACUUUUGUAUCAUAAAUUUCAAAAAAUUAUAUUUUUUCUUUUUAAAAUUAAAAAAAUAUUUUUGGAGGAUUACGACGUUAAUAAAGAGCAAAAUAAACCAAAUUACCUUUACUUAUUAUAUAAAAAAUAAUUUUGAAUAUAUUUUUAAAUUUUAAGGAUAUUUUUGGUGUCGUAGAAAUCCGCCACGCGGAUUCUCGUCGGACGGAAAAGCGUCAACUCACACUCUUCGCGCGUAAAACGUGUAUUUUAAGAUAGAGGCAAUUGCUUAUAUGCCCCUGAAAAAUUUUCGACUUUUCGAUUUAUUCCUCUUAGAAGGCUAAUAUUGAAAAUACCUUUUCUACGUUCCAACUAGGGAUGUCAAUGGGUAUGGAUAUUCGAAAUUUUAUCUGAACCCGAACCCGAAUGAAACAGAUAUAUUCGAUGGCUAUGGAUAUGGAUUUGGAUAUGGAUAUAAAAAAUAGAAACCCGACGGAUAUGGAUUUGGAUAUGGAUUUUGAUUGUACCCUAUCUGAAUCCGAACCCGACCUGAACCCGAACCGAACCUGAAUUUAUUUUGUAUUAUAUAUAAUAUAUAUAUAAAAAUUUGAUGUUAUAUUUGAAUUUAUAUUUUAAAAAUUUAGAUUUAAUAUAAUAUUCGGGUUCAAAUUUUCGGGUUCGGGUUCAGGUUCGGGUUUCAGAUUUUUGGUAGGGUUCGGGUUUGGAUAUGGAUUUUUAAAAUCCGUCAGGUUCGGGUUCGGGUUUUUAAAAAUCUGCCCCGAAUCCGACCCGUUGGCAUCUCUAGUUCCAACCUAUUUCUAAUAUAUCCCUAGAGUUAAAAUAUGUUAAUUAACUCUAUUAUCUCUGUAAAAUUACUAUUUUGCUUUUUCAAAUAUAUCCUUUCAUCAUCACUGACUUUCUUAUUUGACCUCAAAGUCAGGGGCACAAAAACUAUUUUGACUUUUCAUCUUUUUCAAUAUAUCCCUCUACCGUCACCAAUAUUUCUUAUUUGCCCUUAAGUUAAGGGUAAAAUUGACAUUUUAAUUUUUUUAAACUGUGGUAGAUAUUUAACUCACGUUUAGCCCAAGUUAACUUAACAGGAGAUAACUGCGGGGGUAUUUUGUAAUAACGGUGAAACAUAUGAGAGGUAUUUUAGAAAGAACAAAAAAAAAGAGAUAAAUUAGAUAUUUUCAAAAGUAUGAGGGGUAUAUAGGCAAUUA